AACCAUUAAAAGGAAACACAACAUAACAUAUUAAGGUAAUAAUAUAGGUGUCACGGAUCCUGUGUCACACCCUUAUUUAUUUAGCAUUAAUUUUCGACCUCAUCUACGGAUGUAGCUUCAGGGGUCUCCUCAGCAGUUCGACAGCAUCUUUGGCAAUGUCCUUGGUACCAGCGGCAGCAACGAUGUCUGCAACGAUCUGCGGUUACGGUAUCCUCAUCUCCAGAUGUAGCUUCAGGGGUCUCCUCAGCAGUUCGACAGCAUCUUUGGCAGCGUCCAUGGUACCAGUGGCAGCAACGAUAUUUGCAACGAUCUUCGCUUAUGCUAUCCUGAUGAACCUCACCUGAACUGGCAUCGUGGACACCAGUGGUUUUCACGCUCUUCUGAUCUGUUUCAAGACACAAGGAGACAUAAAUAUUUGGAGCUUUAUCUUAAGCUGCGAACGUUAGGUGACCGGCUAGGCUGAAAAUUUGCAAGAUAUACGCAAGGAAAAGAAUACAAUGGAUUGAACAAAACAGUCUAGGCAUAUAAGAUAGUGCUACUUGAUAUGAAUUAUUUUACUUUAAUACGCUAUUCAAUAAAUUAUGAUUAGAAGCAUUUAAUUUGGUUUUCGACGUUAGUUUAACCUUUAGUGUGACACUAUGGAAUGUGUAUCCUUACAGCAAAACUAUAAGGAUGCAUGAAAAAUCAGAUGUGCCACUAACCAUUGAUAGAAGCAACCAAAAUUUACUUUUACUAAACAAUGAAAAAGAUAUUAGCACAUUAAUAUGACUUGCUUGAUAAUAUACAAAUAGCCUUCCACAAAAAUUCACAUCCCAAUAAUGAGUCCCCUAAUCUCCAUUCAUUUGAGUAUUUAGGUGCAGCCAAAAAAACAAAAAAGGAAGAAAAGAAAAAAAAGGGGGGGGGGGGGCUAGAUACCUGCAGCUGUUGCAUCAAAGGAAAUGAGGAGCACAAGUGCAAAGAGAACACCAAAAAGAAAGAGCAAAUUUUUUGAAGAUGCCAUUUGAUCACAAGCUCACUCAAAAUGUAAGUAAUGUGCUAAAUUAUUGCUAUAGAGUGAUAAGUGCAUGGAGUUGCAGCCCUAUUUAUAGGAACUAGGGGGGGAACACCACGCCUAGCGUGGAAUGAAUAUUUUAGGGUUAAUUUCAAAAACCUCCCUUGAGGGUUUUCAUAAUUUCACUAGCACCCUUGUUAUUUCCAAUAAUACAAUGAGCUCCCUUCUGAUGUUGAUGGGACCUAAUGUCAAUAUCAUCAGGGGGAAGAAUUGAUUUUUCCACAGACUUGUUCUGGUUUCAAUCUCGCGGAUUUGAACAACAUAUUUUGGAUCUCGGGAGUGACUAAGUGCUUACGUCUUAUUCCAUACUUUAAUUGCUUGAUACCGUGUCCUUAUCUUCCUUUUUAGUACAAGUUGGACACGUGUUAUUUUUAUGUUUUCUCAUCCUGCACAAAAUCUUGAUAGCUUUGUUGCCGGAUUUUAUUCUGCUGCUUUUCAGUAAGCGUAUUUUCCAAUUCAAAUAAUUCAUUGCUGCUUCUAGAGUCUUCCCCGCAUAUGUAGUCAUUAUAGAAGAAAAUGCUCCAUUUCCUCCAUAUGUACGAAAUCCUUGCUUGGGUGUAUUUUCUAGAUUUUGCAAAACGAUCCUUAUCCCAAGAGCUCUUUGAUAAUGUAUUUUUCUUUAGAAAAAUAUUCAUAUUCCUUCUGUUGAGGAUACGAAGAGUUGCUUCUUCUCUAUUUUUUAUUCGAUUAUCAGCUAUAGUAAGAUCUGUAGAUGUAUUUAGUCCUUCUCUAAAUGUAGAUCUAAUAAUCAUUUGGAUAGAAUCUAUAUGAAUCCAUCCUAUUGAUUCUCUUAUUUUUUCUGGUAUUUUCUCUAAUUUUCUAUAAAUAUCUUUUUUAGAUAUUAAUUGGAUCAUUAUUUUAUUAGUAGUAAGACUAUAUUCUAGUGAUUUUUCUUUGAGAUUUAUUCCAUAGAACAUAUGGUGUUUUCUUAGAUAAAAUUUUAUCAUUUCUAAUGCAGGUACAUUAAAUCCGCUAUAAGAGUUUAUUGAAAAAUUACUUUUUUGAAUUUUUGCCAGUAUUUUUCUAUCUAUAAGUGCUUCUUGACUAUAUUCACCUAAUUUUUCUGAAUGAAUAGCUAUUAUUUCAGAAGAAUUAUUUUUCUCUUCUUCUAUUUCACUAAUCUUCACUGCUUAUUUCAUAUUCUGUAUCUGUACAGAUAAAUAUAUUUUCAUCAGAAGAAACUUCCUCUAUUUCUGCAAAUCUAUUUAUUUCUAUUAAUUCAUUAUUAUUAAUCAAGUUUUCAAUAUCAUCAUCCACUUCAAAUCUCUUUUUAUUAAAUUUCUUAGGACAUUGAUUUGUUAAGUGUUCUUUUUCUUUACAAAAAUAACAUUGACAAUCUGUUGUAUUUCUUUUUUUCAAUAAUUUUUUCUUCUAAAUUUAUUUUUCUUAGUUUUUCUUUAAAUAUUUGAAUUUCUUUCUUCAAAUCUUUAUAUAUAUAUAACAUCAUUUUUUGUAUUUCAAAUAGGUCUUUCUCUAUUUUUAAAUUUUCAGGUUCUAUUAUUUUAUAGUUAUCCAAAUUCAUGUAUGCGUUCUUACUAAAUGUAAAUUUCGAUUUGAAACAAUUUUUUCUAAGUUUCUUUUUUCAAUAUCUAAUAAUAUAUUUGAUGCUUCUAAUAUUAUUUCUUCAGAGGAAUAUUUAAUAAUAAGUCGUCUUAGCUUAUUUAUUUUAGAUUUAGCUGAUAGGUCUUGACUAAUAAAAUUUUGACAUUCUUGGCAAUAUGUUAUUAUUUCGUAAGAAUUCAUGGUAGAUUUAAAUGAGCUUUUCUAUAAUGAGCAGUAAAAUUUUUAUUGCGUUCUACAUAUUUAUUAGUUAUUAAAUAUUUCUCAUGUUCUGCAUCUCUUAAGAUCUUGUAUCUAUCAUGGCAAGUAACCGGAUUAUAAUCAUACAAAAUGACAUGUAUCUACCUUUCUUGAUAAUAUGCAAUUCUUUCAUUUAAUUUAGAGUUGUUAAUUGAGCCGAGUCAAGCUCGAGCACAUGAUAAUCGAGCUCAACUAGAACCUCCGAUCGAGUUAGCUUGAGCUCGCUCGAUUAGUAGUUCGAGCUUCAAAAGCUGCUCGAGAUUGACUUGUCAAACUCGACUGAAAACUCAAACUCAAGCUCGAACUCGAGUUCAAAAUCGAGCCGAGCUUAAUGAGCUCGAGACUCGAGCUCAAACACCUAGACAUUAGCAACCAUUAUUGUCUAAUCUGUUAACAAAAUUUUCAGGCAAAUUCACAACUAAAUCUGCGGUUGAAAUAGAUACAAAAAUCACAAUUCAAGCAGUUCACAAUUCAAGUAGUCCAAACAAUUAAACAUCAGCCAUCAAGUAGUUUUAAACAGAUUCUAAAAUGUCCAAACUCUAAACCAAGUUGACCAACAUGUUUAACUUCAAUUGUCCAAGAGUUAAAAACAACUUUCUUGAGCGAAAACAACUUGUGAAUGAUGCAGCUUUUGAACGAAAUCAGCUUAGGAAAUCAGCAUGUGAAUGAAAUCAGCUUGCACCAAUCAACAUUAACUGCCACCAAAUCAGGUUGUGAAUGACUCAGGAAGUUCAACUUCCUCAAAUGUGAUUGAUUCGGCUGCAUCAAGUGAUUCCUACAAAACAAAAGUAUGAAAGUUAUAAAGUUCUUGAAAAUAAGAUCUAAUGAAACUUUUAACAACAACAAAAACAUCCAAUCAAUUACUUACGCGAGACUUAUUCUUUAGGCCAUGAAGAUUGCGGAUCCAAUUGUUGCCGCAAAGCAACAUUUGCACCGUCUCAACUGACAUAGAAGCUCGUCGAUCAUCAAUUACUCUACCUCCAGCAUUGAAAGUAGAUUCUGAAGCCACAAUUGUAAUAGGAACGGAGAGUAUAUCGACAGCCAUUCUCGAUAAGAUAGGAAAUCUCAAUCUUUUCCCUUUCCACCAAGCGAAAACAUUCAGAUUCUCAUUUGCAUCACAAGCAUACCUACCUUCUUCUAAAUAAACAUUUAAAUUUGAUUUUUCUGGUGGAGCCUUGUCAAUUUCACUCAGAUGCUUGUGAAACUUUUCUUUACCAGUUAAAACGGUGGGUCCAGUCAUUUUACUAGCUUUCUGACUAGAAGAACUAGAACCUUCAUUUUGUCUCAUUUUUACAGCCUACCUCUAUUGUUGUUCAGAAUGGGAAACAAUGAGUGUGUUUGGAUAGAGAUAAUUUGAAAAAAAAUAAUUUGCCUCACAAAUCCCAAUCACCUUUUUAUUUUUUCAAUUACCUUUUUAUCUCAUAUACAUCACAUCACAAAAAGUGCUACAGUAAUUAUCUCAAAUAAAUCAUCCAAAUAAACUCUUAUCCAAACAAACUCAAUGUGACAAUCAAUAUAUUUGACGGGAAUUUUACAUACGUGCAAGCUAAAAAAUACCGAAUUACACCCGUUCACUGCAAUUAUACAGAUCAACUAGUAGUUUAGGGUAUAUAUCGGGUCGAUCCCACAGGGAAGAGUGAACAAUUACCGGUAUUACUAAAGCUUCUCUAUUAUUUAGACUAUCAAUGAAUAAUAAGAAAUUUAACCUACUGCACUUAUACAAGAAAUUAACAAAUAAAAGCUCCUUAGGUUGUGGUAUCCCUAACUACUCAUGCAAGUGUUAUAUUUGGAUCAUUGAAUACUACAUCUAGGCUAAUUAUGGUGUAAUUUCCUUAUGCAUUUGAAUCCUACUUUCGUAGUGAAUCAAUUAUACUUAUAACUAAUCCAUACCUAUUCUCAUGGUUAUGAAAUUAGCUACAAGUUCAUUUCUUCAGUGAAAUUACAUGAAAUGAAUCACUAAAAACCACAUAGGUGCACCUCUACUUUCGUGAGUGUACUCCCUAUGUUUAGCACUUCUUGAACUAAUGUUAAAUCUCAAUUUUCAUUGCAGAAAUAACACCUUAGAUAAUCACAAUUAAUGGUACCAGAUUAAUCAUGAUUUAAAGAGUCAAAGUGCUAAAUAACUUGCUCAAAUCAUAGCAAUUAAAUAACCAAAUAAUAAAUACUAACAAUCAUAGAAAGUUCAACCAAACCCAAGGCAUAAACUUUAGAAACACAUAAUAGACAUAAAUUCCAGAACUUGCAUAUUAACUAUAUUUAAGAAUCCAAUACAAAAGAUAAAGAGUUGGAGAAGAGAUAACCCAUGUCACUUGAGCUUCAACUUCUCUUUCUUCAUCUCCAUUUUCAUCCUAAUCUAGCCAUUAUACAAGAAUGGAUGAACUACACUUACUACACUAUCCUACACUAAGGAAAUGGAAGAACUACAUUUCUGCACUCUUCAAGCUUCUCCCGUAUGAUUCUGAAUGUCCUGCAUAUAAGCUGAUGAAAAGUCCUUCCCUUACCAGUCAAAAAUUUCUGCUAUGAUUCUCCAAAUCUGAAUUUGUUAAGGGAGUAAAAAAUAAUGGCUUUUGACUUGGAACCUUGGCUAUAUCUCUUCCUUAUGUCUUCUGAAGCAUGUGCAGCCUACGUUUUCUCUCCAACUCUAGCUGGAAAGUAGUGUGAAGAUGAGAAAAAUGGCUGAGCAAAUUACAGAAAUUCGGCUGCCAGACACGUUUUUAUUUUUGACCUCACUUCAACUGCAUUUUUCUCCAUGAUGAAGGCCGAACUGGCUUUUGUAUAAAACACAAAAGUUGUAGCCCUUUGAAUUAGAGUUCCAAUGCUUCAAGAAUCAUCUAAUUUGGAGAUCGGUGGACGGAGAUAUGGUCAAAAUACCAUAGACUGGUCAAUUCUGGGUUUCAGCUUUCGACCAUCCAGAUAAGUUUCUGUGUUUCGACCUUUUGACCAAGAAAACGGCUGAAUUGGACUUUGAUGUCUUCAUACCAAAUGCAGAUAUAUCUCUUAGCUUCAAAAUGGUACCAAGAUCACCUUGAUCAGAUCAUUGUAGCUCCUGAUAUAGUCAAAAUACGAAAAUGUAUCUGAGUUGUCAAAGCUGACUUUUCUUGAUUUUUGUCCUCAAAUUGCAUUUCUUCUUUUACACUUCAUAUUUUAUUUUCCCCACUUUAAUCCAUCUUCAAUCAUCCAAAUAUCUUCUCAAUGCACUUCAUUUGAUGAUUGAAUCAUUAAACCUACAAAAUAUGAAGUUUUUCCCAUAAAAAUCCAUCAAAUGCAAUAUUUAGCCAAUUUAACAUAAAAUGUAGAUUUUUACCAAAACCUUAGUUAUUUUAGUUAUAAAACUAAAUAAUCAAACCAAAAUUAACUAAUAAAACACACUAAAAAUACGUAAAAUAAACCCUUGUCAAUAUUCAUUAUGAAACUCAUAAAAAAUGUCUCUAAUCUCAGCCAUGAAUCGAGGAGUUGCAUCCUCACCAUAAAUCACCAAAAAAGAAUGAUUAACAAGAACCAUUUUAUAUCUCGGAUCCAAAAUUGCACCCAAAGAUAGCAGCACAUUACUUUCCCCCAAAUACUUAUCAAAUUUAGUGGACAUACUUCCAGUCAUAGCCCGAAUAUGCUCAUAAGGGUCAAGAGCUUUUCAUUUAAAAGCUCUUUAAUCCUAUAGAGCUCCACAAGAAAAAUGUUAACUGUUGGAUACUCGAAUCCGGAAAUCAUGUUAGUGAUUUCAUGAAAUAUUUCUAAAAAUUUGCACACUUCUUCCACUUUCAUCAACUCAAAAUCAAUAGGAACAUAGGGAAAUCCGGGGUCAAUGUCUACAUAUCUUGGAAAGACAUCCUUGAACUCUAAACCCGAACCCAACAUCUAAUAGGUGCUAUUGCACCUUGUUGGACAGUCCAAAAUUAGCUUUCUAGAUGGCAACUGGAGCUGUUUUUUAAUUUUGGCAAAUUCAAGAAGCCUAGAUUGAGAAUUGUUCAAGUACUUUAUCCCCUCUCUAACAACAUCAAUCACAUCACCAAGUUGACCAAGACUAUCUUGCACUAAGAGAUUAAAUAUAUGUGUUCAACACCUAACAUGAAAAAUUUUUCCUCCAAUACUUAAUCUCUUUCUUAGAGAAAAAUCCUCUCUCUCCUAAUGCGCACAUCAUUAUAUGAAGCAUUAUCUACAGUUAUGCUAGAAACUUUAUUCUUAAUCCCCCAAUCAAUAAAGCACUUACUUAGAGCAUUAGCCAUAAUAACUCUAGUAUGACGAGGAGGAACAUUGCAAAAAUUUAACACACGUUUUUGUAGCACCCAAUAAGAAUCAGUAAAAUGACCAGUCACAACCAUAUAUUGAAUUUUUUGACCAGAUUUCCACAAAUAUGUGGUAAUAUUAUUCCUACCAGCACCUUUCAACAAUGAUUUCAGCUUCCUUUUUUCAAUUGUAUAAGUACUAAUGUAGUCUUCCUUAACAGUCUGCCGAUUAAUCUUUUUAUAAAAUAGAGAUGUUGCUUUUAUGAAUUUGUUGAAAACCAUAUGAUCCAUCAUAGAAAAGGGGUACUUAUGUGCAAGAAUCAUGUGUGAUGCAAGCUCUCUUACCUUGGCAUGAUCAUACGAGAAAUUUGUGAUGGAAGUGAUACCAUCACUUGGACCUUCAGUGAAUGAUAGCACUUGUUGCUUCUGUUUGAUUUGUUCCCCAAUGGCCAGCUUAGUCUGUAGGCAAGAAUUCAGGUGCCUCUUGUGCUGAGAUGUAGCUCCGGUUGCACUCUUGGCAAAAAGUUCCUUGCAAUGGUUGCACUUCACUUUGAUUGUCCCAUUAUCUAGCACAACUGUUGUUAUUUCAUCCCAUAUACUGGAUUUCUUCUUCCUUUGCUUUUUCUCAAAAGGACUAUCUUCUUCAUCUCCAUCUACUUUCUAUUCUCCUUCAUUGCCCUCACCUUCUAUCAUUUCUAUCUCUUCUUCACUAAUCUCAUCAGUUUUUUCUUCAGUGUAGUUCAAUUGUUCCACGUCUUCAUUAUUUUGCUCCAUCACAAGACUUGAUGAUGAACCUUGAAAUGAGUUGAAUCGAGAGCUGUACAUACCUUAAUCAAAACACAUGCAAUAACCAAUACAGCUUCUGAUUGGCCAAAACAGAAAUUUAGAAUAACAUUUCUAGGAAAUAAGGUACAAAAGUAACAAAACAGAUUCCAAGAAAUAAUCUUCUUUCAUGCCAGCCAGUUUUAACAUUUCUUUAACUUGUUCCUAUCUCAAGCUUAAAUUCAGAUUAAUGAAAUAACAAAGAAACAUCUAAAACCUACGAUUAAAACUUUCAAACAUGUCCCUACAUAUAUCUAAACCUUUUCAAACUUGGUUUCUAAAAUUUUUUUUCAUUAUCAGCAAGACAAUCAUUAAUUUAAUCAAUAACAUAGCAAAGCAAAUAACAAAAUUUCCCAAAGCAAAGAAAAAAAUAUUUCCAAUGACAUAAUUAUAUGUGAGGUUUGGUUCACAAAUUCAUUUGGCUUCCAUUAGUCUAUUGCAUGAUUCAGAUGCCUGUCCUUUGGUGAGCAAUUGUCCUUUUUUAAAAAAAGAGUAACUGUUAUCUUUGAAUAAUUUGUUUCAGGAAUUUCAGAGUCUUAAAUUUUGUGGCAAGGAAUUAAGCUCUUGAUCCUGUGAGUAUUAUUGCAUAAUAGGCAACAGAAUAGUUCUUGAUUUCUGUGGUUUUCAUAAUUAAGUAAGUUUCAGUUAUAUGAUAAGCAUUUGUAAGUAAUUUAUGCAUGGAUUGAAAAUUAAUUUCAUGAGUACAGACACUUGAAACAAGCAUAUACAAAACGGGACCCUUUCCCUUGUCUUCAUCACUAGUCAAGCAAAUUGCACUCUCAUUUUCUUCUAGAUCAACAAUGGUUUUCGAGGGCAAUUCUUCCAUUUGAGAAGCCAAUCGAUUUAUUCUGGAUGUCAAUAGACAUAGUUGAUCUGCCAGAUAACUCAUUGCAUCCUUCAUCAUCUCAUUCCUCAUUUGUGUCUCCUGUUGGAAUUGGUAUGUAUUAGUAGCUAUUGGUUCAACUAUUUCUUCAAGAGACAUACCUGACAUAGAUGAUGAUUCUUGAGACUCAUACUGCUGAAAAUUCAUUGGCCCUGUUGUAUAAUUAUAACUGGAGUUAUCCCACCAUCCUUGAUCAUACCCGUUUGGAUUAGGGUCGUACCACGUUUGAGACCAGGGUGAAAAUUCUCCAUAAUUAUCGAAUGGGACACUCAGAUUAUCUUGAUAUUCGGGGCACAUACCGGUUGAAUGAUCCCUGGCAUAACAAAUUUUACAGGUUGCAGCAGCCAUUCUUUCUCUAAUAGAGUUUAGUGCCUCUGCAUAUGCAGACUUAGCAAAAAAACUAGUCACAUCGCCUUUCCCGGAAACAAAAUUCAGUAUAUCACCAAAAUACGAAGUGUUAGAAGCCAUAAAAAAAAGAAGAGAAAAAUAAAUUAAAAAUGAAAACAAGGUGAACUCGAAAAGAAACAAAUUAAUCUGACACCAGUCCCCGGCAACGGCGCCAAAAAUUGACAGGUGCCGAACCUGUACAAUAAUAAAUACCUACUCGAGAAAAAUACAGAUUUUGUAUAUAGCGGUGAGUAGGGUCGAAUCCACAGGGACUGGGGAUAAUUCGUUUCUUCUAGAGUCCAAAGUAUGGGGGGUUUUGGAUUAAAUGCUAACUAAAUAAAUUAACUGCAGAAAAUAAUUGAUUAAGAGGAAUAAUUAAGGGAAAACUCUAGCCAAGGGUACACUUCAGAAAUGGUUCAUGCACUGAUCAUUGAUGCAGAAAUAAUUCCAACAUUUAGUAAUAGAUUAGUUAUAGUUGUCAUGCACGCGAUAAACAACCAACCCUUCCUUAAUUUCUCGAUAACUAAGGUACGACCGUUAGCUAUUUUUCUAACCCAAAAAUAACCCUAGGUACGACCGUAGGAUUUAAUUUCUAGAUUGCAUUAAUAAUUAGAAAGGCCCAAUCCUAACCAACAAACACGCUACGAGGGUUUGUUUAAACUAGACCAUAUGCUCCCCUGACAUAAACCCAAUUACGCCAGUUGCUACUGAGGUAGAGAUAACGAACAAUUACGGAUUCAAUUACCCAUAUUUAGCAAAAAUAGCCUAUAUGAAUAAUUAAUUAUUGCGCACUAAUCAAUCAUACACAAGGCCAUAGCAAUUAAAAUCAAGGAACAUAUAAAUACCAAUAAAUGAAGAAAAUAAUUAAAACAGAUUCGAUCUCACAGUAAUUGUUGAACCAAGUCUUCAGUUGUCCCCUUGACUAGAAUUAAGAGGUUAGUCCUCCAUUAAUGGAGAACAACCAUGCGAAAGAGCUAAGAAAAGAAAACUAAAAUUAUGCUAAAAGCCUAAACUAAAACUAUUGAUUGAUAAGAGUUCUCUGUACGUUUGUCUCCUUUUUAAAGCCAACAAUGACUAAAGCUUCUUAUCCCUGUGGUCCCCUGCUGAAAUUGAGAAUCAAACCAAAAGUGGGGCUCUACCGAAUUCCUUGCUUUUUGUUUCCUAUUGCCCGUAGGACUCCAAUCUCCUAAUCAGCAAAGGAAAUGCAAUCUCUUUGUAGCACCAUGUGGGCCCGGUUGUUUGAAAUCCCAAUUAUCUCCAAAAAGUCCCUCAUUUUUGUAGUUUUCUGUUUCACUUCCUGAAAUUGAGUCCAAUACCAAAUAUAAAUAAAUAUUAAUAAUUAAAACAAUAUUUGGCAAGGAUAAAGGGAAAAAUUAACAAUAAAAUAACCAACAAUUAACACCCUAUCAAUAUACAAAAUGGGACCCUUUCCCUUGUCUUCAUCAGUAAAGCAGUUCAAGUGUUCGGACCAACUUCUGAUUAUAAGCCUGGUCCUUUACGACUGGCCAUUGGAAUUCUUUGGUUACCAAGGUUGAUAUAGGUUAAUAGGUGGCAAAUAUUUCCAAGUUUGUAAACUGAAAGUUGUGAGUUUGCAAAUUGUAAACUGAUAAGGUGUCUGCAGUGCAUUAAAGCGCAAAGUGCAAAAGCUCAGUAGAUUAAAAUAUAGUAGAUGAGAAAUGGUACCAGAUUAAGCAAAACCUAGACAGCCUCUUAAAACCAAAAAUAAAUUGCAAUGGCAAGAAAUGGUUACCAGAUUAUGUAGCCAAUCAGCGAUAUGGUAUUAGCCCCUAACUCUACCGAGGUGGCUCCGUGGCGAACUCACAGUAAAUUGCUCACGGAUUCAUGAGAACUGGCGGUGCGUCCCUAAACGGUGCUCACAGUCAUGGACUCACGGAUUGAUUGAUGGCGGUGAGAUGGUGGAUGGAUUGGUGAUGGCGGUGAAAUGGAUUGGUGGAUGGAUUAGUGAUGGAGGUGAGAUGGUGGAUGGAUUGGUGAUAGUGGUGAGAAUUGGAAAGGUACAGCUGCGGCUGUGGAACAGGGACAGGAAAGAGGAAAGAAAAAUUAGGGCCAGGAACGGGAAUGAAUUAGGGUAAAACUAUCAGAUACAAAAUGAAAUGACGCUAAUGCCCCUACUAUUCGAGCCUGUCGAGUUGUUAGCAAGUCGAGCAUAGCUAGGCUCAUUUAAUAGAUGAGUAUAUAGACAACUCAAGCUUAGCUCAUUUUUCUCAGUAAACGAGCCAAGUUGAGCCUUUAUCGAGCCGGGUUGAGCUCGGCUCGCGACCUACCCGGUUCAAUUAACAGCAUUAAUUUAAUUACUGUAAUUGAUAUGCAUAUUCUUUAAUAAGAAAUAACAUUGAAUCACAUAUUUGACAUUCUUCCAUUUUAAGGAGAUGGAUAGUGCCAAUCCGAAUCAUCAAAUUCUAUUCCAUUAUUAAAGUAUCGAAUAGGUAUUGGAUUUGCACAAAUUCUUCAUCAGAAAUAUAAUCAUCGUUAUUAUUUAAGGGAAUAUGUAGAUUAUUUUUGGGAAGUGUGAGAUCAUUUAUGGGCACCAAAAGGUGUUGUAUUAUCUCUUUGUUGAGUUUUUAUCAUGAACAUAUUUUAGGGAAAAUUAAUCUUCAAUUAUCUUGGACUACAUUGUCUUAAAUUAGUUAAGUUUUUGUGGUAGAAAAAAGAAAUAUGUUGCAGCAUAAAUUCACUUGUCUGGUUAGAUUACUUUUUUCGAGGCCUUUAUCUGUUGACCACUAAUUGAAAUCCGCCGUGAAUGUUGAACAACUAAGAUGGGAACUGUUUCUGCUCUUGACAUUAUUGUGCAUUAAUUUUUUUUAGUUGCUGUGUGAUCAACGAAUUUCUAUAACUGUAUUGGGUUGAUUGUAAUAAUAAUUUACUUGGAAUACUCUAGGGGUUGAACCUACAAGAAUGAGUUAAUUUUUCCUACUUUAAUUACUCUAAUGAAAAUAACAAAAUUUAAAUUCAGAGGGUUUUUAAUCACUAAUUAAGAAAUUAAAUAAAUAAUUAAAUCAAAUAAGAUAUAGUUCAGCAAACAAUUAGCAAAAGACUAGAGUUUCAAAUUUUGAUUCAGAAUUGGAAUUAUAUGUCCAAUUAUUUUCUUAACAAGUCAAAGACGUAUCACGUAAAGGUACUUGAAAUUAUCUUUCGAUACAUCUAAACUAGUGUGAAUACCCAUGCUACACAUGGUGCUAACUUACAAAGGUGCUACUAAGUCGCAAACAAUCUGAAAAUGUAAAUUUUCUAUCGUAAGAAAUUUCUCAUAACAAAUUCCAUCAUUUUUGUAUCUAGAGGGAAUUUGGUUCCUUCAAAAGUCAAAUACCAAUAUUUGUGCCAUAGGGAAAAAUUUAACAUAAAAACAAUGACAGACAUCUAUUGCUCUGACCAUAAAAUAAAUUUUUAUGCUUACUGUUACGUAAUAAGUUGUUAUUGAAUCAUAAGAAAAUGAGUCUAAAAUGAUGACCUAUUACCUAACAUUUCACUUCUAUUUAAAGACGAAAGACAAUAACAACAAUAAUCAAUCAAAAAUAUUACAUUAUUGGGAAUAAUAUUUAAAAAAAAUGGAAAUGCAAAUGUUUAAAGAAUAAACAGUACCAGAAUUUCUAAUUUGAUGCGAAUGACGUUUUAAUCGGUGUAGUUGGGAUUUUGUCCUUCGAAUUUGAUGUGAGACUUCUCUUUCGUCAACGCAAAAUUGCUGAAACUUUUAAAACUGCUGUGUGGAAUCGUUACGGUGUACGUUUCAUUUUUUAAACAAAUGUUUCCUCCUUCGCAAUCUUGCGAGUUUGAAAUUUAGCUAUCGUUAAAAUGCUUGUAGGCGGGCAUGUUCCAUAGUGAAAUUAGGUUAAGGGCUAAGAUGGAUACCAUAAAAAUGUUGAAGGAGAUAAUAAGUUCUUGGGAAAAAUGCAAGAAAGUUCUCUUAAUUGGAGUGAGCAUACAAGAAAGUUGAAUGAGGAAGCUAUGUUUUGGAGGACUUUUAAUUGGAGUGGAAUUCUUAAAUUGGAGGACUCUUAAUUGGAGUGGGAAAGUGGGGAAAAUGUAUGGAAAACGUGAGCAUGAUUAUAGGAUUUUUAGAAGCAGUUAUAGGAUUAGUUAAGAUAUAAAUAUUUCUUAAAUUGGAGGACUCUUAAUUGGAGUGGGAAACGUGAGGAAAAUGUGAGCAUGAUUAUAGGAUUUGUAGUAUACUCAAUAACUUGAUAGUAUACUCAAAUCACCGAUGAGGUAACGUUUACCUAAAUAAACUUUACAGUGUCCUAAUUCCUUGCAAAAAAAAAAAAAAAGCGCUAAAUAGUCCUAAUUGCCAUUGCAAGUUACGGCAACGUGCCAAUGGCAUCUAGUCCUAAUUUUUGUUUGGGGUCAAAAUCUAGUCCUAAAUGGUUCUGCUGUUUCUUGAUCAUGUUGUAUGCUUCCGAAUUCUAUUUAGCGUGUAAUAAUUGAAAAUGGCUUAUUCUAUUCUUUCAUGGUAUUGGACAGGCGAAAACCACACCAGAAGUGUGGCAAAUUUACUAUAAACUCCUAAUAUUAUCUCCCCUAAUUUUUGUAUGCUUUUUAAAAAAUUUAAACUUUUGUCAACAAUAAACUGGUCACUCAAAUAAAAAAAAAAGGGACUGGUCACAAAUCUCAUUUUUUGCCUUAAAGAACUCAAUUUAGCAAAUUUCUUAGAAUAAUGGUGAAAAAAAUCAUAACAAUGGAGGAACCUGGGUUUGUUUCUUUUUUUGGGAUCUGAAACAGCCCUAUUCAUUUUUAAAAAAUAAAUAAAUUGGCCAUCUUACGUUCAUUAAGAAAGGAAAAAUUUUUUGGUCACUGGACAUGGAUGUCUAGCCAUCCUAAAGGGGAAAAAAAAACAAUUGUUCCGUUCUUGCGAUUUUUUUUAGGGUUAAAUAUAGUAAGUCCGUUAACUUUACAUUUAGUUGCACUUUACCCCCUCAACUUUACAUUUAGUUGCACAUUUGGGAUUUUUUUGAAACGUGAUUGUAAUUUACAAAGCUCAUUUGUAAGGGUGGUUAUAGGAUUAGUUUAGUGAUAAAUAUUUCUUAAUUAUAAAAAUAUAAAAUUGUAUUAAAAUAGUAUAUGAAUGAGCAUUUGUCUUUAAUUAAGGAGUAAAAAAGAUUUAAAGUAUAAAUAACAAAUUAUAAACGAUUUAUGAAGUAGAUAGUGGGAAAAUUUUAAAUUUUAAAUUUGACUGGUGAUAGGGUUGGUUAUAGCCCACUACUUUUUAUGUAUUAAAAUAAAUACAAAAAUCUAGAAAAAAAGAAUGAGAAGUUUGGAAGCCAUUGAGAGGCUCUCUCCUAAAAACCCACUUUGCAAUACAUAUAGAUAUAGAUUGUAUCUAAUGAAAUCUCACGUUGCUCUCGAGAUCAUAGGUAUUUAAUUAAAUCUUUUAAGAUCUUAGGUGAUAUAAUUAUGCCAUACAAAGCCUAAUCCACUUUCAUGAUAAGACUAAGUAUGUUUAUCUAUCUAAUAUAUGGUUGUAUAUUGCUUCUAAACUCAAUACAAACCCUAAGAGAGUAUCUAUAGUGGCCAAGCACAAACAUGUAAUAAAGGCAAGAUAGAUAAAUCAAAACAAAAGCGAUUUAUCUAGAACAAAUAAUCAAAUCUCCUUCACAAAAUCCUAACUCUAGAUAUAAAUUAGUUCAACAUAUUCAUAGAUAAUUCCAAGAAUUCAAAUGAAAGACAAAAUAAGAAGUUAUAAGUGAAGAAAACUUCUCAAAUUUUCCCUGCUCCAAUCUCCAUCUUGAACUUCCUCUUUGAUUCUUCAACACUUCCUUUGUGAUCUCUCAAGAAAAGAAGAUAUAAAAAGGAUCAACUAAUGUUAGCUAAAUGCUUUCUAACCUAAAAGCAUCCUAGAAUGUCCUAUUUAUAGUCUCUCAAAGUUGUAUCCGAAAUAUGGUAGGAAUAGGUCUUGAAAACUUACCAAAAAUCGAGUUUGAGUGGGUUUUCCAAUAAAGUUCAGCUAGAAGACCGGCUCUAACUCUGGCUGCGAACUUGUUUUGAGGCUCACAAAUCAUUAGAACUAGAAGAAGUCCUCGCAAAGUCCCUUUCAAUGUUUGGCGUUGGACAUAGGAUCCACCCGCGGAUCCUUGUGUCCUGGCAACCCAACGUUUCUUCUCCUUUUGUUGCGUUUUCGAUUCAUUUCCUCCUCAAUCGCGUGCUUUUCCCGAAAAAACCAACAUAUACUUAAAUUAGGCAACAUCCAUUCAAAUUAUAACUCAAAUACAACCAUUCAUUGACAAUUAAUAUAUAUAAACCACUAUUUUUUUUAAACAAUAAUACUUUUCUUAUUAAUUAAAAAAUUACAGAGAGGAGGAGAAAACCUUACCUCCUAGAGUUCCACUCCACAAAUACAAAGGUUUAGAAAACCCGAAAAUUAGGAUAACCUAACCUAUCCAACAUGAGGUCUCCACGAACCAAUCGUGGCAGUUGCAACAAUGAAUCAUACACUAUACUGGAAUCUAACUCCGUUCCGACCUUAGAUAAGCGGUCUGCAGGAACAUUCGCUUGACGGUAACAAUGAGUGACGGAUUGAAAGAAAUACCGAAAAGUGAGCAAUUGAUCCAGCUCUCGUUGCAAAGCCCAUGGGCAUCUACUAAUCCCCUUAACCAUGUGGACUAGAAGUAAAGAAUCUGAUUCCAAAUGCAGGCAACAGAAACCUCGCAUAACACACAGCUUAACUCCAAAUAACAAGGCCUUCAAUUCUGAAUGUAAACUCGAUAUGCACCCCAAUAACACGCGAAACCUAACAAAAAUAUCCCCGAGCUAUUCCUCAAACCCCCCCUCCCCCAACACCACUCCUUCCCGGAUUGCCCAGAGAACAACCAUCGGUGUUCAGUUUGGAUAUAGUCAAGAGCGGAGGGAUCCACCUGACCAGGAUGAACUUAGAUGUUUUUUUCCAACCCACCAGUGAAGAGUAAAAACAUGGCCACGAGUACCUCCCAACUUCCAUGUCUGUAAAAUGUACUUGGAAAAUAUCACAGAGAUCAGAAAGAACAAAACUAUGAACCUGCAUGACCGAAAGCAUCUUCCCUUCCCACACUGAUUAUAAACCACUAUAAUUUGUAGCUUAUCACUGUGCUUCACGGCUUUGGAAUAUUUCACCGCUCUGCGAGACGGUCUAUUCAAUUUGUUCAUUCACCAAGACUUUUAUGCUAUUUCCAUUCAAAAGCAAUAGCAUAAUUAGCAAUGGUCAUGUGAUACUAACGAUCAGAGACUCAAAAAGGGCUCUGUUGUGCUUUUGCCUCCAACCACAUGCAAAGCAUCCAAAAUUGAAGUUUAUGGUGUAGAAUAGAAAAGUGAUUCAAGUUCUAAGGUACAAAAUGAAGUUUGUCCUAUGUUACAAUAUUUCUUUUAGGGUCUAUAAGGGUAAAUGUGGAAUAAAAUGAUAUGACACCAUUUCUUAUCAAUUUAUUCCAUUUCUUUUACCGAUAUGGGCUGAAUUGGUUACUACACUAGUUAAAGUAAUGUUCAGCGUAAUAUUGAAAAUAAGAGGGGUACUAGAUGAAAUUGUCCAAAACUUCAGGAAAGGUUUAUGAAAUUAUCCAAUAGUUUAAGUAGCUGUGCCUGUUGCUUGUACAAGAGUGAAUCUUCUCUGUUUUCUUGAACGAGCUAAGAAUAUUCGUCGAAUUCCACACUUUAUUAUUAUUGACUAAUGAAGCGUCCAUGUCUCAAGCCUCCGGACGCAGGAAUAAAGAAUUUAUUGUCCUUAUACAUGUUACAGCCUUUCUUGACUGCUAAAGUUGAUAAUUGAGCUAAUGAUAAUUAAGAAUCAUAUAUAUAUAUAAUAAAGUCGUAUUCUCAUUCUUAUCCCUUCAUGUUUUCUCUUUCCUACGUGGCUUAACGAGACGGCAAAUAGUUUCCUAAUAGGAUUCUUAAUAAAUCAUAUAUAUAUAUAUAAUAAAGUCUUAUUCUCAUCCUUAUCCUUUUAGUUUAUCUCUUUCCUACGUGGCUUAUCGACAUAGCAAGUAGGUGCAACGCGCUCUAUGAGUUAACCCCCUAAUAACCUACGCUAUUCUAUCUCUCUUUUUUCUCUUGACUUUACAAUUCUAGAUAAUCCUUCCAUAAUUAUCUCUUCCAUUCUCUCACUUUUUUUCCCUUAACCCUAAUCGUCAAGCCUAAAUUUCCAGGGGAUUAGUAUAAAUAAUUUUGAAUUAUGUUUUUAACUCUCUCUCAUCUUCAACUCAAAAGUUCGAAAUAUCAAUUCAAAUAUUAGAUUAUCUUUAUCAGAUUAUCGCUAUCGACGAUACUCUACAUUUUUACUCAUAUAUAUGGUUAUCGAUCUAUUACUUAUCACUUUAUCAAGCAGUGCAGAUGUUUACACUUUUCCACAAUGUUUUUGGAAAUUUUUUUUUCAAUGCAAGGACCGGAUUUGGAACUUCAUUUUUAUUUCUUUCAAUGCAAGGACCGCAUUUGGACUUUGUUUAUGCUCGCUGUAUAUGGUCUGUAAUUUCCUACACCUUUUUCAUAGUUAGGUCAUUGAAUUUGAAUUUUCUAACUCUGCAAAAGUUACAGUUUGGUUUUUAUUUCUGGCAAGGUUUUUGUAAUUAAUUUGUUAUUUCAAUUUAUGGAUUCACUCUUCAAUUUAAGUAGAACACAUAUUGCUUUUUUGGUUAGUGAUUUAGAAGUGAUCUUUUAAACUAUGUGUUUUCACACAAUUUUUUAAUUGCCUUUGACAAUUUAUUAAUUGUCUUCAACAACGUAUUAAUUUUUUUUAUUUUCUGGGUUUCUGGGGUUAAAAAAAUUUUGUGCAGUUUUCAAUGUUUUUUUUUUAGACUUUGAUAGAAAGCUUCUAAAGAACAAGAAGGUGUCAUUGAUUACAUAAAUGACAAGGCAUCAAGUUCAUUGUCAUACAACAGUUCACGUCAUGCAAUAUACAUCAGACUAUUUAGAUUUUUUAUGUUUUUGACUUAAUAGCAAAAUACAUCUUAUGUUUUCGUUUUGGUUUCUUUUAGCCAUGAACAGAUUUAGAAGGUUGCUAUGUUCCUGUGACUUGAUUGAUUCUGAAUUAUUAUCUUUUAUUAAUAUUUUACUCGACUUCUUUUCUUUUCGCAUUAACUUUUAAGCCAUUUAUAUUAAGUACCAAAAUUGUGGGGGCAUACUCCGGGAUUCCACUGGAUUACCAAUGAUUGGUUUUUCGGCAUAUCUGGGAGAAACUACAUGUCUCCGUGCAGAGGCUUGUGCCCUUCUUAUUGGUCUUCAGAUCUGUAUACAUAACGGCUUUGGAAACAUAUGUGUACAAUCAGAUUCAUUGGUUUUAAUUGGGAUCAUUCAACGUCGUACUCAGUGUCCGUGGAAAAUUCGAAGAUACGUCAACCAGAUUUGGCAGUUAUUAGAUGAUCCACCUAGAUUCACGCACUGCUAUCGGGAGGCUAACACAGUUGCUGAUGCUUUAUCUAAUGUGGGUAUAUCUCAUCCAGAUAAACAAAUUGAGGUUUAUGAUACCUUCAGUACAUUCCCAAGGUUGGCUCGUGGGGCAAUCCGUUUGGACAGAAUAGGGAUACCUUCAAUUAGAAAAAUGAGGAUUAUGUAAGAGGAAUAUUUGAUUAUAUUUUCCAUGAAUAAAUAAAAGAAUUUAAUAAAAAAAAAAAGUACCAAAAUUGAUGUUUUGGUAACUGGUUGGCCAUUCUUUUGUUUACAGAAGAUCAGCCAAGAUUUGAUCUUCCCUAUUUUCAAAUUUUUGAAUGUCAUCAUAUUGUCAAUUUUUUUUUUUGCAUUUCGAAUUAUUAAUCACUGAAUUAGAUGUUUAAAUAUACAUUAUAAGACUAUUUUUUAAUAACAAUGUAUUUAAGAAAGGUUAUAAUAGAUUAUACAAUAAGUUUGUAUUUUAUGAAAAUAUUUUUAUGAACUACUCUAAAUAAUUUAUUAUUUUUAGACAAUUCCCAUUCAAUGAAUGGGUGCAAAGCUAGUUAUAAGAUAAUGUGGCCAUUUUUCAAUCUCUGGAUACUGGAUAGGGUAUCAAUCUCCUUUUUAUUGUUUUUUUAUUGUUUGUUUGUUUAGGUAAGAUAGACGUUCCUAUGAAUAUCAUCAUUUAAAAAUAUUUUUUUUAUUGAGUGAAUUGGACUGCCCUUAUUUUUGAAAACCAAACUUGUCCUACCACAUAGAAUCAGCUUCACAACUAAAAUCACUCAGUAUUGCUUAUUCAGAUGCAAGUAGGUUUUCGAUACAAUAAAAGAGUGACUGAAAAUAUCCCUUGUCUUGAGAUGUAGUAGCAAGCUAGUCAGAUUUCUCCAAUUUCUUGUUUGAAUAUAUGAAAAAUUCUAGAUUGCGGUUAUUUGAAAUUGUUAAAUCUAAGAAGCCUUGUUCAAAUCAACUCCAAAUUCAUUAAUCUUUGUGUUUAUGGAACAUUUUUUUGAGUAGGUAAUGAGAUUGAAGGAUGGUUUCAAGAAAUUCAUAUAUUUGGGAUAAAUUUUGAAAUUUGUCUUACAUUUACCUUGAAGAUCAGAAGAAAAUUGCGGCAGAAUUGUCAGUUAUGAACAUGAUUAUUCAUGACAAACCAAUUUGAUUAUUACUAAGAAUGGCGAAGGGAAUUAGCAUUAAGCUAAAUCUAGAACAAAGGCUAAUUUAUUAUGAGGUGGAUAUUGAAGCAGCUGACAUCAAAUGGAUCUGGCUGCAUAAGUCUUUAUCUUUAACUACUUAAUUUAGCAAUGCUCUCCAUUUUAGCAAUGUACUUAAUUUAUCUUAAUUUAGCCUAUAGCAUGCUUUAUACGCAACAUUUAUGAUCUUUCUAAAACUAAAACAUUAAAGGAUGAAAAAUAAUCAUACAGAUUACUAACGGUAUUUUGAUUACUAUACUUAAGCUUUUAUAUUUAAGGAUAUUGAUGUUGCAUUGAUAAUCUAAUCUAAUCUAAUACUAUAUAAAAGUGUUGAUGGAUGCUCAGGGAAACAAAUGGUCAACCAAGGGUACUUAGAUUUCAAUAGAGGGAGAUGAUGACAAACCAAAGGAAUAAAUCUUCGAACAGGAGCAUUGACCCCAAGGUGCUCAUAUUUUUUUUUUACUUUUUAUUUUUAAAUUUUUUUUUUUUGGUUUUGCCGAUUGCUUAGUGAAAAACUUAGAAAUUAGAGGUUUUGAAUUCAAAUUCCCCUCCCUCUCUGCGGCUUAAAUUCCAUCCUUCCUUUUUUCGAAAAAAUUUAAAGUCUAGUUAGUAAAGUAUAAUGUAUCAAGAAUUUAUUACGUGUUUUUAUAGGUUAGUUGAAAAGUAUGAAUAUUUUUGAAAUAUAUGAACUACACAAGCUUUUGUUGUGUUAUACAUUUAAAUGUGUAUUGUACAAGUGUAAUAGAAGCAUUUACUAACUGAAGCAUUUCCACCAAAAAAAUCUUGAACGAAGAUAAAGGAAAAAAAACAAUAUUCAGGUCUCCAAAUGGGAUUCAAAUCAAAAUCUUGAUGGCAUCCAAAAUAUCCAUUUUUGAGGUACUUUCUUUCCUUUCUCAGGAGCAGGAUUAGGUACGUUUCACUCCGUCGAUGCUGAAUUCUUUCACAUUGUAAUGGCAUGGCACGAUGAAGAAGCACAUAUAUACAUAUAUUGAACAUUCUGCACGUCUUAUGUCAAUCACACUAAAUUCUAGCAGGUCCAAGGUACAGAAGUUUCUGAUGUAACUGAGAUAGAGAUCAUCAAUUGUAGUAGAUUAUCAAGUAGAUUUAUUUAUUCAACAUGACAACAACAUAAGAAGAGCACUCGAACUGAGUACUCAUUACAUGCUUCCCCCGUUGAUUCUACACCAAUUCAAAGAGAAGCCGCACAAGUCUUUUACACAUAUAGGAAAUCAACCAUCAAAGGCAAACACAACAUAACAUAUUAAGGUAAUAAUAUAGGUGUCACGGAUCCCGUGUCACACCCUGAUUUAUUUAGCAUUAAUUUUUGACCUCAUCUCCGGAUGUAGCUUCAGGGGUCUCCUCAGCAGGUGGACAGCAUCUUUGGCAAUGUCCAUGGUACCAGCGGCAGCAACCAUGGCUGCAACGAUCUGCGGUUAUGGUAUCCUCAUCUCCAGAUGUAGCUUCAGGGGUCUCCUCAGCAGUUGCGCAGCAUUUCUUGCAUCCCUUAUGAGGGAUCCAACGGCAGCAACCAUGUCUGCAACUAACUAAGGUUACGGUAUCCUGAUGAACCUCACCCGAACUGGCAUCCUGGACUCCAGUGGUCUUCACGUUCUCCUGAUCUGUUUCAAGACACAAGGAGACAUAAAUAUUAGGAGUGUUAUCUUCAGCUGCAAAACGUGAGGUCACUGGCUAGGCUAAAAAUUUACCCCAAAAAAAUAUGCAAAGAAAAGUAUACUAUGGACUGAAAAAAGGGUCAGGUAUAUAAAUGGUGCGACUUGGAUGGGAAUUAAUUUGCCUUAUAGUCUACUCAAUGAGGUAGAGAUAAAACUAUUUUUAAUUUGGUUAUCGACCUUAUUUUGGUCUUUAUUGUGUAAAACUAUAGUGUGAUAUUAUGGAAUGUGCAUCCUUGUAGUAAUAUUAUAGGAUGAAGUAUCAGAUGUGUCACUAACCAUUGACAGAAGCAACCAAAAUUUACUUCUGUUAAAAAGUGAAAAGAUAUCAGCAGAUUAAUAAAUCUUGCUUGACGCUAUAUAAAUAGCAUAUGAUAAAAGUUGGCAUCUCAAUAAUGAGUCUCCUAGAGCUCCAUUAUUCAUUUGAGUAUUUAGGUGCAACCAAGAAAAAAGAAAAAAGACUAGGCACCUGCGGCUGUUACAUCAGAGGAAAUGAGGAGCACAAGUGCAAAGAGAGCACCAAAGCGAAAGACCAAAUUUCUUGAAGAUGCCAUUUGAUCACAAUCUCACUCAAAAUGAUAAUGAUGUGUUAAACUCACUGAGGUCUAGUAAAAAGAGCCUUUAGCUGAGGAGCACAAUAUUUAUAAGAAUUAGGUUGGGAACACCUUGCCUUGCGCAAAGAAAAUACGUAAGUAGCUGUGCCUGGUAUUGCUGACCAAUAGUAUUGUUUACUUAUUUAAGAGAUAUCAUCUUCCUCUAUUUUCUUUUUUUUUUUUUGUCGAAACGAUAAGAUGAUCUCAUUGCUUUGAUGAUAAAAAAAUUACAAGUGCGAGCAACGGCUCGAACGAAACUCUACAAACUAGUGUUCAAAGACACUGAGGAAGCUGUCGCUCCUCAUCCACAACAAUGCUUAAAGCAUCAACACUCAGUUUUUUACUGACUAUCAUAUUUUCUUCCCUAUACAAAACAAAAGAGCACAUGCAAAACAAUCUCUGUAACUGAGAGAUGUCUUCAAGUACUGUUGCCAUUUUGCUGUCCGUUGGGCUCUGAUGUUUUAAUUGUCUCCACAGUUCCUUGUUACAAAACCUCAGCUUAAGAUUGCUCCACUUGCGUUGUACAGCUUUACACAACACCAGCUUCAGUGCCAGAGCUUCAUCUAGGAUUUUGUUUCCAGAACUAAUGUCUUUCAGUGCCCACCCUAUCAUCGUGUUACUUUCAAAAAGCUUAACUGUGACUCCAAUUCCCGCAAAUAGCUGCCCUUGCUUCGUGGUUGUAGUCACCUCCAUUAGCACUUCUCCUUCAUUUACAUAAUUCUGAUCCUGAGCAUCUUGCCUAGGGACUGUUUCUUCUGUGCUCUCUCCUUUCUCUUUGUGCUCUAUCUGCUGCUGCUCUAACCAUUCCGAAUGUGCUUUCCUUAUAGAUUUGAAGGGAGGAUCAAAGGUAGUGUUCUCGAAUUCUCUUUUGUUUCUUUCUUUCCACACCUGCCACGGGAUGUUUGCAGUUAAACCAAUGUGUUCCAUCCCUUCUGACCUGUGCCUUGCUUCUGAGAUUCUUAACCACCACCUUUUGAAGUCUCCCUGCUGCUCCUUUGCUCCAUCCCACUGAAUGGGAGAUGCCUUCCAUAUGUUUUCCGUGUGGGGGCUAGGCUGAGAAUUUUAGUUUGAAGUCCACGCUUCAUUGACUGAUGUAGCUGUCCAAGUCUCCAGUCUCUGCACGUAGGAAUAAAGAAUUUGUUGUCCUUAUAUAAGUAACCGUCAUUCUUGAAUGAUAAAGUUAAGAAUUAUAAGAUAAUGUGCUUAUUUCUUCAUCUCUGGAUAGAAUAUCAAUUUCCAUAUUUUUUCGUUUGAUUGUUUAGGUAAACUUUCUCCAUCUCUGGACAGCAUAUCAAAUUCGCUGUCUUUUUCUUUUUCGUUCGCUUGUUUAGGUAAACUUUCAUUUUCAUGGGUCUAAAGGCCUAAAGACCUCUAUCCAUUUCAGAAAUUUACUGAUUCUAAGUUGGUGUAAUAGAGCUUUAAUUAUCUCUAUCAAGAUCUUUAUACAUCCAGAGCAACUUUCCUGUUAACAAUUUCAAAUCUAUAUGUCAAAUUCAACGACGGAAUUUAAAUUUAAAAAGAAAAGCUUAUACUUUGUAAGAAGAAGUAACGAAUUCAGGGAUUAAUGUUUCUUGCUUAUUGCGUAUGGAUUGUUUUACACGAAUAGGGUUAGAUGCAUGAUAAAUAAUGUCAAUUUAAAUUCAAAGCCAUAUUCUUUUACGUGAAUAAAUAGUCUGUAUAAGUUUUAUUCUUUUUUCCUUUUUUUAGGUACUCAACAAUUUUGAGAGGCAUAUUGUAUUUAUUGUACUCAACAAUCCUCCUUUUUUUUUCAGCUUAAACUUGAAUAGUCUAACUAGGCUACAACAAAAUUGUAUUGUUGAAGUUUCAGAAUAUUGGCAUGGUUAUGCCUGACAAAUUCUAUAUUUAUCCAUUACUUUGUUAAGCCAAUUGUAUGGUACCUAAUUUACUCCAACAUAAUUUCCAAAGAGGUUUGCAUUUAUCUGUCGCUUUCUCCAUCUAAACUUUUUGAUGUUACGUAAUAAUUUACAUCAAAACCAGAAACCAGAAAAGCUCACAAGCUAAUCGAACUCAACUUAGAUCAUUCAUUUUUUUUGAUGCCGACUUAAGAAGAGCAACAUAUCAUGUAGUUUAAAAAAUGCAAUUAACUGCAUAUGAUAAAAUAUAAUAAGAAAAAAAUUAAAUUACCAAAGGUAUAUCCAAGAUAUAAAACUCUUGUAGUUGAAACAACUUGUACUAGAUUUCUUUGUAAUUGCAGAGCUAUAAGUUGAAAAUGUUAAGUGCAUGAAGCGUGCAAUAUAUGUACUAACUUGACAAGGUGAUCUUAAUAUGAAUAUUAUGUUAAAAUUUUAUAAUUGUUGUGGGUUUUGUUCUAAUCUCUUCCAAUACCCAAGCUUGCUUUGGUUUUAUUCUUUUUAAUCACGGGCAAUCCAUAAAUACAUAAAAUACCCCACCAACCUUUACGCAAGAACAUGAAAAAGCAUUUCCACCUCAAAUAUACCAAAAAAAAAAAAAUUAAGUCAGCACUCAAGCCUGAAUGAUAUUCAAUUCAAAUUUUAAUGUCAUCCAAAAUAUCAUGUGAAGUAACUUGGUUCCUUUCUUUAGAAAGAAAGAUGGUUGGUUUUAAAUCUACCAGUACUUAUCAUUUACAUUCUAAUCGCAUAUUCACACAAAAAUGUAUGAUUUCGUACGUGUAUUUCAAAGCCAAAGCACUUAAAUUUUCAACACUCUUUUAUACUCAUAGUGAUCACAAUUUGAAGAAGAAAAGAGAUUUUCAACUAAUAUGCUACAUAAGACAACAAACUACCGCUACUUUUGCGUUAGCAUGAAGUUCAAACCUAUAAAGUAACUUUGAAUUCAAAAGUAAAUGUACUUAUCCAGAGAGUAGGGUAGUAGGAUUAUGGUAGUUAAUAUCAUCAAUUCCAAUGGUUGCAUUUACAACUUCAAUAUCACUAUCACAGGCCAGUUAGGCAUUGAUGAUCUUUAGUUGAUAGUCAGUUUAUUUUCUCAAAAGAGAAGCAUUGAAAUAUGUGGACACUAACCUAGAUUACAAGACUAGUAUACCUUGAAUUACAAAAGUAUCUGCAUUUUCUCUUACCUUGUUGGUUAAUGGGCUAUAAUCUUGGAUUAGAUCGAUUGAUCCAUUUUAAUCACCUAAUGUCAUGGACUUAUUUGGUUUUAGAGAAAUGUGGAUUUAGUAUUUUAUUGUUCUACUAUUGGAGAAUGUGCCAAACAUUAUUUAUCUCAUUCCUUUAUCUCUAUUCUAUGCAAGCAUUUAGUUUGACAUAAAUCCUUUCAUUAACUUUGAACAAAAAAUUAACAUUAAUCCUAUUCUAAAAGUAAAAAUUUAGGGCCUGUUUUUCAAAAACUAGUUUUUCAAAUACAAUAAAAAUUUUUAAAAAGUACUCUAAAAGGUCAUCUAAAAAUUAGUUAAAAUUUUUUUAAAAUUUUAAAAACAUUUCAAAAUAUAUUCUAUAAACUCUUCUACUCUUAAAUAUCCCAAAAUAUUUUUUAAAAAUAUCCCAAAAUAUAAUCUAAAAACUCUGCUACAGUAAAAUUUUUCAAAAACACCCCAAAAAACAGCUAAUCCAAAAGGAGGCUUAGUUAUUUGAUCAAGAAUAUAUACCUGGAUUUGGUUCCUCUAAAAUAAGUAAAGUUUAGAAUUUCUAAUAGCCCAUACUUGGCAUGAAAAAGAAGCAAAUUAUAUUCAAGGGAACAAUUUUUUUCUGAUUCAACUCAAUUCAUAUUAUAACACCUUAUUGCACAAUGUUUCUAUUGAUCCGUCUACUUAUUCGCGCCAUCUAGUGUAGUGAAAAAAACAAUGUCAGAUUAACAAAGAAAACUAGAGAUAAUAUUAGAAGUAACUAGCAAAUUUAUACCCAUACUAAAAGCCAAACCACGUAGCGCAUCAGUUAUUAGGAGAUCUAAGUAAGGAGAGAUAAAUUUUGGUGAUGAAUAUAAAAUUUUUCCUUCAUCCAAACAUUGGCAUCCCAAAUGACUCAAUCAGUUCUAGUAUGAUGGAGGCAUUGUGUCAGUCAGGGUACCCACAUCAUUAGGGGCAUUGUAAAGAAAGGCUGCAUAAUCUAGAGUGGUUAAUACAAACAUCAAUGACCUAGGAGAGGGAAACAAUAUCGAACUCAACAUAUGAAAGAACAGGUUGCAAAGUUGCUGGCUAGCAAUUGGAGGGGCAUGGACACCAAAAUCAGGAUGAACUGAUAAUGAGAAUUCGUAAAAGUUGAGUAAGUGUGCUCCUUUAGUAGUCCCAAUCACUUGCCUGGUUGUACGUCCUUUGAGAAUUGGGCAUUUCAUGUUGGGAACUAAAUAGAGAAUUAAAAAUAUCAAGAUAGCAGAUGUAAUUAUAUCUUCAAUUAGUAGUUUCUUAUGAGUUGAAAUAUGCUGGUUAACAGUUAGAGGGGUGCACAGACUUGACAACGUGUAGGGAGGUAUUUGUUGCGCUUGAGUCAAUGUUUAUUAAAACUGAAAAAAAAAAUGUUACAAGAGACCUUCAUAUUAAUUUUUUUGUAGUAUUCACUCGGUAUUGACUCUUUAGUCCUAAAUGCACAAACAGUGAUAUAUAAGAAUGAAGAAUAUUUGAUUUUGGUAUAUGUUAGACAAAGUUCGGCUUUAAAUAACAAUUCACAAACAAAAAGAUUUAAUCAAACAAAGUUGUCAAAUUAUGUAGUUUAGUUUUACAAUUAUAAGCCUAUCAAUAUCAAGUUUGCUUUAUUAAAUUGUUUUUGCUUCUUGUGACAAAUAUUACACUUUAUUGUCACUAGAAGUUUUGAAAAAUUUUACAGGUAAAACUUUAACUCAAACAAUAUAAAUAAGUCUUUGUUGUCAAAGUAGUAGUUGUUUGGCACACUCCAUGCACGAAAUAUUUAUCUACUUAUAAAUAGUUAAGGAUAAAAAACAUUGAAAUGUGGUAUGUAAUGGACGUUGAUUUCUAUUAUUAAUACACAUGUUGAUGAGUAUAUUCUCUCUUCUCCACUCUAUCCUUUUUCUUCGUUAUCUACCAAUGCCAAAGAUCUACCCACCUAUCCUAACAAAACCCUGUUUCCUCUACUGCUGCUCUUGAGGAUAAAAAAAAACUACAAAAUUUGCAAAAGUAAAAAACCAUUGAGCAUAACUUUGUAUUAGAUAAAGAUUGCGCCAAGAGGCCUAAAAGACGAUAUAAAUACAGGGGUGAAAUCCUGAAAACCAAAUUGUGGUUUAGAAAAAGUUAGAAAGCCUUCUAAUGGUUCAAAAAAUAUUUAGAAAACCCUCUUGUGAUUCAAACUUAUUUAGAAUUUGAACAGAAAACUGGAAAAUUAAAGUUAUCCUUCUUUACAAUGAUAUGUUAAGAGAAUACAAUGCCAUAUGAAUUCCUAGAUGGUCAAAAUGAGAUUUUCAAAAUAUGUUCGUGGAUUUAUCGAAAACUGGGGGAGUUGAACUGAAAAUUUUGAAAGUGUUCUCCUUUUCCAUUUUGCACGACCAUGGCUGUCACUGCCUUCAACUCAUGGCAACACCAACCUCAUCACCACCAUCGUGCCAUACCGAAGCCAACACCAGAACCAACAAAUCAGCAAAUGCCAAUACAAAGGCAACAUUUAUCUGAAGACCCACAUUCCUUUUUCUUUUUCACUCAAAUUAAGCUCAAGUACCAGCAGAUUUCAUGGCCAAAAAUACAAAAAGAAAAGAAUCAUUAAGGAAUAAUAAUCAGAAAAGAAGAAAAAUUGAGGGUAGGAUUUCGUCAUAAACCAUCAUACCACCUCAACAAAUGCCAGAAUCCAACAACUUCUGCUUUAACAGUCUAGAUACCUUUGAUUUUGGAGCACUCUGGCAAGGAGAUUGGAUAAUCUUGGUGGCAGUAUAUAGCAGAAUUUCUUCGAUUGUGCUUGGCUUGUGGAAGUGGAGGAUAUGGCGGUGAGUUUAAUGGUGGUAAAUGGACAAUGGGUUUCCUAGGUUGGGGUGGGAUGUGGAAUUGGUGGCUUUGGUAGUGGUGCAAAGGGGUAGUGAUCUAAGAAGAAAAAGAAGAAAAGGAAAAUAAAAAAGACAGAAAAGAUAAAGAAAGAAUAGAACAGUUAGAAAGAGCUGAAGGUCUCUUGGUUGGGGUUGGUAAAAUUAUUGGUGGUGCAAAAUGGUGGUCACUUGGGAAGAAGAAGAAGAAAAGGAAGAAGGAAAUAAAUGGAAAAGAGAAAGAAAGAAACUUUUUUUUUUUUUUAAAAAAAAGACGGAAACAAAAAGUAACUUAAUGUGAAAAACAGAAAAAAAAAAGAUAAAAGAAAACCAAAAGGGGAGCUGGAAAAAAAAGAAAAAAAUUUGUUUGAUAGAAUGAGGAUAUUUUUGUGAGAAAAGUAUAACUUUUAUGCCAAAAAGUAAUUAUUUAUCACUUGUACUCGCAUAUGAAGCGAGUGCAAUUCACUUGCUGUUAACUUCGACAACUUUUGUCGAAAUUUCAAAACAUUUAAAAGCACAAAGGGAUUUUAUAGAUAUUUUUAAAUUAUAAGGAGGAUUCUUGACUUUCACAAAAAAUCAUAGGAGAGUUUUUUAGGUUUUACCCUAUAUACAAAAGUAAGCAAAAAAUUAGAAAGAUCACUUAAGUUAAAGGUUGUAUUUUAGCACAUCUAAUUGUUUGCGGGUUAAUUUCAUUGCUUUUGAAGAUUAAUUACUACACAGACAUUGAAACCUCUGGAGCUGCAUUUUAGCUCACAAACGUUAAAUGAGUUAGCAACCAUUUCUCCAUUGUAUUCCUUUUUUUUUUUAAUAUAAAGUAACUUCUCUACCAAUAUGUAUUUUUAUUUGAAGCGUACAACCACAUGUUUAGCUUUCAAUUUGAGUUUUGUGUUGCAAUUGAGGAAAUUGGUUGUCAUAUUCAAAUAUGAUUGCAGACGUGCGUCUUGCAAACCGAAGCACUUAAAAUUCGAUACUAUUUUACAUUCUUAGAGCUCACAUUUUUAAAACCAAGAUAUCACAACAUAAUAUAACAAACGAAUUACUACUUUUGUGUUAGCAUAAAAUCCACUCACAACAUAAGAGAAAAAAAACAAAGUUACUACUUUUGUGUUAGCAUGAAAUGCACCCGAUAAAAAAAAAAAGAGAAAUCCAUCCGAUGAAGUAACUUUGAACUUAGAAGUAAUAUUGUAUUAUUCCAGAUGUUGGUAAUCAAUAUCCUCAGUUCCUACGCUUGCAGAUCGAAUUCUAAUCAGACGCGCGUAUGUUGGUGCUUCAAUAUACAAACUAAAGAGGAGCUUUGCCACAAAGUUGCACACAAAAUAAAGUAUACAAUUAACUAACAAAGGCUUGCAUAUUUGAAGGUCAUGCAUUAAAAUGCGUCGUUUCUUUUUUUAAUAUUUACCGUAUGAGAGAGCCACUUCGAAUUCACUCCUGCAAAGAAGUGUUUGGCAUUCAAGUUUUUAGGGUGCUAGUUAAGAGAACUAGGAUACGAGAAAUCAUCACAUCAUCUAAAAUCUUGCAUACUAGAAAGAUUCAGAUGGAGACAAUCCUUAAAAUCAAUAUAAUGAUGUGAGAAAUAUGAUGACACUUAGCCAUGCUUUCCCUUAGAACUUGAGGUGAUGACUGCAUUUUGUAAGAAUAAUAAGAUGGGUGUGGAGUUGGCCCAUUCAAUUUUUCAUGCAUAUCUUUGAUGAAUCAUUUUUCUCAGGUGUUGAUAAUUAAGUAACAUUAGCAUGAUUGCUAUUUAAUUAAAAUUGUCCCACGGUUUAAUUUUGGUGAAGAACUUUUGCUUCUUUUGUUUCUAAAUCAUCAACACUGUGAUCCGUAAGUGGUAACCUUGGGGCUCAUAGAGAGAUGUUCUGCUAGCUCAAAUGGUUACUCUUUAACUCUUCUGUAUUGUCCAAACACUCAUUAAAUUCUAACAGCCAUUCCUUUUCAUUGUAAUGAUUGAUAUGAUUUUGCAACCUGGCAAGCUCUUUUUGAAGCUCAUGCUUUGUUAUAUCCUCAUGCAACAUUUUAGCCUUCACCUCAAAUUCUAUAGUAUUAGGCCUGAGAAUCCACACGUUCCACAACAUGUUAAGAGGAACAUCUUGUCUGUUAUUUCAAAGUUGUGUGUGAAUUUUAAUAAUUAUGUUUGUGUCAAUAACUUGAUUAACCUAGAAGGAUUUUUUUUCAUGUUGGGUCAACUUGAUCUUCACAAAACUCCCUAUUAAUUAACCCUCAAACUUCUCAGGGGCCUUUGCAAGAUCCUCAACUAGAGUUCUUCUUAAGUAAAUAAGAUUAAUGUUUUCUUGAAUGAAUAUAGAAGAAUGACUUCUAGGAGUUCCUAAACCUGUAGUCUUUUGGUAUUAUUCCAUGCAUAGCAUCCUCAUCAAGUAAUUGACAGUAUAUAGGCUUUUAGUUUUGUUAGGUGUUUGAAUGUUUCGUGCAUAAACUGCACCAUUUAACUAGCUAAUAUAAUAAUGAAUAGCAAUUUACGAUUUUUAAAUUAACUUUAACUCCAUAAUUUGUUGCAAAAAUAUUUAUUGCUCUAGAGUGAAAGUAUGUUAAAAUUGGAAAAAAAAUUGAUAAACAUAUUCAUAUUAAUGGUUUUUGGAAAUUUACCUCCUCAAUUAUCUAUAAAUAUGAAAAUUGUUGUUUAAUGUCUGUAAUCUAUCAUAUCUUUAUCUAAUAUUCGUAUAUUUGAUUGAAAUUUAUUCGAUCACGUAUACCAUCAAUCUAGUGGCAUUUAAAACAAGAAAGUGUAUAACUACUCAAAUAGUACGGUGUUAUUUGAUAUAGUAUCCAAAAAUUGUAUCUAUUUCAUAAAUUUAAUUUUUCAACAAUAUUAAAUAGUUCUCCUAUUUGAGUUUCGCUAUAUGAGUUGUAUUAGCACUUCUCAUAUCAAGUGCUAUGCUUGUUCAUGUUUUGAAUUUGUAGGUUAUAACGCAUAAGCAUCAGCUCAUCUGGCCUCUCUUGCUGUACAGGAUUCCAUUCUUUAGUAAGGAUAUUUCCAUCAGUGCUCCUCUUCAAGUCAUAUUUUGUAGCACCAUUAUAUGUCUGACUAAGAAUUUGAAUGGAAAAUUGUUGGACGCCAGAGUGCAAUCGAUCAGUCACAGGCAAGGCCUACCUUUUCUCCGAGUUGCAAAGGUGAUUAGAGCACCAUCCAUUUUUAAAUAUCAGUUUCUGCUUUGUCCACCGAGUCAACUGAUACGAAUUCUAGGUAUUCUUGUAAACUUUUGUCUUUUUGCUGGUGAACGGAUUUGCUUUAUUAUAUUUCUACAAUCUGCAUGUCCUUGAAAUUUUACCUGUUGAUCUUUUCCCUUGCACUUUUAUCCACUAUUAUGCUACAUGUAAUUCAAUGGUUGAAAAUUACAGAGUAUGCUUCAACCUUACUAGUGUUUUGAUAUUUGGAGUUAAAAAAGGAACGCUUGCCAUCUCUUCGUUGUCUAAUUUUGGUGCUUUGUUAUUUGGCCAACCAUUUGCUAACAAACAAACCUUGGUAUAGAGACAAUUCAAAUUCUUGGAAUUUUGACACCUCUUUAUUCGACAGACAGUUUAGGUGAUUAUAAUUCUUAUAUGUUUGCUAUUAUUGAAAGAAUGAGUUACAUUUUCUAGUAUCCAAUGGUUUCAUUGAUGGUACGAGAUGUUUUGAGUAUUCCUGUUACCACUGGCUUUAGAGUCUACUUUAGCAUUGAUGGUCAAAUUAUCAACAAAUACUAUAGUACCAUCUUGAGAUCUUCAUGCGGUCUUGGAAACAGUUGAAAGAAACAUUUUCUACAAGUUCUCUUGUUCAAAGACCAAAUUCUGUAGAGUUAAGAAAAGGAUCUGUGAACUUGAACUUGAACUUGGACAGUCUAACCAGGUAAUUGAUGGACAAAAACGUAAUCUCUAAGAAGUUUCAGAAUAAUCAGAUGGCAUGCAUAAUUCUUGUGGCAGUUUUUGCUUGAUACGGUGUCUCUUUAAUUACUUCCAUUGUUUCCUAUUUCUCUAACAUAUGUACAUUGAUAAGUUUGUCAAAUGCAACCAUUGGGAUUGACCCAAUAGUCAGGGGAAAACUCUUAAAGUUUUCUUUGUUACAAGAUUCAGAAUUCGAACUUUUUGCUUGGUAGUUGAGGUUAGGAAGGGUAUGGGGAAAGAUGGGAAGGGAAAAAAAAGAUAAGUAUGUUAAAUGCACUUAUAUAAUAAACAUAAAUAUGUUGAUGGUGCAUUUAUAAUCUACUAAAAAGGCACAUAUUCUACUAGAAAAAGCACGUGCACUACACGUGAUUUAGCUAAACAAUAUAAAAGUAUGUGCUAAGCAUAUAUGAUAUAAGGAUUGAUCUUAUUCAUGGAGAUUUCGUAAAUAUUCUAUUUCAGAAGUAAAAAAUUAAACACAAUUGGAAUUUUCUUUUUUCUUUUUCAAAAUUCGAUGUAGUUAUUAAUUCAGAUCUGGCAUGUACACAAUGAAAACUUAAGGAUGGUAAAACCUGAUAUUGAUGCACUUGGGAUCCUCAGUGACAUGUUUUCUAUGCCAAUCCAAUGCCACCAAUAGUGUUGCGCCAAGUGUCAUGUUAUUAUUUACACUUUAAUUUUCUAAUAAUUCAACUUGGCUUGGUUUAACACAAGUGUAAAUAAUAACAUGACACUUGGCGCAACACUAUUGGUGGCAUUGGAUUGGCAUAGAAAACAUGUCACCGAGGAUCCCAAGUGAUAUUGAUGACUUACACACGUUUAUAUCUCUGCUCCUAUUUCUCGAAAUGCUUAGCUGUACAAGUUAUGGGAGUUUCAACAUGUCAAGCUGAUGUUUAAGAGACUAGUAUGUAGAAAUUGUUAGUUGCUCAAAUUUGUAUUUGAUACUACAGUUAUUCAAAUUUAUUAAUUGUGAUGUGCCUUUUCGUGAUCCCCCUAAGUUCCCACAUCAAUUUGGGAAGAAAGGAAACGAUUGGAAUAUGAGCUCAAGGUCUAACAGUUAUUAAUAAUUUGGGUUAAUCCGUUUGAUCCUGUUGUGGCCAACCGUUAGAUUUGGGGCAUUAUGCUUCCACAUUGGGUGAGUUUGGACCGGUGGUGCUAUGGUUCAAAAUAUGCAAGGGAAUACAAGAGCUAAGUGUUUUAAUCCCACGUCAAAUGGGAAGAAAGAAAAGGAUUGGAAAAUAAGCUCAAGGUGUAUGGGGUGAUAAUAAAUUGGUGAACGACCUUUUUGCUGAGGUUUCUGUCCAGAAAGUUAUUGGGUUAGUGCUUAGAUAUAGAGCAUUACACUUUUCUUCCUACCAAUGCCUCAAAUCUAAAUUAAAUUUGUGUCUAAGAAGAUUUUGGAAAAAGGUCUGACUGAGAACAUUUGUUUUCAUGAUGAACCAUGUUACACAUCAGUAGAAGAACAUUUUGGAAAAGUUUCUGACUGAGAACAUCUAUUCCCAUGUCAGACUCUGUUAAGUUAGUGUCAGAAAUGAUGAAGGGACUUUGCGGUAAUCCAAAUCCGGCAUAUAUAUAUAUAUAUAUAUAUAUAUAUAUAUAUAUAUAUAUAUAUAUAUAUAAUUUUGCUAGGCGUCUAGUAAAGCGAUUUGAAGAUUUUGAUAGAUCCCUGCCGACAAUUCAUUUUAAAAAUGGUUAGGUUAGUGAACUCAUCUAUUUUCCAUUUUAAGGGCCUCUUUAAGUAGUCUUCAUUAGUGCAAUACUUAUCCAGAAGUGCAUGAAAUUCAAUAUUUAUUAUGCAAUCUGUGUUAUUAUUUUAAGUCUGUUGUAAAUUUUUGUUUUAAAGAUCAUAAAUGUUUCGUGCAUGAAUAAUAUAUUGAUUUGGCAAUAUUUAGAUUUUCGAAGUUGGCAUUUCACUUUAAAAUGUUUUGGAGAAUUCUUGUUGCAUUGCUUGAAAAACUUUGCUAUAAAAAAGAUUGUUUUGUGUCUAUUGAUCACUCCAAGGAUUGUAAAGUAUGCCUCCUUGAACUUAUGUUAUGAAUCUCAAGGACUGAAGUGGAAAGAAACUUUUAGUUCAGGAGGGAAAUUGUAAUUCAAUUGCUUUUUGACUAAUAAGAGUGGAAUUGGUUGGGCAGGAAAAGUAGCUAGCAAGGAAUAACCAACAUUGCUGACGUGGCCAGUUUGUUAGAAAGUAUUUACGGGAAUCACUUGCUAUAUAUACUAGAUGGCCAACAGAAGAAUGCAGGCAAUGAGUUGUACCAUUUUCUUUUUCUUGGAUCUGAAUAAACUCUCUUUCUCUCUCUUCUUCUUACUGUCUCAUUUCCUUCCUUCUCUUUUCUUCCGGCUCAAGACAUAAAACUAGUCUUGGGAGACGAGAAUUUUUUAGGAGCACUGGUGACUAGUCUUGUGGGGAGAAAAACAACAAAGAGCCUGUCCUCUUUCUCUUUUUUUUUCUUUCGUUUUCUAUUUUACUGGAUGCUUAUGCAAUUUACUUCAAUUAAAUUGUGUUGCUUGAUCCCGAUGAUGUGCAACUAAAUUUUCCAUUUCUAGCCAAGGAAUAACGUGGAUUUGGGUCAUCAACAACUGUGAGAUCUAACUAUUUUUUAUUUUUUUUAUUCGUUAGUAUUCGUAUAUUUUCUGGUUUAAUUACUCAUAGGUGUUAGUUGUUUGAAUAUCAAAAUCGUCUGAUAUUUAAAUCAAGCUAACGAACUAUUGCCAGUUAAGACAGUUAAAUUUGCAAUUGUUUAAUUGUUUUAAAUUAGUGGCCACUAGCAUGAUUGAUUUCAUGUUAGACAGUCAUACGAUCUAAUUUAAAUAAACCCUACUAGUGUAUUUAUCGAUUAGAACAUGGUUUUUCUAGUUUCUAAUGCAAUCAAGGAAUUAAAUUCUAUGGGUGUACUUAGGGUUGUUUCUUGGUUAGGGAAGUAGUUAACAGAAAUACUUUAACUAUCGAGACACUAAAGAAGAGCUAGCUGUCAUCGCGUGUUUGACAACUAUAACCUAUUUAUUAACAAAUAAAUGAAAUAAUUCUUGUAUCGAUGAGCAAUUGUUUGACCCGCUUCUGGGGUCAUUUCCUUGGUUAGAGCUCAUUUAUCCUUGAGUUAAAUUUAAUCUGCUUUAGUUUAAUUAUUUUCAAUUUGCAUUGAUUAUUUAUUUUUAAUUGUAAUUUUCCAAACUUCCCCCAAAUAAUUACUUAGAAAGAAGCAAAUUUUCCUCCUAAUCUCCGUGGAAACGACCCUACUUAUCAUUAUACUCCUUUAUAUCUUUGUGAGUAGGAAUUUAUUAUUACACAGACCUGACACCUGUCAAUUUUUGGUGCCAUUGUCGGAGAUUGGCAUUGGUUAAUUUGUCUCCUUUUGAGUUUAUUUUAUUCUAUUUUAUUUUCUGGUAUUUUUACUAGUUUAUGCCUCGUUCUUCUUGUACAAGUGAGUUAAUUUUUUAUCCCAAGAUUGAGAAGACAUCGCAUAGUCUAUGAAGAGAAACCACAAUACGAAAGAGAGAGUGGUCAUCUACUACGUCUCCAAGGUUUAAUUUGGCUGUGGAUUUAUUGGAAUCUUCAAGUGAUUCUGAGUAAGAGGAAUCAAUUAUGGCAAAUAAUAACUGAACUUUGAGGGAGUUGGCUACUCUGAAUUUAAACUAGCUGCUUCUAUGCAUUACUUUUCCUGAUUUUGCUGAAAAUGUAAUAUUUGAAUUGAAAUCAGGGCUAAUACACCUCCUUUCUAAUUUUCAUGGUUUGCCAGGUUAAGAACAUCAUAAGCACCUGCAGGAGUUGACAGUGGUAUGCACAAGUAUGAAGCCACCUGGUGUCACUGAGAAACAAACUAAGAUAAGGGCAUUCCUUUUUUCAUUAAAAAGGGCUGUUAAGGAUUGGCAAUACUACUUGCUCGCAGGGAGUAUCACGACAUAGGGGGAUAUGAAAAGAAAAUUUUUGGAAAAAUACUUCCCUACAUCCCGAACUGUCAGUUUACAAAAACAGGUAGGUGAUCUUAAGCAGGGUCCCGAGGAUUUUCUCUAUGAAUACUGGGAUAGAUUGAAGAAGUUGUGUACGAGUUACCCCCAACAUCAGAUUAGCAAACAAUUCCUUAUCCAAUACUUCUAUGAAGACCUACUUUACAGAAAUAGGAGUCUCAUCGAUGCUGCAAGUAGAGGUGCGUUAGUGAACAAAACCCCUCGAGAAGCUUAUGAAUUAAUCAAAGAGAUGGGUGAGAACUCCCAACAGUUUGGCACAAGAGAGAACGUUUCAAGUUGUCGUGUGAAUGAGGUGAGCAUUUCAUCGAUGCAAGAGCAAUUGGUUGAGUUAAUUUCUAUGUUUUGCCAAAUAGCAAUGGGAAGGUGUAACAAGUUAAGAAAUGUGAAAUUUGCAAGGAUGUAAACCAUCCCACCGAUGAAUGCCUAAUGCUACAAGAUGAUAACACGAAACAAGUAAACAUGGGUGGGUACGUACCCGCAUCCUGUAGGCAGUAUAACCCUUACUCCAACACAUAUAAUCCGGGUUGGAGGGACCACCCAAACUUUAAUUAUGGGGGAAAUAAGCAAAAUUUGGUCCCCAACAGACAGCAAGGGUUUCAGCCACAACAAUCAUCAAGACCCCAACCCUCUUCAUCUCAUUUGAACACGUCUCUUGAAGAUAUAGUCAAGACAUUGGUCGCUAACACCUUGCAAUUUCAGUAGAAGACAGAGGCAAGCAUACAAGAUCUCAAAACUUAGAUAAGUUAGAUGGCCUUUUCGAUGAACCGUCUGGAGUUUCAAGGGCAAGGAAUACUACCUUCUCAACUUGAGGUGAAUCUAAAGAACAUAAAUGUCAUGACCCUCAAAAGUGGAAAUGAAGUUGAAGGGCCAAAACCUAUAGUUCCUAAGGACAAGAGCAAAGAUCAAAUUGAAAAGAAGUUGAAAGAAGAAGGAAUAAGCAAGCUAACUCCUCAGAUAAUUUCGACCCCUUUAUUUAAAACUAAUACUAACCUACCACCUUUCUCUAGUAGGUUGGAGAAGCCAAAAAGGCAAGAUAAGAAGAAGGAGAUCUUAGAGGUGUUCAAGAAGGUAAAGAUAAACAUCCCUCUGUUGGAUGCAAUUAAGCAAGUGCCCAAAUAUGCCAAAUUUCUAAAGGAUUUAUACGUCAAUUGAAAGAAAUUGAGAGGCGACGAAAGAAUUGUGAUGAGGGAGAAUGUUUCAGCCGUGUUACAAAAGAAACUUCCACCCAAAUGUGGAGACUCAAGUAUGUUUUAUAUCCCUCAUCGUAUUGAAAAUACUAAGACCAGAAAGACUAUACUAGAUCUAGGAGUUUCCAUUAAUGUGAUGCCGAAAAAUAUCUAUACCUCCUUAAAUCUAGGACCUUUAAAGGAAACAGGCAUUAUAAUUCAGCUAGCCAAUCGGACUAAUGCAUAUCCUGAUGGAUUAGUUGAAGAUUUUUCAGUUCAGAUUAAUGAAUUAGUAUUUUCAACUAACUUUCAUUUGCUUUACAUGAAUGAUAAGCGUUCACUAAAUUCAUCACCUGUUAUACUAGGGAGACCCUUUUUGAGUAUAGUCGAAACAAAAAUAAAUGUCAAACAGGGCACACUUACAAUGAAAUUUGAUGGGGUGGUGAUCCAUUUCAGUAUAUUUAAAACUAUGAAAUACCUAUCUGACUCUCAUACUAUUUUUGCCAUGAGUGUAAUUGACCCUGUGGUAUAGAAAAUUUUUGAGAUUGAUGACACGGAUGAACUAGAAGUUGUUGUCACCAAAUAUCUUAAGUUGGGGACAACCUGUGAUGUGGAGUUGAGUGAGGAGUUGAAAUGCAUAGUUAGAGCGCUACAGUCAAUGGCACCUACUAUAAUAAGAUAUGAACUUGCACUACUCUUUAUACCCGAUUCUCAUCGAAGGUUGCUACCUUCAGUGAUGCAAGCACCUGAAGUGGAAUUGAAACCCCUGCUGGGUCAUUUGAAGUAUACAUUCUUGGGUGAUAAAAAUACUCUUCCAAUCAUCAUUUCUGCCACCUAGUCAAGAGGACAGGUUGAUCCGAAUCCUUAAGAACAGCAAAGAGGUGAUAGGGUGGACAAUAACUGACAUUAAAGGCAUAAGUCCCUCUGUGUGCAUGCAUAGAAUAUGGCAUAAAGAAGGUGCAAAGCCUGUAAGACAAGCACAUAGACGGCUAAAUUCCCUAAUGAUGGAAGUGGUAAAAAAGAAAAUACUCAAGUUUCUAGAUGCGGGGAUGAUUUAUGCCAUCUUUGAUAGCCUCUGGGUGAACCCAGUGUAAAUGGUUUCAAAGAAGGCAAGAGUCACAAUUGAAGUCAAUCAUGAUGGGGAGCUUGUUCUUGCUCACAAACCAACGAGAUGGCGCCAGUGUGUCGAUUAUCGGAAACUAAAUGCAAUCACAAAAAAAGGACUAUUAUUCUCUUUCUUUCAUUGAUCAAAUGAUUGAAAAAUUAACUUAUCGUGGUUAAUACUGUUCUCUGGAUGAUUUUUUUAGGGUAUUUUCAAAUUGGAAUAGUACUGGAGGACUAGGAGAAAACUACUUUCACAUGCCCAUUCAAUACCUUCGUAUAUAGAAGAAUGCCCUUUGAAUUGUGUAAAACUCCCGCAACCUUUUAGAGGUGUAUGGUAAGUAUUUUUUUCUGAAUAUGUUGAGAAAAUAAUAGAGGCCUUUAUGGAUGAUUCAGUGUCUAUGGUGAUUGAUAAGUGCAUAUUUUACGUGUUUUAAGUGUGUUUUAUUAGUUAGCUUUGGUGUGUUUUAUUUAGUUUUAUAGCUAAUUAAUUAAGUUACUAGUGAAAAUAUGCAUUUUGUGGUUUAAAGUGUGAAAGUUGCAUUUCUGUGGAUUUUGAUGGUAAAAACUUCAUGUUUUUAUAGAUUUAAUGAUUCAAUCAUCAAAUGGCAUGAACUGAGAAGAUAAUUGGAUGAUUGAUGAUGGUUUGAAAUGAUAAAAAGAGAAUAUGAAAUGCAAGAGAUGAAAUGCAAUUAAAGGAAGUUUUCUAGCUUUGACACCUUGUGGUAUUUCGGGUAUAUCUUAAGUCACAAGCAUUAGAUUGAGGUGAUUCUUGAACCAUUUUGAAGCUAACCAAUAGAUCUAUAUUUAAUAUGAGGCAUCGAAGUCCAGUUCAGUUGUUUUCAUUGUCAAAAAGUUGAAAUACAGAAGUGCAUUUUCAUGAUCGAAAGCUGAAACAGAGUUCUGACCAGUCAAGAGUAUUUUAGUUAUUUUCGAUCCAUAGAGCUCCAAAUUGGAUGAUUAUUGAGGCAUUGGAAAGUUAACUCAAAAGGAUACAACUUUCAUGUUUUCCAUAAGAGCUAAUUCAACCUCCAUCAUUGAGAAAAUAUCAGUUGAAAUUGGACAAAAAAUAGAGCCAGGAUGAAUUCUGCCCAGAAAGUGCAAACCUGCAAAAGUAAUACAUGCGUAGACAAUUCACAACCUAAGGUCGCUCCAAUUUCGGCUGCAACUUGCUCUUCAACUUGUGUUAUGUUCACGCAAGCUUUUUGACCCAUUUUCUUGCAAGAAUUUUGGUGGAAAGUGACAAAGAUAGCUGCCAAAGAAGCUUUACAACUCAAAUCUAGCUUGUUUAUGGUCUCAAGAGAAAUCUUAACAUGAUUUAACACUUUGUCUUUUGCAUGGAAUUCCUCUAUAAAUAGCAACCUUUGGAGACUAUUUUCACAACUUUGGAAGGCAAGAAAAAUUUCACAAAAAUGCAGUUUUCACUAGAGUUUUCUUAAUUCAAUAGUUAGGGUAGUAUAGUAUAGUUAGAAUAGUUUAUCUUUCUUGUAUUUGUAGUUUGAUUUGGAUGAAGAUUUGAAAAGCAAAGAUGGAGAGAUAGAACUCAUGUGGCAUGGGUGAUUUCUCUCCUUUCCCUUUCUCUUUUGUAUUUAAGUUCAUGUUUAACUAUAAUACAAGUUUGGAUCUUGUUUUCAUGUUUUGCUAAAGUUUAUGCCUAGAGUUAUGGAUGAACUUUCUAUAUCUUGUUAGUGAUAUUUAAUUGGUUAGUUGAUGAUAUUAUUUUGAACAAGUUAUUUAUCACUUUUGCUUAUUUAAUCAUGAUUAACCGGCCAUUAAUUGUGAUAAUCUUAAGGUGUUAAGUUUGCAAUGAGAAUUGAAAUUUAACACUAGUUCAAGGAAGUGAUAAACCUAGGGAGUACACUCACGAGAGUAGAGGUGCACCUUUGUGGCUUUAGUGACUUAUUUCAUGUAAUUUCAUAGAAAAAAGGAGCUUGUAGUUAAUUUCAUAAAUACGAGAGUAGGUAUGGUUUAGCUACAAGUAUAGUUGAUUCACCACGAGAGUAGUUUUCACAUACAUUAAGAAAUUACGCCAUAACUAGCCAAGAUAAUAACAUUCACUUAACCGGUAACACUUCAUUUGCAAGAAUAGUAAGGAAUUCCAUAUCUCUAGGAGCUUCCUAUUAUAUUUUUGUUACUUUUAUAGUGUAGAUUUAAUUUAUUGCACUAGUGAUAGUUUAAAUAAUAAAAGAGUUCGAAAAACAUUGGUAAUUGACAAUUUUCUCUGUGGGAUCGACACCUAAUACCCCUGUACUCAAUAAACAACUCGUAUACUUGCGAAAAAUCAUGUGUGGGGUAUUUAGGAUUUAUAAAUGUAAAAUUUGAUUGUAGAAUGAACUAAUUGUUAUGUGUAUACCCCACGCUCGUCAGUGAUAGAUUUGAUGAAUGACUUAAGAAUUUGACUCUAAUUGUUCAAAGAUGCAUCGAAACUAACCUUGUAUUCAAUUAAAAAAAAUGUCAUUCUAUGGUUGAGUACGGAAUAGUUCUAGGUCAUGUCGUAUCAUCUAAGGGUAUGAAAGUUGAUAAGGCAAAAAUAGACCUUAUAUCUUGCUUACCAUACCCACUAAUCUGCGAAAAGUGUGUUCCUUUUUGGGACAUGUAGGUUUUUAUUGGAGAUUCAUCAAGGACUUCUAAAAAAUUGGAACACCAUUGUUUAGACUCUUGCAAAAGGACGUAACAUUUAAUUUUGAUGAGAAAUGCAAGAAGGCGUUUGAUUGUUUAAAGGAGUUUGUUGAUUUCCCCACCUAUCAUCAUAUAACAUCCAGACUGGAAUCUCCCAUUCGAGAUCAUGUAUAAGGCAAGUACUGACUUGUAUUGCAUUUCUUCACUUGAACGUUUUUCACUUCAUUUUUCUUUUCACCACUUAAAUUCAUCACCAAAUCUCUAUUUUUCACCUCAUUUGCCAUCCUUUGGUGAUUGAGUCAUCAUUCCUGCAUAAAAAUGAAGGUUUUACCAUUAAAAUCACUAAAAAUACAAUAUUAUCCACUUUUACCAAAAAUAUAUAAUUUUACCAAAAACCUCUUUAUUUUAAUUAUAAAACUAAAUAAUCAACUCAAAAUUAACUAAUAAAAUGCACUUAAAAAUACGUAAAAUAAACUCUUAUCAAAUACCCCCACACUUGAAUCAUUGCUUGUCCUCAAGCAAUAUGAAAUUCCAAUCAUCAAUGAUCCAAAGAUUAAAAAUACACAUAUGUAGCAUUUCAUCUUCAUUUCCUUGAAUCAAGGUAAAUAACCCUUAUGUGAUCUUUCAAUUAACCUCAAGUACUCAUAAUAUCAAGCAAAGAAGAGCAAAGUAUACCAUAAUUUUACUAAUUCAACUCAAUUUCUCAUUUUUACCCAAUUCUACAAGCAAGCAACUCAUAUAGUCAAUAAAGAUGCUAACUAAUCUCAUGAUCAACUUCUUUAUUUUUCUUAAAGAGGGAUUUAUUUUCCUUUAUUUUCUUUUUUCUUUUUCUUCUUUUUUUUUUUUAAUAUUUUAAGAGUUAAAUACUACUUAAGUUGUGAAAAAUACCUUUUGACGCGAAGAUCGACAUUUUUAGAUGAAGAUCCCCGGUUACUCAAUAUUUCACAUACUCAAGUUGCUUUUGAUACUCUUAAUUCAAGUACCGUUUUACGCGAAAGUCGACAUUUGUAGAUGAAGACUCCCGGUUACUAAGUACAAGAACCAUUGGAGUAGAAUAACUCUUUUUUUUUUUUGAUGUAUAUAUAUAUAUAUAAAAUUCCCUCUAAGAGUAAUCAUGAGAAGAGUAUGACACUUAUUAACCAUAUUAAUUUCUUAUCUUAUAAAAUUAGAUAAAAAGAAGAAUUUUCAUCAAAUAUACAAAAUGUAGGCAUAAUUUUCUCCACUUUACUAGAUAUACUUUCCUAUAGAUGUAAAAAUUAUAAUCACAUAAAAAUCAUUUCCAAAUUUCAUGAGAAAAGAAGUAUCAAAACCGCAUAUAUUUAUUUCAAAAGGAUAAGUGACAAAAUUUUAUUUAUUUAUUAUAGUUAAUAACAUAUAUAUGUAUAAGGUUUUGGAAAAAUUUUGACAGAGUCUCCCCUUAAAAGUGGACUAAAUCUCCCUGCCAUCAACCACAAGAAACACAAUUUAAGCACAAGAAUUAUAUUGAACACAACUAAAAUCACAAGUACCACACAUUUCUUCCCCCACACUUAGAAUACACAUUGUCCUCAAUGUGUAGGGAAAGAAAAGAAAAGAAACAAAAGAAAGGAACAAGUGACUCCCCAAGUGAUAUGGCUGCGGUCCAGUGAAGCCUUGAAUCAUGAGCCAUCAACCGCUCAACCAUGUACAGUCAACGAUCUACUAGUUACUGCCACAAGUUCCAAAAUUCAAAAUAAUGAAUGUAAGUUAACAUUUUUAAAACAAAAGAUAAAAAAUAACACGCAAACAAGCAAACAAAAGAAAAGCCAGCCAAAGGGCAGCCUCAAUCAUCCUCUUCAUCGUCAUCUUCAUCAUCAUCGAUGGGAGGUGGGCGUGUGCCUAAAUGAUCUUCAAUUCGGUCCAGGCGAGUAUCCAUUCUGGCUAAGCGAUGAUCGAUGUCAUCUAAACGACCAAAGAGCCGCUGCCAGUUGGUUUGUGGCGGAGGAGGAGGUGGUGCUGCAGUAGAUGGUCCAGCUCCAUCGCGACCAUGUCUAGCCUUUUGUCUCCGCUCCUGAACAGGGCGUGGAAUGUCUCCCGUGCCAAUACCAAGGCGGCGAAGAGUAGUGAUAGUCAUCUCAGCACGUGGUGGAACAUACUCCCGCCGCAUGCCUUCCAACGGAACUUCAAAACGGGGGAAGAUUAAAGUCAGUAGACGAGGAAAUGAAAGUUUGAAGGAAGUUGUCUUACGCCUCGCCGUAGACCUAAUGUGGCUGAUGAUGAUGUUAGGCAAUGAAAUCCGAGCAUAUGGAGAUGUCCGGUUAUGGAACAUGUAAUCCAAGAAAUAGAUAUCGCUCUUGCGGACCUCCGUGUGCCCCGUCUUCUUUGGGAUGACAUUGUGAGCCAUCAUGUAAAUGAUAAGACGAUGACGAGGUUCGAAUACAUUCGCCAAUAUAGUCUCCUUUCUGGUAGAGCGAAAAGGUUGAUACUCGAGACCAAACCUAGCCAUGGCCAAUGAGGGAUCCCACCUCCGAUUCGGGGGAACAAACUCCUUCUUCAAGUCUACUGGACGUCCGUCAUCCAUACACCCCAAAAUAGCGGCCAAAUCUUGACGUGACAAGACGAUUCGUCUUCCACGCACCCAGGACUCAACCAUUUCUCCACUGUGGUGCGCCUUUCUCUCAAUGUUGGCGUAAAACUCGCGCACCAAAUCGGGGUAGUAAUGGUUUGGUAAGGUGAGAAUCGGGGCCCAUCCAAGCUGAGCAAAAGCCUCCGAGAUGUUAUACAUCAUCUCCACCGUUUGGUUCACGUGCAUCUCAAAUAGGAACUCCAAGUUAGCAUGCUCCUCAUGCCAUUCUUGAUUCCUUCGAUUAGUGAACCUUGCACUGUCAAACACAGAUCUUCCCGCUCCACGAGAGCUGCCCUCACCAGGCUGUCGACUAACCGGUGGCGGAGAAGGUGAACUCUCCUCCUCAGACACGUCCAUCUCUUCAUUAACCUCUCUCUCCUCACUACUAGAGGAUGAAAGUACCGCUCUUCUUCCCCUUGGCAUAGUACCUAAAAGAAAAUGUUGCAAUUAACCACAUAUAUUUAGACACAAUGCACAAUUUGGCAAUGAAUGUUCUAAAAUGAUCCAAAUAACCUCCAAUUUAUCCCUUCAAGUGACAACACGUCCAAUAACUAAUGUAUAGGACCAAACAAGAAGAGCCAUAAUUUAUGCCCAAAAAUUAUUCAAAAUCACCAAUUGAAACAAGAUAUGCAAUAAUUAUAACCCAAUCAGUGAAAUUAGCAACAAUUAUGAUUAUAACUACUGAGAAUUAACAAAAAUAACAUGCCUUUAGCUAUAAUCAUGUUUAAGCAAAAAUUAACCAAUUAACUCACUAAAUCAACCAAAUUACUCAAUAUACACAAUGCAUAUGCCCAAACAUCAUCAACUAACCAUCCUUAACCAUAAUUAAUCAUCACAAUGGCUCAAAAACAUCCUAGUUUCUUUUUCCAAUUUCGUCUAAAUAUAGCAAUUGUGAAUUUAUAAAGCAAUAAUGACCAACAAAUUGCUACAUUUAAACUCAUAAACAUACUUAAACAAUCUCAAUAAGCAUGAAUAAAUUCAAAAAUAGUCAAAUACAUCAUCAAAUUUUCGACAUUAAAAGAUGUCAGAUAGCUCAGGAUAAAAAAUAUGACUUUCAAAAAUCAAAAGAUUUGAUGAAGAAACUUACCUCAAUCACGUAGAAGGAUGUUUGGUGAUGCUAAAAAUGCAAAAAGCCCUAUGAAACAACCUCCAAUUGACCUCCAAUUGAAGAAAUUAGAGUUGAAGAACCCUAAACUUCAAUCCUUCAAAAACUGAAUUUUAGGUGUUUUUCAAGGAUUUUAAUCAGUUAAAAAGGUUGUAUGAAGCUCAAAAGGUGUUUGGUGGAUGUUUUCUAGCAAGAUUAUGGAACAAAAUGGAAGAUUUGUGAGUUGGGUAGAAGAGAAAAGGAAGAAACGCGGCUAGAAAAAUGGAAAAGGGAAGAAAAUGAAGCUGAAAUCGCGUUUCUGAAGGCUAUAUUCAGACACAGCAAACGCGACUAAAAACGCGCCUUCAACUCGCGUUUUUUAAGUCGCGUUUCCUGCACAAAUCUUGCAGGACUUAAAACGCGACUGUGUUGUAAAACGCGACUUAGACUCGCGUUUCAGAAGUCGCGUGUUUGAGUCUUGAUCCAGGCUUGAAAACGCGACUUCCAUUAAAACGCGACUUUAGGUCGCGUUUUGAAGGCGCGUUUUCUUUUCUGCAGGCGCAGAAUUGAAAACGCGAUUCUGAGAAACGCGACUUUGAGUCGCGUUUUCUUGGAAAACGCGUUUUCUGCUUCGAUUUUUAGCAGAAUUUCAACUUUUGAAAAAUUACAAAAGGUACCCCAAUGACUCAAAAUGCAUCAUAGAUCAUUUGUUUGCCAAUUUUAAUGGCUGGAACAAAUGUAAAACAUUAAAAACAUGCAUUUUACCCCUUUAUAAUGAAUCAAAAACACCUUUAACGUAAAUCGAGGGGUUGAGUUGCUUGAUCAAAGUUUGCCCUUUUCACCUCAAAUGGUCAUUCUUGCUUCCAUUUGCCAACCCUAUAACACAAAAACAACAAAUUAACUAAAACACUUAUUUAAGUCUAAAAAUCACAAAAAAUUAACACAAAUAACAUAAACAUUGGGUUGCCUCCCAAUUAGCGCUUUUGUUUAUAGUCGUUGGCUCGACUGAAAGAGUUGAAUCACUUUAGAGCAUUAGGGAGCGAUUUUCUCCCCAUGGGUCGAAACUCCCGAGCCAAUCCACCAUGUGGUGAACCAUGCUUUGAUCUUCAUAGUCCAAUUUCCUCAAAUGCCAAGGAGGAAUAUUAGACUUGUCAUAGAGAGGCUCAACUUCACCUUGGAGUGGAUUUUGCUUGUCUUUUCUGAAUUGGCUCAACUUUUCACCAUUUUCUUCAUGGAAUGGCGAAUUUAUUAAGCCAACUUCCAUCCUUAUCUUCUCCUCCUUUGUUCCUACACCAUGAAAGUUAGUACCAAGGGCAUUUAUAAAUUUAACUUCUUCGGUCCUUUCUUGGUUAACCUUUUCAUCAUAUGGCAUAUUAGAAACAAGAGCAGUAGGCUCUAUACUCCCUUCUUUAUUAUCCAAAUUGAAUUCCAAUUCCUCACCAUUAACCCGUAAUAUAAGCUUACCUUUUUCUACAUCAAUUAUAGUUCGUGCAGUGGCUAAAAACGGUCGUCCUAGAAUAAUUGGCAUUCUCACAUCUUCUUCAAUAUCUAAGACAACAAAAUCCACAGGUAUUAUAGAUUGUCUUACCUUUAUGAGCACAUUUUCCAAAAUACCCGUGGGACGUGUGAUUGACCGAUCCGCCAAUUGCAAUGUAAUAUUGGUAGCUUUUAGCUCUUGAAGUCCCAAUCUCCGGGCAACCGAUAACGGCAUAAGUGACACACUUGCACCUAAAUCACAUAAAGCAUUAGAAAAAUGCAAUUGACCAAUAGUGCAAGGAAUAGAAAAACUUCCCGGAUCUUUCAAUUUAGGAGGGAGUUUAUUCUUAAUCAAUGCACUACACUCUUCCGUUAAUGCUAUCAUCUCAUUAUCUACAAUUUUCCUCUUCUUUGACAUGAUGUCUUUCAAGAAACGUGCAUAAGAGGGAAUCUGUGUUAUAGCAUCAAUGAAAGGAAUGUUAAUGUGCAAUUGUUUAAACAUUUUGAAGAACUUUUCAAACUCCCGAUCCUGUCCAUCUUUCUUCAACCUGUGAGGAAAAGGUAUCACAUUAGAAUUUAAAUGAGAAUUUAAUUUGGGAUGAAGUGCAUCAAUAUCAAUGAUAACAUGAUCAUUUUGACUUUCUUGCUCCCCUUCAAUUGCAUGCAUCUUGUCUUUUUCACCACCUGAAUUUUCAAAAUCGAAUCCCUCAACCGUUUUACCACUUCUAAGAAUGAUUGCAUUGACAUGCUCUCUCGGAUUCACUUCGGUUUUACUUGGUAAUUCACCAGGGUUUCUAUUGUUGAUCACAUUGGCAAUUUGACCAAUUUGAACCUCCAAGUUUCUGUACAUCCCAGCUAAUUGGUCCAACCGCCCCUCAACUCGCUCGAAUCUAUCCGAAGUCACCUUAGCAAGUUUUUCCACCGCGAUCUCCCAACUUGGUUUAGUUUCAGCCUGUGGUUGCCUUGGUUGAAAUCCCGGCGGAUUGGUUGGCCUUUGUUGAUUGCCUUGAUCUUUCCAUCCAAAGUUUGGAUGAUUUCUCCACCCCGGAUUGUAAGUAUUCGAGUAGGGAUUAUUUGGAGCAUUUCGGUUGUAAUUAUUAACAAAUUGUACCUGCUCAGAAUCAACACACUCAUUAAUAUCAUGUUCACCUCCACAGAAAGAGCAACAAGCUACGUGAGCAUUAGAUGAACUUGGGCUAACUCCACCUUGUCUACUUAGCAAUUUCAUCACAUUAUUCAUUUGAGCACUCAGCAUAUUGAGAGUGUCCAUUUCUAUCAUACCUGCGUGACGUCUUGUAUUACCUCUCUCAUUGGCCCAUUGGUAGUUAUUUGCUGCCAUUUCUUCUAUCAAAUUAUGAGUUUCUUGGGGUGAUUUACCCAUUAAAGCUCCACCUGCAGCUGCAUCGAUCAUAGUUUUAGUAGAAAAAGCUAAACCAUUAUAGAAGGUUUGUAUGAUUAACCAUUCCGGCAGUCCAUGAUGUGGACAUUUCCGAAGCAAAUCUCUAAACCUUUCCCAUGCCUCAUCUAAUGAUUCUCCCUCCAAUUGACUAAAACUAGUGAUAUCCAUUCUAAGCUUAGCAGUCUUUCCUGGUGGAAAAUACUUAUUUAAGAAUGCUCUUGAUAAAUCAUCCCAUCCGGUGAAAGUAUUAGGAGCAUGAGAGUGUAGCCAAAGUUUGGCCUUAUCUCUCAAUGAAAAUGGGAACAAUCUUAGCCGUAUAGCAUCAUCACUAACUCCAUUCAUUUUAAUUGUAUCACAAAUUUCCAAAAAUGUAGUUAAGUGUGAAUUAGGAUCUUCUACUGCAUUACCUGCAAAUUGAGAUUGUUGAACCAUCUGGAUAAGUGAUGGUUUAAUCUCAAAAUUGUUAGCAUUUACCGUAGGCCUUACUAUGCUUGUUUGAGAUCCUUGUGUUCCCGGUAGAGUAUAAUCUCGUAAAACUCGCCUAUUUGGGUCAUUUUCGGCCAUCUCUUCCUCAAAUGGUAGAUCUAUUGAGAUUUCCUCUAUAGGUUGCCAAAUCUCUUGUUCCUCUUGCUGUGGUGGAUGCCUCCUUUGUCUACGUAGUGUCCUCUCAAUUUCUGGAUCGAAAGGUGUAACUUCCCGAGACGCCCGGUGCAUACACUACAAACAGAAAUAAGAGAUAUUAUGCAAUUUCAAUUGUCAAAAACUGAUUACAAUAUAAGAUUAAAUAUAAUCUAAAAAAAAUAAAACUGUCUAAAUUAAUAAAGAUGAUUAGGCUCUAAUAUUGCCGCUCCCCGGCAACGGCGCCAAAAACUUGACGGGAUUUUUUUUAUCAAUGCAAGUUUAAUUCCGAAUUUACACCCGUUGGACUGCAAGUAUACAGGUCGCAAUUGUAGUACGAGAUGUGUAUCGGGUCGAUCCCACGAGGAGCAAUUUAAAACAAUUAUUAGAUACUAAUUUACUCUAUUAUUUAGACUCACAAUUAAUUUGAGCAGAAACUUCAGAUUUUAAUUCAACUACAAAAAUUCUUAAAUAGAUAAAUGCAAUUUCACAAUAGGAGUAGAAUUCACUAAAUAUUAAGAUCUAGGGAUGUAGAUUCCACUUAUGACACAAAAGAUCUAAAAUGAAUUAAUUCAACACUUGUUACUGCUCUUGUUUAACCAAGGAUUCAUUUCCAGAAAUACCAAAAUCACAUUCUCAUGAUAAUAAUGGGUUAAAACAGAUUAGUUUUUCCUAAUCUCUUGGUAAAUACUAAAUCUGUUCUUAUUCACACAUGAAAUGCAGAUUUCAUCCACUUGAAUGUAUUUCUAUUCUCAUGAAUAUACUACUCAAGCUCUACUUAUGUCAUUCCAUUAUUUUUACCAUUUCUCAAUGAGUAAAAACAACUAUAAACCUGCUAUUGGUGAUCAAGCAACUACAAGUAAUCCAACAUACACAAGUAGAUAAGUUAAUACAAGACAUAACAAGCAUAAAUCACAAUCACUUCAUAUCAUUUGGCCAUAAGCUUCAUCUACUCCCUAGAUAAAGGAAAUUAGCUACUCAUGAAUGAUGAAACACUCAUAACUUCAUUAAUGCAAAUCAUCAUGAAUUUACAAAUACAAAAAGAGUAAAGAAAGUCUUAGCCAAGAUAUGGUGAAGCCUUCCAAAAAUCUCCUUGUCUUGAACUUAGAUGAUUACAAGAUGAAACCUCAAUUGUCCUUUGCAAGUACCUAGCUAGAGAGACUAUGUUUUUCUGUAAGAAGCUAAGCUACGAAUGGAUCUCCAGACCUCUCCCCAUAUUUCUGCAUAAAAAGUACUCAAAGGCUCCAUUUUUCCAAGUCAAAUUCUAUCCUUUGAUUCCCAAAUCUCCACUUUGUUAGCAUAGUCAAAAACCAAUAUUUUUGACUUGAAAAUAAGCCACUUUUCUUGCCCUUUUGUCUUCUGAAGCAUGUGCACCGAAUUCCCUUGCAUCUUAUAGCUGGAAAGUGGUGUGAACACAAGAGAAUUGGCUGAGUCAAAUUGCAGAAUUUCGGCUAUAAAACGCGCCUAAACAAAACGCGGCAUAACUCGCGUUUUGUCUACUCGCGUUUUCACUCUGGCCUUAUUUCAACUGAGAUUUUCUCAUUGAUAAAGGCCAAACUAGCUUUUGUGCAAAACACAAAAGUUGUAGCCCUUUGUGUUAGCUUUCCAAUGCUUCAAGAAUCAUCCAAAUCGGAGCUUUGUAGCCUGAGAUAUGAUCAAAAUACUGUCACCUGUUCAAACCUCUGUUUUAACUUCCGACCACAGAAUGCAGCUUCUGUAUUCCAACGUUUUGCCCAUGAAGAUGGCAGAAAUGGAUUUCGAUGUCUUCAUACGAAUUGUAGGUCUCUUUCUUAGCUUUAAAAUGGUAUAAAGAUCACCUCAAUCCGAUAAGUGUAGCUCUAGAUAUGGUCAAAAUACUGAAGAGUGUCAAAACUGACUUGUAUUGCAUUUCUUCACUUGAACGUUUUUCACUUCAUUUUUCUUUUCACCACUUAAAUUCAUCACCAAAUCUCUAUUUUUCACCUCAUUUGCCAUCCUUUGGUGAUUGAGUCAUCAUUCCUGCAUAAAAAUGAAGGUUUUACCAUUAAAAUCACUAAAAAUACAAUAUUAUCCACUUUUACCAAAAAUAUAUAAUUUUACCAAAAACCUUUUUAUUUUAAUUAUAAAACUAAAUAAUCAACUCAAAAUUAACUAAUAAAAUGCACUUAAAAAUACGUAAAAUAAACUCUUAUCAGUUGAGUACGGAAUAGUUCUAGGUCAUGUCGUAUCAUCUAAGGGUAUGAAAGUUGAUAAGGCAAAAAUAGACCUUAUAUCUUGCUUACCAUACCCACUAAUCUGCGAAAAGUGUGUUCCUUUUUGGGACAUGUAGGUUUUUAUUGGAGAUUCAUCAAGGACUUCUAAAAAAUUGGAACACCAUUGUUUAGACUCUUGCAAAAGGACGUAACAUUUAAUUUUGAUGAGAAAUGCAAGAAGGCGUUUGAUUGUUUAAAGGAGUUUGUUGAUUUCCCCACCUAUCAUCAUAUAACAUCCAGACUGGAAUCUCCCAUUCGAGAUCAUGUAUAAGGCAAGUGACAGUGCAAUAGGGGCGGUACUGGGCCAAAGGAUCGGAAAGGCUGCACAUGCAAUCUAUUAUGCAUCUAAGGCCUUGAAUGGAACUCAACUCAAUUAUACAAUCACAGAAAAUGAGUUUUUAGCAGUUAUUUUUGCUUUAGAAAAAUUUCGUUCUUAUUUAUUAGAAGAUAAAGUGAUUGUGUAUUCUGACUAUACAGCGCUAUGGCACUUGAUGACCAAGAAAGAUGUUAAACCAAGGUUGAUAAGAUGGAUUUUGCUUUUAUAUGGGUUCAAUUUGAAAAUCCGUGAUAAAAAGGGAGGAGAGAAUUUAGUUGCCGAUCAUUUUAGUCGAUUGCCAAUUGUUAAGGAUGAUUUUAUAUUGACGAAAACUUUUCCUAAUGAACAACCAUUUUCUGCUAAUCCCUCUCUUCCUUAGUAUGCAGAUAUUAUUAAUUUCUUGACCACUAAUCAAUUGCUUGCAUAUUGGUCGAAAACAAAAUGAGAUAAGCUCAAAUGUGAUCCUAAGUAUUACUUAUGGGAUGACCCCUAUUUAUAGAGGCAAUAUGCAGAUCAAGUACUGCGUAGAUGUGUAAUUGAGAGUGAAUUUAAUUUUGUUUUAACAUUUUAUCACUCUUACGCAUGUGGAGACCAAUUUAGACUGCAAAAAUAGCUCGUAAAGUAUUGGAAAGCGAUUUUUAUUGGCCUACAAUUUUCAAAGAUACAUACUUGUUUUGUAAGUCAUGUGAUAGUUAUCAAAGGGUAGGAAAUAUUUCUCAUAGAAACUAGAUACUACGAACCCCUAUGAUUUUUUGUGAAAUUUUUGAUGCAUGGGGUAUUGAUUUUAUGGGUCCAUUUCCUUUGUCUUUUGGUUUCCUUUACAUUUUGUUGGCCGUAGAUUAUGUGUCGAAGUAAAUGAAAACAAAAACCACCCGAACUAAUGAUUCUAAAGUGGUUGAGAUUAUGUAAUUGAGAGUGAAUUUAAUUUUGUUUUAACAUUUUAUCACUCUUACGCAUGUGGAGACCAAUUUAGACUGCAAAAAUAGCUCGUAAAGUAUUGGAAAGCGGUUUUUAUUGGCCUACAAUUUUCAAAGAUACAUACUUGUUUUGUAAGUCAUGUGAUAGAUAUCAAAGGGUAGGAAAUAUUUCUCAUAGAAACUAGAUACUACGAACCCCUAUGAUUUUUUGUGAAAUUUUUGAUGCAUGGGGUGUUGAUUUUAUGGGUCCAUUUCCUUUGUCUUUUGGUUUCCUUUACAUUUUGUUGGCCGUAGAUUAUGUGUCGAAGUAAAUGAAACUAAAAACCACCCGAACUAAUGAUUCUAAAGUGGUUGCAUAUUUCAUUCAAUCACAUAUUUUUGUUCGUUUUGGGGUACCACGAAUUAUAGUAAGUGAUUGAGAAAAACAGUUUUGCAAUAAAAUGUUGGCGGCUCUAUUUCGUAAAUAUGGAGUGACUCAUAAGGUAUUUACAUCCUAUCACCCCAAACGAAUGGUCAUGUGAAAAUUUCAAAUAGGGAAAUUAAAUAUAUAUUGGAGAAGAUGGUUCGUCCCGAUAGGAAUGAUUGGAGUUCAUAAUUGAACGAUGUACUUUGGAUUUAUAGGACAGCCUAUAAAACUCCUAUAAGUAUAUCUCCCUAUAGGUUGGUAUUUGAGAAGCCGUGUCAUUUAUCGGUUGAGCUCGAGCACAAAGCAUAUUGGGGGAUCAUGAAAUGCAACAUGGAUCUUGAUGAUGUUGAAAUGCAUAGAAAACUCCAAUUACAAGAAUUGAAAGAGUUGAAGAAUGAUACUUACGAGAAUGCAACACUAUAUAAAGAGAAGAUUAAGGUUUUUCAUGACCAAUAAGUUGCAAGGAAAUCAUUUAUAGUUGGGCAAAGAGUUCUUCUCUAUCAAUCUUGUCUAAAGCUCUUUCUAGGUAAGUUGCGCUCUCGUUGGGUUAGUCUAUUUGUUGUGAUUAAUAUUUUUCACUAUGGUGCUGUGGAAAUUCAGAGUAUGCAGACAGAUAAGAAAUUUGUGGUUAAUGGCCAUCAUUUUAAACCCUAUUAUGAAAGUGUUUCAAUGGAGAAUGUGGAGAUAAUAAAUCUUGAAGAUCCCUCUUAUGCUGCUUGAGCAAUAUUCGACCAUGUCUAACCAAAGACGUUAAAAAAAGAUGCUUAUUGGGAGGCAAUCAAAUUCUUUUUUUAUUGUUUGUUCACUAAUAUUAUGUGUUUCACUAUGUUUAUCUUAGGUAAUGCACAAAUAUCCAAUUCCAUCAUCAAAAAAUUAUGGACCAACAUGACUUGCCCAUGUCUUGAGGGUAUGUUGUAACUCAUAAUUAGCCAACUUUAUCAUCAAAAGAGUUUCAACCAAUAAGACGUGCCCACGUCUUGUCCUAGCAAAGGAAAAAAAACAAAUUGAACCCAAAAGAAUUUUCUUUUUCCUUUUUUUCUAUUCUUUCCUUUGCCUUUUCCCUUUUCUAUUUCUUUUCCUUUCCUUCUUUCUUUCUUUCUUCUUUCUUUAUUUCGCUUUUUCGUUUCCCCAGCCGCAUGGCCAAAACUCUAUUUGCUGCUUGCCCACAAUUCAUCUCCCACCAUCCACUGUUGUUGCCGUUCGCUAGUUUGUCUCUACUACCAUUGUUGUCGUCGCCAUUUGUCGAAGCCUAUCGCUGGUUUCGCAGUCGCCCGUCUCUAGUUUUGCCGUCGCUUGCUACUGUGCCAUUCACCGCUGCUCGCGUUGCCAUGAACGUCCAUCCUCUGCCAAUGACAGCCAUCGCUUCGCACUUUCUCUGUUGCCUUGUUUCUACUGACCCAAUUUUUGGUAUUCUUGUCCUUCUCUUUUAAAUAUUGUUGGGUUGCUACUUUGGAGUUUAUUAGAAUUUCUUUUUGCAGAGUUGAUUUAAUUUGUUGAUUGGGUAUUCCUUGAAUUGUUGGAUUGGCACUACCUGACAUCUGCUUGUUUUCUGAUGAUGACCACUAACUUGCACUACUAUUUUGCAUCCAUGGGGAUUUAAUGCUGAUUGGAGGUUAUAAACUGUGGUGAAAUUUCCGCUACUUACUUGUCAAUUGCUGAUUGUUGAUAUUGAUAGGGGGUAUUGUUCUUACAUUUCUAGUUUUGUUAUUAAAUAGUGUCACAUCUCUGGGCUCUUUACUGUACACUUUGAUUUGAGAUUGCUUGGCUAUCUUUAGUCGUUUGGCAUACAUUAGAGGCUUGUAUUUCGCCAUUGUCUGACGUUGUUUACUGCUAUUUUUGGAUUCAGUUAUCUAAAUGGCUAAGAAAAAAAAGACCCCUAUGACUAAAACCACUCCCUCAUCCCAACAAACUAUACCCACGACUGACCCUUCUCCGUUCUUCUUUUUCGAGUAAAUGGGCAUGCUUAGGUAGCUACAACGAGGUCCAUAUCUCCUCACUCUCCCACUUUGCGGGUAAUUUGACUCUCACCAAAGCCUUCAAUAAGCAAAGAUACUAUAAUUAUUAUGAGUGGCGAAUUAUUCCUUGUAAACAUCUUGACCCUCCCAUCAUGGUUUCUUUGAAUUUCUUUGAGAAUAUUGCACAGAUGUUUAUAGCCAUAGGUUGGCGUUCUUAUGCCGAAAUACGAUGUCCUGCUUUUGUUGAAUUGGUUAGGGAGUUUUACGCCACCUUUGAGUUUGAUCUAUCCAUGGGGUAUUCUGUCACAACCCCGAAUGUGAUUUGAUUUCGAUUGAUAGGUUGGGAGUUUAAGUUCUCCAUUACCUAGUUUAAUUUGGCUUGUGGGUUCAUCGAUAGUGAGUAUGCCAAUUUCAGGGAAUAUGCCGAAAGUGCUUGUGAUUAUAUCGACCCAUUUUUCUCUUUUCACACCGAGAUUUGAAAGGAUGUUUCUAUUGAUGGUGAUUGUUAUAAUCCUAGCCGGUCCAAGAGCUGUUAUCUCAAGGACCUGAGUUCCUGUUAUAUUUUGCACUUUUUAGCCUAUAAUUACUCAGGUAGGAAAGAUAGUUCCGAGACUUUUCUAAGCCUAAAUUUUUCUUUAUUUGGUGUAUGACUAAAAAUAUCAAAGUUAAUUUGGGCUAUUGGCUAGUUUCCCAAUUCAAGACGGUUAUGGUUAAGAAAAACAAACCUUUGAUUCUUGGGUCUUACAUCACACAUUUAGCUAUUCAUUUAGACAUUCUUGAUCCCUAUGACCAAGAUUUACAUUUGGCUUGUAACAUGGACCCUUUAGCUAUGGUUUGUCUAGAGAAAAUGGGUGUAGUGGAACAGGUUGAUGACGCGUGGUAGUUUACUCUUUCGGGGCCCACUUGUGUACUCGUUCGUCGUCCUUCCACGUGUGCUAGUACCUCUUCUACUUCCUGAGUAGCCGAUGGCAAGCUUGGACCAUCUACCUCCGCACCUUCUCCAUUGUCGUCUUGGGAUGCUGAGUGGCGAUACCUUUGUGCACAAGUUCACCAUAUGGAUGAACAGUUGACUAAUCUUGCACUUCACAUGUCCCAGAUAUCCUAGACUUUUGCGGCUUACUUCCACUAUGUGGGUUUUAUGCUGCCAUUCCCGCCUCAUACAUAGCUGUCCGGAGUCCUUCUCCACUUUCUUCGGGAAAGUUUCGUUGUCCCAUUCCUUUUCUUUUCUUUGUUUCUUCCAUUCGGGACAAUAUCAGAUUUAGGUGGAGGGGGAGUUGUACAGUUGGUACUGUUCAUUUUAGGUGUUUUCAUUUUCUUUUUGUUAUUUGUGAGUAUUUUUAUGGAUAUUUGGGAUCGACAAUGGUUAGUUGAUUCCAAUUUUUCUAUUACCAAGUUUUAUUUAUAAGAAUGUAUCAAAUGCAAUAUGGGUAAGUCUAAGAAUGGGUCCUUGGUAAAUAUUUGAGAUUUUGUGACUUUUGCAAUUUUUGAUUAGCUUUUCUAGGCAUUGUGCAUAUUUUUAUAGUAUUUUUCAUGUAAAUUGGUUCGAUUAUUAAUCUUAGUUCUCCAUGUUUGAGGAAAUGAUGCAACCUUGUGUGAUUUUUAACAUUGUUUUGUUGCUAAUUUGUGAAUAGUGUUUGGCUAUAUUCCGGUGGUUAUCGCUACCUAGUAACCGGGAGUCUUCACCUAACGUAUCGACUUUCGUGUCAAACUGUAGCGCUAGCUAUGAGUAUGUGGCCCUUUAAAUGAUGAAAAGUUGAGUAACCGGAUUCCUUCUUUUGGUAGAUGUCAGAAUUUACAUCAAAAGACUUGAAUGGCCAAGGACUAAAUCUUGUCCCUGAAAACUGAACAAAAAAAAAAAGAAAAAAAAAGAGAAAAACAAAAAAAAAAAAAAAAAAAACUGUGCAAGUAUAGAGUUGAUUAUGUUAGCCUAUCGACCCAUGGGUUUGAUAUUGAGAUUUUGAUUAAAAGUUGAGUCAUUUGCUGAUCAAUGCUAGUCAAAUGUUUAAUCUUCUUAGAUUAGUUAGUCAGGAAUUGGAGAAGUCCUUGGUUUUAAAAGCUAACCGAAGAGUUAUUUCUUGGAACUUGGCUAUCAAUGCUUGAUGUCUACUUUGAUGAUAUUUUGACAAUAGAUGAGUUGAGUGAUAACCAUUGUUGGGAUUCAGUUACUGAUUUGUUGUUUCUCAUACUUGAGAACAAGUAUGUUCUAGGUGUGGGGGGAAAUUGAUAGGGUGCAAAAUCGUUAUUCAAUUUAUGAUUAGUUUUCCCUUUUAUUUUAGCCAAAUAUUGUUUUAAUUGUCGGAUUCUAUUUAUAUUUGGUAUUUGAUGAUAUUAUAGGGCGGUGGAGCGAAAGUUGCUAAAAAGGGACGAUUUUCUUCAAAGUUGAUUGUCAAGUGCGGAGAUGCGGGAUUUGCACGUAAGAGUUUCCUAAUCCAAGAUGGAGUCUGAGCAGAGUAGCGACUUGAGAUUAAGAAAGUUUUUCUUCUAGAGAUUUGAUUUAAUUAGGAAACAAUUAGCCUUAUCUUUUGGAAGUGGUUCCUUUUUCAAUUAGAAGUAGUUUUAUUCUUGAAAGCAAGAAAAUAGGGGAAGGGCCGUUUGACUUUUAGUACUUGACAAAAAACAAGACUUGGGAGACGAGAAUUUUUUGGGAGCGCUGGUGACUAGUCUCGCGGGGAGGAAAAGAACAAAGAUGCUGUCCUCUUUGUCAUUGCUUUUACUCUCAUUUUCUAUUUUAUUGGAUGCUUAUGCAAUUUACUUCAAUUAAAUUGUGUUGCUUGAUGCCGAUGAUGUGCAACUAAAAUUUGCUUUUCUAGCCAAGAAAUAACGUGAAUUUGGGUCAUCAACAACUAUGAGAUCAAACUGUUUUUAUUAAUUUCUUUUAUUCAUUAGUAUUCGUAUGUUUUCGAGUUUAAUUGGUUAUAGGUGUUAGUUGUUUGAAUAUCAAAGGCGUUUAAUAUUUAAUUCAACCUAACAAACUAUUGCCAUUUUAAACAGUUAAAUUCGUAAUUGUUUAAUUAUUUUAAAUUAGUAGCGACUAGCGUGAUUGGCUUUACGUUAGGGAGACAUAUGAUUUAAUUUAAAUAAACCCUGAUAAUGUGUUUAUUGAUUAGAACAGGACUUUUCUAAUUUCUAAUGCAAUUAAAGAAUUAAAUUUUAUGGACGUACCUAGGGUUAUUUUUUGGCUAGAAAAGUAGAUAACGAGUGUACCUUAACUAUUGAGAUACUAAGGAAGAGCUGGUUGUCAUCACAUGUUUGGCAACUAUAACCUAUUUAUUAACCAUAAAUGAAAUAAUUCUUACAUCGAUGAGCAGUUGUUUGACCCGUUUCCGGAGUUAUUUCCUUGGUUAGAGCUCGUUUAUCCUUGAUUUAAAUUUAAUCUGUUUUAGUUUAAUUAUUUUCAAUUUGCAUUGAUUAUUUAUUUUUAAUUGUAAUUUUCCAAACUCCCCCCAAUUCAUUGUCACUUGAAAGUAGCAAAUUUUCAUUCGAAACCUUGAGUUUAUAUCUUUUUGAGUAGGAAUUUAUUUUUACACAAGCCUGACACCUGUCAAUUAACACAAGGUUUCGAGCAAUGCACAGUUUCUUUUGUAUCUAGAAUGGCUAAUGUAGCAAGUCAUAUGCUAGCACAUUUUGCAACAUACCUAGUUUAUGAUAUAAAAUGGGUAAAUGAUUUCCCAAUUCGACUCAUAGAAGCAGCUAGGAAGGAUGAGUGGGUGAAUGUCCCCUUUUGUAAUUAACUCUUGUACUUAAAGUGUUAAUAUAUAUACUGAUAUUAUCAUUUGUUGGAAAAAAGAGAAAGUGUUUAUUUGUUUAAUAAAAUGGUCACGAUAGUGUUUAUAUAAUUUUGUAAACUUUGGAAAGUAAAUUACCUCGUUGAAUUUGUAUAAUUUGAUUAUGUUGAAGAAACAUAAUCUUGAAAAAGCAGAGAAAUUUUCUAGUAAAUAUUUAUUUUAUUUUGAUAGCUAAUCAUUGUUCAUAUCAAUAUACUAGCUAUAAAGUUAUACUCGCAAUACUACUGCUACGGUAUAAAAUUUCUUGUCAGAGCAAUUUAUAAUUUCAUCCCAUUUUUACCCUUGACUGUUAACCUCAAGUUCUUCAGAUAUCCAUGGGACAGUGUAACCCCUUUGAAGGUCAAUUCUUACACCCUCAUCAAAGUUUCUGGAGUUGCGUAUUAUAGGGGUGCAAACACAAAAACGAGACAUCCUUAAUCAAAUGGAGUUCCUUCUUUUUGCGAUUCAUUCCUCUGCAAAGCUCCUCCUCCUCCGAUUUUAAUAUAUGCCGCUGUUAAAAUAGGAUACUAAUUAGGUGAAUACGAGGACUCUCGUUCGACUCUCGAUCUUUCCUCUCAAAUUACACUAAUAUUUUUAAUCAUACACUCAUCCCCUUACUAACUUCCUAUGGGCCCAAUAUGUUGAGUAGAAUUCGAUUGGAACAACCGAAAAGAAAAGAAAAGAAAACAAAUACAAAACAAUGAAAUGGACACUUAGUCAAGUUGGAACCUAGGAGGAAGUGAGGAGCACAAGUGCGAACAGAUCACCAAGGAAAAAGAAACAAAUUUUUCGAGAAUGCUAUUUGAUUUCAAGCUCAAUCAUAUUCUAAGAGUCAAUGAUAAGAUCGAAAAAUGUAGGUCCAUUGUUAAGAUAUAGACGGAGAUGGUUGCUUAUUGAGCGUUGGAAAUAUUUCAUAAGCAAGUUGUACUUAUAUCUCAACUUGUAUUAAUAAGAUUAAGUUAAUGACCAUGUCAAUGAUCUCUGCGUCGUGCAUGACAUUCUUUUUUCUUGUGCUCUCCCAAAAGCUGAAAAUGGCUGGUGAUAAGCAAGUUGUACUUAUAUCUCAACUUGUAUAAUUUUAAUUUAAUAAGAUUAAGUUAAUGACGUCAAUGAUCUCUGCCUCGUGCAUGACAUUCUCUUUUCUUGUACUCUCCCAAAAGCCUCUUCCAGCAGUGGCUGCAUGUCUGUACAUGUUCCCCCACAACAAGAAUAAUGAAUCAAUGGCAUAAUUGCACGCAUAAUUAAAUUUUCUGGAGCUGCGUGAUAAAUUGCAAUAGUUUUUGAUUUUUUCUGUUUCCGGUUCCCAACUCUAGCUAACUUCUAGAUUUAUUAAUUGGAAAAGAAGAAGAAGGAAUAAAUUAAACCUUAUUAAUUACUUUUUUAGUCAGGAUAUCUAUAGUAGAUGUAAUUAUCUCUAUAGAAAUGAAUGAAGCAUCCUAGCUUAUGAUCAUUAUCCUCUGUUGCAAUUCUCUUGUUCAAACUUCAAAUUAAGCUCUUGUUUGCUAACCCAAUUCAGCACUUAAAUUUAAUGGAUUCAGAUUUUAACAUAUUCAGAUGCGUUUGAUAACCAAAAAUUGAAUAUCUGAAUUAAUUAAGUGAUACUAAAUUUUUUAGGCAAAACUUACCCCUAAAAAAGAGCGAUAAGUUAUUCACUUAUCACUUAAUGUGAUAUACACUCAAAUAUAUCAGAUUUAAUACUUAUAAUAACUUAAUGAAUUCAGAAUUCAAAUUUCAGAUUUCAAUUUUAUCAAACGCACCCUAUCUCACCGCAAACUGAAUAUGAAAUCCAAAGUUGAAAAUCCAAGAUGUUAGAACUUUGAAACCAUAGAGCCUUUAGGCAAAUUCAGCAUUUUUACAUUCUAUUGAUUUAGGGCAUCUUCAAUUAUCAGUUUCAACUCCAUGGUAUAAUAUAGAUAUUACCUCUAAUAGUUGUACGCACUUACACAACAAAUACAGAUUGUGAAAUUAAUUGUAUAAGUUUGAUAUUUUGUAGGCUUUGGGAUAUAAUUUUCACGUUUAGGAAAAAGAAAAUAUGUUAGUAAGUAAUAUUGUGAUACCCCUUGUCCCACGUUGGAAGUGGGAGAGGAAAAGGAUUGAUAUAUAUGCAAGAUUUGGUCUUAUAAGUUACUAGUUACUUGGGCUAACCAUGUCGGGAAAGUGUUUUUCGACACAAAAAUUACUUAGGCCAACCAUGGGCUUGGAUGGUGAUAAAUAACUUACUAGAAGCCAGGCAUAUUUGUGUUUAGAUGUCCAGAAAGCAGAGUAGUUCAGAAUUUAGAUAAUGGUAACGAUAUGAUGAGAAUGUGAAGUUAUUUGGUAAACUUUAUAGAUUAAUAAUUUCAUCAAGGCAUCGUAUAUAACCAUGAUGACACAAUCUCAACUUUCAUUCUUUUGUUAAAUCUUAGUUUUUUUUUCUCUUAAAUUCUUUCGAAUAAAGGAAGGAUAGAAUUUAAGCAGUAGAGGGGUGGAAGGGGAAUUUGAAUUCAAAACCUCUAAUUUCUAAGUUUUUCACUAAGCAAUCAUCAAAACCAAAAAAAAAAAAAUUAAAAGUAAAAAAAAAUUAGCACCUUAUGGUCAAUGCUCCUGUUCGAAGAUUUAUUCCUUUGGUUUAUCAUCAUCUCCCUCUAUGAAAUCUAAGUACCCUUGGUUGACAAUUUGUUUCCCUGAGCAUCCAUCAACACUUUUAUAUAGUAUUUUUUUUAAUAUAGUAUUAGAUUAGAUUAGAUUAGAUUAUCAAUGCACCAUCAAUAUAGUAUUAGAUUAUCAAUGCACCAUCAAAACACUUUUAUAUAGUAUUAGAUUAGAUUAGAUUAUCAAUGCACCAUCAAUAUCCUUAAAUAUAAAAGCUUAGGUAUAGUAAUCUGUAUGAUUAUUUUUUAUCUUUUAAUGUUUUAGUUUUAGGAAGAUCACAAAUGCUGCGUAUAAAGCAUGCCAUAGGCUAAAUUAAGCUAAAUUAAGUACAUUGCUAAAAUGGAGAGCAUUGCUAAAUUAAGUACUUUAAGAUAAAGACUUAAGCAGCCAGAUACAUUUGAUGUCAGCUGCUUCAAUAUCCACCUCAAAAUAAAUUAGCCUUUGUUCUAGAUUUAGGUUAAUGCUAAGUCCCUUCACCAUUCUUAGUAAUAAUUCAAUUCUGCCUCAAUUUUCUUCUGAUCUUCAAGGUAAAUGUACGAUAAAUUUCAAAAUAUAUCCCAAAUAUAUGAAUUUCUUGAAACCAUCCUUCAAUCUCAUUACCUACUCAACAAAAUGUUCCAUAAACACAAAUAUAUUAAUGAAUUUGGAGUUGAUUCGAAGCAUUGACGAGAACAACAGGGCUCCUUAGAUUUAACAAUUUCAAAUAACCCCAAGCUCGAAUUUUUCAUAUAUUCAAACAAGAAAUUGGAAAAAUCUGACUAGCUUGCAACGAGUACUACAUCUCAAGACAAGGGAUCUUUUCAGUCAACUCUUUUAUUGUAUCGAAAACCUACUUGCAUCUAUGAAUAAGCAAUACUGAGUGAUGAUAUUUUUAAGGGCAGUCCAAUUCACUCAAUACAAAAAAUAUUUUUAAAUGAUGAUAUUCACAGAACGUCUAUCUUACUUAAACAAACAAUAAAAAGGAGAUUGAUUGAGAAAUGGCCACAUUAUCUUAUCAUUCUUAAUUAUCAUUAGUUCAAUUAUCAACUUUAGCAGUACGGAGACUUGUACAAGGCUGCAAGUUGUACAAGGACAAUAAAUUCUUUAUUCCUGCGUCCGGAGACUUGAGACGUGGACGCUUCAUUAGUCAAUAAUAAUAAAGUGUGGACUUCGACGACUAUUCUUAGCUCGUUCAAGGAAACAGAGAAAAGACGCUCUUGUACAAGCAACAGGCACAGCUACUUAAACUAUUGGAUAAUUUCAUAGACCUUUCCUGAAGUUUUGGACAAUUUCAGCUAGUACCCCUCUUAUUUUCAAUAUUACGCUGACCACUCUUACUUUAACUAGUGUUGUGACCAAUUCAGCCCAUAUAGGUAAAAGAAAUGGAAUAAAUUGACAAGAAAUGGUGUCAUCACAUUUUAUUCCACAUUUACCCUUGUAGACCCUAAAAGAAAUAUUGUAACAUAGGACAAACUUCACUUUGUCCCUCCGAAGUUGAAUCACUUUUCUAUUCUAUACACUGAACUUCAAUUUUGGAUGCUUUGCAUGUGGUUGGAGGCAAAAGCAUAGCAGAGCCCUUUUUGAGUCUCUGAUCGUUAUUAUCACAUGACCGUUGCUAAUUAUACUAUUGCUUUUGAAUGGAAAUAGCAUAAAAGUCUUAGUGAAUGAACAAAUUGAAUAGACCAUUUUGCAGAGCUGUGAGAUAUUCCAAAGCCGUGAAGCACAGUGAUAAGCUACAAAUUAUAGUGGUUUAUAUUUAUUAAUUGUCAAUGAAUGGUUGUAUUUGAGCUAUAAUUUGAAUGGAUGUUGCCUAAUUUAAGUAUAUGUUGGUUUUUGUGGGAAAAGCACGCGAUUGAGGAGGAAAUGAAUCGAAAACGCAACAAAAGGGGAAGAAACGUUGGGUUGCCAAGACACAAGGAUCCGCGGGUGGAUCCUAUGUCCAACGCCAAACAUUGAAAGGGACUUUGCGAGGACUUCUUCUAGUUCUAAUGAUUGGAAAACCCACUCAAACUCGAUUUUUGGCAAGUUUUCAAGACCCAUUCUUACCAUAUUUCGGAUACAACUUUGAGAGACUAUAAAUAGGACAUUCUAGGAUAUUUUUAGAUUAGAAAGCAUUUGGCUAACGUUAGUUCAUCAUUUUUAUAUCUUCUUUUCUUGAGAGAUCACAAUGGAAUUGUUGAAGAAUCAAAGGAAGUUCAAGAUGGAGAUUGGAGCGGGGAAAAAUUAAGAAGUUUUCUUUACUUUUAACUUCUUAUUUUGUCUUUCAUUUGAAUUCUUGGAUUUAUCUAUGAAUAUGUUGAACUCAUUUAUAUCUAAAGUUAGGAUUUUGUGAAGGAGAUUUAAUUAUUUGUUCUAGAUAAAUUAUUCGCUUUUGCUUAGAUUUAUUUAUCUUGCCUUUAUUACAUGUUUAUGUUUUGCCACUAUAGAUAUGCUUUUAGGAUUUGUAUUGAGUUGAGAAGCGAUAUACAACCGUACAUUAGAUAGAUAAACAUACUUAGUAUAAUCAUGAAAGUAGGUUAAACAUUGUAUGGCAUAAUUAUAUCACCUAAGAUUUUAAAAGAUUUAAUUAAAUACUUAUAAUCUCAAGAGCAUCGUGAGAUUUAUUAGACAAAUUUAGAAGUAUCAAGAGAUAAUCUAAAGUACUUUUACGUGAUACGUCUUUGACUUGUUAAGAAAAUAAUUGGAUAUAUAAUUCCAAUUCUGAAUCAAAUUUUGAAACUUUGUUUUUUGCUAAUUGUUUUCUCACCUAUAUCUUGUUUGAUUUGAUUAUUUGUUUAAUUUCUUAAUUAGUGAUUAAAAACCCUCUGAAUUUAAAUUUUGCUAUUUUUAUUAGAGGAAUUAAAGUAUGAAAAAUUAACUCACUGCUGCAGGUUCGACCCUACAGUACUUCAAGGGAAUUAUUAUUACGAUCGACCCUGUACAGUUAUAGAAAUUCAUCGAUCACACAGCAACUAAAAAAAUUUAAUGCACAACAAUGUCAUGAGCAGAAACAGUUUCCAUCUUAGCUGUUCAUCAUUCACGGUGGAUUUCAAUUAGUGGUCAACAAAUAAAGGCAUCGAAAAAAGUAAUCCAACUAGAUAAGUGAAUUUAUACUACAACAUAUUUCUUUUUUCUACCGCAAAAACUUAACUAAUUUACGACAAUGUAGUCCAAGCUAAUUGAAGAUUAAUUUUCCCUAAAAAAUGUUCAUGAUAAAAACUCAACAAAGAGAUAAUACAACAGCUUACUUUUGGAGAUGAUCUUAUACGGUCUUUAUUAACAAACCAAUAGAACUAGUUAGGAAAGAUAUGGGGGUAGUUACCCCGUUUUGUAAUUAACUCUUGUAAUUUCAAGUGUUAAUAUAUAUAAAAUUGGUAUCGUUUGUUGGAAAAAAAAUUUAUUUUAUUUUUUCUUUUAUUUAUUGGUAUUCGCAUAUUCUUUGAUUUCAGUACAUAUAGUUAUUUAAUUAAUUGAUUGUCUUGGAUCCAGAUAAUUAGUUAAUUUGGUAAUCUAUUGUCAAUUAGAGCAUUAAAUCCGUAAUUGUUUAAUUGCCUUGAUAUAGUGACAACUGACAUGAUUGGCUUUGUGUCAAGGAAAUACGCGGGCUAAUAUAAAUAACCCUGGUAGUGUAUUAUUUGGUUAGAAUAGGGCUCCUCUAAAUGUAAGGCAAUUGGGGAAUUAAAUCUUACGGGCGUACCUAGGAUUAUUUUCCAUUAGGGCAGUGAUUAACGGGCGUACCUUAAUUACCGACACAGUAAGGAGGGAUUAACUGUCAUCGCUUGUUUGAUAGUUAUAACCUAUUUAUUAGUAAAUAAUUGGAAUUAGCUUUGCAUCGAUGAUCAAUUAGGUGAACCAUUGCUGAAGUUAUUUCUUGGCUAGAUUCUUAAUUAUCACUCAUUUGAUUUUAGUAGAUUGUUAUUUAAUUUUUAGUAGCUUCUUAGAUUUUCUUUGUUUGUCAUCUUCUGCACAAAAACACCCCCUGGUUACUGUAAAUUUGAAAAGAAAUAGUUACAUCCAAUUCCUGUAAAUUCAACCCUACUUACCACUAUUUACAAAAAUUAACUUUAGUUGAGCAAGUUUUUAUUAUUGCACAGGCCUGACAACCUGUCAAUUUUUGGCGCCGUUGUCGGGGACUGGUGCCAGAUUAAUUUGUUUCUUUUUGAGUUCAUCUUUUUUUUAUUUUUUAUUUAUUUUUCUCUUAUUUUUUAUAUAGUUUAUGACUGCUAACAUUCCGUAUUUUGAUGAUAGACUGGACUUUAUUCCUGAUUGGAGUUAUGAGACACAUGUUUUUCCUAAUGAUGAAUUGGCUGCUGCAAAUUAUGAAACUUAUUUUGCCUUAGCUUAUUCAACCGACACAUGCCUCGCAUUUCAAGAUUACCUAAGUGUUCCAACAGAUACUUUUAGAGAUUUUUCACCUCGAUUUCAAACGUGGUAUGAUCUUUAUUCAAACAAGUAUGAUCAAGGAUGGUGAAAAAAUUUCAAUUUUAAUUAUGUGACCGGACCAAUGAAUUUUCAACAGCAAGAGUCUCAACAACCAUCAUCCGUGUCAGGUAUGUCUUUUGAAAAAAUGAUUAAAUUACUAGCCGCUAAUACAUAUCGAACUCAGCAGGAGACACAAGCGAUGGCGGAUCAAGUGCAACUAUUGAUAUCCGGGAUGGCAGAUCAAAUACAUCUAUUGACAUCAAGAUAACGCGAUUAGCUUCUCACCUUGAAAAAUUACCCUCACAAAUCAAUAUCAACCUUGAAGAAGAUGAGAGUGCAAUUAUCCGGCCAAAUGACAUGGAACUGCAAGAGUUUCACGGAAACGGAUCUAAAGAUGCAGUUGAAAAGGAAGCUGAAGUGCAAGAAAUGUGGCCCCAGUAUCAACUCGUCCAAGUGAAUGAAUCCAGUGAAUAAUCUCCAAAUGCGGUGACAUCUCCUCCAGUCCUUAAUCAAUAUUCUCCUGACUCUUAUUUUCAAUUCCUUUUAAUGAAAUUGACUUUAUUAUACUAGAAAAUUUUGAAUUCAAUGAUAGGAAUAAAUUAAGAGUAGCGAUGGCAAGAUAUCUUGGACCAAUAAAUGCACGUGCGGGGCGAGUGAAUGGAGAAUGCAAAUUAUCGUUGACUUGUUUGGCGCCAUUUACUAGUUCAUGGAAGCCCGUAGCUCGUGUGCUCGAGAAUUAUUCUAUUUACGAGGAUUAUCAGGACUAUAUUGAGAAUGAAGCAUUAAGACGAGUCACAAAAUUUUAUCCUCCAUGAAUAAAACAUGAUAAUGUUUAGCUAAAGACGUUAAAGAAAAGCGCUCAUUGGGAGGCAACCUAAUUUCUCUUAGUUAUUUGUUCAUUUUUUUAUUAGUUUAAAUAUGUUUUUCCUUAGUUUUGACUAAUUUAUGGUUUUAAUUUUCGUUUUUGAUAAUUCGUAGGUGUCUCUCUGACUUGACGCGCCCGCGCCAAAUCGUAUGGAGAACUCACGGUCAGAAGAGUUCUUACCCUCAUGACGUGCCUGCAUCAGGUCACCUGGAGAGCUCCUUAUUCCUUGCCCUCAUGACGUGCCCACGUCAUGUUCGCAGGAAAGGUAAGUAUUCAAAAAACUCAAGAACGGUUAUUGAUUUUCUGUUAAUCUCUACUUUUGAAUUUCAGAAAUAAAAUUUGCCAAUAAUAAUGAAACAAAAAAAUUUCAAAAAAAAGAAUAAAUAAAAAUUAAUUUAAAAAAAAUUUGUUUCACCAUAGAUUAGACUUUCAAAGUACAAAUUUUUAACCAACAAAAAAAACAAUUUCUCUUUCUUUUCUAUGUCUUUUUUUUCUUCUUUUCUUCUUUCUUUCAUUCUUUUCUUUUCUUUCUUUCUUUCUUUUCUUUCUUUUCUUCUUCCUUCUUCCCUGCUGCUUUCCCUUUUCCCCUUUUGCUUUCUUCUUCGCCCGACAUCCCUAGCAACCGCCGCGUCUCGCCGUUCGCCACCUACACACCUUCACACCAACAACGCAUCACUCCGCCUUGCGUAGCCACGAACCUCCUCCAGCUCACCCCGAUUCGCGCGCCUCCCCUCAAGUCCGACCCACCUCGACGACACCCGCUCAAGACCAAGCCGCGUGCCACCAGCUUAACUUCACCAACGCCGCCGCUGUCCAGCCCCGAGCUCCACCUCACGAUCGUACCCACCACUGCAGUAGCUCCAGCUACACCGCUGCCCCUCCUUUUUCCCUCACUCUGCCUCUCGGCCACACGCUGCGCACAGCCGCAGCCAGACAGCCAUGCUGCUUUUGAGCUCAGCCGCCUGCCCAAGCUACCACCAGCUCGCUCCCACUUCUCUGCAACAGCCCCUAGUCGCCGCCUUCGCCAUACCCACUCUCUACCCACGGUCACGUCUCUCUCUCUCCUUCUCUCUAUCACCACGGUGGAGGUACCAUUACACCUAUUACCUACCUGUUUUGAAUAUCCUUUGCUGGGUUUCCUUAUUGGCCUCACUAAAGGACUCCUCUGCUAGAAUUUAGUGGCGUCAGUUUCUUGGCUUGUCCGUUUGAUUUAACUCCUCCCUGUGUGUACACCAGUGGUACUGGUUGCGGUGUUGCUUUAAAUUUCUUAAUCCUAUGUGCUUGACUGCCUAUUUGACUUUUGAGUUUUAGUACUUGAAUUGUUUCUCGAAUUCUAAACGGUGGUUGCUGGAAUAGCCUGUUGCUUGGCUCCAUUGCUAAUUUUGGUCGUUUGAAUUGGGUAAUUGACUGUGCACUUGGUGACAUUUGUUGAGUUUCAGUUGCUCAAAUUGGUUGAAUUCACUGCUCUGUUGGGGUCCCUGUGGGUAUCACUUGAGUUCUGUUUUGUUAGUUUUUGUCUUGUGCCCCAUGAAGUGCCGUUAGUUGGGUAUUUUUCUGUGCUUGUUUGUUGAAUUGGGGUGCUACUGUGCCCCUUCCUUUGUUUUUGGUGAUCAGUUGUGUCUAAUUGACUUGCUUGGGGUAAUCUGUCCAUCAAUUUUAAUUACUCAAGUCUUUGGAGCAGUUGUUGCACAUUUGGACUGCUUUGUUUCUACAUCUGACUGAAUUGGGACCACAAGUGCUUAUCUAUUGCAUUUGCUAUACGUGUUGGAGUAUUUGUAUAACCUGUGGGUGAUUGAAUUGUGCAUUUUGUUCAUUGAGCUGGCUUUUUAUUUGUUAUUGCUUUGAAUUGCCUACUUCCAUUAUUUGUUGGCACCUGUAGUCUCUUGUUGUUUGGAGUGAUAACUGCCACCCAUGGUGAAGCCACGAUCCUCCUCUAGGUUUAGGACACCUAGAACUACUCCACCUUCUCCCACCCGAGGGGCCGACGACUGACUCCAACUCCGGAUGACAGUUGAGAGACUGGAGACUCGAGUGACCUACGUUGACAUCAACUUGCAUAACAUGGCGCAAAAUUUGGCAGCACGUAUGCACCAUGCGGGUCCCAUGUUUUGAUGACUUCAGGAAAGUACCGUUGCCCUUCUCCUUCCUUCUGCUUUUACAUUGUCACAUUAAGGGCAAUGUGUGAAUUAGGUGUGGGGGGAUCGUUGUAGCGCUAGUAUUUUUGUUUUUAGUUUCUAGGGCUUUUGCUUUAUUUUUAGUUUGUUUUUUUGUCCAUCUUUCGUUUAUUUUCUUUUCUUUUUUCUAGUGGUCAAUCCUUAUAUGAAUACCAAGUUUUGAUGUUGGAUUGUUGUUUCUAAUUCUGCUAUUGCCGAGUUUUAGUAAUAAAAGGGUAUCAAGUUAAAGUGGUUGAGUUCAGGAAUAUCUCUCUGGUGAAUAUCAGUAAUUGCUUGACUUUUCUAAUUUCUAGUUAACUUUUCUAGGUAUAGGAAUGAUUGUUGGCAUUUUUCAUGUGAAUUGGUCCAGUUAUUAACCUUAGUUCUCCAUGUUUGAAAAUGAGACUAGCUUAUGCAAAUUUUCUUUUGAUUUUUGUGUUAUAUUGAGUUUUUGUGUUAUUUGGUUGUUAAUAAGAGUGACUGUACUCCUCUAGUUAUUACUACUGAGUAAUUGGGGAUUUUCACUAAAAGUAUCGAUUCUCGCGUCAAAAGGUAGUGAUUUCUAUGAGUACGUGGUCACCUAGCGAUAGGAGCUGAGUAACCGAGCUCCUUCAUCUGACAAAUUUUGGAGUUCGCGUCAAAAGGCUCUAGUGACUAGAGACUAAGUCUUUUGCUAUUCUCAAAAGAAGAAAAAAAGAGAGAAAAUAGAAAAGUGUGAUAAUUAAAAAAAAAAGUGAAGGUUGUGCCAAAUGUGACGAAAGUCAGCUUGCCGUUUUAUGGGUUUAAUGUUGAGAUUUUGGUUAAUAGUUGGACCAAUUGCUGAUAAAUGUGAACAGCCAUUCCUUUUUCUUAGAAUAGUUUGCUUUAAAUUGGAGGAGUUGGUGGUUGGGAAGUUAACCGGGGUGAUUUUUCUUUGAUCAUGACCCGUGAUGCUUGAUAAAUUUUUUUUUCUUGGUAUUUUGGCAGUGCGGUAGUUGGAGCAAUAGCCAUUGUCAAACUUUGAUGUUCAAUUGCUAUUCCUAUGCUUGAGGGCAAGCAUGGUUUAGGUGUGGGGGGAAUUGAUAGGUUGCAAUUUCAUUGUUUAUUUUAUUAUUAAUUUUCCCUAUUACCUGACUCGAUGUGGAUUAAUUAUUGGAUUCUACUCACUUUUAGUAUUUUGCAUUUAUUUCAGGGAGUAGAACGAAAAUAUGAUAACAAGUGCCGAUUUGACAAAAGAGGAAUCCAAAUAAUAGAACUUAUCCCAGGGGUAUUUUUGAAAAAGGAAAACUUAUCCCCAUUUUAGUAAUUACUGCAAAGGCAUGGAUGAAGGCAGGGCUUCCUUUUUGCUGGUCGGCGCCACCGCACAAUAGUUAGGCAUUAGAGAGGAUUGCAAUUAGAUAGGAAUGGGAAACGGAUGCUUUUGAGUAGGACUCCUCCUGCGCAUGGCAGGAGCAACUAAGAGUUGUUUUCUUUAACUGUUCGCUGGGAUCUCUUUUUUAUAUUUUUCUUUCCUACGCAUGUCAAAGGAGGGGACCUUAGCCUUUGACUUUUCUUUUCGUCUUUAGUUGCUCUUCCGUAGGAGUAGACAAGGGAUGAGUUAAAUCCCUUUGUCUAGUCAAGGAACAACGGAAGCUUUGAUUCGCCUAAAAAUUGUGAGAUCGAUUUAAUUUUAUUUUUUGAAUGGGAGGGAUCAUUCCCAUCUUGGUUAUCAGAACUAGUUAGGAAAGAUAUGGGGGUAGUUACCCCGUUUUGUAAUUAACUCUUGUAAUUUCAAGUGUUAAUAUAUAUAAAAUUGGUAUCGUUUGUUGGAAAAAAAUUUAUUUUAUUUUUUCUUUUAUUUAUUGGUAUUCGCAUAUUCUUUGAUUUCAGUACAUAUAGUUAUUAAUUAAUUGAAUGUCUUGGAUCCAGAUAAUUAGUUAAUUUGGUAAUCUAUUGUCAAUUAGAGCAUUAAAUCCGUAAUUGUUUAAUUGCCUUGAUAUAGUGACAACUGACAUGAUUGGCUUUGUGUCAAGGAAAUACGCGGCGCUAAUAUAAGAUAACCCUGGUAGUGUAUUAUUUGGUUAGAAUAGGGCUCCUCUAAAUGUAAGGCAAUUGGGAAUUAAAUCUUACGGGCGUACCUAGGAUUAUUUUCCUUAGGGCAGUGAUUAACGGGCGUACCUUAAUUACCGACACAGUAAGGAGGGAUUAACUGUCAUCGCUUGUUUGAUAGUUAUAACCUAUAAUUAGUAAAUAAUUGGAAUUAGCUUUGCAUCGAUGAUCAAUUAGGUGAACCAUUGCUGAAGUUAUUUCUUGGCUAGAUUCUUAAUUAUCACUCAUUUGAUUUUAGUAGAUUGUUAUUUAAUUUUUAGUAGCUUCUUAGAUUUUCUUUGUUUGUCAUCUUCUGCACAAAAAACACCCCCUGGUUACUGUAAAUUUGAAAAGAAAUAGUUACAUCCAAUUCCUGUAAAUUCAACCCUACUUACCACUAUUUACAAAAAUUAACUUUAGUUGAGCAAGUUUUUAUUAUUGCACAGGCCUGACAACCUGUCAAUUUUUGGCGCCGUUGUCGGGGACUGGUGCCAGAUUAAUUUGUUUCUUUUUGAGUUCAUCUUUUUUUUAUUUUUUAUUUAUUUUUCUCUUAUUUUUUAUAUAGUUUAUGACUGCUAACAUUCCGUAUUUUGAUGAUAGACUGGACUUUAUUCCUGAUUGGAGUUAUGAGACACAUGUUUUUCCUAAUGAUGAAUUGGCUGCUGCAAAUUAUGAAAUGAAACUUAUUUUGCCUUAGCUUAUUCAACCGACACAUGCCUCGCAUUUCAAGAUUACCUAAGUGUUCCAACAGAUACUUUUAGAGAUUUUUCACCUCGAUUUCAAACGUGGUAUGAUCUUUAUUCAAACAAGUAUGAUCAAGGAUGGUGAAAAAAUUUCAAUUUUAAUUAUGUGACCGGACCAAUGAAUUUUCAACAGCAAGAGUCUCAACAACCAUCAUCCGUGUCAGGUAUGUCUUUUGAAAAAAUGAUUAAAUUACUAGCCGCUAAACAUAUCGAACUCAGCAGGAGACACAAGCGAUGGCGGAUCAAGUGCAACUAUUGAUAUCCGGGAUGGCAGAUCAAAUACAUCUAUUGACAUCCAAGAUAACGCGAUUAGCUUCUCACCUUGAAAAAUUACCCUCACAAAUCAAUAUCAACCUUGAAGAAGAUGAGAGUGCAAUUAUCCGGCCAAAUGACAUGGAACUGCAAGAGUUUCACGGAAAACGGAUCUAAAGAUGCAGUUGAAAAGGAAGCUGAAGUGCAAGAAAUGUGGCCCCAGUAUCAACUCGUCCAAGUGAAUGAAUCCAGUGAAUAAUCUCCAAAUGCGGUGACAUCUCCUCCAGUCCUUAAUCAAUAUUCUCCUGACUCUUAUUUUCAAUUCCUUUUAAUGAAAUUGACUUUAUUAUACUAGAAAAUUUUGAAUUCAAUGAUAGGAAUAAAUUAAGAGUAGCGAUGGCAAGAUAUCUUGGACCAAUAAAUGCACGUGCGGGGCGAGUGAAUGGAGAAUGCAAAUUAUCGUUGACUUGUUUGGCGCCAUUUACUAGUUCAUGGAAGCCCGUAGCUCGUGUGCUCGAGAAUUAUUCUAUUUACGAGGAUUAUCAGGACUAUAUUGAGAAUGAAGCAUUAAGACGAGUCACAAAAUUUUAUCCUCCAUGAAUAAAACAUGAUAAUGUUUAGCUAAAGACGUUAAAGAAAAGCGCUCAUUGGGAGGCAACCUAAUUUCUCUUAGUUAUUUGUUCAUUUUUUUUAUUAGUUUAAAUAUGUUUUUCCUUAGUUUUGACUAAUUUAUGGUUUUAAUUUUCGUUUUUGAUAAUUCGUAGGUGUCUCUCUGACUUGACGCGCCCGCGCCAAAUCGUAUGGAGAACUCACGGUCAGAAGAGUUCUUACCCUCAUGACGUGCCUGCAUCAGGUCACCUGGAGAGCUCCUUAUUCCUUGCCCUCAUGACGUGCCCACGUCAUGUUCGCAGGAAAGGUAAGUAUUCAAAAAACUCAAGAACGGUUAUUGAUUUCUGUUCUGUUAAUCUCUACUUUUGAAUUUCAGAAAUAAAAUUUGCCAAUAAUAAUGAAACAAAAAAAUUUCAAAAAAAAAAUAAAUAAAAAUUAAUUUAAAAAAAAUUUGUUUCACCAUAGAUUAGACUUUCAAAGUACAAAUUUUUAACCAACAAAAAAAAACAAUUUCUCUUUCUUUUCUAUGUCUUUUUUUCUUCUUUCUUCUUUCUUUCAUUCUUUUCUUUCUUUCUUUCUUUCUUUCUUUCUUUCUUUUCUUUCUUCCUUCUUCCCUGCUGCUUUCCCUUUUCCCCUUUUGCUUUCUUCUUCGCCCGACAUCCCUAGCAACCGCCGCGUCUCGCCGUUCGCCACCUUCACACCACCAACGCAUCACUCCGCCUUGCGUAGCCACGAACCUCCUCCAGCUCACCCCGAUUCGCGCGCCUCCCCUCAAGUCCGACCCACCUCGACGACACCCGCUCAAGACCAAGCCGCGUGCCACCAGCUUAACUUCACCAACGCCGCCGCUGUCCAGCCCCGAGCUCCACCUCACGAUCGUACCCACCACUGCAGUAGCUCCAGCUACACCGCUGCCCCUCCUUUUUCCCUCACUCUGCCUCUCGGCCACACGCUCGCUGCGCACAGCCGCAGCCAGACAGCCAUGCUGCUUUUGAGCUCAGCCGCCUGCCCAAGCUACCACCAGCUCGCUCCCACUUCUCUGCAACAGCCCCUAGUCGCCGCCUUCGCCAUACCCACUCUCUACCCACGGUCACGUCUCUCUCUCUCCUUCUCUCUAUCACCACGGUGGAGGUACCAUUACACCUAUUACCUACCUGUUUUGAAUAUCCUUUGCUGGGUUUCCUUAUUGGCCUCACUAAAGGACUCCUCUGCUAGAAUUUAGUGGCGUCAGUUUCUUGGCUUGUCCGUUUGAUUUAACUCCUCCCUGUGUGUACACCAGUGGUACUGGUUGCGGUGUUGCUUUAAAUUUCUUAAUCCUAUGUGCUUGACUGCCUAUUUGACUUUUGAGUUUUAGUACUUGAAUUGUUUCUCGAAUUCUAAACGGUGGUUGCUGGAAUAGCCUGUUGCUUGGCUCCAUUGCUAAUUUUGGUCGUUUGAAUUGGGUAAUUGACUGUGCACUUGGUGACAUUUGUGAGUUUCAGUUGCUCAAAUUGGUUGAAUUCACUGCUCUGUUGGGGUCCCUGUGGGUAUCACUUGAGUUCUGUUUUGUUAGUUUUUGUCUUGUGCCCCAUGAAGUGCCGUUAGUUGGGUAUUUUUCUGUGCUUGUUUGUUGAAUUGGGGUGCUACUGUGCCCCUUCCUUUGUUUUUGGUGAUCAGUUGUGUCUAAUUGACUUGCUUGGGGUAAUCUGUCCAUCAAUUUUAAUUACUCAAGUCUUUGGAGCAGUUGUUGCACAUUUGGACUGCUUUGUUUCUACAUCUGACUGAAUUGGGACCACAAGUGCUUAUCUAUUGCAUUUGCUAUACGUGUUGGAGUAUUUGUAUAACCUGUGGGUGAUUGAAUUGUGCAUUUUGUUCAUUGAGCUGGCUUUUUAUUUGUUAUUGCUUUGAAUUGCCUACUUCCAUUAUUUGUUGGCACCUGUAGUCUCUUGUUGUUUGGAGUGAUAACUGCCACCCAUGGUGAAGCCACGAUCCUCCUCUAGGUUUAGGACACCUAGAACUACUCCACCUUCUCCCACCCGAGGGGCCGACGACUGACUCCAACUCCGGAUGACAGUUGAGAGACUGGAGACUCGAGUGACCUACGUUGACAUCAACUUGCAUAACAUGGCGCAAAAUUUGGCAGCACGUAUGCACCAUGCGGGUCCCAUGUUUUGAUGACUUCAGGAAAGUACCGUUGCCCUUCUCCUUCCUUCUGCUUUUACAUUGUCACAUUAAGGGCAAUGUGUGAAUUAGGUGUGGGGGGAUCGUUGUAGCGCUAGUAUUUUUGUUUUUAGUUUCUAGGGCUUUUGCUUUAUUUUUAGUUUGUUUUUUUGUCCAUCUUUCGUUUAUUUUCUUUUCUUUUUUCUAGUGGUCAAUCCUUAUAUGAAUACCAAGUUUUGAUGUUGGAUUGUUGUUUCUAAUUCUGCUAUUGCCGAGUUUUAGUAAUAAAAGGGUAUCAAGUUAAAGUGGUUGAGUUCAGGAAUAUCUCUCUGGUGAAUAUCAGUAAUUGCUUGACUUUUCUAAUUUCUAGUUAACUUUUCUAGGUAUAGGGAAUGAUUGUUGGCAUUUUUCAUGUGAAUUGGUCCAGUUAUUAACCUUAGUUCUCCAUGUUUGAAAAUGAGACUAGCUUAUGCAAAUUUUCUUUUGAUUUUUGUGUUAUAUUGAGUUUUUGUGUUAUUUGGUUGUUAAUAAGAGUGACUGUACUCCUCUAGUUAUUACUACUGAGUAAUUGGGGAUUUUCACUAAAAGUAUCGAUUCUCGCGUCAAAAGGUAGUGAUUUCUAUGAGUACGUGGUCACCUAGCGAUAGGAGCUGAGUAACCGAGCUCCUUCAUCUGACAAAUUUUGGAGUUCGCGUCAAAAGGCUCUAGUGACUAGAGACUAAGUCUUUUGCUAUUCUCAAAAGAAGAAAAAAAGAGAGAAAAUAGAAAAGUGUGAUAAUUAAAAAAAAAAGUGAAGGUUGUGCCAAAUGUGACGAAAGUCAGCUUGCCGUUUUAUGGGUUUAAUGUUGAGAUUUUGGUUAAUAGUUGGACCAAUUGCUGAUAAAUGUGAACAGCCAUUCCUUUUUCUUAGAAUAGUUUGCUUUAAAUUGGAGGAGUUGGUGGUUGGGAAGUUAACCGGGGUGAUUUUCUUUGAUCAUGACCCGUGAUGCUUGAUAAAUUUUUUUUUCUUGGUAUUUUGGCAGUGCGGUAGUUGGAGCAAUAGCCAUUGUCAAACUUUGAUGUUCAAUUGCUAUUCCUAUGCUUGAGGGCAAGCAUGGUUUAGGUGUGGGGGAAUUGAUAGGUUGCAAUUUCAUUGUUUAUUUUAUUAUUAAUUUUCCCUAUUACCUGACUCGAUGUGGAUUAAUUAUUGGAUUCUACUCACUUUUAGUAUUUUGCAUUUAUUUCAGGGAGUAGAACGAAAAUAUGAUAACAAGUGCCGAUUUGACAAAAGAGGAAUCCAAAUAAUAGAACUUAUCCCAGGGGUAUUUUUGAAAAAGGAAAACUUAUCCCCAUUUUAGUAAUUACUGCAAAGGCAUGGAUGAAGGCAGGGCUUCCUUUUUGCUGGUCGGCGCCACCGCACAAUAGUUAGGCAUUAGAGAGGAUUGCAAUUAGAUAGGAAUGGGAAACGGAUGCUUUUGAGUAGGACUCCUCCUGCGCAUGGCAGGAGCAACUAAGAGUUGUUUUCUUUAACUGUUCGCUGGGAUCUCUUUUUUAUAUUUUUCUUUCCUACGCAUGUCAAAGGAGGGGACCUUAGCCUUUGACUUUUCUUUUCGUCUUUAGUUGCUCUUCCGUAGGAGUAGACAAGGGAUGAGUUAAAUCCCUUUGUCUAGUCAAGGAACAACGGAAGCUUUGAUUCGCCUAAAAAUUGUGAGAUCGAUUUAAUUUUAUUUUUUGAAUGGGAGGGAUCAUUCCCAUCUUGGUUAUCAGAACUAGUUAGGAAAGAUAUGGGGGUAGUUACCCCGUUUUGUAAUUAACUCUUGUAAUUUCAAGUGUUAAUAUAUAUAAAAUUGGUAUCGUUUGUUGGAAAAAAAAUUUAUUUUAUUUUUCUUUUAUUUAUUGGUAUUCGCAUAUUCUUUGAUUUCAGUACAUAUAGUUAUUUAAUUAAUUGAUUGUCUUGGAUCCAGAUAAUUAGUUAAUUUGGUAAUCUAUUGUCAAUUAGAGCAUUAAAUCCGUAAUUGUUUAAUUGCCUUGAUAUAGUGACAACUGACAUGAUUGGCUUUGUGUCAAGGAAAUACGCGGGCUAAUAUAAGAUAACCCUGGUAGUGUAUUAUUUGGUUAGAAUAGGGCUCCUCUAAAUGUAAGGCAAUUGGGGAAUUAAAUCUUACGGGCGUACCUAGGAUUAUUUUCCCAUUAGGGCAGUGAUUAACGGGCGUACCUUAAUUACCGACACAGUAAGGAGGGAUUAACUGUCAUCGCUUGUUUGAUAGUUAUAACCUAUUUAUUAGUAAAUAAUUGGAAUUAGCUUUGCAUCGAUGAUCAAUUAGGUGAACCAUUGCUGAAGUUAUUUCUUGGCUAGAUUCUUAAUUAUCACUCAUUUGAUUUUAGUAGAUUGUUAUUUAAUUUUUAGUAGCUUCUUAGAUUUUCUUUGUUUGUCAUCUUCUGCACAAAAACACCCCCUGGUUACUGUGAAUUUGAAAAGAAACAGUUAUACCCAGUCCAUGUGGAUUCGACCAUGUUUACCACUAUUUACAAAAAUUAACUUUAGUUAAGCAGGUUUUUAUUAUUGCAAAGGCUUGACAACCUGUCAGCCUCUAGGCAAAUUCAGCAUUUUUACAUUCUACUGAUUUAGGGCAUCUUCAAUUAUCAGUUUCAACUCCAUGGUAUAGUAUAGAUAUUACCUCUAAUAGUUGUACGCACUUACACAACAAAUACAGAUUGUGAAAUUAAUUGUAUAAGUUUGAUAUUUUGUAGGUUUUGGGAUAUAAUUUUCACGUUUAGGAAAAAGAAAAUAAGUUAGUAAGUAAUAAUGUGAUACCCCUUGUCCCACGUUGGAAGUGGGAGAGGAAAAGGAUUGAUAUAUAUAAGAUUUGGUCUCAUAAGUUACUAGUUAUUUGGAAUAACCAUUUUGGGAUAGUGAAUUUCGACACAAAAAUUACUUGGGCCAACCAUGGGCUUGGAUGGUGACAAAUAACUUACUAGAAGCUAGGUAUAUUUAUGUUUAGAAGUCCUGAAAGCAGAGCAGUUCAGAAUCUUGAUAAUGGUAAACUUUGCUAAAUCUUAGUUUUUUUGUCUUAAAUUUUUUCAAAUAAAGGAAGGAUGGAAAUUAAGCAGUAGAGGGGUUGAAGAGGAAUUUGAAUUCAAAAUCUCUAAUUUCUAAGUUUUUCACUAAGCAAUCAUCAAAAUCAAAAUAAUAAUAAUAAUAAUAAUAAUAAUAAUAAGUAAAAAAAAAAAAUGGGCACCUUGUGGUCAAUGCUAGAUCCUGUUCGAAGAUUUAUUCCUUUGGUUUGUCAUCAUCUCCCUCUAUUGAAAUCUAAGUACCCUUGGUUGACAAUUUGUUUCCCUGAGCAGCCAUCAACGCUUUUAUAUAGUAUUAGAUUAGAUUAGAUUGUCAAUGCACCAUCAAUAUCCUUAAAUAUAAUAGCUUAAGUAUAGUAAUCAAAAUACUGUUAGUAAUCUGUAUGAUUAUUUUUCAUCCUUUAAUGUUUUAGUUUUAGGAAGAUCACAAAUGCUGCGUAUAAAGCAUGCCAUAGGCUAAAUUAAGGUAAAUUAAGUACAUUGCUAAAAUGGAGAGCAUUGCUAAAUUAAGUACUUUAAGAUAAAGACUUAAGCAGCAAGAUCCAUUUGAUGUCAGCUGCUUCAAUAUCCACCUCAAAAUAAAUUAGCCUUUGUUCUAGAUUUAGCUUAAUGCUAAGUCCCUUCACCAUUCUUAGUAAUAAUUCAAUUCUGCCUCAAUUUUCUUCUGAUCUUCAAGGUAAAUGUACGAUAAAUUUCAAAAUAUAUCCCAAAUAUAUGAAUUUCUUGAAACCAUCCUUCAAUCUCACUAGCUGCUCAACAAAAUGUUCCAUAAACACAAAUAUAUUAAUGAACUUGGAGUUGAUUUGAAGAAUUGACGAGAACCGCAAGCUAGAAUUUUUCAUAUAUUCAAACAAGAAAUUGGAAAAAUCUGACUAGCUUGCAACGAGUACUACAUCUCAAGACAAGGGAUCUUUUCAGUCAACUCUUUUAUUGUAUCGAAAACCUACUUGCAUCUAUGAAUAAGCAAUACUGAGCUUGCAACGAGUACUGCAUCUCAAGACAGGAACGUCUAUCUUACUUAAACAAACAGUACGGAGACUUUAUCAUUCUUAAUUAUCAUUAGUUCAAUUAUCAACUUUAGCAGUACGGAGACUUGUACAAGGCUGCAACUUGUACAAGGACAAUAAAUUCGUACCUUCGAACUUGAAUCACUUUUCUAUUCUCUUACUCUAAACUUUAAUUUUGGACGCUUUCCAUGUGAUUGGAGGCAACAGCACAACAGAGCUCUUCUUAAGUCUCUGAUCGUUAGUGUCACAUGACCAUUGCUAAUUAUGCUAUUGCUUUUGAAUGGAAAUAGCAUAAAAGUCUUGGGGAAUGAACAAAUUGAAUAGACCAUUUUGCAGAGCAGUGAAAUAUUCCGAAGCCGUGAAGCACAGUGAUAAGCUACAAAUGACAGGUCGUCAACCUGUGCAAUAAUAAUAAUAAUAUAGAACCUAGAUACCACUAAGAGCUGUCAAUAAUUAAUCCUAGGUACUGGAGCAGGGACUCUAGGUGUGCAAUGGGUUACUUGAUUCACCCUGUUCCCGAAGAGUUUGCUGAACCCGAUAUACCAGAAUUAAUUAGUUGGCAAAAAUAGUAGGCAGUGGCAAGUAAAGUCGUCUCCUCAGGGACUGGGGAUAUCUGUCUCUUUUUAAAGUCCAAUUGAUAAGGGGGGAUUUCACCGGAAUGGAACUAAAAAUAAUUAAACAAUUUAAUUAAAAAUAAAUAAAUCACUAGCACAAGUAAAGCAGGAAUUAAAUCAAGAAUAAAUAAGUUCUAGCCAAGGAUACAACUACUCAGGCACAGUCCAUUUAUCCGAUCAUUGAUGCAGGAGAGGUUCACUUAAUUUAUUAAUAGGUUAGUUAUAGUCUGACGACCAAUUUUUCCUUAAAUUAUUGAUAACCAAGGUACGACCAUUGAUCACCCCUAACCAGAAAAUACUCCUAGGUACGACCGUAGGAAUUAAUUUCCCAAUUGCAUUAAUAUUAGAAAAACCUAGCCCUAACCAAUAACACGCUACGAGGGUUAUUUAAAUUAGAUUGCACGUUCCCCUAAUGUGUAAACACACCAGUUGCCACUAAUAUUAAUCAAUCAAACAAUUACGGAUUUAAUUGACUAAAUUGGCACGAGACUAAUAAAUCACAUUGAACAUCGGGCCCUUGACAUCCAAUUAAUAAAAUAAUCCCAUGAAAAUACAAGCAGGCAACGUGCAAUUAUUAAUAAAUUAAGGAACGCGUGAAAACUAAUUAGAUCUCACAGGUUUUCGGGACUGCGCCGUCGAGUUGAUCCUUGACUAGAUGGAAGAUUUAGCCACGCCGCAUAAUUAAAUCACCACACGAAUUAAUGGAUUGCAAAGGCAUAGCGUUUUCUAUUAAGAAGCAAGGAAUAAAAGGUGUUUUUCCCGUUGGGGAAUUUCGUCGAACACCUGGCGUGCCAGAGGCCAGUCAAAAGAAGGAAAAAGUAAAGCUACACUAAAAGACUAAAACCAGAGAUAUCCCUCUGCUACUCUACGUUAUCCCUAUUUAAGCCACAAAAGAAAGAUAACUCAAGGCUCUCUACGUGUGUCCCCACACAUGUGGGCAAAGCCUUCAAAGUACUUCUUGCCCCAAGCCUCCUUCCGUAGCUUUCUUUUUAGAGUCCAAAUGACUAGAUGCCUUCCACUAGCUUGUGGUCCCCACAAAUUCAAGGACCCAAGCAUUGAAGCCCUUAGAAGUCUCCAUAUUUUCCAUAAAGUCCCUCCUUUUGGUAGUUUUCUGCUUUAUUCCUGAAAUUACGUCCACAUACCAAAUAUGAGUAAAUAUCAGCAAUUAACACAAUAUUUGUCAGGGAUAAAAGGGAAAAUUAAUAAUAAAAUUACUAACAAAUUGUACCCUAUCAAUUCCCCCCACACCUGAAUCAUGCUUGCCCUCAAGCAUGAGGAAAAUUUAACUCAACAAUGGCUAGCUUUCACUUUAUCAUAGCCAGCUGUGCCUAUACCCAAAAUCAAGGUCUAGUGACUAAGUGUCAAGACAUAUCUCUCACGGUUAGCUUUUAAGUCCAUAGACCUGUCCAAUUCAUGGCUAACUCGCUUAGGAAAUCCAAAUAAUAACUAGCAACAAUUAGUAAUUAAGUCAACUGGCAACCAAAAUCUCAACAAUACGAACCAAGGAUCGGCAGGCUAAUAUGAUCAUAAACUCACAUAUUCUCCACAUCUGAUUUUCUUUUUUCCUUUUCUUUUCUGUUUUGUCUCUCCCUCUUUUUUUUUUCUUCUCUUUUUUUCCAUUUUUUUUUUCAUUUGUUUCCGAUGCUUAGCCCCGAGCUAUUCAAAUCUUUUGACGUGAACUCUGACAUUUUUAGAUGAAAGAGCCCAGUUACUCGACCUUUCGUAGCUCCCGGUCUAUUUACUCAUAGAUAUCGUCACUUUUUGACGCGAGAGCCGACACUUGUGGUGAAGACUUCCGGUUACUAGGUGGCGACACUAGCGGAGUAUAGCCAUACAUUAUUCACCAGAAAACACCAAGAUACCAAAUAAUUACAGAUCAUAGCCUGCGUCAUGUCCCAAAUAUGGAGAACUAAGGUAAACAGGAGACCAAACUACACAACAGUGCCAGCAAAAUAUUGUACUGCCUACAACAAGUUAGCCAUAAAUUGCACCACGUCGUUAAACUCAAAGUAUUCACCAAGAAGGCAUGCUUUUACUUGCCACUGUAACUCAACUCAUAGUACAAACCACAACUAACAAGAAAAAAUGCGCUGCCAAAAAUAUUCACCAAGAUAGAAGCAAGGGAAAGACACUCAAAAGAGAUAAAGGAGCAACACCUAAACAAAAAAAAAAAAUAAUAAUAAUAAAGAAACGAGAACUAGCACCCAAACUGACCCCCCCACACCUAAAUGACGCAUUGCCCUCAAUGUGAAAAGAUAAUAGCAGAAAAAGGGGAGGGGCAACGGUACUUCCCUGAAGGCGUCAAGACAAGGGUGGGUUAGGCGGAAACUGAGGAGGGAACCCGGCUUGCUGCAUAAAAGCCGCUAGAUUCUGCGCCAUAUUGUGAAUGUUAACGUCCAUGUGUUUCUGCCGAAUCUCAAGCCGCUCGACUGUGUUGCGGAGCUGGUUCCAUUCCUCAUCCGUAUGGGCGGAAUGGAGGGGAACGGAGGAAGAUGGACCGGGAUCACCGCCUGCCGUGGAGGCACUGGCAAAGGAUGAACGAGGGGGAGGGUGUAGCGGUCCCGGGGGAACAACCUCCCAACCAUUGUCGCCCUCCCGAACUAAGCCCAUUUUCUCUAAGCUUGGAAUAUCCAAAGGCUCCAUUUGACAGGCUAUAUGCAAGUUAUGGUUAGAAAUAUCAAGGACAUGCAAAUUAAUAGCCAAGUGAGUAAUGUAAGACCCAAGAAUCAAGGGCCGCUUCUUUUUAGGCAAAAUGGACUUGAACUGAGACGCGAGCCAACACAAGAUUAACCUUAAUAUUGUUUUGCAUGCACCAUAUAAAGAAAAAUUCGGGCUUAGACAGAAUGCCCGAACUAUCUCGCCUACCAGAGAAACUGUAAGCCAAAAAACGGUGGAUAUAGCGAGAGGCCGGGUCCUUCAGAUAGGACCCCUUGGAUAGACGAGGGUCAUAGUUAUCCCUGUCUACAGACAUAUCAUCCCAAAGAAAGCGAUAGCGGGAGAAAAACGGCUGGACAUAGUCACACGCACUCUCGGCAUACUCCCUAGACUCAGCAUAAGCAGGAUCAAUGAAACCAAAGGCCAGAUUGAAGUCGGUUAUGGAAUGGUGGAAUUCCUGGCCCAUUAAACGGAAGCGGAUGACAUCCGGGUAGAAACUGUGUAAUUAGUGGGAAGGUCAAACUCAAACGUGGCAUAAAACUCCCUAACCAACUCGACAAAAGCCGGGAGGUCAGUGAUACGAGAAUAGGGGCGCCACCCGAUGGCUUCAAUCAAAUCGUGAAAGGGGACGCUAAUAUUUAGAAGGCCCAAGGUGGCGGGGUCCCGAUAACGACAAGGAAUAAUCCGUCGUUCACAAGCCGCUUCAUAGCGUCGCUUGUCGGCUGCCCUGGUGAAAACCAAAUGACCCCCAAAAUGUGCAGGGUCAGAGAUAUGGACGCCUCUUUGUCGCCCAAGACGAGCCCGCCUCCCAGAGGAGGAAGGGUCGUGCGAGGGUCAGAGGCGGGAAUGGAAUGCUGAGGUGGAGGGGGCUUAGGAGUCCUAGGGGUCCUAGUCUUAGAAGAAGAUCGAGGCUUCACCAUGGUGGUCAACAGGCAAACCCAAACAACCAAGUAGCAAAUAUAAGCGUCACGGGCGCCCCCAAUAAACAAGUAUAAGCGUCACGGGCGCCCCCCAAUAAGCAAGUAUAAGCGUCACGGGCGCCCCCAAUAAGCAAAUAAUCGCAGCAAUUCACCCACAAUUGGACACAAAUUUCAGCAAAUGAGACCCAAUCCCCCAGAAAUGAAACCUGAACGUAAGCCAGUAUCUCCAAAAACAGCAACAAUGAUAGGCUAAAGUGCUCAACCAGUACCACUGGUGAGUCACAGGGAAAAAUUAAAGCAAAUGGGCUAGCUGUUCAACAAAUAGUAGAAAAUACCCCCACUUGGCAGCAAUUAAACUCAAACUUGUCCAAACAGUUCCCCUAAGAAAUAAUUAAGCAAAUAAACAGAGCAGAAACCCCCCCCUCAAAAACUAAAUAAACAGUCAAAUCGAGUAAAGAUUCUCCCCAAAUACCAUCGAUUGAGAACAAAAUUUACCAAAUAAUCAACAACCAACCACAGAUAUACCACAGCACCCAAAUAAGCCCAAAAGUUUUGUUCUCAACUAGCAAAUCAAAAAUCUGGCAUCAGCUAAUGAAAAACUAGUGCUCUGGCCUCAGCUACUCAGUGAUUAAAAAAAUAGGAAAAAGAAAAAUAGAGGACGAAUUCACCAGAAGUAGCGCCUGGUCUACCCGCGCGAGGAGGAAGCUGCUGGAGGACUGGCGGUGGACUGGAGGGUUGAGCAGCCGUGCGACUGUGGCGGCGAAGUGGAACUGGGCAGAGAGAAACCGUGCGCAGCGAGGUGGGCCUGCAGGAGCUGGAGCUUGGAGGGGGUGGAAAGGCGCGGCGAGCCACUAGCUCGCGGCUGCGUGGAAGGGUAGGCGGUGGAGGUUGGAGUUGCGCGCGGCUGGUGUAGGCGGAGGAGGGUCGCCCGAGGUGGGCGGCGGCGUCGACGGCAGCCUGCGUGGGUGAAGCUGCUGCGGUGGUGGUGGAAACUCGUGGGCUCUGGCCGAAGCUGGGGCGCGGUGGAGGUCGGCGGCGGCUGGAGGGUGGCUGUGGUCGUGGCGCUCGGGCUUAGGGAGCCGCGACCGAGAGUAGCCGCGCGCAGCGAGCGUGGGCAGCUUGGCCUUGGCUCACGGCGGCGUGCGGCUCUGGUGAUUUGGGUGAAAGGGGUGGCGGCCGAAAGGAGAAAAGAAGGAAAAGGGAAAGAGGGGCAGCGGGGAAGAAAGAAAGAAAGAAGAAAGAAAAAGGAAAGAAAGAAAAGAAGAGAAGGAAAGAAGAAAAAGAGUUUUUUUUUUUUUUUUUUUUUAAAUAUAAAUUUCUCAAAACCCUGUUUCUUCAUUAUUCCGAAUUUAUAUUUCAAAAUUCUGAAUUUUGAAAAGAAAAUAAAAGCCUAAGGUUUUAAAAGAAAAUUUCUUUGAAACUGUUUAAAUGUUUAAUUUUUUUUUUUUUUUUUGAAAGGAAUAAUAAUAAUAAUAACUAAUUUUUUUUUUUUUUUUAAAUCCAUGUUUUGGGUCGUCAAUCACCGCGUGGGCAUGCCAAGAUUACUCUUCGUCCUCUGAUCUCAGUAGACACCAACACCGCGUGGGCACGCCAAGAUUGCUCUUCGUCCUCUGAUCUCAGGAUACACCAACACCGCGUGGGCACGCCACGAUUGGUAUUCGUCCUCUGAUCUCAGGAUACACCAACACCGCGUGGGCACGCCAAGAUUGGUCUUCCUGAUUUCAGUGAAGGAAAUAUUAAUACUGCUACUACCCAACGAGGAAACGACAAAAUGAAAGAAAUGAACAACUAAAAACAAUAAAAUCAAUAUUCAGGUUGCCUCCCGAAAAAGCGCCUUUCUUUAGUGUCUUUGGCUAGACAUAGCCCAUAAUUUGCUUAAACCAAGCAAAUUGGGUCCUCCAAAUGCAUCAUCUCUACCCGCUCAACUGGAACCUCAUCAUAAUACGGCUUGAGACGAUGACCAUUCACCACAAAUUUCUUCUCCGUCUUCAGACUCUGGAUCUCCACUGCACCAUAAUCAAAGACAUUAGUUACAACAAAGGGACCAAUCCAACGAGAACGUAACUUACCUGGAAAUAACUUCAACUUCGAGUGAUACAGUAGAACUUUUUGUCCACAUUCAAACGUCUUCCUAGAGACCUGCUGGUCAUGAAAAAUCUUGUUUUUCUCCUUAUACAUCACAGCAUUCUCGUAGGCUUCAUUGCGAAUCUCCUCCAAUUCUUGUAACUGUAGCUUCCUUUGAAUUCCGCCCUCUUCGAUAUCCAUGUUGCAUUGCUUGACCGCCCAAAAUGCUCUAUGCUCGAAUUCGACAGGAGGUGGCAUGGCUUCCCAAAUACCAAACGGUAAGGGGACAUGCCGAUCGGUGUCUUGUACGCCGUUCUAUAUGCCCACAAGGCAUCUUCAAGUCUCACACUCCAGUCCUUCCUGUCAGGUCGAACCAUUUUUUCCAAAAUCGACUUGAUCUCCCGGUUCGAUGCUUCCGCCUGACCGUUUGUCUGCGGAUGGUAAGACGUGGAGACUUUGUGCAAGACACCGUACCUCCUAAAAAGUGCAGCAAUCGUCUUGUUGCAGAAAUGGGUACCCCGAUCACUUACAAUUGCUCGUGGCAUCCCAAAACGGACAAAGAUAUUAGAUUUAAUGAAUUCUGCAACCACCUUAGAAUCAUUAGUGCGGGUGGCUUUUGCUUCCACCCACUUUGAGACAUAAUCUACGGCAAGCAAUAUAUACAAAAAACCGAAAGAUGAAGGAAAAGGGCCCAUAAAAUCAAUACCCCAAACAUCAAAAAUCUCAACAAAAAUCAUUGGGGUUUGGGUCAUUUGAUCCCUUCGAGAAAUACUACCUACUCGUUGACACUUAUCACAUGACUUACAAAAUAAAUAGGUAUCCUUAAAGAGGGUUGGCCAAUAAAAUCCACUCUCUAGAACCUUACGAGCAGUUCUCUUUGGUCCAAAGUGACCUCCACAUGCAAAAGAGUGACAAUAAGCUAAAAUAGACUGGAAUUCAUUUUCACUCACACAUCUGCGAAUGAUUUGGUCGGCACCACGUUUCCAGAGGUAAGGAUCAUCCCAGAUGUAAGAUUUUGCGUCACUCCUUAACUUAUCCCUUUUUGCCUUAGGCCAUCCUGCAGGAAACUUGUCAGUAACUAGAAAAUUAACAAUAUCUGCAUACCAGGGCAAAGUUAAAUUAGCAGAAAAUAAGUGCUCGUCAGGGAAGUUUCUCUCAACGGGAUAUCGUCCUUGGUGACUUGUACCCGACUCAAGUGAUCUGCUACCAAAUUCUCUGCCCCUUUCUUAUCUCUGAUCUCCAAGUCAAACUCCUGUAGCAACAAUAUCCACCUUAUCAGUCGCGGUUUUGCCUCUUUCUUGGUCAACAGAUACCGCAGGGCUGCAUGAUCAGAGAAAAUAAUAACUUUAGCACCAAGUAAAUAGGAACGAAAUUUUUCUAAAGCAAAAACUACAGCUAGGAGCUCUUUCUCGGUGGUCGAAUAGUUCAAUUGGGCUCCGUUCAAGGCUCGAGAUGCGUAGUAUAUAGCGUGGGCUGCCUUUCCCACUCUUUGACCUAGUACCGCACCCACUGCGUAAUCGCUGGCGUCACACAUGAUUUCAAAUGGGAGAUUCCAGUCAGGGGGUUGGAUGACAGGUGGAGAAGUGAGUAAUUUUUUCAACUUCUCGAACGCUUCUUCGCAUUUCUCGUCGAAUUCAAAACUGACAUCCUUUUGUAAAAGCCUGAAAAGUGGUGCCCCGAUCUUUGAGAAAUCCUUGAUAAAUCUGCGAUAGAAACCUGCAUGUCCUAGAAAAGAACGAACUUCCCGUACAGUUACGGGGUAAGGUAAAGCAGAUAUCACAUCUAUUUUAGCUUUAUCAACUUCAAUUCCUCUAGAUGACACUACAUGUCCUAGAACUAUCCCGUGCUCAACCAUGAAGUGACAUUUUUCCCAAUUCAGCACCAGGUUAGUCUCAAUGCAUCUUUUUAAAAUCAAUGUCAGGUUAUCUAAGCAAUCGUCAAAGCUAUCACCAUAGACACUGAAGUCAUCCAUGAAUACCUCAAUUAUCCUCUCUACAUAUUCAGAAAAAAUGCUAAUCAUGCACCUCUGGAAUGUUGCAGGGGCAUUACACAAUCCAAAAGGCAUUCUUCGAUAGGCAAAAGUGCCAAAGGGGCAAGUGAAAGUUGUUUUCUCUUGAUCCUCUGGCGCAAUUGCUAUCUGAAAAUAACCAGAAAAACCAUCUAAAAAACAAUAAUAGGCACGACAGGCUAACCUUUCAACCAUUUGAUCAAUGAAUGGAAGGGGAAAAUGAUCCUUCUUGGUCACUGCGUUCAAUUUACGGUAAUCGAUGCACUGGCGCCAACCCGUAGGCUUUCGAAUUGGAACAAGGUCCCCUUCAUGAUUUUCUUCCGCAGUUACCCCUGCUUUCUUUGGCACCACUUGGACCGGACUUACCCAUGGGCUGUCUGAGAUAGAGAAAAUAAUUCCUACGUCCAGAAGCUUGAUUACCUCUUUUUUGACCACUUCCAUCAUGAUGGGGUUCAAUCUCCUUUGUGGUUGUCUUAUCGGCCUAGCAUCCUCUUCCAGGCGAAUUCGAUGCAUGCACACAGACGGGCUUAUACCCUUGAUGUCUGCAAUUGUCCACCCUAUAGCUUCCUUAUGCUCCCUUAAAACCCGCAGCAGUUUGUCCUCCUCCGUGGGUGAUAAUUUGGAUGAGAUUAUCACUGGUAACGUCUCUUUUUCACCUAGAAAGGCAUACUUUAAAUGCUCGGGAAGGGGUUUCAACUCCACUUCAGGUGCCUGCACGAUAGAAGGUAACAGCUUUAGGUGUGGUUCAGGCACAAAUAUAGGAGCAACAUCAUACCUUAGAGGACUUUGGCCUAGUGAAUGCAAGGCUCCAACCAUUCUUUGCAAAUUGAUGUCUAACUCCAUUUCGCAGGCCACUUCCAGAUCCAAAUGUUUGGUGAUUGCUACCUCCAAUUCAUCCCUGCCAUUAAUCUCAAAUACUUCUUGCACCAAAGGGUCAAUUAUACUCACAGCAAAAACAGCAUUAGAAUGACACGGAUAUUUCAUGGCCUCAAAUAUACUAAAUGAACUAUUUCUCCAUCAAAUUCCAUCGUUAGGGUGCCCUUACUAACAUCAAUUUUUGUACGAGCCGUGCUCAAGAAGGGCUCCCCAACAAAAUUGGUGAUGGAUUUGGAGAACGUUCAUCACCCAUAUCAAGAAUAUAAAAAUCAGCAGGGAACACUAAAUUGUUCACUUGUACUAACACAUCUUCUAUCACCCCAUCAGGAUAAGCAUUAGUCCUAUCAGCCAAUUGAAUUAUAAUGCCAGUUUCCUUUAAAGGGCCCAAAUUCAGAGAAGUAUAUAUAGCCUGGGCAUCACAUUUAUAGAGGCUCCUAAAUCUAACAUGGCAUUCCUAAUGCUAGUGUUCCCUAUUUUCAAGGAAUAGUGAACAUACCUGGGUCUCCGCACUUGGGUGGAAGUUUUCUUUGAAGCACUGCAGAUACGUUCUCUCCCACAAUUAUCCUUUCAUCUCCCCUCAGUUUCUUCCUAUUGAUGCAUAGGUCCUUCAAAAAUUUGGCAUACCGGGGUACUUGCUUAAUUGCGUCAAGUAAGGGGAUAUUUAUCUCCACCUUCCUAAACAUCUCCAAAUUUCCUUUUCCUUGUCUUGCUUUUUAGGCCUUUCCAACCUGCUAGGAAAAGGUGGUGGGUUAGGCUUAAUGGAACCACUGGGUUACGUAUUACCUCUUCAUUUGUGCCAGGAGUUCCUUCUUCCUCAAGCUCCUUCUCAAUACGGUCCUCAUUCUUGUCCUUCGGAGCCACUGGGGCUGGACCUUCAACCUCUUUCCCACUCCUGAGGGUCAUUGCACUUACAUUCUUGGGAUUCACCUCAGGUUGGGAUGGGAGUUUUCCCUUCCCCUGGGAGUCUAGUCGGUUGACAAUGAGGCUAAUUGACUCAUCUGAUUUUCCAAGUUUUGCAUACGUGCUUUCAUCUCUUGAUUGUUGGCCUCAGUGUCCUGUUGAAAUUUCAUAGUAUUAGAGGCUAUGGUUUUAACCAUGUCUUCUAGGGACAUACCUGAGGUAGAGGAGGGUUGAUUCCUUGUUUGAUAUUGUUGCUGGAAGCCCUGCUGUCUAUUGGGGAUGAAAUUUUGUUGCUUAUUUCCCCCAUAGCUUAGAUUUGGAUGAUCCCUCCAACCCGGAUUGUAUGAGUUGGAAUAGGGGUCAUACUGUCUACGUGGCAUGGGCAUGUUACCAGCCAUAUUUGCUUGCUCAAUUCCCUCUUCAUGUAACUGUGGGCACGAGUCAGUGGUAUGACCAAUAUUCGUGCAAAUCCCACACACUUUGGCCUGCUGUGCAUUUCCUACAGCUAUCUGUCGAACAAAUGAGGUUAAUUCAGAUAACUGCUGUUCGAUGGAAGAUGAACUUACCUCGUUGACCUUUCUCGUAGGAACAUCUGCUCUCGUACCAAACUGCUGGCAAUUCUCUGCCAUUCGCUCAAUUAAGUCCCAUGCCUCCUGGGUAGUCUUAUUUACCAGUGCACCACCACUUGCUGCAUCAAUGAUAUUCUAUCGUUCAUCAGUAGCCCCUCGUAGAAAUACUGAAUCAGCAGUUGAUCACUUAUUUGGUGAUGUGGGCAUCGGGUACGCAGCCUGGUGAACCUCUCCCAAUAUUCAUACAAGGAUUCCCCGUGAAAUUGCUUGAUUCCACAUAUUUCCUUUCGCAAGCUAGCAGCUCUGGAUGCAGGGAAAUAUUUUUCAAAAAAUUUUUUCUGCAUCUCUGGCCACGUGGUGAUAAUGCCUGCAGGUAGACAGUAUAACCAGUCCUUUGCCGAAUCCUUGAGAGAGAAAGGGAAGGCCCUUAAUUUAAUUUGUUCAUCAGUUACUCCCGAAGGUUUCAUACUCGAACACACCACAUCAAAUUCCUGCAUGUGUUUGUGGGGUUCCUCUCCUGGCAGACCAUGAAAAACAGGCAACAAAUGUAUUAAACCAGGUUUUAAUUCAAAAGCUGCAUUCUCACUAAGGCGAGGAAAAGUUAUGCAAAGAGGUUGUUGGGUCAAGUUUGGAGCAGCCAACUCCCUUAAUGUUUGUGUGUUUGCCAUGUCGACGCUCUCUUGGCAAAAAUCACUUGAAGUGUCACCAAACGAAUCUGCUGGUUCAACUUCGGGCUCAGGUCUCUGAGAUGUAGCCCUGGAGUGCUCCUCUCUGAGCUGUCUGGUUUCUUUCCUUGUUCUACGCGCGGUUUUCUCUACUUCAGGGUCAAAAAUCAAUUCACCUGCACGAGAAGACCUAGGCAUACACUAGAAAAAUACCAGAAAAUUAGAGCAAAAAUGAAAUUUAAAAAGAAACAAAUAAUAACGCCAGUCCCCGGCAGCGGCGCCAAAAAUUGACAGGUCGUCAACCUGUGCAAUAAUAAUAAUAAUAUAGAACCUAGAUACCACUAAGAGCUGUCAAUAAUUAAUCCUAGGUACUGGAGCAGGGACUCUAGGUGUGCAAUGGGUUACUUGAUUCACCCUGUUCCCGAAAAGUUUGCUGAACCCGAUAUACCAGAAUUAAUUAGUUGGCAAAAAUAGUAGGCAGUGGCAAGUAAAGUCGUCUCCUCAGGGACUGGGGAUAUCUGUCUCUUUUUAAAGUCCAAUUGAUAAGGGGGGAUUUCACCGGAAUGGAACUAAAAAUAAUUAAACAAUUUAAUUAAAAAUAAAUAAAUCACUAGCACAAGUAAAGCAGGAAUUAAAUCAAGAAUAAAUAAGUUCUAGCCAAGGAUACAACUACUCAGGCACAGUCCAUUUAUCCGAUCAUUGAUGCAGGAGAGGUUCACUUAAUUUAUUAAUAGGUUAGUUAUAGUCUGACGACCAAUUUUUCCUUAAAUUAUUGAUAACCAAGGUACGACCAUUGAUCACCCCUAACCAGAAAAUACUCCUAGGUACGACCGUAGGAAUUAAUUUCCCAAUUGCAUUAAUAUUAGAAAAACCUAGCCCUAACCAAUAACACGCUACGAGGGUUAUUUAAAUUAGAUUGCACGUUCCCCUAAUGUGUAAACACACCAGUUGCCACUAAUAUUAAUCAAUCAAACAAUUACGGAUUUAAUUGACUAAAUUGGCACGAGACUAAUAAAUCACAUUGAACAUCGGGCCCUUGACAUCCAAUUAAUAAAAUAAUCCCAUGAAAAUACAAGCAGGCAACGUGCAAUUAUUAAUAAAUUAAGGAACGCGUGAAAACUAAUUAGAUCUCACAGGUUUUCGGGACUGCGCCGUCGAGUUGAUCCUUGACUAGAUGGAAGAUUUAGCCACGCCGCAUAAUUAAAUCACCACACGAAUUAAUGGAUUGCAAAGGCAUAGCGUUUUCUAUUAAGAAGCAAGGAAUAAAAGGUGUUUUUCCCGUUGGGGAAUUUCGUCGAACACCUGGCGUGCCAGAGGCCAGUCAAAAGAAGGAAAAAGUAAAGCUACACUAAAAGACUAAAACCAGAGAUAUCCCUCUGCUACUCUACGUUAUCCCUAUUUAAGCCACAAAAGAAAGAUAACUCAAGGCUCUCUACGUGGUCCCCACACAUGUGGGCAAAGCCUUCAAAGUACUUCUUGCCCCAAGUCUCCUUCCGUAGCUUUCUUUUUAGAGUCCAAAUGACUAGAUGCCUUCCACUAGCUUGUGGUCCCCACAAAUUCAAGGACCCAAGCAUUGAAGCCCUUAGAAGUCUCCAUAUUUUCCAUAAAGUCCCUCCUUUUGGUAGUUUUCUGCUUUAUUCCUGAAAUUACGUCCACAUACCAAAUAUGAGUAAAUAUCAGCAAUUAACACAAUAUUUGUCAGGGAUAAAAGGGAAAAUUAAUAAUAAAAUUACUAACAAAUUGUACCCUAUCAACAAAUUAUAGUAAUUUAUAUUUAUUAAUUGUCAAUGAAUGGUUUUAUUUGAGCUAUAAUUAGAAUGGAAGUUGCCUAAUUUAAGUAUAUUUUGGUUUUUGCGGGAAAAGCACGCAAUUGAGGAGGGGAUGAAUAAAAAACGCAACAAAAGAAGAAGAAACGUUGAAAGGGACUUUGUGAGGACUUCUUCCAGUUCCAAUGAUUUCUAAAGAAAUUUCUAAAAUUAUGAUGAAUUUUAAAAAAAUUCUACAAAGGGGGCAUUUUGAGUAUGGGAUUCCGUCCAAGAGAUCUUCGCAUUCAGCAAAUGCGAGCUCCUCAGCUCGCAUUUGCUGAAUGCGAAGUCUCUUGAAUUUGCAACCAACGAAAUCCAAAAAAAAAAAAAAAAAAAAACAGACCUCGCAUUUGUAAACAGUACGUAGGCCUGACCUCUUAUCCUGUUUCUGAGCAACAGAGCAUAGCCACGAAUUUGAAAGCCAUUUGCCAAGUGAAAAGAAAAUGUGCAGUGCAAAUGGGACACAAAAUUGAUUGGGGAGUCCUGUUGAGGUAGUACAAGUGGCAAAUUGGGAGGGGAGAGAGAGGCGCAGCUGGCUAGCUUCACAGAAAUAGGUUCCGAACAGGGGUCCAAGCUCUACAAUGGCGCAGAGCUUCCAACGAGAAAGAUGUGAGGGAUUUCGUCUGCCGAUCCUGGAAGCUUGGACUGGUGUCUAGCUCAGCAAAAGAGAAGAGAGAGUGAGCUGGAUGGAGAGAGUGAGCUCCAAUUUCUGCAGGUUAGGAGACAGAUUAGAAUGCCGUAAUUAUGAGCUCUGCCUUUUUUUCAGAUUGAGUACUUCGCAUUCGAGAAAUGCGAGGUACCUCAGCUCGCAUUUGGCAUAUACGACCUUUGUUGUUUUUUACUUUUUCUCAAAACCUUUCUCUUUUUUCUUGAAACACUGACCUCACAUUUGUGAAAUGCGAAGUCUUUGAACUAGCGUUUCACAAAUGUGAAGACCAUAAUCCUAAAAUUAGCUUCAAAAAUUACCCCCUUGUAAAACAACUUUUUUUUCUAUCACAAUUUAAGAAUUUACUCUGAUUUUUAGCAUAACAAGUUUGCGGCCAGAGUUAGAGCCGGUCUUCGGGCCGAAUUUUAUUGGAAAACCCAUUCAAACUCGAUUUUUGGUAAGUUUUCAAGACCUAUUCCUACCACAUUUCGGAUGCAACUUUGAGAGACUAUAAAUGGGACAUUCUAGGAUAUUUUUGGUUAGAAAGCAUUUAGCUUACAUUAGUUCAUCCUUUUUAUAUCUUUUUCUUGAGAGAUCACAAAGGAAGUGUUGAAGAAUCAAAGAGAAAGUUCAAGAUGGAGAUUGGAGUAGGGAAAAAUUGAGAAGUUUUCUUUACUUUUAACUUCUUAUUUUGUCUUCAUUUGAAUCUUGGAUUUAUCUGUGAAUAUGUUGAACUAAUUUAUAUCUAGACUUAAGAUUUUGUGAAGGAGAUUUGAUUAUUUGUUCUAGAUAAAUUAUUCAAUUUUUCUUUAUUUAUCUAUCUUGCCUUUAUUACAUAUUUAUGUUUGGCCACUAUAGAUAUGCUUUUAGGGUUUGUAUUGAAUUGAGAAGCGAUAUACAACCAUAUAUUAGAUAAAUAAACUUACUUAACCUAAUUAUGAAUGUGGGUUAGGAUUUGUAUGGCAUAAUCAUAUCACCUAAAAUCUUAAAGGGUUUAAUUAAAUACCUAUGAUCUCGAGAGCAAUGUGAGAUUUCAUUAGACACAAUUUAGAUGUAUCGAGAGAUAAUUAAAAUACUUUUACGUGAUACGUCUUUGACAUGUUAAGAAAAUAAUUGGAUAAUGAUUCCAAUUAUGAAUCAAAAUUUGAAACUCUAGUCUUUUGCUAAUUGUUUUCUCACCUAUAUCUUAUUUGAUUUGAUUACUUAUUUAAUUUCUUAAUUAGUGACUAAAAACCCUCUAAAUUUAAAUUUUUUUAUUUUUAUUAGAAUAAUUAAAGUAGAAAAAAUUAACUCAUUCCUAUAUGUUUGACCCUGGAGUACUCCAAGUGAAUUAUUAUUUCAAUCAACCCUAUACAGUUAUAGAAAUUCAUCGAUCACACAGCAACUUAAAAAAAAAUUAACGCACAAUAAUGUCAUGAACACAGUUCCCAUCUUAGUUGUUCAACAUUCACGGUGGAUCUCAAUUAGUGGUAAAUAGAUAAAGGCAUCGAAAAAGUAAUCUAAUUACUAGAUAAUUGAAUUUAUACUACAGCAUAUUUCUUUUUUCUACUGCAAAAACUUAACUAAUUUAAGACAAUGUAGUCCAAGCUAAUUGAAGAUUAAUUUCCCUAAAAAAUGUUCAUGAUAAAAACUCAACAAAGAGAUAAUACAACAGCUUACUUUGGAGGUGAUCUUAUACGGUCUUUAUUAACAAACUAAUUAGCCACUUAAGCCUUUUUUUUUCCUUUUGGGACUACACAUGACAAAAUGAGGAGUGAAUCAGUCGCUUAAUAUCUAAAAUUUUCCCUCCAUAAUUAGUUCAACCUGAUUUAAGACUAAAUUUUUACUAUAGGAAUGUUCGUGAUUCAGCAAUGAAAGACCAUAUAAACUUAUUUUGGGAGAUUUGUCCUAGAAGACAAAAAAUGAGCAACCAAUCAGAAAGUCGUACUUACAUAUCAAAAUCGAUACAGUCUACUUAAUUCACCAGCUAUGUAUAUUUCAUCCAUUUUCACAUAAUAGAAAGAACAAUAAUGCAUGGCAUUAUCCAUCAUAAAUUGCUCAUAUAACAUCAAGAUAUCAUGGUGUGGACCUCAAAUGACUCGUCAUAUCUACUGGCUACAUUUUAAACAUAUCUUAUGGCCAGAAUGUUCAUCUUAUCAACUUAACGAGUUUAUUCAUGGUACCAUACCAUUAAAUUAAAAAAUUUCCACGGUUUACCUUUUAUAGACGUCAAGGAAUAUAGCUGAUAACGCACUUUUGGCAGCAAGCUUCCUUCACCCAAUUAAAGAUUUUCGGAGCUUAAAGUUCAGCUCCUAAAGCUCUUCUCCAAGGCUCACCAACCAACAGAGAAAUUACUUUUAGCAAAGUUGUUAAAUUUUGGCACCAGGUUUUGAUGGCAUCUCGGCAAGAUUGGAAGAUUAUAUUGCGCUUCUAAGAUAAUGUUUAAAAAAGCUAUUUUAGUGAGGGCAUUAUGGUCAAUUUGCCCUGAUGAUAUUGACAUUAGGUCCCAUCAACAUCAGAAGGGAGCUCAUUGCAUUAUUGGAUAUAACAAGGGUGCUAGUGAAAUUAUGAAAACCCUCAAGGAAGGUAUUUGAAAUUAACCCUAAAAUACUCAUUCCACGCAAGGCGUGGCGUUCCCCUCCUAGUUCCUAUAAAUAGGGCUGCAACUCAAUGCACUUAUCACUCGAUAUCAAUAAUUUAGCACAUUAUUUACAUUUUGAGUGAGAUUGUGAUCAAAUGGCAUCUUCAAAAAUUUGCUCUUUCUUAUUCGUGUUCUUUUUGCACUUGUGCUCCUCAUUUCCUCUGAUGCAACAGCUGCAGGUGCCUAGUCCCUUUUUUUCUUUUCCUUUCUUCCUUUUUUUUUGGCUGCACCUAAAUACUUAAAUGAAUGGAGAUUUGGAGACUCAUUAUUGGAAUGUGAAUUUUUAUGGAAGGCUAUUUGUAUAUUAUCAAGCAAGUCAUAUUAAUGUGCUAAUAUCUUUUUCAUUGUUUAGCAAAAGUAAAUUUGGGUUGCUUCUAUCAAUGGUUAGUGGCACAUCUGAUUUUUCAUGCAUCCUUAUCGUAUUGCUGUAAGGAUACACGGUCCAUAGUGUCGCACCAAAGAUUAAACUAACGUCGAAAACCAAAUUAAAUGCUUCUAAUUAUAAUUUAAAGCAAAACAAUUUCCCUUAUAAAUGGACGAAAUUCCCUGCCAACAAAUCCAAAUUCAAGAAAAAAAUUUUCUUAAGGAGAAACUCUGCCAAAAUUUUCUUAAAAUAAAUAAAAUAUUUAAUUAAAAAAAUAAAGCAAAAUAAUUCAUAUCCAAGUCGCACCAUCUUAUAUGCCUAGACUGUUUUGUUUAAUCCAUAGUAUUCUUUUCUUUGCAUAUAUCUUGCAAAUUUUCAGCCUAGCCGGUCACCUAACGUUCGCAGCUUAAGAUAAAGCUCCAAAUAUUUAUGUCUCCUUGUGUCUUGAAACAGAUCAGAAGAGCGUGAAAACCACUGGUGUCCACGAUGCCAGUUCAGGCGAGGUUCAUCAGGAUAGCAAAAGCGAAGAUCGUUGCAGACAUGGUUGCUGCCACUGGUACCAUGGACACUGCCAAAGAUGCUGUCGAACUGCCGAGGAGACCCCUGAAGUCACAUCUGGAGAUGAGGAUACCGUAACCGCAGAUCGUUGCAGACAUGGUUGCUGCCGCUGGUACCAUGGACAUUGCCAAAGAUGCUGUCCACCUGAAGAUCGUUGCAGACAUGGUUGCUGCCACUGGGACCAUGGACAUUGCCAAAGAUGCUGUGCAGACAUGGUUGCUGCCACUGGGACCAUGGACAUUGCCAAAGAUGCUGUCCACCUGCUGAGGAGACCCCUGAACAUCGUUGCAGACAUGGUUGCUGCCGCUGGUACCAUGGACAUUGCCAAAGAUGCUGUCCACCUGCUGAGGAGACUUGCAGACAUGGUUGCUGCCACUGGUACCAUGGACAUUGCCAAAGAUGCUGUCGAACUGCUGAGGAGACCCUGAAGCUACAUCCGGAGAUGAGGUCAAAAAUUAAUGCUAAAUAAAUAAGGCCGUGACACAGGAUCCGUGACACCUAUAUUAUUACCUUAAUAUGUUAUGUUGUGUUUGCUUUUAAUGGUUGAUUUCCUAUAUGUGUAAAAGACUUGUGCGGCUUCUCUUUGAAUUGAUGUAGAAUCAACGGGGGAAGCAUGUAAUGAGUACUCAGUUCGAGUGCUCUUCUUAUGUUGUUGUCAUGUUGAAUAAAUAAAUCUACUUGAUCAUCCACUACAAUUGAUGAUCUUCUUAUGUUUUUUUUCACUUUAUCUUCCUUCACGAUUUUUGGUGGAAAUGCUUCAUUUAUACGAAUUUUCCUAGUUAGUAAAUGCUUCUAUUACACUUGUACAAUACACAUUUAAAAGUAUAACACAACAAAAGCUUGUGUAGUUCAUAUAUUUAAAAAAUAUUCAUACUUUUCAACUAAACUAUAAAAAUACGUAAUAAAUUCUUGAUACAUUAUACUUUACGAACUAUACUUUAAAUUUUAAAAAUAUUUAAUAGUAUCACUUAUCAAUAACUCCACAUGUUAAUUUGUCUUCCAAUUCAGUAAAUUAUAGUAGCUAAUUCUCAAAGCUAACCGACACCAAAAUUCCCUUGUUGGAUUUAUAUUAAUUACAUUGCAUUUAUUUCCUAAGCAUGAGUUUUGUAACCCCUCAUAUUAAAUCUCAAUGAUUGAUUUUAACGGUUACCAAGGCGUCUAGUAAUUGGUUUGCUAUUAAUUUGAACUAGACAUUUAUUAGGUCAAGUAGAAUUUAUUCCGUCUUAUCACUUAGUUCAUAAACCUUACGAAUCGUUAAAACCAGCUCUAACAUUACCUAACAAGACUUCUACAAUUUCGGGUUUUGCUUAGAAAUCAGUCUGAUAGGUUAACUUGCUUCGUCCAACUUUAUGAGUUGCUUCUUCUUUUUUUCCCAUAUUUGACAUUUCAUCUUACUUUAAUAUGGGGACCAAGUUAGUAUUGUUGACAUUUCAUAUCUAAGACCUCUUAGUUAAUUGAUUUGUUAUAAGAACUAUAACGUAUGCGUGUUUUGUAAGCUUUCAUUUUUUUUUUUCAAUUCUUGUGAACCAGCAACGGAUAGUUUCUUCUAGUACCAAGCUUCCUUUGAAGUUCUUUAUUUUUUUUUGCGUGUCCAAAUGUAAAUUAAAAGAACCAACAACUUUGAACAAGUCUAUAUCUAGUAAAGAUAGAUAUAAAGAGGGAUACUAUAUCACUGCAACAAAAAAGGGAUUUGGCGAGGAGCAAAAGUCCACGCCAAAAGUUUUGACUUCCUGGCCAAUUAAUUUCAGCAAGAAAAAUGCUUCCUCGUCAAGUUUCUUGCUAGAUGCUUGUCGCUAAUAAGUUAUUAGCGAGGAUGCUGCUGCUUUUCUCGCUAAUGAAACAGAUCAAUAGCAAGGGUUGACCUCCUCGCCAAUCUGAUUCAAAUACUAUGGCGAGAAAAACUUUCCUCACCACUAAAGUUAAAAACUCCCCACAAAAACCAGUAGUUCCUGAUAAGUGACUAAUUUACAUAAUAAUUAUAUGAUAUUUUAUAUUAUUUUUAGUUACUUUAGUUAUAUUAUUGGAAGAAAAUGAAUCAUUUUGGCUAUAAUUGGUAAAAAAUGCUUUUAAGUGAUUAAAUGAGGUUUUUAUCACUUUUUAGUGGGAUUUCGUGCAUUUUGACAGUUUUGACACAUUUUUGUAUUUUGGCUAUAACUUGGGCUACAAUGAUCGGAUUGAGAUGAUUUUUAAACCAAUUUGAAGAUAAGAGAUAGAUCUACAACUUUGGUGAAGACAUUUGAAUCCAGUUUGAAGGUUUUCAAAGUCAAAAAGCUGAAUUACAAUAGCAAAUUUCUACUGGUCGAAGCUGAAACAGGGCAAUGAGCAGUCAAGGGUAUUUCGGUCAUUUCUCAGCCUAAACAGAUCCAAAUGAGGUGAUUCUUGAUCCAUUGGAAAGAUAAGUCAAAGGGCUACAAGUUUCAUGUUUUGGUCAAGAGCUAAAUCAGCUUUUAUCAUCAAGAAAAGUUCAGUGGAAGUUGAUGCAAAAUCGGAGCAGAGCUGGAAAUUGAACCAGAAGUGACCAAAUGGUCACUGUAGCAAUCCGGCCGGAAUUUGGCCGGAUUUGUGGCUAGAUUCCUGGCCGGAUUGUGGUCAGAAAAGGCUGUUAUGUACGCGUAAAACUCAAUUUCACCUCCACCAACUCACAUGUGAUGCUAGACUUGUGAGAAACAUUCCCAACUGUAAAAGAGAGGUGUAAACCUCAAGUCUUGACCAAUCUUUCAUCUAUAUAUAGCCAAAUUCAUUGCAAGAUUGAAGGAUAUAGAGAGACAUAUGGGAGAACUUGGAGAGUGCAGAAAUGUAGCUCUUUCAUCUUCCUAGUGUUAGUUUAGCUUAGUGCAGAGUAGUAUCGAUCAUCCAUUCUUGUAUCUUGGCUAGAUUAGGAUGAAGAUGGAGGAGUUGAAACUCAAGUGACAUGGGUUAUUUCUUCUCCAACUCUUUAUCUUUUGUAUCAGAUUCUUAAGUUUGGUUAAUAUACAAGUUCUGGAUUUUGUGUUUAUGACAGGUGCCGAACCUGUGCAAUAAUAAAUACCUGCUCAAACUAAAAAUAAUUUCUGUAGAUAGUGGUGAGCAGGGUCGAAUCCACAGGGACUGGGAGUAAUUGUUUCUUUCCAAAUUCACAGUGACAAGGGGGUGUUUUUGUGCAGAAAGUGACAAUCAAACAAAUUCAAAUAAAAUCUAAGAAACUACUAAAAAUUAAAUAACAAAUUACUAAAAUCAAAUGAAUGAUAAUUAAGAAUCUAGCCAAGGAAUAACUUCAGCAAUGGUUCACCUAAUUGAUCAUCGAUAAGCAAAGGCAAUUCUAAUUAUUUACUAAUAAAUAGGUUAUAACUACCAAACAAGCAAUGGCAGUCAAACCCUCCUUACUGUGUCGGUGAUCAAGGUACGCCCGUUAAUCACUGCUCUAAUUGAGAAAUAAUUCUAGGUACGCUCGUAGAAUUUAAUUCCCCAAUUGCCUUACGUAUUAAAGGAGCCCUAUUCUAACCAAAUAACGCACUACCAGGGUUAUUUUAGAUUAGCCCGCGUAUUCCCCUGACACAAACCUAAUCAUGCCAGUUGUCACUAUUUUAGAGCAAUUAAACAAUUACGGAUUUCACCCUAAUUGACAAUAGAUUAUCAAAUCAAUUAAUUAUCCGGAUCCAAGACAAUCAAUUAAUCAAAUAAUCAUAAGCACUGCAACCAAGGAAUAUGCGAAUAUCAAUAAAUAAAAGAAAAAGAUUAAAUUAAAUCGAUCUCACAAUUUUAGGCGACCCAAAACAUCCGUUGCUCCUUGACUAGAAAAAGGAAUUUAGUUCAUAGUUAAUGAACAAAAUCCACAGGAAAUAAAAACAAGAGUCGCGGCCAUGGUCUGCGUCUUGGAAAAGUCCAAUUCGCUUCAGGAAAGGAAAACGAGGCUACAAAAGGUGAUUGCUUGUUACUAAUUCUUCCUGACAUACGCAGGGGAAAGGAACUACUACCAACCAAAAGAAAAGUCAAAGCUCAAGACUAUACUACAAGACGAAAAAACUAAAGAAGACCAGAGGAUAGUGCUCUCCUCCUGCAAUCUUAAUUCCUAUUCUAUUUGCUACUCCUCCUGUGCGGCGUCCGCCGCACCAGAGAAAAAGAAGACUCUGAGGUUUGCUUUCCUUUCCCUUUUUCUAGUUGCUGUUUUCGGUCAAAAUUACCAAAAAGGUCAUGCAUCUCCUUGUUCCAAGAAUGCCCUUGAUUGCCUGCUAUUUGAACUCUUUCCCGAUGACCGUCAAAUUGGCCUUGAUUGUGCCAUUUUUAUUCUACUCCCUGAAAUAAAUGAAAAUUACGAAAAGUGAGUAGAAUCUAAUAAUUAAUUCACAUUGGGUUAAGUAAUAGGGGAAAUUAAUUAUAAAAUAAAUGAUAAAAUUACAACCUAUCAAUUCCCCCCACACCUAAACCAUGUUUGUCCUCAAGCAUGAGAACAAGAAACAAACACCAAUAUUUGAUAGUGGCUAUUGCUCUAUCCAACAAAUUGCCAAGAUACCAAGAAAAAUAAUAUUCAAGCAUCAAUGGUCAAGUCCAAGAAACAUCACUCCGGUUAGCUUCUAAAUCAUAAACUCUUCCAAUUUCAGGUUAACUAAUCUAAGAAAAAGGAAUGUCGCAUAACAUUUAUCAGCAAAUGGUCCAACUAUUAACCAAAAUCUCAACAUUAAAUCCAUAAUUCGGCAAGCUGACUUUUAUUACACACUAACACAACCUUGACUUUUUUUUCACGUUUUUCUACUUUUCUUCUUUUCUUUUUUUUUUCUUUUCUCAAUAGUAACAAAAGACUUAGUCGCUAGCCAUUAGAGCCUUUUGACGCGAACUCCAACAUUGGCCAGAUGAAGGAGCCCGGUUACUCAGCUUCUAUCGCCACGUGACCACGUACUCAUAGGAACUACUACCUUUUGACGCGAGAAUCAACACUUGUAGGUGCAGAUCCCCGGUUACUCAGUAGUAACUAAUAGCGGAGUACAGUCAAGUUUAUUCAUAGCUAAAAAUCACAAAAACUCAAUAUAACACAAGAACCAAAAGAAAACUUGCAUCAGCUAACCUCAUUUUCAAACAUGGAGAACUAAAGUUAAUAACCGGACCAAUUCACAUGAAAAUGCCAAUAAUCAUUCCCUAUGCCUAGGAAAGUUAACCAAAAAUUAUAAGAGUAAAACAAUCAUUGAUAUUCACCCAAGAGAUGUUUUUGGAUUACCACAUUAACUUGGUACCCCUUUAUUAUUAAAACUUGGCAAAAGUAGAAAUAGAAGCAAUAAUCCAACAUCAAACCUGGCAUGCACUUACGAGCCAAUCACUAAAAAGAAGAAAAUGAACGAGAGGUGGACAAAUAACAAACUAAAAAUAAAGAACUAGUAUAGCCGUCCCCCCACACCUAGAUUCUACAUUGUCCUCAAUGGAGGAAUUAAAGCAAUUAAAGUGAAGAGGACAACGAAACUUCCCUCUUUGAGUGGCCACGAGGUAGGCGGGGACGGUGGAGGAAACCAAUGUGGUGGAAGUACGCGCCCAAGUUCUGAGACAUCAUACUCAAUUCAACCAGCAAAUGCAAAACUCUGUCCACCCAAAAUCUCAACAAAUAGCUCCAGUUGGCCAGUUAAUGCCUUAACUCAGAAUCAGCAAUUUCAACAUUGAGAGUUUAGGUAUUUGACAAUAACAAUUCAGUCACAAGUUCUUGGCUGUCAAUUAGACAGCCAAUCAGAUAGAAUUACCAAAUCUAGUCAAAAUACCCCAACCAGUACCAUUGGUGCACCCCACAGAUAAUGAAGCAACUUAAAUGGCAAACCCAAUCAACAAAAUGUACAUGUGAGGCACCCAAGGUCUAUACAAAUGUCCCAACAAAGCAGCGAUUGCAAUCAAUAAUCAGUAGUGGUCCUAAUUUACUCAAAUGCAGAAUUAAUGCAGCCCAACAAUUCAAUUGGAUGUACCCAACCUUGACAAGCAAAGCAAGUGGCACAGGUUUCCCAAGUCAACAGGCAAUUCAGAGAUAACUCAACCGAAAUCACAGUAGAAACUUCAAUUAAAUACACUCAACAUGAAUAAGCCAAGCAAGUGUCAUAGAAACUCCCCAAUUCAACAAGCAAUCACAGUAUUUCAGCUCACCCAAAAACUCAACAAUUCACCCAAAAGUUGAACAAAGGCCCCCAGCACUGACCCGUAGCAGGAGCCCCAAGAAGUGAACAAAUCAAGCAAUAGUAUUGGAAAACUCUGACAUUAACAACUGAAUCUCAAACUUCCAGCUUCCAAUCAGUUAGCCAAUAGAGUAGAAUUAAUCUAGUGGAGUCAAAACACCCAUAGAGUUGAUGAAACAAUUCUAACGGCUGACCCAAAGUAAUGAAAACUCCAACUUACAGUCAAAAGUAAACUCGGUCCAACUAAAAUUUCAACAAAUAUCCCCAGAAAUUUCAACAAAUGCUAUAGCAGAUCAAAGCAGUAGUAAAGCAAUAGUCCCAAGUAUGUACUAAUCCACCAGUUGGGAACCCCGGCCACUGAGGUCACAAACAAUGGUCCCAAAAAUAGCAAUAUUAACCAAUCAUCAGGAUGUGCCCAACAAUUAAACGAAAUUCUACCACCCUCACAAGCAAAUCAAGCAGCACAGGCUCCCAUUCAACAAACAAAAAAACAGGAUUAAUCAACUCAAAGUCCCAACAGAGAGUUCAAUUGAUUCCAAUCAUCAAUCCCAGCAACAUACGUUCCAAAUAAGCAAGCGGGUGUUAAGGAGAGGAGUACCAAAUUUCAAUUUCAGUUACUCCACCAGUACCACUGGUGUAGCAAAUAAUGGAAGAGGAAUCGCACACGACCAAUACCAAAUCACCGGUAAACCAAAAUAAAACUAACACUGCCAACACUUGAGAAUCGUAACAAUCAAAACACAAGCAAAGCUGCCUCCCAAUUAGCAAAUGACAAUUCACAAAUCCAGCCCACCCAAAAACUCGACAAAUGUACCCAAAAGUUCAACAAAUAUUCUCAAGAGUAUGGCAAACUAGGAAUGAACAAGAUCUGGGUCAAAUAUCACAACCAGUACCACUGGUUUACCACACAAUUGAAGAAAUAACCCCCAACGGCCAACAAUACCAAUUAUUGAGAAACCAGACAGCACCAAUGAAUAUUAAGAAAUUGGGGAAUAAAUUCCAAAUACCUCCACCGAAGAGAGUAGCGUGCGAGGUUGGCUGGGGCUGUUGGCAGCGUCCAAGUGCUUCGGUGGCGGCGUUGGCUCGCGAUGGAGUUGCGACGGAGCUGGCUAUGCGAGCAGAGAGGGACCAGCGAGCUAGAGUGGCGCGCGCAGACAGCGGAGGGAACUUCAGCAGCGGCUGCGGUGGAGAGGCGGGUGAGCUGUGAUGGCGGCGCGAGGGAGAUGGGCGGCGCUGCUGCGGUGAGAUCGAGCUGGUGGUGGCGCAAUCUGGCGUGCGGUGGUGGAGCUUCGUGCGCAGAGCAGCUGGGUUGCGCGCGAGGUAGAGCUCGGGUGGAGGUGGCGGCGGUAGCUCACGGUGGAGCUGUGGGCAGAGUGAGGGCCGCAAGGAGAGAGAGAGAGAUGGGAGGGGUUGCGGUUGAAACGAGGGUCGGCGGCGUCGCGCGUCGAGGUGGAGUGGCUUGCGGCGCGACGCUGGUCGCGCGAGGGGGUCGAUAGAGCUAUGGUGGAGAGAGGGAGGCGCGCGAGGGAGUCUCGGUCGACCCAGAGGAGAACUGGGGAGAGGAAAGAAAGAAGGAAGAAGAAGAAAGAAAGAAAGAAAAAGAAGAAAAAGAAAAGUUUUUUUUUUUUUUCAGGGAAAGACUCCCCUUUUUUUUUUCUCCUUGUUACUUACUUGAAAAAAUUUUUUUUUUUUAAAAAUUUUUUUCAUAUAUCAUCUUUUUUUUUUAUUGACAAAAUUUAUUUUUGGAAUUCAAAAGUAGAGAUUAACAGGAAAUCAAUAAUCGUUCUUGAGUUUCUUUGAAUACUUACCUUUCCCAUGAACGUGACGCGGCGCGUCAUGAGGGCAAGAGAGCUCCCAGAAGUUUCUGGUCGGGAGCUUCAUGCACGUCACCACGCGGGCGCGUCAUGACUGAAGGGCACCUAUAAAUCAGCAAAAACGAAAACUGAAACCCAAAAUCAGUCGAAUUCAAGGAGAGCACAUCUAAACUACCACACGAAAAUGAACAAACAAUUAAAAGGAACAAUUGGGUUGCCUCCCAAGGAGCGCCUUUCUUUAAUGUCUUUGGCUAGACAUUAUCGUGUUUUGCUCAUGGAGGAUAAAAUCUUGUGGCUCGUCUUACUGCUUCAUCCUCUAUAUAGUCCCGAUAACCCUCGUAAAUAGAAUAAUCCUUGAGCACACGAGCUACGGGCUUCCAUGGACUAGUGAAUGACGCCAAACGAGUCGAUGAUAAUUUACAUUCUCCAUUCGCUCCUCCCCACUUGCAUUUAUUGGUUCAAGAUAUCUCACCAUCGCCACUCUUAAUUUAUUCCUGUCAUGAAAUUCAAAAUUGUCUGGUAUAAUAAAGUCAAUUUCGUUAACAGGAAUUGAAGAGUAAGAGUCAGGAGAAUAUUGAUGAAGGAGUGGAGGAGAUGUCACCGCAUUUGGAGAUUGUUCACUGGAUUCUUUCACUUGAAUGGGUUGCGGUUGGGGUUCCAUUUCUUCUUUUUCAGCUUCUUUUUCAACUGCAUCUGUAGAUUUCUCAUUUUGACACUCUUGCAUCUCCUCAUCACUAGUCAAGCAAAUUGCACUCUCACUUUCUUCUAGAUCAACAAUGGUUUUCGAGGGCAAUUCUUCCAUUUAAAAGCCAAUUGAUUCAUUCUGGAUGUCAAUAGGCAUAGUUGAUCUGCCAGAUAACUCAUUGCAUCUUUCGUCAUCUCAUUCCUCAUUUGUGUCUCCUGUUGGAAUUUGUAUGUAUUAAUAAAUAAUUCACCCAAUUCCUGAAAAGACAUACCUGACAUGGACGAUGGUUGUUGAGACUCUUGCUGUUGAAAAUCCAUUGGCCCUGUUGUAUAAUCAUAACUGGAGUUAUCCCACCAUCCUUGAUCAUACCCGUUUGGAUUAGAGUUAUACCACGUUUGAGACCAGGGUGAAAAAUCUCCAUAAUUUUUGAGUGGGACACUCAGAUUAUCCUGAUAUUCGGGGCACAUACCUGUUGAAUGAUCCCUGGCAUAACAAAUUUUACAGGUUGCAGCAGCCAUUCUUUUUCUAAUAGAUUUUAGUGCCUCUGUAUAUGCAAACUCAGGAAAAAAACAAAUCUCAUCGCCUUGCCCGGAAAUAAAAUCCAAUACAUCACCAAAAUACGGAGUGUUAGAAGCCAUGAACUAUAUCAAAAAAAAAUAAGAGAAAAAAUAAAUAAAAAUGAAAACAAAAUGAACUCAAAAGGAAACAAAUUAAUCUGACACCAGUCCCCGGCAACGGCGCCAAAAAUUGACAGGUGCCGAACUGUGCAAUAAUAAAUACCUGCUCAAACUAAAAAUAAUUUCUGUAGAUAGUGGUGAGUAGGGUCGAAUCCACAAGGACUGGGAGUAAUUGUUUCUUUCCAAGUUCACAAUGACAAGGGGUGUUUUUGUGCAGAAAGUGACAAUCAAACAAAUUCAAAUAAAAUCUAAGAAACUACUAAAAAUUAAAUAACAAAUUACUAAAAUCAAAUGAAUGAUAAUUAAGAAUCUAGCCAAGGAAUAACUUCAGCAAUGGUUCACCUAAUUGAUCAUCGAUAAGCAAAGGCAAUUCUAAUUAUUUACUAAUAAAUAGGUUAUAACUACCAAACAAGCAAUGGCAGUCAAACCCUCCUUACUGUGUCGGUGAUCAAGGUACGCCCGUUAAUCACUGCUCUAAUUGAGAAAUAAUUCUAGGUACGCUCGUAGAAUUUAAUUCCCCAAUUGCCUUACGUAUUAAAGGAGCCCUAUUCUAACCAAAUAACGCACUACCAGGGUUAUUUUAGAUUAGCCCGCGUAUUCCCCUGACACAAACCUAAUCAUGCCAGUUGUCACUAUUUUAGAGCAAUUAAACAAUUACGGAUUUCACCCUAAUUGACAAUAGAUUAUCAAAUCAAUUAAUUAUCCGGAUCCAAGACAAUCAAUUAAUCAAAUAAUCAUAAGCACUGCAACCAAGGAAUAUGCGAAUAUCAAUAAAUAAAAGAAAAAGAUUAAAUUAAAUCGAUCUCACAAUUUUAGGCGACCCAAAACAUCCGUUGCUCCUUGACUAGAAAAAGGAAUUUAGUUCAUAGUUAAUGAACAAAAUCCACAGGAAAUAAAAACAAGAGUCGCGGCCAUGGUCUGCGUCUUGGAAAAGUCCAAUUCGCUUCAGGAAAGGAAAACGAGGCUACAAAAGGUGAUUGCUUGUUACUAAUUCUUCCUGACAUACGCAGGGGAAAGGAACUACUACCAACCAAAAGAAAAGUCAAAGCUCAAGACUAUACUACAAGACGAAAAAACUAAAGAAGACCAGAGGAUAGUGCUCUCCUCCUGCAAUCUUAAUUCCUAUUCUAUUUGCUACUCCUCCUGUCGGCGUCCGCCGCACCAGAGAAAAAGAAGACUCUGAGGUUUGCUUUCCUUUCCCUUUUUCUAGUUGCUGUCUUCGGUCAAAAUUACCAAAAAGGUCAUGCAUCUCCUUGUUCCAAGAAUGCCCUUGAUUGCCUGCUAUUUGAACUCUUUCCCGAUGACCGUCAAAUUGGCCUUGAUUGUGCCAUUUUUAUUCUAUUCCCUGAAAUAAAUGCAAAUUACGAAAAGUGAGUAGAAUCUAAUAAUUAAUUCACAUUGGGUUAAGUAAUAGGGGAAAUUAAUUAUAAAAUAAAUGAUAAAAUUACAACCUAUCAGUUUAUUAUGUGAUUUUAAAGUUUAUACCUUGGGUUUGGUUGAACUUUCUAUGAUUGUUAGUGUUUAUUAUUUGGUUAUUUGAUUGCUAUGAUUUGAGCAAGUUAUUUAGCACUUUGGUUCUUUAAAUCAUGAUUAAUCUGGUACCAUUGAUUGUGAUUAUCUAAGGUGUUGUUUCUGCAAUGAAAAUUGAGAUUUAACACUAGUUCAAGAAGUGCUAAACAUAGGGAGUACACGCACGAAAGUAGAGGUGCACCUAUGUGGUUUUUAGUGAUUCAUUUCAUGUAAUUUCAUUGAAGAAUGAACUUGUAGCUAAUUUCAUAACCAUGAGAAUAGGUAUGGAUUAGUUAUAAGUAUAAUUGAUUCACUAUGAAAGUAGGAUUCAAAUACAUAAGGAAAUUACACCAUAACUAGCCUAGAUGUAGUACUCAAUGAUCCAAAUAUAGCACUUGUAUGAGUAGUUAGGGAUACCACAACCUAAGGAGCUUUUAUUUGUUAUUUCAAUAGGUUAAAUUUGUUAUAAUUCAUUGAUAGUCUAAAUAAUAGAGAAGCUUUAGUAAUAUCGGUAAUUGUUCACUCUUUCCUGUGGGAUCUACCCGAUAUAUACCCUAAACUAUUAGUUGAUCUGUAUACUUGCAGUGAACGGGUGUAAUUCGGUUUUUUUUAACUUGUACGUAUGUAAAAUACCCGUCAAGUUUUUGGCGCCGUUGCCGGGGAAGAUUUGGCAAUAUCGGUGUGAAGAGCAACUUUAUUAGUUUAGACAUUUCAUUAGUCAUAGUGUGAAUGUUAUUUUCUGCUAUUUUUGUGUUUUAUGUGUGUAUGUGUUUCAUUACCUAUUUUUCUUACUAAUUUUGCUUUUGAGGUUGUUUAAAAGCAAUUUUAGGUGAUGAGAAGGAUAGGUCAAUUUGGAGGACAAUGCUUGAGAAAUGAAAGUUUGGCAAUGGAUGGUUACCAAGUGCAAAGCUCCUUCAACAGAGGUAAUCAAGAAUUUACUGAAUGUAUGUCUUUUGAAGAUGGUUUAAGGUGCUUAAAGGCUAAAUUUGAUGUUAUGAUGUUACAAGUUCAAAUGGACACAAUUAUGCAUGAAAUUGAGAAAGGGAGGAAUGUUAAUGCUUUUAAUUCUUAUCAUGUGAUUUGUGACUUGUGUGGAGGUUAUCAUGCUUCUAAUACAUGUAGACAAGCACAAAAUGUGGAUUAUUUUGAUGAAUUAGAGCAUUACAAUCCUUGUUUUGAUCAAUAUAGUGCUAAUUGGAGCAAUUCUCCUACUUAUGGUUGAGAUAAUCAAUGUACAUAUAGUGAUUAUCCAUAUUUUUAUAAUUACCAACCUGAAAGUAUCCAAUAUGAAUCAAAACCAUCUUGGGAGUUGGCAAUAGAGAAGUUAGCUAAUGCACCUCUACCUUGGGAGUUAGAAAGUAAACCAUUAGCUAAUGACUCUAAUGCAUCUUGGGAGCUAGCUGUAGAAAAUUUUUCUAAUUAAUUUGAUUCAACAAUAGAAAAGCUAGCAAACGCAACUUCCGACCAUUUUGAUAGGAUUGAGGAAAGAAUAGAUGAAUUAGCUUCUCACUUUGGUAGAAUACAUGAGCAAUUGAAUGUAUUGUGUGAAGUUAUUUCCUCUAAUAAUUUGCAAAAUGAUCCUAGCAUGAAUGGUGGGAAUGUUGUAUGUGAAAAUGGGUUGUAUAUUGACGAAAAUUAUGAAUCUCAAGUGUGUUUUAAUGAGCAAAUAUCCAUUUCACAUGAUAAUAUCUUUGGAACUAACUUUGAGCCUCAAGAGGUGAGUUUUAAUGACUCAUUUUUCACCUCUCUUGAGGAGUGCAGUGAAAGUAUAGGUUCUAAGGGUAUUGCUGCCCAAGAUACUCUCACGGCAUUUCAUUUGGUAAGUUCUCAAGUGGUGCAUAUUCAAGGUAAUAUCUAUGAAACACUUGGAUAGGUAAGUCACUUCCAUCUCUCACAUUAUUAGAUCAUGUGACUUUUGUUAUAAAGUCACUAUUUAAUGAUCCACUACGUCCUAAAAUGGUGGAUUAUUCUUUAACUAAACCUCCUUGAAAAAUGAGGUGAAAUAGUCAAGCUAAUGACUGUAAAGAAGCGCUUGUUGGGAGGCAACCCAGCGAUUUCUUGAUUUUAGUAAGUUUUAGUUGUUUAACUAGUGUUUUUGUGUGUUUUGUAGGUGGUAAUGACAAGGGUUCAUGCAAAUGAUCUCAAUGACAAAAGUGUCAAUAUUGAGGCAAAAAGGAAGUUUUCAUGUUCAAUUGAUGCAUUUCAUGCAUUUAAAGUGUUUCAUGUUAAAGUUACAUUCAUGCAUGAUCAUGUAUUUUCAAGUGUAUUUGGUUUAGAAAGACACAUUUUCAAUGUUAAACUUGGAUUUUAUUCAAAGAACAUGAAAGUAGGUGGAAUGCGGAAGAUUGGCCAAGCAAAUUUGGAGGAAAAACUGCAGAAAACAGCUUUUUCUGUAGCAAAUCCGGCCAUAAAUCCGGCCAAAUAUUGGCCGGAUUGAAGAACAGAUAGUCAGGGGAGAAAGAAAAAUUUUUUCGGACUCACUAGCUAGAAUCCGGCAAUAAAUCCGUCCGGAUUGUAAAAAAAAAAAAAAACUUAUUGUAGCAAUCCGGCCAAGAAUUCGGCAGGAAAUCCGGCCAUAAACUACUGGAUAUGCAACAGGAAAAAAAAAUUCUGCCCAGAAUCCUUCCAGCAACCCAUCCACGAAUCUCUCCAAUUUUUGGCCGGAUUGUGAACAGUAACCAGCGUAAGAUGAAUCCGUUUCACGGAUUCCUCACAAUUUUUCUCCCUUCUUCUUCAACCCAACUCAUACACUAACACCUCAAACACGUACCACUCACUAAAACACCACUUUUCACCAUUUAAUCUUCAAAUAACCUUCACCAAAUCACUUUCUCCCAUCCUCUAGAGUGAAUUUCAUAGUUCAUAUUUUUUCAAAAACAACUCUAAAGUGGUUUCAAGCUUACCAUUAGUUAGGGUUCUACCUUCUUGAAAUCACUCAAUCGAGGUCAAAUUGGAGUAAGUUUCUUGGGGUUUUCACAUCAUAUUCAUCUCUAAACAUCACCAAAGCACCUUGAGGUAACAAAUCUUCACCUAACUUUGUUAUUUGAAUUUUGCCAUGAUUAAAUAUUUUCUAUUUUUAGGCAAUUUUUAAUAUGUGAAGUUAGGUGCAUUUAUUUGAGUUUAUUGAUGCUAUUGGUGAUUGUAAGUGAUAAAUAUAUGUUGUGAUUUGCAUUUAUUGUAUUUAUUUGGUGAAUUCUUGCUAGUUUAUGCUUAAUUUGGCUUGGUGACGAAGUUGCAUAUUAAGUGGCCAAUGUAGCAUUUUAAUUAGUUUAGUGGGAGUUUUUGAUAUUCAUGUGAGUAAUUUAGAUUACCUAAUGAAUGAAAAGAUGCUUGGUUGAAUGAUUUCUUAAAUUCUUGGGUAAUUCUUAAAGAAAAGGUGAAUUGAAGAUGGCCUUAAUUUAUGAAAUUCAUAAAUGCACUUAUAAUCUUUGUGGUUCAAUGGUUUUUAGUAUUUCAUGAAUUCUCACGAAGGUCAUCUAUGAUUUGUUUUGGUGUGUUUGCCUUUAUUUUGAGAUUACUUUUGUACUUGAGGGGACUUGAUCAUUGAUGACAAAAUGUAUGAAUAGAACUUAUUUUGUUCAUGAUUGUGCAUUUAUUGUGUGAAAUUAGCUUCCAUUUUGUAGACACCAAAUUUUUAAGAUAUUUUGUUUACUAUUAUUUUUAUUUUUGAUUAAUUUCAUUUACUUUUAAUCUUUUAUUUUUAAGUCAUUUUAACACCAUUUAAUUGUUAUUUUGUUUGUUUCGAUUCUAGGUUUUUGAAAAAGAAAAGGAAAAAAAAGAAGAAGAAAAAGGAAAAAAGAAAAAUCAAUCGAAGGGACAAGAAUAAGACACAUAAGCCUGCUUUGGGGUUUGAAAUCUUGGCCUUUCAAGUUAGGUUUAGUCCUUGGAGAUGCCUUUAAAAUGAGAGGAAAGUCAAGAAAAAGGGGGAUGCUAGCCACGGCUGAGGGAGGAAAAACGCAAGGCCAAAAGCAGAGGAGGGCGGCGAAAAGAAAAGAAAAACCGGGAGAGAGGACCUGUCGCGCCCCACUUUUUGAAGGUGUGAAGGUAGUGUGUGGGAUAUGUAUGUGAACGUGUGUAAAAAUGAAAAUAAAAGGCCGUGGGAUUGUAAAAUGCGACGGUUUGGCCAAACAAAGUUCAAAAAGGAUUUUUGAAUGGAAAAUGGAGUCGCCACUUGGUAUAGAGUUAGGGUGUACCAAGUCACCCAAAAAUGAUUUUUGGAAAAAAAAGCAAACAAACCCUUUUUAAAGAACUUUUAGGUCUACGUAACCAAAGAAAGGGAUCGGGGGUCACAUUUGAUAAGGGAGAAGGCAAAGGCAAAGCCUAAGCACUCCUUUACCCUAGCCAAAGCUAGUUGCGUGACUCAGCCCCACUUUUCCUAAUUCUUCCUCUACCCAAAGUAUGCGUUGCAUGUCGGAUGUGACUAAUGGAUAUGACAAAAAUGCAAUCCUAAUUCUAAAAUGUCUCUUAUGAGGCUUCUUGGUUCUAAUCACAUGAGUUGUGAUGGUCAAUAAGGAAAACUCUCAUAGAGGUCACGGGUAAUGCAAAUGAAGACCCAAAUAUGAAUGCAAGUGUGAAAAAUGUAAGAGGAAUGCAAAAUAAGAUAGAAAUACAAAUGUAAGUGCAAGUGUGCAAAUGUAAGAAAAGUGCAACGUGUGCAAAUGUAAGAAAAGUGCAUGUGUGCCAAUUGAGAAAAUGAAGGUGUUUGUGUGCAAGUGGAUGAAAAUAUGGUAUAAAUAGUAGUAAAUGCGUAUAAGUGCAAUUGGGUGCAAUUUGUGAGGUAGAAUAUAAAUGAGUGAUAGGGAGAGAAGAGAAAUGUGAACAUGGCAUGUGGAGUGAGAAAAAUAUAAGUAGUGGGAAAAUGUAGAUAAAGAAAGUGAGGAAGUGAUAUGAUAAAAAUGAGAGUGUAUGAACCUAGAGGAAUGCAUCAAGUCGGGUACGGGAAUGACUUCUAACUUCAUGAUUUUAAUUUUCCUUUGAUUAGAAGGAAGAACUAGCGUGCUAAGGCUAUUUUGUAGCCACACUCGCUCGUUUCCCUUACCUAAAGGGGACCCUCAAGCAAAUGUACCCUAUAACUUGCAUGAAGAUGCAAAAGCCUAAAAUGAAAGGGAAAGGAUUGGAGGAGCAUGCCAAAUGCUAGAAAACUAAGAAAAAUGCAUGAAAUGUAGUGAAACAUGCAAGUAUGAACUAGCGAGGGAAAUCCCUAAGGGUCUAGCGUUGGACUAGCCCAUAUCUAUGAAUUCCUACUAGCGUUGGACUAGUGGAAAACGAGACAAUGAGCCACAACUAGCAUUGGACUAGUGUGGUGACGUGCAUUCAUCCAUUACAUUCAUCUAUGACUAUAGAAAGCAAGUAGACAUGCCAAUCACCUAUAAACACGUAACACAUAACACUUAGCAUGCUCGACUAAAUGCAAGAGCCUAAUAAAGCAAAUUAACACGUAGCAACAAAAGUAAGCAAUCAAUCUAAUGAACCUAUUGCAUUUUGCUAACUAAAACAAAAGGGGAAGAGGAAAAUGGACAAAAACUCUCUCCAAACCCUAUCUAUUACAAGCCAAGAGGUGUACACAUACCCCAUAAAGAAUAACUUAAUGAAAGCAAGCAAAAGUAAAUGAAAUAAAUGAAAGGAAUUAAGGAAAGGCAAGGAAAGCAAAGUAGACAUGUAAUUCUCACUUAACACGUUAGAUCACAUAGGAGAGACAAAAAAAGGAUAAAAGAAGUUAUACCUCCCCCGUUUGUGGUGCUAAUAAAGUGAACAAGACUUAACUUGGGCUAUGGUCACCAAAGGAAGAGAUAAUUUGGGCUAAAACUAUCAAAACAAGGGAUUAAUGCAUCACUUUAAUUAACAAAAUCUCCAGGAAAAGAAUAAAUAUGAAAUUGAAUAAUUAAACAAAGCAUUCAAGGAAGUUAAACAACCCCUAUUCAUCCAAUUAAACAAACAAAGAUCCAUUUAAAGAAUUAAAGAAUAUUCAAGGGAUCAAUUUAUUAUUACUAUAAAAUAAAAUAAAAUUAAGGACCUAAGGUGAGACCCCAAAUCAAAUGAUAAAAAUCACAUAAAAACAAAUAAAAACCGAUUUGCUAGGAUUAAACAAUAAAGAAUCCGAAUUAAAGUCAUAAGUCUCUUAAAAGCUAAUGAAACCUCAAAAUCUCAUCCCAAAAAACUCAUGCAUGUUCUGUUCAAUAAUCCCAUGAAAGCAAAUCAAGGAAAAAUAACAUGUUAAAGGGGUCAAAUUGGUUGAUUCUCCCAAUUAUUUGGGCCACAGGGGAACAAAGGGAGACUUGGGGGUUAAAGUGCUAAAAUCAGAAGUUAUUUUCAUGCAAAACAUGCAGCUACGUAUGGCUUAAACUUCUGCAACUAAAAAAUGAAACAUGCUUCCUUUUGUUUCCAAGCUUGCUGCAAUUUUCUUUUUUUUUUUUUUUUUUUUUUGCAAGUACAUAUCAACCUCAACACCAAUUGUGAUCAAAACCUUUCAACCAAACAUCCAAAAACUAAUCUAAGCAUCAUAACACACAAUUUCAACAUUCAAACAAACCAAAACAUAGAAGACAAAAUAUGCCAAUGCUGGAAAAUUCUAUGCAAAAGGUUCGGCAAUCCUGACUUGUUCCUUUUCAGCAAGCAUUCGAUCAUAGCUCAAGUAUUUUUAGACCCAUACUUGCAAACUCAAUUCACUCAUCCAAUUUCCUUUUUCAACACAAGAUUAAAUAGCAAAGUAGGUGAUGAAACCCACUUAGUGGACUGUUGCGAAAAAAAGAAAAAUCAGUAGGACAUAAGAAUGAACGCAGCUUUCUAUUUACUUUAGCCUGGAUAUAUUCUGCAAUUUUCUAACACUUUCCAUUAAACCAGCCUAGGGAAAACUUGCAUAUUUUAGCUACAACCUCCCAUCCAGUACAUCAUGCAAACGAAUUAACCAAAUACCAGGAUUUUAACUAUCAAUUAUCAAUUAAAAACAAAACACGAGAUGUUGUUGCAGGAUUCAAGCCAAGAAAUUGAAUUGACCGACAGAAAAAUGAAAACGCAGCAAGGUUUCUCUGCAAUUUUCUUGUCCAUCACACCCCAAAGCCAAAGCUUCCAAACCAUGUUAUUAACGCUGCCCAUAUGCAACAGCCUCUACCUAAAAGACCCAGACCGAACACAUGAAAGCAAACAAGAUGCUCAGAACAACACUUGCAACCUACGGGCCAUCCUCAUUCAGUUACAUGGAGAAACAAAACACGAAAAAGCUGAUGGCUUUUCGGUUCACAAGCUCUCAAACACAUGAAUUCAAGACAUAGCUAUGGCAGCCAAAAGACUUAGCCUUUUUACUCACAAACAAAGCCACAGAUUCAUAGUGAACAUGAAACAAGAAAGAAGGAAAAAGUAGACAAUAAAACAGCAGAUAUUCCAUAGGCAAGGAUGCGUUAAGAUAUACUGAAAUUUAAAGGACAAGACUGACUUACAGUGCUCGUGCCUUCUCCCUUGGUGAAGAUUUGCGAUUGAUGACGGCGUGAUAAAGUGAUCACAGCUUCUCGUGAGGGUCAGCAGCUCCCCUUUUUCCUUCGUCUGUUUUCCUAUCCAAAGCUUCCUGCUUCAGCUCCCUUUCUCCCGCAACUCCUCCUUCCGGUCUUAGUCUUCCCUCUUUCUAUUUUCUUUUCCUUUCCUAGCCGUCACUCCUCCCUCCUUUCAUUUCUCUCUUUUCCGUCAAAAACCUCUCAGCCGUUGUCACCCAAAAACUUUCCCUCAGAAUUUUUCUCAGUUCCAGCCGCCCCUCUCUCUCUGUUGUCAGCCGUUCCCUCUCCUUGGUUUUCUUUCCUUUCUUCAGAUUUGAAGCCGUCACUCGAUACCCCUAAAAGCUGCGUUUCUUGUUCUAUUUAUACCAGAAACCUGCUCUCAAACCCUUACCUGAAAGGUGAGGAUGAGAGCGGAGGUUUUACUGGGCAUCUUAGAGCCCUCCGAUGCCAGCCACAUUUUUCCUGAAGAUGCCGCUGCAUGCGGCUCUUUUUUUUUUUUUUUUAAAAGUAAUUUAACAAAAUUGAUAAUAAAAUUAAGUAAAAAAACAACAAUUUAAUAACAUCGAAAAUAAAAAACUAGAAAUAAUAAACAGCAAAGUUGCAAUUUUUUUCAUUUUUCUUUUUGUUUCUUCAUUUUUUCUUUUUUUUCAUCAUUUUUUAAAGAAAACAUUAAGCCUAUUUUUCCCAGAACCUGUUAAAUAGCCUGAAACCCGCUUGCGGGUUUCCCCUCUUUUUUUUUUUUACUUUUUCAAUAAAAGAAAUAGAACAUAUUUUUCCCCAAUUUUCAAUUUUUUUUUUUGGCAAAACUUAUGCCUAAAGUCUUAUAAUAAAUAAAUAAAUAGCUAAGAGAGCCCAAAAUGAAUACAAAAUAAAAUAAAGUAAAAAUAAAAUAAUAGAUAACAAUAAUCUAAGAAAUACUAAAGUGCUAUAUAAAUGCUAAAAGUCUAAGAACCAAAAAUCAUGGAAUUAACAAAAUUAGGACAAAAAAUCUUUAAAAAUUUGGUGUCUACAGUUUGCCCCUCUUUGUCUGAGUUUUGGAAAAACUUGAGACAAAGAAGUAGACACCAAAUACUUACCUGCGUUAUUUGGCCGCAAAAUGAUUCCAACGAACAGGAAUUUAAAACGGGACUGACCCGAACAGAAAUUUGAAACGGGACUGGCCCGAACAAGAAAUUUAAAAAGGGACUGAGCCGAACAGAAAUUUAAAACGGGAUUGCCCGAACAAGAAAUUUAAAACGGGAUUGACCCGAACAAGAAAUUUAAAACAGGAUUGACCCGAACAGAAAUUUAAAACGGGAUUGACCCGAACAGUAAUUUAAAACGGGAUUGACCCGAACAGGAAAUUUAAAACGGGAUUGACCCGAACAAAAUUUAAAACGGGAUUGACCCGAACAGGAAUUUAAAACGGGAUUGACCGAACAAGAAAUUUAAAACGGGAUUGACCCGAACAGAAAUUUAAAACGGGAUUAACCCGAACAGGAAAUUUAAAACGGAUUGACCCGAACAAGAAAUUUAAAACGGGACUGACCCGAACAGGAAAUUUAAAACGGGACUUCACUGAGGAGUUUAAACAAUGAAUUGAGUUUUUACCUGGGAGUGGUUCAAACUUUUUGUACCAAGAGGGAGAUUUGAUCUCUGUGCUGAAGCAUAGCUGAUGUUGUUUCUUAUGAUCAAACAUUAUCACUUCGUCUUUGCUUACUGGGGAGCUUUUUCUGACAUCGAUUUUGGUGCGAAAAGGAGAGUGGUUGUUUUCGUUUGUAAACGCAACGUUCCUGCAAGAAAAGAAGAAAUAAUGGACUUGCCACCAUCAUUUGAUCCGGUUUGCCUUGAGAAUCGUGUAAACAUGAGUCUUGUGAUGCUUUUGCCUCUGUUCUGCGGCGUUCUUAGUCGAACUUGUAAUUUUGAAACCUUUCAAUUUCUGAGACUGAUAAAGUACGUAUUUACCACGUCACCAAAUCUAUGUAGCAGCUUUGUUGCACUUUACCCACUUUAAUAGAUGAUUGAAUCCCCUAUCCUUGCACAAACCUAGGGUUUAUCAUCCAUUCGAAUCCAAUGGUGAAAGAAUGAUGCAUAAAAAUUUGUCAUAUAAAAAUCAAUGAUAUAUGCAAGAUGAUUUCCUAUGUCAGGCAAAGAUGAGCAUGCAAAAGAAUGCAGACAACCACAAGCAGUCGAACGCAAAUAAUCGAGAGAAACCAAGAGGUUUAUAAAGAUACAUUUUGCAAAAGAAUAUUGUAAAGAAAAAUCAAAUUUGGCCAACGAAUAUCAUAUUCAAGACUUUGGAUAUAUUUGCUUCGGAAUUCGAUACUGGCAGAAGUAUCACAAUCAUGAGGAAAGUCAAUGAACCAGGUCACCAGCUGUUCCUUCUCGUGCUCGUCUUGUUGAGAAAACCUGCCUUGGCGCCCUUUCGGGUUUUCACCAAGGUUGCCCCCACCCUUUUUGUUUUUUUUUUGUCUCUUUUUUUCUUUUUUCUUUCUUUUUUUCUUUUUUUCUUUUCUUUCUUUUUCUUUUUUUUCGAGGCGCCCUUUCGGGUUUUCACCUAAAGAACAAUGAAAUAUCUCGACCAUGAUCGACUCAGAAAUAUGAGUUAAAGAUUUCAGGCAUCAGUAAAAUGCACUUCCCUUGUAAGAUUAGGCGAAGGCAUUACGGACAUCACUUGCCAGUUGAUUAACAAAUUUCCUAAUAGAAAUGCAACAAGUGACGAAAGCCAGGACUUUGGGCUUUGUAAUGAGGUCAGGUGGGGUGUUUUUCAAGAAAAGUUGAGGCUUGAAAGCAAAUUUUGAUGCGAGGUGUGAAAUAACUUGAGAUUGCACUAUUUUGAAAUCGUUUCCGAUUUUGAACGAAACUGAGGAAAAUUUGCCCCAGUUUGAUCGGAUUUUCUCUCUUUGCAUUUUCUUCAUUGCAUUUUCCUCACUUUUGCAUUUUUUUUUUUAAAAACUAAAUUUGCCCCAGUGUGGGUUCUCUUUUCUUUUUGAUCAUCUCUCUUUCAAAAUAAAUUUGUCCAGUGUGGGGUUUGCAAUUCUCAGGGUUAUCAAGCGAAAAUUUGUCAAUUCUGAUGGCUCAAAGGGGACAAGUAGAGAUAAAAUGUUUUAAGUGUAAAAGAAGAUGGCCUGACUUGCAUUUCGCCGUUUGUAUGAAUUUCUAAAGAAAAUUUGCAUGAUCAAAUGAAAAACUUCUUGCACAUGUCUGAGUUGAUGGGUUGAGGGAAUGUUCGUCCAUCCAUUUCUGCCAAAAUAAGUGCUCCGCCAGGUAAUACCUUUUGGACAAUGAACGGCCCUUGCCAAUUUGGAGCAAAUUUGCCUUUAGCUUCAUCUUGCAUUGGCAAAAUUCGCUUUAGUACUUUGUCACCUUCUUCGAAUGCACGCCGAUGGACUUUUUUGUUGUAAGCCCGGGCCACACGUUUCUGAUAGCACUGACCAUGACAGAUAGCAUUGACGCCUUUUCAUCGAUCAAAGUCAAUUGCUCAUGGCGCUGCUUUAUCCAAUCAGCCUCCUCCAAUUUAGCUUCCAUGAGGAUUCGUAGCGAAGGAAUUUCAACUUCAGCUGGUAAUACAGCUUCCAUUCCAUACAUGAGUGAAUAUGGCGUUGCCCCAGUCGAUGUCCGGAUAGAAGUCCGAUACGCCAUUAAUGCAUAAGGCAACUUUUCAUGCCAAUCGCGAUGCCUUUCAGUCAUUUUACGGAUAAUCUUCUUCAAAUUCUUGUUUGCGGCUUCUACAGCUCCAUUCAUCUGAGGCCUAUAAAUGGCAGAGUUGCGGUGUCUGAUCUUGAACUGCUCGCAUAGUCCAUCUACCAUGUCAUUGUUCAGAUUCUUGGCAUUGUCUGUAAUAAGCGUUUCGGGUACUCCAAAGCGACAGAUGAUGUGAUCUCUCAAAAAUUGGCAACUACCUUCUUCGUUACAUGUUUGAAUGACUCCGCUUCAACCCAUUUGGUAAAGUACUCAAUUGCCACCAAUAUAAAUCGAUGUCCAUUUGAAGCGGGAGGAUCAAUUGUACCAAUCACGUCCAUACCCCACAUUGAACAGGGCCAUGGGGCGAUCAUACUAUGCAAUUCAGUGGGCGGAGCGUGUAUAACGUCACCGUGCAUUUGACAUUUUAUAUCUCGGACAAAAUCUAUACAAUCACGCUCCAUAGUAAGCCAGAAGUAUCCGGUUCUCAUGAUUUUCUUUGCUAGCAAAUGGCCAUUCAUGUGAGGUCCACAAACGCCACUAUGCACUUCUUUCAUCAUAUAUUGAGUUUCGUCUUCAUCAACGCACCUUAAGAGGUUCAAAUCUGAGGUUCUUUUGUACAAAACUUCUCCACUCAAGAAAAAUUUUGAAGCCAUUCUACGCAGAAAACUCUUGUCCUUUGUACUAGCAUGCAGAGGGUAAGACCCAGUUUUGAGAAACUCCUUAAUAUCAUUAUACCAAGGAAUAUUGUCAGAGGACUUGUCUACAACCCAACAGUGGGCAGGCUUGUCUUGAAGUUGAAUCUGAAUAGGUUCGAUCCUCAAUUCAUCUGGAUACUGGAUCAUAGAAGCUAAGGUGGCCAAAGCAUCAGCAAAUGCAUUUCGGGCUCGCGGGAGAUGUCUGAACUCCAAAUUUUGAAAUUGCUUGGCCAGAGUGAGCAAACUACAAUGGUAGGGCAAAUUUUUGAAUCUUUGGUUAUCCACUGCUUCAAGGUUUGUGCACGAGCAAAUCUGAAUCACUGAAAGCUAUCAACUCUUUGAUUUCCAUUUCUAAAGCCAUUUUGAGACCAAAAAUGCAGGCUUCAUAUUCAGCCAUGUUGUUUGUGCAAGCAAAUUGCAAUUUGGCAGCAGUAGUGCUUCCCUUCGGGUGAAACCAAAACAGCUCCAAUUCCAGCUCCGAGAGAAUUCGAAGCUCCAUCGAAGAAAAGCCUCCAUUCAGAGCUUUGCUCACUUAUAUCGUCUGUGGCGCCUACAAAUAAGACUUUCUCAUCAGGGAAAUAAGUAUGAAGUGGUUGAUAAUCAUCAUCCCUUGGAUUUUCUGCCAAAUGAUCAGCUAUAGCUUGCCCCUUGACAGCCUUCUGUGAAGUGAAAACAAUAUCGAACUCUGAGAGAAUUAUCUGCCAUUUAGCCAGACGUCCAGUUAGCAUCGGCUUCUCCAAGAGAUACUUCAAAGGAUCAGAUCGGGAAAUAAGAUAAGUGGUAUGGCUCAACAGGUAGUGUCUCAGCUUUUGAGCUGCCCAGGCCAAUGCACAGCAGCUUUUCUCAAUGAAUGAAUAAUUAGCCUCAUACUGCGUGAACUUCUUGCUUAGAUAGUAAAUGGCUUGCUCCUUCCUUCCAGAGUCAUCAUGCUGCCCGAGGACACAACCAACUGCUUCUUCAAGCACAGAUAGGUACAUGAUUAAUGGUCGACCCGGCUUGGGUGGCACCAAGACUGGCGGAUGUAACAAAUAAUCCUUGAUCUUAUCAAAAGCUUGUUGGCAUUCUUCACUCCAGUACAAUGGCACAUUCUUUCUCAACAAUUUGAACAACGGCUCGCAUGUGGCAGUUAACUGGGCAAUGAAUCUCCCAAUAAAAUUGAUCUUUCCUAAGAACUUUUCACGUCCUUCUGAGUUUUCGGCACUGGCAUAUCUCGAAUUGCUUUGAUUUUUGCUGGAUCUAUCUCUAUGCCUCUUUUACUGACAAUGAAGCCCAACAAUUUACCAGCUGGUGCCCAAAGGCGCACUUUGCAGGAUUUAGUUUCAAAUUGUACUUUCGCAACCUUUCGAACAGCUUCUUCAAAUCAACCAAUGGUUCUCUGCCCUUUUAGACUUGAUUAUGAUGUCAUCCACGUAGACCUCCAUCUCCCGGUGGAUCAUAUCAUGAAACAGGGUGGUCAUGGUCUUUGAUAAGUAGCUCCGGCAUUCUUUAGACCAAAUGGCAUCACUCGGUAGCAAAAUGUGCCCCAAGGGGUGAUAAAAGCAGUCUUCUCCCUAUCCUCUUCUGCCAUCAAAAUCUGGUGGUAUCCAGCGCGAAACAAUCACAAAAAGAUUCAAUCUCAUGCCCAGCGGUAUUGUCCAGGAGAAUGUGAAUAUUUGGCAGAGAAAAUCAUCUUUAGGACUGGCCUUAUUGAGGUCUCUAUAAUCAACACAAACUCGCACCUCUCCAUUCUUUUUUGGAACAGGGACUGGAUUCGAAAGCCAAAUAGGGUAAUGGGAAACAAUGAUAAUGUUGGUUUUGAGCUGUUUUUCAAUUUGCUCUUUAUUUUGAGGCUCAUAUCUGGUUUGAAUUUUCGGUUUUUGUUUUACGGGUGGAAAAGUAGGGUCUGUGGGCAACUUAUGCACUACCACAUCAGUUGAAAUACCAGUCAUAUCAUCAUAGGACCAUGUGAAUACAUCCUGGAACAUAGUCAAAAAUUCAAGCAUCUCCUUUUUCUGCCUCUCAUUCAAAUGAAUACUAAUUUGCACCUCCUUAACUUCAUCUUUAGUGCCAAUGUUAACCUUUUCUGUUUCUUCCAGGUUCGGUUUUGGUUUCUCCUCAUAUUGUUCAAAGUCCUUUGCAAAAGAAUCGAAUACCUCCUCAUUAUCACUCUCGCUUUGGAGCUCGGAUUCCCAGACCUCCAAGUCGUGAGUGAUAUAGAGAUUGCCAUUAUUGAAUUCCAGAAUAGUGAUAUCCAAAGGGUCAAAUAGUUUUAUUUUUGGCCAUCUGAAAGAAUUAACGAAUGUGGGAUAAUAAGCAAACAAAUAUACAACAAACAAAUGAACAAGCAAUAUGACAGAAUAUAAACAAACGAAUAACAAAACAACAUGACAAGAACAACUUGUGCAUUUUCAUAAAACCUUUGAUUGAAAGCGAAAACAAAAGAAAGCAAGCGGAAACGAAAUGAAAACUUAACAAUAUUUCACGUGCAAAUUUUAGUCAAAGGUAAAGAUGCUUUCAUUAGCUAUUUACAGAUGCAGAAGUAUUUUCAUGAAUUCGCAUGAAUGACAAACCCCUUUAGGUUUACCGAAACUCCUUCUGAAUGGGCAGAAACUCGGCUGUCCAAUUGGAAAUUGAUCCUUCAGGGAUGUCGGGAAACUCGGCCUCAUCUGGGAAACUGUCUUCAAAUGUUGCCCCAACGAACAAUUGGGCCAAACUAGUUUCGAUUCCGUCAACUGGGUUAAUCUCUGAUGUGAUCACCUCGGUUGGUCGUGGAAAAGUAUAAUGCAGUGGUGGAAUAUCAAGGGCCUUUUGCCUGCCUUCUUUCUCUGCUCUCUUGCGUUCCUUCAUUUCUUUGAUGUCUUUAGCGGUUGGUCGGAAACCCAACCGAAUGAAUCCUUUUUCUCCACAAUUCCACUGGUUUCAGAAUUCCUUGUAGAUCACGUCCCAGCCCUUUGUCAAACUCAUAUCCUCCGCGGAUCAUUUCCUUAGCCAUCAUGACACUGGCCUUUGACAGAGCUCGUUCCUCUUUUGUUAUCCAACUUACGGAGACGAUAUCAGCUGUGCUAUGAGGGGUCACUGUGGCGUUUCGGCUACCAUCUUCUUUGGACCCAGAAUCAGCAAUCACGAGGCAAUCCUCCUCGGCAAAGAUAGUUAUCAAUUUGUCAUUUACUAUGAAUUUCAACAAUUGAUGCAAUGAAGAAGGCACAGCUCCGGACUUAUGAAUCCACGGCCUUCCAAGCAAAACAUUGUAAACACUAGGAAAGUGCAUAACUUGGCAGGCUAUUUGAAACUGUGCGGGCCCCAUCUCGACUACUAAAUCCACUUCUCCUAUAGGUUCUCUUUGUGCUCCAUCAAAACCUCUAACUAUGGUCCUGAAGGCCUCAGCUUGAUAUCUUGCAACCCUAGCUUUUCCAAGGUACUCCAAGGACAGAUAUUAAGCGCAGAUCCAUUGUCAAUCAACACCUUUGGCAAAAUUUUCCCGUUGCACCUCACAGCUAUGUACAGAGCCUUGUUAUGUCCAAUGCCUUCCGCCGGUAACUCAUCAUCAGAGAAAGUGAUUUUUUUGUAAAUAACACAUCCCAACUAUAUGUGAGAAAUUAGCAACCGAAAUGUCCUUAGGGAUUUGAGCUUUGGUCAACACUUCGAGCAACGCAUCCCUAUGCAUAUCCGAAGAAAAGAGCAGAUCCAACAUGGAUAUUUGGGCGGGCGACUUGCUUAGCUUCUCGACUACAUUAUAUUCACUUCUUUGGAGCCUUUUAAGAAAAUCCAAGGCUUCCUUCUCAGUAAUUGUUGGUUUAGCGGGCAGCUCGGGGUUAUUUGUUUGAAUCGGAACGGUAGCUCCAAACGGACUUGCAAUCCUCCCUGAUCUAGUGACCACUGACACCUCUUCUUUGGCAAUUGACUUUUCUCCAAUUUGUAUGACAGGUUCAUCGUAGUUCCAUGGCACUCGCUGCAAACUUAGAACAGGCUCCUGCUCUGGGAAUUCGAUGACCACUGGCUCCAAAGCCUUGCUCUCAGCUAGAGUGAGAUCCAAAAUAAAAGGCCUUUUAUCCUCCUCAAAUGGCACCUCUUAUAUAAAUGGUUGGUCUGUGACCCCAAACACCUCAGCUUCCCUUGCCAAUUUUUGGACUUGCUCCUCAUACUCUGCGUCGUCCAGAAUGACCCCAAUGGUAUUAGCGUGGUUCAAGGGGUUCCUAUUUAUAUUCGGCCCUUGUGCCUCCUUUUUCCUGAUUACAAUCUCUCCGGCUUCAAUCAUAUCUUGAAUUCUAUGCUUAAGAGCCUUGCAAUCAACAGUUGAAUGUCCGGGUGCCCCUGAAUGAUAAGCACAGACGGCUUGUGGGUUAUACCCAGCGUAUAUGCCAUAUGGAUAGGUCGGAGGGGGUACCGUGCCAAAUUUUCGGCGGCCUUCAACUGGUCAUACAAUUGGUCUAGAGGCCUGCCUAAAUCGGUAAAUGUACGGCUACGGGGUUGGUUGUAAGGUUCAGGAGGUUGAGGAUGGCUAUAAACAGGUCUAUUUGGGGAGGAAAUCUUGGGUUAUAUGGAGGGCGAGGUCGGUUUUGGGGUGGAUUUGGUUGAGAGAUUUGAAAAGGGCUAAAGGUGGGUUAGGAUAGCUUGGGCGAGGUCGAGGGUGGAUGGAUAUUGGUAGUAUAUACAUGGUGCGGGUUUGAAUAAUAAGGGUAAUGUGGUUGGUAGGUUGGAUUGGUUGGUAUCGGGGUUUGGGUGAAGGGUUCUGGUUCCAGAUAAAAGUUGCCUCCCCCUCUUUCUUUUUAAACUGCGGCUUCUUUCCACUGCUCCCUUGCCCUUGCAAAGCUUCUACUUGUGAUUUUAGGGCAGAGACGUUGACAAUUUUUCCGGCUCUCACAAAAUCAUCAUACUCUUCGAGUUUAUUCACAAUCGCAGCAAAUGUACACCCAGUCAUACGGAAGAUUUCUUCGAAGUAUGGAGGAUCAUGCGCCUUUAUGAAAGUGCGAAUAAUUUCAUCUUCGGUCAUCGGAGGCUCAACCUUGGCAGCUAUCUUCCUCCAUCUUUUGGCGUAUGUCUUAUGAUCUUCAGAUGGUCGUCUCUUGGUGCCUUCCAAAGUAGUUCUGGUCGGUGCUAGCUCACAGUUAUAUUCGUAUUGUCUGAUGAAGGCGUUGGACAGAUCAAGCCAAGUCUUCACCUCCUCUGGCUUUAAGUUUGAAUACCAAUCGAGGGCGUCUCCUUCUAGACUCUCUGGAAAUAACCUUAAUGGCAAGUUUUCGUCAUCCACCGGUCUGCCCAACUUGUUGGCAAACAAACACAAGUGUGUCUUAGGUUGCCCGUACCAUCAUAUUUAUUGAACUUCGGGGUCUUGAAUCCCACGGGCAGCUGUACAUUUGGAAACAGGCACAGAUCAUCGUAGUCUAACACCCCUUGUUUGCUUAAACCUUGGCUUUUCCUGAUGAACUCAUCGAAACGAUCCAACCGCUUAAGUAACUUCAUAUCAACCGGGGCAGACGACUCCCCACUUCUGGCUUGGUUUGAACAGUGUGCUCGGCACAACAGGCUCUGCGUAGUCUGAUAAAAAGCUUGUGGAUCCUGAGGCAUGUUUGGACCACCUUGACCACCUUGAGGCUGAAAUCCUUGCCCAUAGGAGGAUAGAACGGAUUUUGAGUGUAAGUAUACUGCGGGUUGAAAACUCCCUCAAAAGUGGUUUGAAUUGGAGGAAUGACAAAUGGUUCGGAUUCCGGUUGUUUGACGGGCGCAGGCUCGGGCUGCACUCCGCUACUAAUGAGCUCGUCGAUCAACUUCUUUUGGGCGGCCAUCUCAGACGCCAUUUCCCCAAAUUUGGUGAGUAAUUCAGUCAACUGAACCCGGGACUUGUGGCUUCCGGCUGGGUAGUUGCAGCGGUCUUAUCAGACGAUUCUGGCUGAGUACUCAUGUCUACACGAUUCCUUUGGCUUUACUUCGGGACGUGUAAUAAUGGGGCUUUUCCGAGAAGCUAUUUUGAAAUUUUACCUGAAAAACAGAAAUGGCGUGCUUUUAGAUUUAGCCCUGACUUAGCUUUUUCAACAAAAACAAAACAAAGAAAAAGAAAAAGACAGAGUUAGUAGAGUUCCAAAAAUUCGGAUGCAUGUCCUAUCGGGGGCCUUUUUGUGCCAAGGGUAGGCCUAGCAUGAUGCAACACCUUCGAAAUGGGACCCGUAACACAAACCUGUUUUUGACAACAAUUCCAAUGAGUGCAAAAGAAAAAUCGCUUUCAUUGAUAAACUUGCCAAUAUUUACAUCAUAUGUCACGAAGACGAUUCCGUACAAGAUUGCCAAAACUUCUAACCUAUCUAAUACAGAGUCUUUGGUUUCCCUAGCAUAUGGAAUUCUAACACGUUCAGCUUGGUCAUACAAUUCUCCGCAUUUCUUUUCAGCUCUUGACGCUUUCCUCGUUCAUUUUCGUACAAUUGCUUGUGUUGCUUGCUAUCCCUUUGUAUGUUUCGACAGACUUGCUUAAUUGCAGAAUUUCCUUAUCCUUUGCUUCGAUAAUGGCUUUCAACCUUCCCACUUCCUCGGUUGGUUCAUCUUGUGUUUCUUGUGUGGCGGACCUUCUCACCCAAUCUUCGUAUUACGGAGUGGUCAACCCUUUGCUUGAGUUCCGGGAUGUAUUGAAAUCUCUCCUCAUCCGAAGUGUCACCCAUGCCUCGAUAAUCUGGUCUUUCAUAGGGAGCUCGUUUGGGCACAUUCCUUUACUGAAAAUGACGGUAAGCUUACUCAUAUCAACCACAGGUGACACUUCUUGUGUACGUCCUAACUGUCUGAGGAACCUCUUUGGAGUGUACGCGGCGAUUCCUUGGGUACCCAAUAGGAGAACAAAAUCUGACACUUUAGUGCGGAGUAUCGGCCUAAUGCAAAUCGUCCAGUCUAACACCCACCUAAUGUCUUGAUCUGGCAACAUCUCUAAGUAUUUGAUGCAUUCAACCGCAUCGUUCGGCAGACCCCCUUCGUUGACUCGCUUAUGAUGCGUGAUUACCCAAUUAUACCCAGCUAGUGGCAAACUUUCCGGAACGGACGCUCGUCUCUUAAAAUGUUCUAGGGCCCAGGUAUGCAAAACUAUAUUAGCCCCGUAGAAGAACUUUUCCCCUUUCUGGCAGUUGGUACAAGCUAGAAAAAUGUCCGCAAGGAUGGUCGGGAUUAUGGUGCAUUGUUUACUUCGGAUUCCUGAAAAGAGGCCUUGUAUAACCUUUGUUAUCUUGAAAGCUAUUUUCUGAUCUCUUCUUGGGAAGAAAUAAACUCCCGCCAUAACUAUUGCAUACACCACUGGCCUUUUGCGUUCCCAAACUUCCUUGGAUGUGAAUGAAAAAUCCUCCCUAUAUUUCUCGAACCCAUUUCGUAGUGCAAAAUGCUUAAACAAAGUGUUCACGGGAACUCCCUGAUCCGACCCUCGCAAUACGGCCUCUCUCAAUCCUAUGAUCUUGCAAAAUUCUAUCUUGUCUGAAACGUAUGGAAAAAUCAAGGCGGUUCCAUGCAAAGGUAAAUUGAAGAGGCCGGCGAUUUCCUCAAGUGUCACUGUCAUGUGCUUAUUGCCUACCCUAAAGGCCGAACAUUCCGGAUCCCACAGAUGUACUAAUGCCUCUACUAGACAGCCAUUGGGCUUGAUCUCCUUAAGAUCUCCAAUUGGCCCUAAAUAUUGAGCUACUUGAUGUAAUUCGCUAGGUAGCAUAAGGGCAGGCCAUCUUUGAAUCUCGGCCGACGGUACCAAUAACUGGUAGAUUCGACGGGGGCACUCCAUCUAAAAAUAGAAAAGCGGGUUUGUCAAUUACCUUACCUACGGGUCCCAUUCUCCGGUUGGCAAGAAUUUAAACGUGCAAUCCCUUGAAGUGUUAUGUACCCAUGGGAACAAUCAAGGUGAGUUUAAUCCUAAUAGCGGGAUCCCCUAAAUGGCAUUCCCCUUCUAGGGUUUAUGCAUGAUGCCAGUUUAUUAAAACAGUAAAAUAUGCAAUUUGAGAUGAAACAUGAUCUAAGGGACUCUUUAUUUGCCAGGGUAAGCCUAAAAUGAUAUGGCAUUAUUAAUCUAUGAAUGCAAUAUACCAAAAUCUUUAAACGUGCAAUAGCCUAUCUACAAGGGUAGGUUCUAAAAGAAGGUCAUGCCAGACCUCUUAUUUGCUAGGGUUUGUGAAUGCAAUGGGGACAAAACCAAGAAAGUUAGUUCAGCUAGAUAAAUACACAUAACACAUUGUAGCAACGAUAAAGCAAAUCAAUACAAAGACAUAAAGCAAUAGAAAGGAAAAAAAGGGUUGGAUCCCUCCCCUCGUGAAUAGUGUCCCUACCAGGGUAAGGCAGACUCUACCCUAGGUAAACUAUCAUGGAUGCAUGCGGUAUUGGCUUACUAAUGCAUCUAGACUCGAUAGGCUUUAGGUCCCCGAGCCUUCAGACUUGGAAACCGAGGGUCAUCAAUUCCAAGCUUCCUUGUCGUUGGCUCGAGCGAUUCCCCAGACAUUGCUACGCACACAUCGUGUCACGGCUACAUGUCAUGAGUGAAUCUAUCGAAAAUCCUCAACCUUCAACUAAAAGCUAAAGGCUAUGAACCCAAAGCUUAAAAUGGAAGAUUGAGUGACUCCUCGGAUCAUGUUACGCACACAUCGUGUCGCGAUCGCAAGUCCAAGUGAGUCGCCUAAAAUCCUAAUAGGGUGGAGUGGCAUGACAAGCCACUAAAAGAAAAUAAAUUAGGGGUAGAAAUUAAAGCGUAUGCACGUAUGCUAGUGCUCGUUUGGAGGGGAGGGAUCAAGAACCAACGCGAGGCUCUAGGGUAUGUCCUCCACCCAAAUGCAAUGCAAAGCGCGAAAUAAAACAAGUAAAAUAUAUAUCCAAACAACCAAUCAUACAUACGUGAGUGAGGGAGUAGUUUGAUACGUGCGCGAGGCAAAAAGUUCUAAAAAGGAAAAAUGCAACCCUAAUAUCCAAAUGCUAUGCAUAAAAAAGGUAGAAAAAAGGAAAAGAAUAGCUAAAUCAAGUGCUUGGACCCACUUAGGAAAUCCCCAGUGGAGUCGCCAAACUGUCGCGCCCCACUUUUUGAAGGUGUGAAGGUAGUGUGUGGGAUAUGUAUGUGAACGUGUGUAAAAAUGAAAAUAAAAGGCCGUGGGAUUGUGAAAUGCGACGGUUUGGUCAAACAAAGUUCAAAAAGGGUUUUUGAAUGGAAAAUGGAGUCGCCACUUGAUAUAGAGUUAGGGUGUACCAAGUCACCCAAAAAUGAUUUUUGAAAAGAAAAGCAAACAAACCCUUUUUAAAGAACUUUUAGGUCUACGUAACCAAAGAAAGGGAUCGGGGGUCACAUUUGAUAAGGGAGAAGGCAAAGGCAAAGCCUAAGACACUCCCUUUACCCUAGCCAAAAGCUAGUUGCGUGACUUAGCCCACUUUUUCUAAUUCUUCCUCUACCCAAAGUAUGCGUUGCAUGUCGGAUGUGACUAAUGGAUAUGACAAAAAUGCAAUCCUAAUUCUAAAAUGUCUCUUAUGAGGCUUUUUGGUCCCAAUCACAUGAGUUGCGAUGGUCAAUAAGGAAAACUCUCAUAGAGGUCACGGGUAAUGCAAAUGAAGACCCAAAUAUGAAUGCAAGUGUGAAAAAUGUAAGAGGAAUGCAAAAUAAGAUAGAAAUACAAAUGUAAGUGCAAGUGUGCAAAUGUAAGAAAAGUGCAACAUAUGCAAAUGUAAGAAAAGUGCAACGUGUGGAAAUGUAAGAAAAGUGCAUGUGUGCCAAUUGAGAAAAUGAAGGUGUUUGUGUGCAAGUGGAUGAAAAUAUGGUAUAAAUAGUAGUAAAUGCGUAUAAGUGCAAUUGGGUGCAAUUUGUGAGGUAGAAGAUAAAUGAGUGAUAGGGAGAGAAGAGAAAUGUGAACAUGGCAUGUGGAGUGAGAAAAAUAUAAAUAGUGGGAAAAUGUGGAUAAAGAAAGUGAGGAAGUGAUAUGAUAAAAAUGAUAGUGUUCCUAGAGGAAUGUAUCAAGUCGGGUACGACAUCCUUCUUUUUUUUCCUUUUGAUUAGAAGGAAGAACUAGCGUGCUAAGGCUAUUUUGUAGCCACACUCGCUCGUUUCCCUUACCUAAAGGGGACCCUCAAGCAAAUGUACCCUAUAACUUGCAUGAAGAUGUAAAAGCCUAAAAUGAAGGGGAAAGGAUUGGAGGAGCAUGCCAAAUGCUAGAAAACUAAGAAAAAUGCAUGAAAUGUAGUGAAACAUGCAAGUAUGAACUAGCGAGGGAAAUCCCUAAGGGUCUAGCGUUAGACUAGCCCAUAUCUAUGAAUUCCUACUAGCGUUGGACUAGUGGAAAACGGACAAUGAGCCACAAAAAGCAUUGGACUAGUGUGGUGACGUGCAUUCAUCCAUUACAUUCAUCUAUGACUAUAGAAAGCAAGUAGACAUGCCAAUCACCUAUAAACACGUAGCACAUAACAUUUAGCAUGCUCGAUUAAAUGCAAGAGCCUAAUAAAGCAAAUUAACACGUAGCAAACAAAAGCAAGCAAUCAAUCUAAUGAACCUAUUGUAUUUUGCUAACUAAAAAAAAGGGGAAGGGGAAAAUGGACAAAAACGCUCUCCAAGCCCUAUCUAUUACAAGCCAAGAGGUGUACACAUACCCCAUAAAGAAUAACUUAAUGAAAGCAAGCAAAAGUAAAUGAAAUAAAUGAAAGGAAUUAAGGAAAGGCAAGGAAAGCAAAGUAGACAUGUAAUUCUCAUUUAACACGUUGGAUCACAUAGGAGAGUCAAAAAAAGGAUAAAAGAAGUUAUACCUCCCCCGUUUGUGGUGCUAAUAAAGUGAACAAGACUUAACUUGGGCUAUGGUCACCAAAGGAAGAGAUAAUUUGGGCUAAAACUAUCAAAACAAGGGAUUAAUGCAUCACUUUAAUUAACAAAAUCUCCAGGAAAAGAAUAAAUAUGAAAUUGAAUAAUUAAACAAAGCAUUCAAGGAAGUUAAACAACCCCUAUUCAUCCAAUUAAACAAACAAGGAUCCAUUUAAACAAUUAAAGAAUAUUCAAGGGAUCAAUUUAUUAUUACUAUAAAAUAAAAUAAAAUUAAGGACCUAAGGUGAGACCCCCAAUCAAAUGAUAAAAAUCACAUAAAAACAAAUAAAAACCGAUUUGCUAGGAUUAAACAAUAAAGAAUCCGAAUUAAAGUCAUAAGUCUCUUAAAAGCUAAUGAAACCUCAAAAUCUCAUCCCAAAAAACUCAUGCAUGUUUUGUUCAAUAAUCCCAUGAAAGCAAACCAAGGGAAAAUAACAUGUUAAAGGGGUCAAAUUGGUUGAUUCUCCCAAUUAUUUGGGCCACAGGGGAAUAAAGGGAGACUUGGGGGGUUAAAGUGCUAAAAUCAAAAGUUAUUUUCAUGCAAAACAUGCAGCUACGUAUGGCUUAAACUUCUGCAACUAAAAAAUGAAACAUGCUUCCUUUUGUUUCCAAGCUUGCUGCAAUUUUCAUUUUUUUUUUUUUUGCAAGUACAUAUCAACCUCAACACCAAUUGUGAUCAAAACCUUUCAACCAAACAUCCAAAACCUAAUCUAAGCAUCAUAACACACAAUUUCAACAUUCAAACAAACCAAAACAUAGAAGACAAAAUAUGCCAAUGCUGGAAAAUUCUAUGCAAAAGGUUCGGCAAUCCUGACUUGUUCCUUUUCAGCAAGCAUUCGAUCAUAGCUCAAGUAUUUUUAGACCCAUACUUGCAAACUCAAUUCACUCAUCCAAUUUCCUCUUUUCAACACAAGAUUAAAUAGCAAAGUAGGUGAUGAACCCACUUAGUGGGCUGUUGCGAAAAAAAGAAAAAUCAGUAGGACAUAAGAAUGAACGCAGCUUUCUAUUUACUUUAGCCUGGAUAUAUUCUGCAACUUUUCUAACACUUUCCAUUAAACCAGCCUAGGGAAAACUUGCAUAUUUUAGCUACAACCUCCCAUCCAGUACAUCAUGCAAACGAAUUAACCAAAUACCAGGAUUUUAACUAUCAAUUAUCAAUUAAAAACAAAACACGAGAUGUUGUUGUAGGAUUCAAGCCAAGAAAUUGAAUUGACCGACAGAAAAAUGAAAACGCAGCAAGGUUUCUCUGCAAUUUUCUUGUCCAUCACACCCCAAAGCCAAAGCUUCCAAACCAUGUUAUUAACGCUGCCCAUAUGCAACAGCCUCUACCUAAAAGACCCAGACCGAACACAUGAAAGCAAACAAGAUGCUCAGAACAACACUUGCAACCUACGGGCCAUCCUCAUUCAGUUACAUGGAGAAACAAAACACGAAAAAGCUGAUGGCUUUUUGGUUCACAAGCUCUCAUACACAUGAAUUCAAGACAUAGCUAUGGCAGCCAAAAGACUUAGCCUUUUUACUCACAAACAAAGCCACAGAUUCAUAGUGAACAUGAAACAAGAAAGAAGGAAAAAGUAGACAAUAAAACAGCAGACAUUCCAUAGGCAAGGAUGCGUUAAGAUAUACUGAAAUUUAAAGGACAAGACUGACUUACAGUGCUCGUGCCUUCUCCCUUGGUGAAGAUUUGCGAUUGAUGACGGCGUGAUAAAGUGAUCACAGCUUCUCGUGAGGGUCAGCAGCUCCCCUUUUUCCUUCGUCUGUUUUCCUAUCCAAAGCUUCCUGCUUCAGCUCCCUUUCUCCCGCAACUCCUCCUUCCGGUCUUAGUCUUCCCUUUUUCUGUUUUCUUUUCCUUUCCUAGCCGUCACUCCUCCCUCCUUUCAUUUCUCUCUUUGCCGUCAAAAACCUCUCAGCCGUUGUCACCCAAAAACUUUCCCUCAGAAUUUUUCUCAGUUCCAGCCGCCCCUCUCUCUCUGUUUUCAGCUGUUCCCUCUCCUUGGUUUUCUUUCCUUUCUUCAGAUUUGAAGCCGUCACUCGAUACCCCUAAAAGCUACGUUUCUUGUUCUAUUUAUACCAGAAACCUGCUCUCAAACCCUCACUUGAAAGGUGAGGAUGAGAGCGGAGGUUUUACUAGGCAUCUUAGAGCCCUCCGAUGCCAGCCACAUUUUUCCUGAAGAUGCCGCUGCAUGCGGCUCUUUUUUUUUUUUUUUUAAAGUAAUUUAACAAAAUUGAUAAUAAAAUUAAGUAAAAAAAUAACAAUUUAAUUAACAUCGGAUAAAAUAAAUAAAUUAGAAAUAAUAAAUAGCAAAGUUGCAAUUUUUUUCAUUUUUUCUUUUUUGUUUCUUCAUUUUUCAUUUUCAUCAUUUUUUCAAGAAAACAUUAAGCCUAUUUUUCCCAGAACUUGUUAAAUAGCCUGAAACCCGCUUGCGGGUUUCCCCUCUCUUUUUUUUUCUCUUUUUCUUUUCUCUUUUUUUUUUACUUUUUCUCUUCUUUUUUUUUUACUUUUUCAAUAAAAGAAAUAGAACAUAUUUUUCCCCAAUUUUCUCUUUUUUUUUUGGCAAAACUUAUGCCUAAAGUCUUAUAAUAAAUAAAUAAAUAGCUAAGAGAGCCCAAAAUGAAUACAAAAUAAAAUAAAGUAAAAAUAAAAUAAUAGAUAACAAUAAUCUAAGAAAUACUAAAGUGCUAUAUAAAUGCUAAAAGUCUAAGAACCAAAAAUCAUGGAAUUAACAAAAUUAGGAUAAAAAUCUUUAAAAAUUUGGUGUCUACAGGACCCGAGAGCUGGAGUUGCGGCGGAGAUUAAGAAGAGAAAGAGUUGGGGGGUUUGGUGAGGGCUAAGAAAAGAAAACCAGAGAGGUUGGCUGGCGGCUGUGGGUAGAAAAGGAGGAAAAAACGCUAGAAGCUACGGGGGGACUGAGUGAAAAAGAGAGGAGGAAAAGAGCAGAAAAAGGGAUGGCUUGGGUUUUUGGUCGAAGGGAGCAAAGGGCGGAUAGAGGAAUAAGGUGACGGCUGAAGUGACCAGAGCUAGAAAAGAAAGAAAGCGAAACUAGAUAGGCCAUGGGCUGAGGAGAAACGAAGCCAGGGUAAGAGAGGAGAAGGAGGCUUCGGCUGGAAAUGGAAAUAAAGAAGAAAGGCUUUGGCAAGAAAUCAGGGCCAGGCUGCGGCGAGAAACGGAAAAGCUGAGAAAAGGAGAGCUUGGGAAGGAAAGCUCUGGAACCAGCCGAGAGAGGAGACUCAGGAGAGGUUCGGUCUUGAUGUCAUGGCCGUACAGUGGUCCGGUCCUUUGUUUUCAACAGGUAGAACCAGUUUCUUCUGUUCUUUAUAUAUCCAAAUCUCCUCUGUUUGGUUGUCCAGAGUUACAACCAUGUCGAAGGGGUCAUUUUCCUUCUGGGUUGCUUGAGCUUUUGGAUUGCUUGAAACUCGUUUGUUGUUUUGACUGAUUUUCCAUGUACAUGUCUAGCGCAAGAUUCUUUCUUUCGUUCUUUGCUGUGUUUUCAUCUUCUUGAAAUGGUCUGGGUUGGGAAACCUUUGACAAAUGCAAAACAUGGAAUGAGUCAUUAACGGUAGAGUGUAUGUUUUGUGGUUUUUGGGUUGAAAGUUUGCUGCUUUGUUGAACGUUGCUGCUACGCUAUGUUGCUUUGUUUUCUGGGUUAAUUGUUCUCUGCUGCCUUCCUAUUUUUCUUCCCAAUGUUCCCGCAAGUCAUUAGUCUAAGAUCCCCAUACCAGCGGAUGUUGGUUUCAUGUAUUUGAGUAUUUAGAUUAUAUAUGCAUUUGAAGUUGAAUCUCGACAAAAGGAAAAGGCAACAGUCAUAAGCUAUGUUUGAAUGAGAAGAAAUGGCUUUCACGAAUCCGAAAAUGCAGCUUUUGCUUUGUAGUUCGUUGCUGCUGGUUUCAUUGCUUGAUAGGUUAUUUAACCUUGCGUUUGAAGGAGGGAAUUGGAUGAGUGAGUUUGUGUGAUUGUUGGUCCAAAGGCGCAUAGAUCAGGCUCGAGUGUUUCCUGGAAAUCAAAUUCCUGUAAUGGCAAAAAAUUGCAGAAGGUUAUUUCGGUGCUUUGCAUGAUCUUUUGUCCGAGUUUUCUGAUGUUUCAACAUAAGGGUCUUAUGGUGGAAAGUGAGCUGAAUGCUUAGUGAUUGUGUGGUAUUUAGUUGCUUGAGAUAUUGAAAUGUUAUUUACUUGAGAUGAUGAAAUGAAAAGCAAGUCAUGGUUGGAAUGCUGCAGAAGAUGAAGAAAGUUUCAUUCGUAUGCAUGCAUGAGAAAUCAAAAGGAAAAUUGCAAUCCAACCUCACAUGUUUCCCCUAAUGCUGCUAUGACCCAACUAAUUGAAUAAAUUCAUCAAUUUGGUUCCUUUCUGCUGAUGUACUUUCAUGUGAUUUGUAGACAGUUUUUUAUGGAGUUUUAGGAUGAAUUUGAAGGGCUUUAAUAACUUUUUCUAUCUUUCUGGUUUUGAUUAGAAUUUUGGUGGAAUUUUGGGAAAGCUUGUUGUUCAAUCGUAACAAAUUGGUUUUCUUUUAGUUUUUGCGAAUUUUAUCUUGGAUUGGUAGGUUUCACCUUAUUUUAGUUGAGACCCCCCAAUAUUUGUAACAAUAAAUUGAUCCCUAAAAUCUCUUUAAUUUUUUCAAUUAGGUCUUUGUUUGUUUCAAUUUAAUGAAUAUGAGCUGUUUAGUUUAUUUGACCGCUUUGAGUGAUUCAAUUUCCAUUUCAUUGAUUAUUUUGUUAAUUAAAGAGAUGCCUCGACCUUUUCUUUGUUUUUGGAGGGUAAAUAAGUAAUUUCACUCCAUUAGAGCCCCGACUCAAGAGAGGUACACUCUAUCCCUUAUUUUGACCUUAUUUGACCCUAUGUGAACUUAUGUGGCUAUAUGUGUUUUAUUGCAUGCCUUUUGAAUGUUUUUUUUUUAUUUUUUUUUUGCUCUUUUUGCUUAAUUUCAUAUAUUUAUUUAAGUUCCUUUUUGAUCAUUUGAAAGGCACUUAAAUGCCACAAUUGUAAUAGUUAGGCUAUUAUAUCAUUUCAUUUAAUUCCUUCCCUCUUAGAUUGUAGUAGGUUUCUCCCCCCGAAUGUAAUAGUUAGGGUUUUAUUUGUUUUACUUGCCUUAUGUGUGUUGCAUGCCUAUGUGCUAUGUGUUACCGCUUUCUUAGGCUUUGGCAUCUAGAUAUGCAUGCUUAUGUGUUAUGUGAAUUACGUGCUCACAUGUCUACUUGCUUUAAUUAUGCACAUUACUUAUAUAUGUGUAUGAUGGAUGCAAAUGCACGAAACCGUGGCUAGUCCAACGCUAGUCAUGGUUGUCCCCUCGAGCCCUUACAAGUCCAAUGCUUGUGAGAGAGCGCUAGUGAAGGACUAGUCCAAUGCUAGAUCCAAUAGGACCGUCCCUCGUUAGUACAUACUUGCAUGCCUUCAUUACAUCUUCAUUCAUUCUUUCCUUUUAGUUUUACACUUUUGCAUGACCCUUCACUCUCUUUCCCUUACAUAUUUAGGAUUACAUUUUCAUUUAGAUUAGUUCAUUUGCUUGUAUAGGUUAGGGAGUCACUCUUUUGGUAAGGGGGAUGGACGAGUUUGGCUAUACAUAGCCUUAGCACGCUCAUUCUUUUUCUAACCAAAAGGAAAAUUAAGUCACGAACAUUAGUCCCCCGUACCCGUCUUGCUUGCAUUCCUCUAGGGUUCAUGCAUUUCAUUUAUCCACUAUCACAUGCACUUUUACUUCAUAUUCUAUCCCUUUUUUCACAUUUUCACUUCACACAACUUUUAUUUUGCACGUUUUCACUCUGCCACUUACAUUUUAUAUACUAUCACGUGCACGCACGCACUUCAUACUAUCACUCUACUCACCUUACUUUGCACAUCCAUUUGUACACUUCCACUUACACACUAUUAUUUUUAUUACUUUUUCACUUCACGCAAACUCAUAUUUUCACAUUGCAUACAUUCAUUCCACUCAUUUUUCCGUCAUUAGCAUUAUUCGUGACCUCUCCAAAGAGUCAUUAUGGGCAUCACUAUUAAGUGAUUGGCACCACUCAAGUUUUGAGAGAAAUUUUGCCCGAUGUUCCCCUAGGUCUAGGUUUUGCAUUCAUAUAGUGCAUUCAAAUGUGAUAAAUUCUUUGGUUAAAAAUAAGAAAAUUCUUGACUAAAUCACGCAACUAGCCUUGGUUAGGUCGAAGGGGUGCCUUGGAUUUUUAUCCUUGCUUCCCCUUCGUCAAAUGUGACUCCCGAACCUUUCCUUUGAUUUUCGUGACUAGGAGUCGUUUAAAAGGGGUUUUUCUACUUUUUUCCUUUGAAAACUCAUUUUUAGGUGACUUGGUACACCUUAACUCAAUAUCAAGUGGCGACUCGCGAUUUUUGUUCAAAAAACCCUUUUUAAACUAUUAUUUUGGGUCAAAUCGUCGCAUUUCAAGUCCAUUUAGACCCAUAUUUUUCCCAUUUUCUUUGUAAAUAAAAUUCACUUUUCAAACUGUUUAUUUUUCUUGUAAAAAUGGGGCGCGACACAUUUGCUUUGGAUAAUAAUGCAUAUAUUUCAUUAGCAAAGAUUAGCUCAUUUCAUGUUUUUAUCAUGAACAUUGUAUGGUUCCACAUGCUCGAUCAUUUUUCCUUUUUUCUUGACUUGCAUGUUUUCUUCUAGUUGAUUGCAACUGUUUAUUUUUAAGAAAUUUUAUUUGUUUUGAUUUUGUCUUUUUCAGGGUGCAAUAAGUGAACUCUCCAUUCUUUAUCAAAUAUACGGUUGGAAAUUUAUCACAUUGCUAUGGAUUUGGAUCGCGCAAGUCAUAAGGGGAGUAUUUUCUUUUACUCUUUAUUUAUUUUCCUUUCCUCACAUUGAGGACAAUGUGAAAUUUAAGUGUGGGGGGUGGGGGGAAAUACUGGACUUGCAUUUUAAUGCUAUGUGAUGAUAUUUUGUGAAUCUAAAUACUUAGAAAUGUUGGAAUUGUGUUUGAAUUAUUUGCCAUAUGGAUAAUUUGCUUGAAAUUUGGUUUGUUGGCAGGGAGUUUUCAUCCAUUUAUAAGGGGAAACUCUGUCAAAUUUUUUAAAAAUCUUUCCAAUAUUUCACUAUGGCCCAAAAGUUCUUCAAAUUUUUGCAUUUUCAUUCAAAAGGGCUAAUUUGUUCCAACCUUAAGAGAUUAAUUCUUCAAUUAUUGAAACUUUAUGUGUAUUUUGGAAAGUUUAGUUCUCAUUUAACUAGGAAAUAGUUAUUAUGCAAUUAGAAUUUUUACAUUUUAGAAAGUAUAUUUGGUAAAGUAAAGAAAUUAUGCCUAUAAUUUUACAUGUUUAAUGAGAUUUCUUCUCUUUACUUAAUUUUACAACUAAGUGAUUGAUAUAGUCAAUAAAGGUUAUACUCCUCCUUUGAUUAUUUUUAUAUCAUUUUCUAUGAGGGAAAAUCUAUUUAUUUUCUUAUAAAAAAAAGAGAGAAAAAAUAUAUAUAAUAAAAGAAAAAAGAAAAGAAAAGAAAGUAAAUAAAAUUUAUUCUACUCCAAUGAUUCUCGUACCGAGUAACUGGGGAUUGGCAUCUAAAAAUGUCGAUUUUUACAUAAAAAGGUAUUUGAAUUAAGAUUAUGCAUAGCAACUUGAAUAGGUGAAAUGUUGAGUAACUGGGGAUCUUCACCUAAAAGUGUCGAUUUUCGUGUAAAAAGGCAUUCUCACUAUUUAAGUAAAAAUUAGUAUGAAUAAAUCCCUCUUAGUUAUAGAAUUUUGAGAAAAGAUGAUUAUAGGAGGAGGAAGGAUAUAAAUUGACUAUGUGAUUUGCUUAUUGUAAAAUUAAGUUAGGGUAAGAGAUUAAAUUUAACUUGUUGAAUUUAGGGUAUAAUUAUCUUUCCUUUACUUGAUAUUAUGAGUAUUUAGUGUAAUUUGAACAAUGAUAUAAUGAUUAUUUUUCAAGUCUUGAGGAAUUAAAUUGGACAAAGUGCAUAUAUUGUUUCACCUCUUGAAUCAUUGUAGUUGAUUAUGUGUGGAUUGCUUGAGGACAAGCAAUGAUUUAAGUGUAGGGGAGUUUGAUAAGUGACUAAUUUACGUAAUAAUUGUAUGAUAUUUUAUAUUAUUUUUAGUCACUUUAGUUAUAUUAUUGGAAGAAAAUAAAUCGUUUUGGCUAUAAUUGGUGAAAAAUGUUUUUAAGUGAUUAAAUGAGAUUUUUAUCACUUUUUAGUGGGAUUUUGUGCAUUUUGACAAUUUUGACACAUUUUUGUAUUUUGGCUAUAACUAGGGCUACAAUGAUCAGAUUGCGAUGAUUUUUAAACCAAUUUGAAGAUAAGAGAUAGAUCUACAACUUUGGUGAAGACAUCUGAAUCCAGUUUGAAGGUUUCCAAAGUCAAAAAUCUGAAUUACAAUAGCAAAUUUCUACUGGUCGAAGCUGAAACAGGGCAAUGAGCAGUCAAGGGUAUUUUGGUCAUUUUUCAGCCUACACAGAUCCAAAUGAGGUGAUUCUUGAUGCAUUGGAAAGAUAAGUCAAAGGGAUACAAGUUUCAUGUUUUGGUCAGGAGCUAAAUCAGCUUUUAUCAUCAAGAAACGUUCAGUGGAAGUUGAUACAAAAUCGGAGCAGAGCUGGAAAUUGAACCAGAAGUGACCAAAUGGUCACUGUAGCAAUCCGGCCAGAAUUUGGCCGGAUUUGUGGCCGAAUUGUGGUUAGAAAAGGCUGCUAUGUACGCAUAAAACUCAAUUUCAUCUCCACCAACUCACAUGUGAUGCUAGACUUGUGAGAAACAUUCCCAACUGUAAAAGAGAGGUGUAAACCUCAAGUCUUGACCAAUCUUUCAUCUAUAUAUAGUCAAAUUCAUUGCAAAAUUGAAGGAUAUAGAGAGACAUACGGGAGAACUUGGAGAGUGCAGAAAUGUAGCUCUUUCAUCUUCCUAGUGUUAGUUUAGCUUAGUGUAGAAUAGUAUAGAUCAUCCAUUCUUGUAUCUUGGCUAGAUUAGGAUGAAGAUGGAGGAAUUGAAGCUCAAGUGACAAGGGUUAUUUCUUCUCCAACUCUUUAUGCUUUGUAUCAGAUUCUUAAGUUUGUUUAAUAUACAAGUUCUGGAUUUUGUGUUUAUUAUAUGUUUUUAAAGUUUAUACCUUGGGUUUGGUUGAACUUUCUAUGAUUGUUAGUGUUUAUUAUUUGGUUAUUUGAUUGCUAUGAUUUGAGCAAGUUAUUUAGCACUUUGGCUCUUUAAAUCAUGAUUAAUCUGGUACCAUUAAUUGUGAUUAUCUAAGGUGUUGUUUCUGCAAUGAAAAUUGAGAUUUAACACUAGUUCAAGAAGUGCUAAACAUAGGGAGUACACUCACGAAAGUAGAGGUGCACCUAUAUGGUUUUUAGUGAUUCAUUUCAUGUAAUUUCACUGAAAAAAUGAACUUGUAGCUAAUUUCAUAACCAUGAGAAUAGGUAUGGAUUAGUUAUAAGUAUAAUUGAUUAACUACGAAAGUAAGAUUCGAAUACAUAAGAAAAUUACACCAUAGCUAGCCUAGAUGUAGUAUUCAAUGAUCCAAAUAUAGCACUUGUAUGAGUAGUUAGGGAUACCACAACCUAAGGAGCUUUUAUUUGUUAUUUCAGUAGGUUAAAUUUGUUAUAAUUCAUUGAUAUUCUAAAUAAUAGAGAAACUUUAGUUAUACCGGUAUGUGUUCACUCUUCCCUGUGGGAUCGACCCGAUAUAUACCCUAAACUAUUAGUUGAUCUGUAUACUUGCAGUGAAUGGGUGUAAUUCGAUUUUUUUUAACUUGUACGUAUGUAAAAUACCCAUCAAUUGCUAGCAAAUAGUCAAGGCGUUUUGCUAGGAAAAAUAGCGCAUCCUCACCAAUAGUAUAGAUUUAGCAAGGAGUCUUUUGACAAAUCUGCAAUGCCCCGCGUACCAAUAAAACAUUUUUUGCCAGGAAAGUUUCCUCUCUAAUAAGCAAUAAUUGAUUAUUGCCUAACUGUUUGGUGGGAAAAUGUUCCUCUCCAAUGCUAUUAUGAACAUUUCUUAAUCCAUUUAGCAUGCUAAUCUUAAUUCUCUGAGCGAAUUACUGGGUGGUUUUAUUAGAAAAUUUAGCUGCAAAUAGCUUCAAUUUGGCUUCUCAUGUGUCUAUUGUACAUUUUCCAGUUCUUAUAAGUAUCAAAUUGUUUGGCAAAAAUUUUUUUUACAUGACCAACGUAGCUGCUCAUUAAAUUUAAACUCAUAAGCCCUAGUAUUUGAUAGCUUUUUGGAAUAUCACUUGGUGCCAACAACCCCUUUUGCUACUUUGAUAAACAUUCAAUAGAAAACAUACAACAGCUUUGGUUAGCUAAAAAUAAUUGCUAGCAAAGUAAUACAUCAACAUCCAGCUCUUUCAACAUCUUGAGCCAUACAAAUAGGAAGUGCUUGAAAUCAAUUGGCAAUCCAAAUUUUUUUAGCUCAUUAACUAUCCAAGAAAUCGCAACUUCAAUAAGUCAUUACAAAAGAAGAUUUCAUCAAGAGAACACCGGAGAAAUAUAGAAGAGAGAGAGAGUUAAACUAAUCAUAUGGACACAUAUUUGUCACCUCAGUAUUUCCAAUUCCUUAAUUCAGUCCAGUUAUCUUGGAACUCUAUCGACAUCCAUGGAACAUUUUUUGAAUGACAAUAUGCUGUUGCAACAUUCUGGUGGAGACUUCAAAGGUUCUAUGAUAGGUUGCAUUUUUGUCAUUAAUUCUAUGAUUAUUUUCCUCGUUUAUAUUACCAAAUAUUGUAUUAAUUGAUUGAUUCUACUUAUAUUUGGUAUUUUGUGUCAAUUGUAGGAAGGUGGAGAAAAAAGUAAUAAAAGAGGUGAUUUUUCAAGAGUUUUCCAAUUCAAGAUGGAGUUUACGUGGAGUAUUGGAUGAAAAUUAGGAAACUACCACUUUUUAUUAGAUGUCUUAUUAGGGAACAAUUAGCAAUAGUUGGAGAAGUUUCCUUUUGCAAUUAGAAUUCUAUUUUUAGUUGGCCAAUGGACUGCUGAAGUAAUGGACUUCAAUUAGGAAACAAACAGAGAAAAAAGGCCGGAAUCCCGCAUGAUUACUACCUUGGAGGGAACAAGAAAAAGGAGACGUCCGCUGGUCUCUUCUUUAGUGAGUCUUUUGGGAAAAACCAAUGGUUAUCGAUGGAGUUUUGCAGAUCUCUCCUGAGGAUAUGUAGCUAAAUCUCCGUUUUCUAGUCGAAUGUCAAUUUGAGGACUCGAUUCCAAACAUAUUGAUAAGAGAAUAUUUAAUGUACAUUUUGUACAAGUUUGGCAUGAACUUUUGGUAUGUUUUGAGAAGAUUAAAGCCAUAUUUGAAUUCUUUUGGUGAUAAAUGCUUAAAUAUUGUUUAAGUGUCCAAAAUUUGAUAAAUGAGUGGAUUAAUGCGUUAAUUUUGUGAAAUUGUGAAGGAUAUUGAUAUAUGAAAUUCAUGCACGAGAUGAAGGAAAUGUAAGGAUCGUCCAAAGGAUAAAGUACAAAAGAAACUAGGAGCAAAAAUGAAGAAAAAGAAAGAAGUGAAAAACUGGAAAUUGAUCAGCACAGAUCUGAGCUCGGAUCCAUGUGAACAAAGGGCGAUCCGAGCCCUCCUCUGUACUUCUGAAGCAGUGCAUUCGAGUCCAGACAAUCCAAGCUCGGAUCAUUAAGAGAAAGACCUCAGAUCAGCCUUGAUCCGAGCUCGGAUCGUAGUGCACACCUCGGAUCCAGGGCGCGAAUCUGCCUCUCUCUUCUGCAAGUGGCAAUGCCGUUUUUUCUCAUUUUUCACACAACUUUCCAGCUAUCUUGGGUGAGAGAAUUCGAUGGCACAUGCUUCUGCAACAAAAGGAAAGACAAAAUGAGUUAUUGACAAGUCAAAACAACAUUUCUUUUGACUUUCUUUACAAAAUCUGAGUUGUUGGAAUCAUGAAGGAGAACAAAUUGCCUUUCUACCACCUUUUAUGCAGAGAACCAAGGAGAAGUCAGGCAUCACCAUAUGGAAGGAGUUUUUCAUCUUGUAACAUUUUUCUCUCUAACUAGAAGUUCUAAAAACAAGCACUUGGAGAUUUCACUUGUAAUCAUCUUGUACAAGACAUAGCAGAAAUUUGAGGGUUUCACCAUUAAUUGGCUAAGCUUUUCUUUAUCUUUCUUGUACUUGUACUUUAUGAUGUUUUGCAUUAAUAAACUUGUGAGUUUGAUUGUCAUAAUAUCAUUCAUGAGUAGCUAAAUUUCUUUAUCUAGAGAGUAGAUGAAACUUAUGGCUAAAUGAUAUGAAUUGAAUGUGAUUUACACUUGUUAUAUCUUGUAUUAACUUGUCUAUUUGUGCAGUUGUAAUUACUUGUUGUUGUUUGAUCACCAAUAGCAUGUUUAUAGUUGUUAUUAGUCAAUGAGAAUUGGUAGUAACAAUGAAAAAAAUAUGAGUAGAGCUUGAGUUGUAUGUUCAUGAAAAUAGAUGUACACUUAAGUGGAUUAGCUAGCAUUUCAUGAAGGAAAACAGAGUAGAACUAGUAGUUCACCAUGAAUAUAGGGAAAACUGGAUUGCUCUAGGGCAUUUUAUCAUGAGAAUGAGAUUUGAUAAUAUUAGAAAUGAAUCCCUAAUUAAACAACAAUAAUAACAAGAGGUAAAUCUAUUCAUUUAUGUUGUUUAUGCCAUAAGUAGAAUCAACAUCCCUAGAUUUUUUCUUGAGUGAAAUUUAUCCAUUUACAUUUAGCAUUUGUUAAACUAGAUUUAUAGACAAUAGCAUUAUAAUUUAUCUGCUCAAAUUCAUUUAUAAGUCUAAAUAAUAGAGAAAAUAAGGUCCUAGUACUUGUUUAAAUUGCUCCUCGUGGGAUCGACUCGAUACAUACCUUACAUUACGAUUUCGACCUGUAUAGUUGCAGUCAACGGGUAUAAAAUCGAAUUCAAACUUGUAUUGAUAUAAAAAUUCCAUCAAAUUUUUGGUGCCGUUGCCGGGAGCGGCAAUAUUAGGGUCUAAUCAUUUCUAUUAAUUUAGACAUUUCUAUUGUUUUUAAGUUGUUUAUAGUUGAUUUUGCAUUAAUUUAGUUUUUGACAAUUAAAGCUGCAUAAUUUCUCUUAUUUCUAUUUGUAGUAUAUGCAUCGAACAUAUCGAAAAGUUGCACCUUUCGAUCCAGAAAUUGAGAGGACACUUCUUAGACAAAUGAGGAAUAUACCGCAUCAAGAGAAACAAGAGCUUUGGCAGCUAAUAGAGGAAAUUUUGAUAGAGCUACCAUUUGAGGAAGAAAUGGCGGAAAACAAACCAAAUAGACGAGUUCUACGAGAUUUUGCUUUACCGGAGACACAAAGAUCUCAAACUAGCAUUGCAAGACCAACGGUAAAUGCUAAUAAUUUUAAAAUUAAACCAUCACUGAUUCAAAUGGUUCAACAAUCUCAAUAUGGAGGUAAUGCUACCAAAGAUCCAAAUUCUCACUUGUCAACAUUUCUUGAAAUCUGUGAUACAAUUAAGUUUAAUGGUGUUAGUGAUGAUACAAUUAAACUUCGAUUGUUUUCAUUUUCGCUAAGGGACAAGGCCAAGGUUUGAUUACAAUCUCAUCCUCCAAACACUUUUACUACUUAUGCUGAAUUAGUUAAGGCUUUUCUUAAUAAAUUCUUUCCACUUGGAAAAACUGCUAAACUUAGAAUGAAUAUAACUAGUUUCUCUCAAUAGAAAGAAGAGACAUUGUACGAAGGUUGGGAGCGCUAUCGGGAAUUACAACGAAGAUGUCCUCAUCAUGGUUUACUAGAUUGGCUUAUAGUGCAAACAUUUUACAAUGGUCUCACUUAUCCAACAAAGACGCAUGUAGAUGCAGCAGCGGGAGAAGCAUUGAUGGGAAAGUCAGCCAAGGAAGCUCAACAAUUGAUUGAAGAAAUGGCUGCUAAUAACUACCAAUGGGUCCAACGAACGAGAUAAUACAAGGAGAACCGCAGGUAUACUCGAAGUAGAUACCUUGAAUAUGUUAAGUGCAAAGAUGGAUAAUGUGGUUAAGAUGCUUAAUAGGCAUGUUAGUUCUAACUCUAAUCAAGGAGUAGUUGUUACAUGUUCUACUACUUGCAGCGGAGAUCAUGAUGAUUCUAUGUGUUCUAGCAGCGAACAAGUUCAAUAUAUCAACAAUUACAACCGUCCACCCCAAAAUAAUCUAUACUCUAAUACCUACAAUCCAGGAUGGCGUAAUCAUCCGAAUUUUGGAUGGAAGGAUCAAGGGAACCAACAAAGACUAGUUAAUCCACCGAAUUUUCAACUGAAGCAACCACUUUCGGAGUCCAAACCAGCUUGGGAAUUGAUAAUUAAGAAGCUGGCAAAUGUAUCAAAUGAUAAAAUUGAAAAGUUAGCUAGUGCCACUACUCAACGGUUUAAAAGAAUUGAGGGAAGGAUGGACCAACUCACCAAUAUGUACAGGAAUGUUGAGAUCCAAUUAUGGCAAAUAGCAAAUGCAGUUAACAAUUGCAACCAAAGGGAUUUACCUAACAAGACUGAGCUGAACCCAAGGGAGCAUGUGAAGGCCAUAACCCUCCGUAGUGGUAAGGAAGUAGGUGAGUCACCUGUAGUUGAAAGUGAGAGAAAAUAUGAAAGAAGAAAAAACAAGCAGUUGAGUGAGUUAGGAGAUGAUAACAAAACAAUUGAUGGGAAAGAAAAGGUAGAAGAGUGUGAGCCACAAAUUGAAGCGGCAACACCAAUUCCUCCACCGGUGCCAUUUCCUCAAAGAUUGAAACCUUCAAGAAAUGACAAAGAAUUUGAGAAGUUUGUCAACAUUUUCAAACAAUUACAUAUUAACAUUCCUUUUGUUGAUGCUAUUUUGCAGAUUCCUUCAUAUGCAAAGUUUCUCAAAGAAAUAAUGACUAAGAAAAGGAGGUUAGUAGAUAGUGAAAUAAUUGCAUUAACGAAAGAAUGUAGUGCCAUCAUACAAAAUAAAUUGCCACCAAAGUUGAAAGAUCCGUGGAGUUUCACAGUUCCUUGCACUAUCGGUAAUGUAGAAUUCUCUAAAGUACUAUGUGACCUUGGUGCGGGUGUUUCAUUGAUUCCUUUAACAGUGGCUAGGCAAUUGGGGUUGAAAGAGUUAAACCGUACUAACAUUUCCUUGCAAUUGGCUGACAGGUCUAUUAGAUAUCCAAUGGGCAUUUUGGAGAAUGUGCUUAUUAAAGUGCAGAAAUUCAUUAUCCUGUUGAUUUUAUUGUUUUAGAUAUAGAGGAAGAUGUCAAUGUACCUAUUAUACUUGGUAGAUCAUUUCUGACCACUGCAGACACAAUAAUAGAUGUUAAACGUGGUAAGUUUAAGUUCCAAAUUGGUGAAGAGGAAGUGGAGUUUGAUUUGAGUAAAGUGGAGAAGUAUCCCUCUUUUACUGACCAUAUUUAUUCUAUUGACAUAUGUGAUGAAUUAGCAUUAAAGAUAAGUCAAGUUAAUCUUGAUGAUGAUUCUCUUGAACUCUGUCUUAAUGAUGUAGGCUUACAAGAGAAACAAGUUGAAGAAAUGACUGAAUUUUCGCGGGCACAAGUUCCUUAUAAAAGGAGAAAUGCGUAUGAGGAGUUAGGGCUGAACAAAGGGCUACCUCUACCAUCGUGUGAGCAAGCUCCAUGGCUUGAGUUUAAGCCACUCUCUAAACACUUCAAAUAUGCAUUUUUUGGAGAAAAUGAGACAUUACCGGUUAUUGUCAAUACUGCACUACAUGAGGAACAACUAGGAAAGUUUUUACGUGUUUUGAGGAAGCAUUUAAAGGCUAUAGGAUGGACAAUUUCUGAUAUCAAAGAAAUUAGUCCAACUAUUUGUAUGCACAGAUUUUGUUAGAAGAAAAUUCUAAACCGAUGGUUAAAAUUCAAAGAAGGUUAAAUCCAAACAUGAAAGAAGUGAUAAGAGUACAAAUCUUUAAAUGGUUGGAUGCAGGUAUAAUUUUUCCAAUCUCUGAUAGUGUUUGUAUUUCUCCUAUUUAUGUAGUGCUAAAGAAAAGGGGAAUAACCAUAGUGUGGUAAAAAUGAUGAAAUGAUUUCCUCUAGAGUUGUAGUUGGGUGACGAGUCUGUACUAAUUAUAGAAACUGAAUGCAGCUACUAGAAAGGAUCAUUUCCCUUUUCCUUUUCUUGAUCAAAUGGUAGAAAGAUUGGCUGGAUAUGAAUUUUUUGUUUCUUGGAUGGUUUUUCAGGAUACAAUCAAAUAGUCAUUGCACCGAAAGAUCAAGAUAAAACCACAUUCACUUGUCCUUACGGCACUUUUGCAUUUCGAAGAAUGCCUUUUUUGACUAUAUAAUCCACCGGCCACUUUCCAAUAUUGCAUGAUGGCAAUUUUCUCUGAUUUUAAUGAGAAAAUCAUGAAAAUCUUCAUGAAUGAUUUUUCUGUAUUUGGAUCUACUUAUGAUCAUUGCCUUAACCAUUUAGAUCUAAUUUUGCAGAGAUUUGAAGAAACAAACCUUGUACUCAAUUGGAAAAAAUGUCACUUUAUGGUUUGUGAGGGUAUUGUUCUAGGCACAAAAUUUCUUCAUAAGGUAUUGAGAUAGAUCAAGCCAAGAUAGAGUGUUGGCCUAAUCAGCAACAUCCCUCAGAUCCCGGCUCGAAGGACUAACCGCCCAGCCCGUGGCACCUAGGGGUGCAGCCCUCAUGCUGGCCGAGCGUGGUACGGUGCUUUGCGCUGCCAUUGUGGUUAAGGAAAUAAAGUUGCACCUUCGCUAACUGCUAUAGCUUUUGGUGCAAUGGUAAGCGCUUGAUCCUUACAUAGAGGUUAUUGAGAGAAUGCCUCCACCUACCAAUGUGAAAGGCAUUCGAAAUUUUCUUGAACACGUGAAAUUUUAUCGGCAGUUUAUUAAGGAUUUCUCCAAGACUGCUAAACCUUUAUGUAAAUUACUUGCAAAAGAUAUUACUUUUCAUUUUAAUGAUGAGUGUUUAUUUGCUUUUAAUAGGUUGAAGAAGAAACUUGUCUCCACACCCAUAAUAGCAUCACCGGAUUGGAGCUUGCAAUUCAAAUUGAUGUGUGAUGCGAGUGAUUUUGCAGUUGGAGUUGUUCUUGGAUAAAAACAUUAUAAGCAAUUUCAUGUCAUUUAUUAUGCAAGUAAAAUGUUAAAUGAAACCUAAGUCAACUAUGCAACAACAGAGAAGGAGUUGCUAGCAGUGAUAUUUGCAUUGGAUAAGUUUAGAUCGUAUUUAGUAAGAUCUAAAGUCAUCAUUUAUAUCGACCAUGCAGCAUUCAAAUAUCUCUUAAAUAAGAAAGAUGCAAAACCUGGACUAAUUCGAUGGAUUUUAUUAUUGCAGGAAUUUGAUUUGGAGAUCAAAGAUAAAAAAGAUCAGAGAACUUAGUCGCUGAUCAUCUUUCUAAACUGAAAAACAUGCUUCAAGAAGACCAUUCAUCCAUUAAAGAAGAAUUUCCAUAUGAGUUUUUUGAUGGCAAUUUAAAAGUCACCAUUGUAUGCUAAUUUAGUUAAUUUUGUAGUUAGUGGAGUGAUAUCAAGUGAUUUGAAUUCCCACCAAAGGAAAAAAUUCUUAAAUGAUGCUAAACAUUAUUUUUGGAAGAACCAUUCUUUUAUAAAUAUUGUGCAAAUGGAAUAAUUAGAAGAUGUGUUCCAGAAAAAGAGGUACACAGUAUUUUAAUGCAUUGUCAUACCCUUGAAACGGGAGGUCAUUUUAGUACAACUAAAACGUAGCAAAGGUAUGACAAUCUGGAUUUUACUGGCCUACUAUAUACCGAGAUGCUAGAAAUUGGGUUAAAAGUUGUGAUUAAUGCCAAAGAACUGGUAACAUCUCUAGAAAGAUGAAAUGCCUUUAACUACAUAUUUGGAAGUUGAGCUAUUUGAUGUUUGGGGUAUUGAUUUUAUGGGACCAUUUCUGGUUCGUUUAAUAAUAAGUACAUCUUAGUAGCAGUGGAUUAUGUUUCUAAAUGGGUAGAGGCAAUUGUUUCACCUACUAAUGACUCUAAGGUUGUACUCCGGUUUCUUAAAAAGAAUAUUAUUUGCAGAUUUGGUAUCUCAAAGGCCAUAGUUAGUGAUAAAGGAAAAUAUUUUUGUAAUAAACAACUUCACUCCUUAUUGUUUAAAUAUGGCUGCAGGCACAAGACAUCACUUCUGUACCAUCCUCAAGCCAAUGGACAAGCGAAACUAGCUAAUUGAGAGAUAAAGCUCAUUUUGGAGAAAACUGUAACUAAAUCAUGCAAAAAUUGGGCUACAAAGCUAGAUGAUGUACUAUGGACUUACCGAACGGCAUUUAAGACACUUUAGGGAUGUCGCCGUAUCGUUUAGUCUAUGGAAAACUUGUCACUUACCUGUAGAGAUUGAACAUAAAGUUUAUUGGGCUAUUAAAGCAAUUAACAUGGACUUUAAUCUUUCAGGUGGAAGGAGGCUACUUGAGUUAAGUGAAUUGGAGGAACACCGGUUACAUGCGUAUGAAAAUGCUAAAAUUUAUAAAGGGAAGAUCAAAUAUUGGCAUGAUAAAUAUAUUCUUCCUAAGCAUUUUGAAGAAGGGCAAAAGGUGUUAUUGUUUAACUCAAGACUUAAAUUGUUCCCUGGAAAGCUUAAGUCUCGAUGGUCCGGACCAUUUGAAAUAGUUCGCACAUUUCUUAUGGAGCGGUGGAAAUAAAAGGAGAAAAUGGUGUCCCAUUCAAGUGAAUGAUCAAAGAUUGAAGCUCUAUUUGGCUGGAGAAAGGGUUCCUAAAGGAGUGAUUUACUCCUUAGGAAAUACAAUGGAGAGUUAAGGAAGCUGUAGGAGAGUCGAGUUUAGCGACUUUAAAUAAAACACUUGUUGGGAGGCAACCCAAUAAUAAUAUUGUAGUUGUGUGUUUUUAUAUGUUUCUUAAAUUUUGGUGUUAUUUGAUUGACUAAUUAUAUGUAUUUCACUUGUUGUAGGGGGUGCCGGCAUUUCAACUUCCAUCUUGGAGGUGCACUUGAAGAACAAUAGUUAAAAGGGAAGUUUUCUUACCAAUUUCUAUUUUAAGUGUUUAAAAUUCCCUUUCAUGUAUAAUAUGUUGCAUUUCCAUUAUAUUCAAGUAAGUUUCAGUGAUAACAUGUUUAUACAUGCUCAUUGAUUCAUUUGAUUUGUAUCUCAUACCUAAGGGAGCCCUCUUAGUGUAAAAGCGCCAAAAUGAUCAAAGAAACUCACCCCUCGAUUUGCAAUGUAUAUGUGUUUGAUGUAUUUUGAGAGGUUGAUAUUGUGUUUAUGGUAUAUUACACUUGCGUGAAAGGGUAUAAUUGAUAGAAAUUUCGUCCAAGGUGUAAUUUGGAAAUUGUCGAAAAAGGGGGAAAAAGUUUGAAAAAUUGCAAUUUCUGAAAUUGUUGCAGAAAAAGCCUGAUCCGAGCUCGGAUCCGUUAAAGAUUCAAAGACGAAAUUGGCGAUCCGACCUCGGAUCCGAAGUUGUUCACUAUGAUCCGAGGGCUCAUCUGUGUUUCUAGAAGGCCGGAUCCGAGCCUAUAGGAUCCGAGCCUUGGUAUACACGAUCCGACCUCGGAUUGUGUAUUCUUGAAAAAUUCAGCAUAGGGGAUCUGAGCUUGGAUCCAACAAAAUCUAAUAGGAUCCGAGGGCUCAGCUGAACUUCUGAAGUAGCGGAUCUGAGGGAUGCCAGAACCGAUCUGACCUCGGAUCUGUGCGCGAUAAGAAACAAAUCCGAGGCUUUGAUUCUGCAUUUGUCCAAUUCUCCUUUUCCUAUUUCACCGAAAACCCUAGCCCUUCUUCACCAAUCUUCCAUUUCAUCCAAUAAUUAUUCAAUCUUUCACCACAAAAACAUCUCCCAACCUCUUGUGAUCAUAAACCCUCAACAAAUUCAUUUUAAAAACAUCAAUUUGGGGGUUUUGAUCUUCAAAACGGGAAUUCAGGCCGCACUGAAAUCUCACAAUUUGUGGUCGAAUUUGGGCUUGUUUCUUCAUCACUUUGUAUCAUUAUCAUCCUCCACCAUCAAUCUACACAUUUGAGGUAACAAUUUACAAUUUUUUUGAGAUUUUAUAAUUCCCAAUUUUACAUUUUUCUAGUUUUGGACAUAUUUUGGUAAUUGCUCAUAAGUUGAAAUUUCUUGAUACAAUUGUGCUACAUUGUGCUUAAAUAGAUUGUCACAACUAUUUUCAUGCUUAGUUUUGAGAGAAUUGUGGAUUUGGUAUUAUUUUGUAGAUUUUUCUUCUAAAAUUUUAGGUUAAUGCACAUGAACUCUUUAAUGAAUGAAAUUACUCCUCUAUGUGAACUACUUGCAUGCUUAAAAUUGAGAAAAUUGUUAUUAUAGUGAUAUUUUUGUAUAUUUUUCUCAAUUUUAAGUUUAAGUAUGUUAAAUCUUUUACUUGAAUAUUCCUUGUUCUUAGAGAUAAUUGGCAUUCAUUAAGAAGAAUUGGAGCUCAUUAGUUGGCAUUUUAGUGAUAAUGUGUAUAGCCAAUUAGUGUGUAAUUCUUGGAUAAAAUCAUGAGAUAAUUGGCCCGUACGUUCUUGAAGUAAUGAAAUUGAUCUUUUAAGAGUCCUUUUUACUUUGAGAUUAUAUUCUAUUGUUGAAAUAUGCAUCAAUUCUCAAGAGAUUGGACUUUUUAAUGAGAUUCUAAUUAAAAUAUGCUGUUCAAUUGUUGAAAGUGGAAUAUUCAAACCAUGUGUUGAGAUUGUAGAUUGAAAUUGAUAUCAUACAUGUGCAAUGAGUUUGUGAAUUGGUUAAAUACGAUAUGGUCGUGAAUUUGUUGAUUGUUGGCAGGGAGUUUCUUCCUUUUAUUGGGGGAAACUCUGCCGAAAUUUUCCCAAAUCAUUUUUAAACAUUGUUGGUCGUGUAUUUUCAAGGAAUUUAGAAUUCUUUUAAUGUGUGUUUGAUCUUAUUUUUGAUAUAGGUACCAUGGCUCGCACAAGACGAUCUCGUGUUCGUUUUUGAUAUAGGUACCAUGGCUCACACAAGACGAUCUCAUGUUCGCACUCCUUCACCUUCUUCAAGUGAAGAGCGUACUCCUUCAAUGCCUAAGGAGUCACCAGGGGAAGAAUCUCCUUAACCACAGUCGUCGCCACACUUACGGCGUAAGAGAGCAUCUACGAGACAUGAGAAGCCAACUCCAGAUUAUGACACCACUCAUUUUACCUCACUCGAGAAUCAAUAGUGGUACGAGACCGGUUUAGACAAAGAGUUCAUAAUUGAAAAACACUUGGCCCCGGAGGUGGAUGACCACUACAAGAUCUCCAUGGCAUUCAAGCGACUUGGAUGGGAGACUAUACUAAAUUUGCCGAAACAUUACUAUCCCAAUCUGGUCUGGGAGUUUUACGCCAAUGUGGAAGACAAAUAGAACCACAGUGGCAACCUCAUCAUCUCCUGGGUUCGAGGCAAGAGAGUGGCUCUCACUCGACAUACAAUCACCCAAAUCGUCAAACUAAAGGACAAUGGAGAAGAUGUUAAAUUGACCAAGGAAUUUAAGGCACGUGAUCCAUGGCAAGUCUGAGAAGCUGUGGCAUGUCUUAAGGGUCAAUAUCGAGAGCGAGAAAGUUCGAAAAGCUCAUUGUAUACGCCAAUUCCUUUGAGUAUAGGUACCACCUGAUCUUCUAUCUCUUCACGCUUCAAUGUGGUACCGAAAAGGAGUGAAAAAAGGGAGCUCGAAACGGUGACUUGUAUUUCCUCGAUAAUAUGAUGCACGGUGUGGGUAGGCUGCUGACUAGUAUUCCUCUGGCCAGCAUCAUCAUCAGUUACAUGUGUACUACAGCUCGCAUGAGAGCCGACGAAACUUGCUUUGGGUUCCCUCGUUUGCUCUCCCUUAUUUUUAAGCAACUCAAGGUUCCUCUGGGAACCGAGCGAGCCAUUAUUACUAGGGCAGCCGAGGAAGUCAAUGGCUUAGUACUCAGGUCCUUAGGUAUUCCUACGAAUUUUGGAGCUUCUCUAGUACGGGAUGUUGGAGAAGCAUUGACUUCCACUCAGCCUCCACCUCACACUGAACCACACCAGGAAGCUCAAGAGACGGAGGCACAGCAGACUCUCCCUCCUCCCAUUCCACGACCACCCCCUCCACAACGAUCCAAGUGGCAAGAGGCCCUCAAUGCCAUCUGCUGUAUAGAGACACAAGUCAUGGAGCGCAUUGAUCAGACAGAGCGGCUGAUGACGGAGCGACUAGACAGGCAUGAUCACCGUCUUCGAGCGAUCGAGGAUCAUUUCCACAUUCGCCGCUCCCCUACACUGAUUCCUGAGCCAAGGCCCAAUGAGGGGCAUGCAGAUCGUGAGGAGGGUGGUGGCAAUGCAGAUCAUGAGUAGGGCGGCAGCACUGAAGUGACUGAGCUUGGCGUCUCCUAUGCAUAAUUUACUCUCUUUUCGGCUUUUAUUUAGUUUUUCAUCUUUUAUUUUCAAUUUGGUGUUAACUUUUUGUUAUUUUUCUGUUUUUCUUAAAACUUGUGGAAUGGUCUCACUUUCUAUGGAUAUAUAUUUUUCCCUGCAUGCAGAAUUUGGCUAGUAGAAUUUGGAUGAUCGUGAUGAUCGUGGUUUCAAAUUGCAUCACUACUUUUUUUGAGGGGAGUAUUAGUUUCUUUUACCUUCCUCUACAAUAAGGAUAUUGUGAAUUUUAAGUGUGAGGGAGGGAUUACUUUAUCUUAUGGGGUGAUUAUGUUUUGAAGUGCAUGAUUUUAGUUGUUUAUGGCCUAGAAAUAUUGGAAUCAUAUUUGAAAAUAUUGUCAUGAAGAUAAUUUUCUUAAAUUGAGGCUAUUGGCAGGGAAUUUUAUCCAUUUAUAUGGGAAACUCUGUCAAAAUUUUUCUAAAAUAUUUUCAAUAUUUCUAAAAUAUUUUUCAAUAUUUCAUUACAAUUCUUUCCAAUAAUGGCCGAAAUGUUCAAUUUUAAAUGCCUAAUUCUUCCAUUGGAUAAAAUGUUAUAUGUAUUUUGGAAAGUUUAGUCUUAUUUGACUUGGCAUUAGUCAUUAUACAAUUAGGAUUUUUACAUUUUAGAAAGUAUAUUCGGUUAAAUAAGAAAAAUUAUACUUAGAAUUUUGCAGGUUUAAUGAUAUUUCUCAUUUUUACUUAAUUUUAUAAGUAAGUGAUUGAUAUAAUCAAAACAAGGCCAGAUUCAUCCUUUAAUUAUGCUCAGAGGGAAGAGAUUGAUUGUUUAAAAAAAAAAUUUCUACUCCAAUGAUUCGCAUACUGAGUAACCGGGGGUUAGCAUUUACAAAUGUCGACAUUCGCGUAAAAAGGUAUUGGAAUUAAGAGUGUGCUUAGCAAUUUGAAUGAGUGAAAUGUUGAGUAACCGGGAAUGUUCACCUAAAAGUGUAGAUUUUCGCAUAAAAAGGCAUUGUCACUAUUUAAGUAAAUGAAGUAUAAAUAAAUCCCUCUCAGUUAUGAAAAUUUUGAUGGAUAUAUGAUGAGAAAGGCCAUAGAAUUGAUUAUGUGAUUUACUUAUUUGUGAAAUUAGGAUAGGAUGAGAGAUUGAGUUGAAAUUGUUAAAAUUAAGAUAUAAUUAUCUUUAUUUAACUUGAUAUUAUGAGUAUUUAGUGUAAUCUGAGAAUUGGCAUAAUGAUUGGUUUCUAGGUUUUGAGGAACUAAAAUUGACAAAAGUACGUAUAUUGUUUUAUCUCUUGAAUCAUUGUAGUAAGUUAUGUGUGAAAUUGCUUGAGGACAAGCAAUGAUUCAAGUCUGGGGGAAUUUGAAAGAGAAUAUUUAACAUACAUUUUGUACAAGUUUGGCAUGAACUUUUGGUAUGUUUUGAGAAGAUUAAAGCCAUAUUUGCACUCUUUUGGUGAUAAAUGUUUAAAUAUUGUGAGUGGAUUAAUACGUUAAUUUUGUGAAAUUGUGAAGGAUAUUGAUAUAUGAAAUUCAUGCACGAGAUGAAGGAAAUGUAAGGAUCGUCCAGAGGAUAAAGUACAAAAGAAACUAGGAGCAAAAUGAAGAAAAAGGAAAGAAGUGAAAAACUGAAAUUGAUCAGCACGGAUCCGAGUUUGGAUCCGUGUGAACAAAGGGUGAUUCCAAGCUCUCGUCUGUACUUUGGAGCAGUGCAUCCGAGGCCAGACGAUCCGAGCUCGAUCAUUAAGAGAAAGGCCUCGGAUCAGCCUUGAUCCGAGCUCGGAUCGUAGUGCACACCUCGGAUCCAAGGCUCGGAUCUACCUCUCUCUUCUGCAAGUGGCACAGCCAUUUUUUCUCAUUUUUCACACAACUUUUCAGCUAUCUUGGGUGAGAGAAUUCGUGGCACAUGCUUCUGCAACAAAAAGGAAGACAAAAUGAGUUAUUGACAAGUCAAAACAACAUUUCUUUUGACUUUCUUUACAAAAUCUGAGUUGUUGGAAUCAUGAAGGAGAAGAAAGUGCCUUUCUACCACCUUUUUAUGCAGAGAACCAAGAAGUCAGGCAUCACCAUAUGGAAGGAGUUUUUCAUCUUGUAACAUUUUUCUCUCUAACUAGAAGUUCUAAAAACAAGCACUUGGAGAUUUCACUUGUAAUCAUCUUGUACAAGACAUAGCAGAAAUUUGAGGGUUUCACCAUUAAUUGGCUAAGUUUUUCUUUAUCUUUCUUGUACUUGUACUUUAUGAUGUUUUGCAUUAAUAAACUUGUGAGUUUGAUUGUUAUAUCAUUCACGAGUAGCUAAAUUGCUUUAUCUAGAGAGUAGAUGAAACUUAUGGCUAAAUGAUAUGAAUUGAAUGUGAUUUACACUUGUUAUAUCUUGUAUUAACUUGUCUAUUUGUGCAAUUGUAAUUACUUGUUGUUGUUUGAUCACUAAUAGCAUGUUUAUAGUUGUUAUUAGUCAAUGAGAAUUGGUAGUAACAAUGGAAAAAACAUGAGUAGAGCUUGAGUUGUAUGUUCAUGAAAAUAGAUGUACACUUAAGUGGAUUAGCUAGCAUUUCAUGAAGGAAAACAGAGUAGAACUAGUAGUUCACCAUGAAAAUAGGGAAAAUUGGAUUGCUCUAGGCCAUUUUAUCAUGAGAAUGAGAUUUGGUAUUAUUGGAAAUGAAUCCCUGGUUAAACAACAAUAAUAACAAGAGGUAAAUCUAUUCAUUUGUGUUGUUUAUGCCAUAAGUGGAAUCUACAUCCCUAGAUUUAUUCUUGAGUGAAAUUUAUCCAUUUGCAUUUAGCAUUUGUUAAACUAGAUUUAUAAACAAUAGCAUUAUAAUUUCUCUGCUCAAAUUCAUUUAUAAGUCUAAAUAAUAGAGAAAAUAAGGGUCUAGUACUUGUUUAAAUUGCUCCUCGUGGGAUCGACUCGAUACAUACCUUACAUUACGGUUUCGGCCUGUAUACUUGCAGUCAACGGGUAUAAAAUCGGAUUUAAACUUGCAUUGAUAUAAAAAUCCCGUCACAUAUGUGAGAUCGAAUUAUUUUACUUAUUUCUUUUAUUCAUUGGUAUUUGUACAUUUUCUGAUUUAACUUCAUAUACUUGUUAUGUUAUUUGAAUGUCAAGGGCCCGAUAUUAGAAUUAACCUAAUAAUCUACUGUCAGAUUAAUUGAUUGAAUCUGUAAUUGUUCAAUUGAUUAAUACUAGUGGCAACUAGCGUGAUUGGUUUUAUGUUAGGGAAACGUAUAAUCUAAUUUAAACGAACCCUUGUAGCGUGUUUGUUAAUUAGGGUUGGGUUUUUCUAAUUCUUAUUGCAAUUGAGAAAUUAAAUCCUAUAGUCGUACCUAGGGUUAUUUUGGUUAGGAAAAAGUUAAUGGUCGUACCUUAACUAUCAAAAAAGUAAGGAAAGGUUGGUUGUUUAUCGCGUGUAUAACAACUAUAACCAAUCUAUUAAUUAGUAAUUGAAUUAUCUUUGCAUCGAUGAUCAGUUGAAUGGACCAUGUCUGAAAAGUUGCACCUUUGGCUAGAGUUGUAUUGGUUAUUGAUUAAUUCCUGUUUAUUUCUAUUAGUUGUUUUAUUAGUUGAUUAAUUAGUUAUUUUAUAUUUUCCAAAAACCCCCAUACUUCGGACUCUGGAAGAAAUGAAUUAUCCCCAGUCCCUGUGGAUUCGACCCUGCUCACCGCUAUAUACAAAUUUGUAUUUUUCUUGAGUAGAUAAUUAUUAUUGCACAUGUUCAACACCUGUCAUUCUAUAACUGUAUACAGAGUCAUCUUUUUCAAAGAUUUCCCAUGCUGCAAAAUGUACUCUACGAGCUUUAUUUCAUUUCCUCCCUAUAAAUUGUCUAAUUCCAAUCUGCCUAAGAUGUUCAACAAAGCGUAUUGGGAAAACUAUUUGGAAAUGUAGAUUCCAGGUCCUUGUAUAUGCAAAGUCCUUCUUACACAACUUUACAUAUUGAGAAGAUCAAAAAUUGCAAAACAUAAUAAUACUUGAAAUUAGUGAGAAUAUAUCCAAAAGAAACAAAAUAUUAAUACCUGAAAUCAGGUUUUACAAUCUGUGCACAAAAAGCACCUAAACCCAAAUGACCCAUGUUGGAAUAGACCAAGUUUAGUUCAACUGCAGAAAUUCCUAGUACAAUGGAACUGCAACUUCAAAUUCAGUAAAUUGCAAACUGAUAUUAUGAUUCUAUAAAUCCUAAAAUCUCACCCAAGUCCUCUUGCCUCCAACACAAAGUAUGUACACAGAUGCUGACCUAUUCUAUACACUUGUAGGUAAAUUCAAAUCAGACGGCAUUCAAUAGAACUGCCUUGAUUGGCUCCAUAUCAGCACUAUUGCUCUUUAAAUCUAAAUUGAUUAAGCUACACAAAAAGGGAUUACAUUAGAUGGAGAAAUUUUACUGAUUGCAUAUGAAAUAAGGGCUAAAAUCAACUAGGAAAAGCAGAGAAGUUAACCUCAACCGACCAGGAAACAAGAUGCAAAAGUCAGAAGUUGUUAGCUUAAACCUCAACCAAAAGAAAAAUGCAAUCUUUGAUAUUAAACACAUAACCCACAUAAGUUAGCUUCACAGAGUCCAGAAGGAUGGUGGAACUCAAUUUUCCUAAAAUUGUGAGGAAAAUAAUUCAAUCUUAGAAAUCUAACACAAAUAAUGGUAAUAAAAACGCACAAGAAGGGUAUAAAAACUUACAAAAUGGCGCCAAAAUAUAGAUCUAACAGUAUUUGAAGCAAAUGGAUGAAGCAUUGAAGUUGUUCUAAGAUUUUUGGACAGCAAUAAACCUAAGCUCCUUCACGUUUAGCAAUUCUUAGGAGAUAGACAGGAGGCGGGUCUUCUUUUUUAGCAAUUCCUUAGAGGUCUCCUUCCCGUUUAGCAAUUCCCGCAUAUGUUCUUCUAUUUUUGGACUAAAAACCACCGAUGUUGGCCUUUGAGAGAAGAACAGAUGCGUGCUUCUCAAUUGACAGAGACAAGAGAGGACUAACCUUUCUAUGUAUAUAUCCCUCAGCCUCUAACAAGCCUUUGAAUUUUGACGGAAGGAUGUUGCGGGAAAAAUAAAAUUCUUGGAGGGAAUAAAACGCGCGUCCUAAAUUCUGAUUUAAGUGUUGCAGUUAAAAGUUUCUAAUUGGAGUAUAUUAUAUAAUAUAUAGAAUGACUAUUGAGUAUUAGAAGUAUAUAAUUUGAAAGAAAUCAUGUAUGAAAAAUGAAACUAAUGAAAAUAUUCAUGUGCAAUCAAUAUAAUAAAUUGUCAUCUUUAUAAUUUUUAAGUUUGCAAUUCAUAAAUAUGGUAACAAAUAAUGUAAUUCAUGUGCAAUCAAUAUAAUUAUAUUGUUAAUUAAGGUUAUAAUUGUGCUAUAUAAAGUAUUUGGGACAAUUUGAAAAAUAUCUAGAAAUUUGGGACUACUUAUAAUAUAUUCAAAAUGUAUUUUGAUUAAACUAUACAACUUGUCCUUUCUUGUUGUAAAUCCAAAUUCAAUUAUGGAACAAUAUACAUGGAAAAUUUGACCUUAUAUGUGUAUAAAUCAUCUUAUUAAUAAAAUAGUUAAACACAAUACAUUUAGUUAACUAUGAUUUAGUGAUUGAUUAUUACAUCAUUUUUUAUAUAAUACGAUAAUUAAAUAUUACAUAUAUAAUAAAAUGUUUCAAAUAUAUUUUAAUUGAUCGAAAAAAUGGUAUACUUACAAUAAACAAAUAAUUAAAGAAAAUUUUGAGAGUAGAAUUUUGUGCUAAAAAUGUGUAUUUUGGGUUCAAAUUUAUAACCACCACUUAUCCACUUAGAAUUAGCAAAAGUAUUAAUUCAUUUCUAAAGACUCUAAACCAUACUAAUUUAUUAUAAUAAAGAUACAAAACACUAGCUCCAUGUGAUAACCUAUAGCAAAAAUCAUCUAUUCACUUUAGUAAAAUAUAUGAGUCAAAUUUAAAGAUUCAUCAAAUUUUAUAGGUUUUAAAAUUGGGGUGCGUUAUUUACAUGGAUUUAAAGCUGUCUGAAUAUAGUUUACUACGCAAUAAACGACACUCAAUUUCGAGUUUUCUACACAAAGAUAUGACCAAAAUACUAAAAUUGUUACUUAAUUUUUUGAAAAAUAGUAGGAUCGUAUGAUCCGGAUUACGAUCCUAUUAAUCUUGAAUUUAAUGCUAAUUUUUUAUCCUACUUACAAUUUGGAUCGUUAGCCAUGAUCCGUAUCGUAGGAUCGUAGAUCGCGAUUCUAGCAACUAUGGUUGUAGUUAAAAGUUUCUAAGAAUUGGAGUAUAUUAUAUAAUAUAUAGAAUGAAUAUUGAGUAUUAGAAGUAUAUAAUUUGAAAGAAAUCAUGUAUGUGAAAAAUGCAACUAAUGAAAAUAUUCUCAAUAUACAGCUGAAAAAAUAACUAAGUUUGAUAAAUUUGCAUUUAAUUUUUAGAUAGAAGUUUGUUGUAUGAUAUGUAAUUGCCAUUUCUUGAAAUUAUUCUUCACUCUUAUACCUUCACUAAACUUCAAAGAACUUAGCUACGCAUAAAAUAGAAUGAAAGGAAUGCUUUCAAGUGUGCUAGUAAGUUAAUAUUUAUAUUAUAUCUGUGCUAAUACGUGUCCAUAUGUAUAAUUCAAAAGUUUUAUGUAUUUCAUAUACGAAUGUCUUUUUUCAAGUAACCGCAUAGAACACUUAUAGGUUGUAUUUUUGCCAUUAAUUUUAUGAUUAUUUCCUCUUUAUUUUACCAAAUAUUGUAUUAAUUGAUAGAUUCUACUUAUAUUUGGUGCUUUAUGUUAAUUAUAGGACGUUGGGGUAAAAAGUGCUAAAAAAGGUGAUUUUCUUGGAAUUGAUUGUCACUCGCAAGUUUCCCAAUUCAAGAUGAAGUCUACGUGGAUUAUUUGUGGAAGAUUAGGAAAUUACCAUUUUUCUUAGAUAUUUUAUUUAGAAAACAAUUGGCAUUAUUCUUGGAGUUACCUUUUUCAAUUGACCCGCUUCCGAAGUUACUUCCUUCGUUAGAGCUCGUUUAUCUUGAUUUAAAUUUAAUCUGUUUUAGUUUAAUUAUUUUCAAUUUGCAUUGAUUAUUUAUUUUUAAUUGCAAUUUUCCAAACUCCCCCCCAAUUAAUUGUCACUUGGAAAGAAGCAAAUUUUCACUCAAAACCUUGAGUUUAUAUCUUUUUGAGUAGGAAUUUAUUAUUACACAAGUCUGACACCUGUCAAUUAACACAAGGUUUCAAGCAAUGCACAGUUUCUUUUGUACCUAGAAUAGCUAAUGUAGCAAGUCAUAUGCUAGCACAUUUUGCAACAUAACUAGUUUAUGAUAUAGAAUGGGUACAUGAUUUCCCGAUUGACUAAUAGAAGGGUGAAUGCCCCUUUUUGUAAUUAACUCUUGCACUUCAAGUGUUAACAUAUAUACUGAUAUUAUCAUUUGUUGAAAAAAAAGGAAAGUGUUUAUUUGUUUAAUCAAAUAGUUAUGGUAGUGUUUAUAUAAUUUCGUAAACAUUGAAAGGUAAAUGACCUCGUUGAAUUUGUAUAAUUUGAUUAUGUUGAAGAAACAUAAUCUUGGAAAAGCAGAGAAAUUUUCUAGUAAAUAUUAGAUAAACAAACAAGUCAUUAUUUUAUUUUGAUAGCUAAUCAUUGUUCAUAUCAAUAUACUAGCUAUAAAGUUAUACUCGCAAUACUACUGUUACGGUAUAAAAUUUCUUGUCAGAGCAAUUUAUAAUUUCAUCCCAUUUUUACCGUUGACUGUUAACCUCAAGUUCUUCGGAUAUCCAUGGGACAGUGUAACCCCUUUGAAGGUCAAUUCUUACUGUUGAUGUGGCGUGUCCCACAUCGGAGGCUGCAUAAGGAAGUUUUCUUCCUUUUGUCCCACAUCGGCAAUCAAGAAGGAAAGCCUCCCCUUGUUUACCUAUAAAUAAGGGGGCUUAGUGGUGAAGAAAAGUGACCACUCAAGAGAGUUAUAUGAGCUAUUAGCUUUUUGAGUCAUUUAGCCCAUUUGUAGUAAAUAUUUUAUGUUCUCUUGUUUUGAGUUUAGGAAUAUUUUCUAAACUUUUUAUGAGUGCCUUUUGGCCUAGGAACCACUUUUCUACGGCUUUUGUAUAUCUUCUUCAUAGUGAAAGAUUUGCUCCUCCUUGCCUGGAUUAGGUUAAUUGACCGAAUCACGUAAAUUUCUGUGUCUUUUAUUUUUUUUGUUAUUUGUAUUUAUUGGGUUGCCACAACCCUUUUAUAUGGUCAGUUUUACAGCCUAAAUAUUAUAUGGUCGAUUUUACCGCCUAAACAUUAUAUGGUCGGUUAUACCGCCUACUUUGUUAACUUCAGUUUGUUUAUUUCUGGACCAUCCUAACACUUACACCCUCAUCAAAGUUUCUGGAGUUGCGUAUUAUAGGGGUGCAAACACAAAAACGAGACAUUCUUAAUCAAUGGAGUUCCUUCUUUUUGCGAUUCAUUCCUCUGCAAACCUCCUCCUCCUCCGAUUUUAAUAUAUGCCACUGUUAAAAUAGGAUACUUUUGUGGGUUUAAGAUUAGAUCGAGACGAACUCUUUUGUGCAAAACAUUUGCCCCAGGCAUCGUUACUACAGAGUAUGUGAUCCAAUUACCAAUGUAAGGUCACAAUGUUAGAGAUGUGAAAUUAUAUUGCAAUGGUCCCUAAAAUCCAACUUGAUCAUAGGAAUACUAAUUAGGUGAAUACGAGGACUCUGAUUCGACUCUCGAUCUUUCCUCUCAAAUUACAGUAAUAUUUUUAAUCAUACACUCAUCCCCUUACUAACUUCCUAUGGGCCCAAUAUGUUGAGUAGAAUUCGAUUGGAACAACCGAAAAAAAAGAAAAGAAAACAAAUACAAAACAAUGAAAUAGACACUUAGUCAAGUUGGAAGCUAUGAGGAAGUGAGGAGCACAAGUGCGAACAGAUCACCAAGGAAAAAGAAACAAUUUUUUCGAGAAUGCAAUUUGAUUUCAAGCUCAAUCAUAUUCUAAGAGUCAAUGAUAAGAUAGAAAAAAUGUAGGUCCAUUGUUAAGAUAUAGACGGAGAUGGUUGCUUAUUGAGCGUUGGAAAUAUUUCAUAUGCAAGUUGUAAUUAUAUCUCAACUUGUAUAAUUUUAAUUUAAUGAAAGUUAAUGACCAUGUCAAUGAUUAUGCGUCAUGCAUGACAUUCUUUUUUCUUGUACUCUCCUGAAAAGUCUCCUCCUCCUCCACCAGUGGCUGCAUGUCUGUACAUGUUCCCCACAACAAGAAUAAUGAAUCAAUUGCCAUAAUUGCACGCAUUUAAAUUUUCUGAGCUGGUGAUAAAUUGCAUAGUUUUGAUUUUUUUCUAUUUCCGGUUCCCACUCUAGCUACUUCUAGAUUUAUUAAUUGGAAAAAAAAAGAAGAGGAAUAAAUUAAACCUUAUUUAAUUACUUUUUUAGUCAGGAUAUCUAUAGUAGAUGUAAUUAUCUCUAUAGAAAUGAAUGAAGCAUCCUAGCUUGUGAUCAUUAUCCUCUGUUGCAAUUCUCUUGUUCAAACUUCAAGUUAAGGUUUGUUUGCUAAUUUAAUGGAUUCAGAACUUAAAUUUAAUGGAUUCAGAUCUUAACAUGUUCAAAUGCUUUUGAUAACCAAAACUUGAAUAUCUGAAUUAAUUAAGUGACACUAAAUUUUCUAGACAAAACUUACUCCUAAAAAUAAGUGAUAAACUAUUUACUUAUCACUUAAUGUGAUAUAUUCAAAUGUAUCAGAUUAGUACAUAACAAUUUAAUAACUUAAUGAAUUCAGACUUCAGAUUUCAGAUUUCAGUUUUAUCAAACGCAUCUUAACUCAGUGCAAACUGAAUAUGAAAUCCAAAGUUGAAAAUCCAAGAGGUUAGAACUUUGAAACCAUAGAGCCUCUAGGCAAAUUCAGCAUUUUUACAUUCUACUGAUUUACGGCAUCUUCAAUUAUCAGUUUCAACUCCAUGGUAUAAUAUAGAUAUUACCUCUAAUAGUUUACACACUUACGCAACAAAUAUAGAUUGUGAAAUUAAUUGUAUAAGUUUGAUAUUUUGUAGGUUUUGGGAUAUAAUUUUCACGUUUAGGAAAAAGAAAAUAUGUUAGUAAGUAAUAAUGUGAUACCCCUUGUCCCACGUUGGAAGUGGGAGAGGAAAAGGAUUGAUAUAUAUACAAGAUUUGGUCGCAUAAGUUACUAGUUACUUGGGCUAACCAUGUCGGGAAAGUGUAUUUCGACAAAAAAUUACUUAGGCCAACCAUGGGCUUGGAUGGUGAUAAAUAACUUACUAGAAGCCAGGCAUAUUUAUGUUUAGAUGUCCUAAAAGCAGAGUAGUUCAUAAUCUAGAUAAUGGUAACGAUAUGAUGAGAAUGUGAAGUUAUUUGGUAAACUUUAUAGAUUAAUAAUUUCAUCAAAGCAUCAUAUACAAGCAUGAUGACACAAUCUCAACUUUCAUUCUUUUGUUAAAUCUUAGUUUUUUUCUCUUAAAUUUUUUCGAAUAAAGGAAGGAUGGAAUUUAAGCAGUAGAGGGUGGAAGGGGAUUUUGAAUUCAAAAUCUCUAAUUUCUAAGUUUUUCCCUAAGCAAUCGUCAAAAUAAAAAAAAAAUUUAAAAGAAAAAAAAUGAGCACCUCAUGGUCAAUGCUCCUGUUCGAAGAUUUAUUCCUUUGGUUUGUCAUCAUCUCCCUCUAUGAAAUCUAAGUACCCUUGGUUGACAAUUUGUUUCCCUGAGCAUCCAUCAACACUUUUAUAUAGUAUUUUUUUUAAUAUAGUAUUAGAUUAGAUUAGAUUAGAUUAUCAAUGCACCAUCAAUAUAGUAUUAGAUUAUCAAUGCACCAUCAAAACACUUUUAUAUAGUAUUAGAUUAGAUUAGAUUAUCAAUGCACCAUCAAUAUCCUUAAAUAUAAAAGCUUAAGUAUAGUAAUCAAAAUACUGUUAGUAAUCUGUACGAUUAUUUUUUAUCCUUUAAUGUUUUAGUUUUAGGAAGAUCACAAAUGCUGCGUAUAAAGCAUGCCAUAGGCUAAAUUAAGCUAAAUUAAGUACACUGCUAAAAUGGAGAGCAUUGCUAAAUUAAGUACCUUAAGAUAAAGACAUAAGCAGCCAGAUCCAUUUGAUGUCAGCUGCUUCAAUAUCCACCUCAAAAUAAAUUAGCCUUUGUUCUAGAUUUAGCUUAAUGCUAAGUCCCUUCACCAUUCUUAGUAAUAAUUCAAUUCUGCCUCAAUUUUCUUCUGAUCUUCAAGGUAAAUGUACGAUAAAUUUCAAAAUAUAUCCCAAAUAUAUGAAUUUCUUGAAACCAUCCUUGAAUCUCAUUACCUACUCAACAAAAUGUUCCAUAAACAUAAAGAAUUGACGAGAACAACAGGGCUCCUUAGAUUUAACAAUUUCAAAUAAGCCCAAGCUAGAAUUUUUCAUAUAUUCAAACAAGAAAUUGGAAAAAUCUGACUAAGCAAUACUGAAUUGUAUCGAAAACCUACUUGCAUCUAUGAAUAAGCAAUACUGAGUGAUGAUAUUUUUAAGGGCAGUCCAAUUCACUCAAUACAAAAAUAUUUUUAAAUGAUGAUAUUCACAGGAACGUCUAUCUUACUUAAACAAACAAUAAAAAGGAGAUUGAUUGAGAAAUGGCCACAUUAUCUUAUCAUUCUUAAUUAUCAUUAGUUCAAUUAUCAACUUUAGCAGUCGAGAAAGGCUGCAACUUGUACCCCUCUUACUUUAUCAUUCUUUAGGGCCCAAUUCUUUAUUCCUGCGUCCGGAGACUUGAGACGUGACGCUUCAUAGUGUUGGACGACUAUUCUUAGCUCGUUCAAGGAAACAGUGAGGAGACGCUCUUGCACAGCUACUUAAACUAUUGGAUAAUUUCAUAGACCUUUCCUGAAGUUUUGGACAAUUUCAGCUAGUACCCCUCUUAUUUUCAAUAUUACGCUGACCACUCUUACUUUAACCAGUGUUGUGACCAAUUCAGCCCAUAUAUGUAAAAGAAAUGGAAUAAAUUGACAAGAAAUGGUGUCAUCACAUUUUAUUCCAUAUUUUCCCUUGGACCCUAAAACUUCACUUUGUCCCUCCGAAGUUGAAUCACUUUUCUAUUCUAUACACUGAACUUCAAUUUUGGAUGCUUUGCAUGUGGUUGGAGGCAAAAGCAUGGCAGAGCCCUUUUUGAGUCUCUGAUCUUUAUUAUCACAUGAUCAUUGCUAAUUAUACUAUUGCUUUUGAAUGGAAAUAGCAUAAAAGUCUUAGUGAAUGAACAAAUUGAAUAGACCAUUUCGCAGAGCAGUGAAAUAUUCCAAAGCGUGAAGCACAGUGAUAAGCUACAAAUUAUAGUGGUUUUAUAUUAUUGUCAAUGAAUGGUUGUAUUUGAGCUAAUUUUGAAUGGAUGUUGCCUAAUUUAAGUAUAUGUUGGUUUUUGUGGGAAAAGCACGCGAUUGAGGAGGAAAUGAAUCGAAAACGCAACAAAAGGGGAAGAAUGCCAAGACACAAGGAUCCGUGGGUGGAUCCUAUGUCCAACGCCAAACAUUGAAAGGGACUUUGCGAGGACUUCUUCUAGUUCUAAUGAUUGGAAAACCCACUCAAACUCGAUUUUUGGUAAGUUUUCAAGACCCAUUCUUACCAUAUUUCGGAUACAACUUUGAGAGACUAUAAAUAGGAUAUUCUAGGAUGUUUUUAGAUUAGAAAGCAUUUGGCUAACGUUAGUUCAUCAUUUUUAUACCUUCUUUUCUUGAGAGAUCACAAUGGAAGUGUUGAAGAAUCAAAGGAAGUUCAAGAUGGAGAUUGAAGCGGGGAAAAAUUGAGAAGUUUUCUUACUUUUAACUUCUUAUUUUGUCUUUCAUUUGAAUUCUUGGAUUUAUCUAUGAAUAUGUUGAACUCAUUUAUAUCUAAAGUUAGGAUUUUGUGAAGGAGAUUUAAUUAGAUAAAUUAUUCGCUUUUGCUUAGAUUUAUUUAUCUUGCCUUUAUUACAUGUUUAUGUUUUGCCACUAUAGAUAUGCUUUUAGGAUUUGUAUUGAGUUAAGAAGUGAUGUACAACCGUACAUUAGAUAGAUAAACAUACUUAAUAUAAUCAUGAAAGUGGGUUAAACAUUGUAUGGCAUAAUUAUAUCACCUAAUAUUGUAAAGGAUUUAAUUAUAUACUUAUGAUCUCGAGAGCAACGUGAGAUUUCAUUAGACAAAUUUAGAAGUAUCGAGAGAUAAUCUAAAGUACUUUUCUGUGAUACAUCUUUGACUUGUUAAGAAAAUAAUUGGAUAUAUAAUUCCAAUUCUAAAUCAAAAUUUAAAACUCUAGUCUUUUGCUAAUUGUUUUCUCACCUAUAUCUUGUUUGAUUUGAUUAUUUAUUUAAUUUCUUAAUUAGUGAUUAAAAACCCUCUGAAUUUAAAUUUUGUUAUUUUUAUUAGAGGAAUUAAAGUAGGAAAAAUUAACUCACUCCUGCAGGUUCGACCCCUGGAGUACUCCAAGCAAAUUAUUAUUACGAUCGACCUUGUACAGUUAUAGAAAUUCAUCGAUCACACAGCAACAAAAAAAAUUAAUGCACAAUAAUGUCAUGAGCAGAAACAGUUCCCAUCUUAGUUGUUCAACAUUCACGGUGGAUUUCAAUUAGUGGUCAACAGAUAAAGGCAUCGAAAAAAGUAAUCUAACUAGAUAAGUGAAUUUAUAUUGUACAACAUAUUUCUUUUUUCUACCGCAAAAACUUAACUAAUUUAAGACAAUGUAGUCCAAGAUAAUUGAAGAUUAAUUUUCCCUAAAAAAUGUUCAUGAUAAAAACUCAACAAAGAGAUAAUACAACAGCUUACUUUUGGAGGUGAUCUUAUACGGUCUUUAUUAACAAACUAAUUAGCCACUUAAGCCUUUUUUUUCCUUUUGGGACUACGCAUGACAAAAUGAGGAGUGAAUCAGUCGCUUAGUAUCUAAAAUUUUCCCUCCAUAUAAUUAGUUCAACCUGAUUUAAGACUAAAUUUUUACUAUAGGAAUGUUCGUGAUUCAACAAUGAAACACCAUAGAAACUUAUUUUGGGAGAUUGUCCUAGAAGGUAAAAAAUGAGCAACCAAUCAGAAAGUCGUACUCACAUAUCAAAAUCCAUUCAGUCUAAUUAAUUCACCAGCUAUGUAUAUUCAUCCAUUUUCACAUUAUAGAAAGAACAAUAAUGCAUGGCAUUAUCCAUCAUAAAUUGCUCAUAUAACAUCAAGAUAUUCAUGGUGUGGACCUCAAAUGACUCGUCAUGUCUACUGGCUACAUUUAAACAUAUCUUAUGGCCAGAAUGUUCAUCUUAUCAACUUGACGAGUUUAUUCAUGGUACCAUACCAUUAAAUUAAAAAAUUUUCCACCUUUUACCUUUCAUAGAUAUCAGGAAUAUAGCUAAUAACGCACUUUUGGCAGCAAUAUUCCUUCAACCAAUUAAAGAUUUUCGGAGCUUAAAGUUCAGCUCCUAAAGCUCUUCUCCAAGUCUCACCAACAACAGAGAAAUUACUUUUAGCAAAGUUGUUAAAUUUUGGCACCAGGUUUUGAUGGUAUCUUGGUAAGAUUGGAAGAUUAUAUUGCGCUUCUAAGAUAAUUUUUAAAAAAAUAUUUUAGUGAGAGCAUUAUGGUCAAUUUGCCCCUAAUGAUAUUGACAUUAGGUCCCAUCAACAUCAAAGGGAGCUCAUUGUAUUAUUGGAUAUAACAAGGGUGCGAGUGAAAUUAUGAAAACCCUCAAGGGAGGUUUUUGAAAUUAACCCUAAAAUACUCAUUCCACGCAAGGCGUGGCGUUCCCCUCCUAGUUCCUAUAAAUAGGGCACCAACUCAAUGCACUUGUCACUCGAUAUCAAUAAUUUAGCACAUUAUUUACAUUUUGAGUGAGAUUGUGAUAAAAUGGCAUCUUCAAAAAAUUUGCUCUUUCUUAUUGGCGUUCUCUUUGCACUUGUGCUCCUCAUUUCCUCUGAUGCAACAGCUGCAGGUACCUAGUCUUUUUUUUUUUUUUUUCCUUUCAUCCUUUUUUUUUUUUUGGCUGCACCUAAAUUUUAAAUGAAUGGAGAUUUGGAGACUCAUUAUUGGGAUGUGAAUUUUUAUGGAAGGCUAUUUGUAUAUUAUCAAGCAAGUCAUAUUAAUGUGCUAAUAUCCUUUUCAUUGUUUAGCAAAAGUAAAAUUGGGUUGCUUCUAUCAAUGGUUAGUGGCACAUCUGAUUUUUCAUGCAUCCUUAUAGUAUUGCUGUAAGGAUACACGUUCCAUAGUGUCGCACCAAAGGUUAAACUAACGUCGAAACCAAAUUAAAUGCUUCUAAUUAUAAUUUAAAGCAAAAUAAUUCAUAUCCAAGUCGCACCAUCUUAUAUGCCUGGACUGUUUUGUUUAAUCCAUAGUAUUAUUUUCUUUGCAUAUAUCUUGCAAAUUUUCAGCCUAGCCGGUCACCUAACGUUCGCAGCUUAAGAUAAAGCUCCAAAUAUUUAUGUCUCCUUGUGUCUUGAAACAGAUCAGAAAAGCGUGAAAACCACUGGUGUCCACGAUUCCAGUUCAGGCGAAGAUCGUUGCACAUAUGGUUGCUGCCACUGGUACAAUGGAUAUUGCCAAAGAUGCUGUCCACCUGCUGAGGAGACUUGCAGACAUGGUUGCUGCUACUGGUACAAUGGACAUUGCCAAAGAUGCUGUUAACCUACUGAAGCUACAUCGGAGAUGAGGUCAAAAAUUAAUGCUAAAUAAAUAAGGGUGUGAGACAGGAUCCGUGACACCUAUAUUAUUACCUUAAUAUGUUAUGUUGUGUUUUGCGUUUGAUGGUUUUUCCUAUAUGUGUAAAAGACUUGUGCGGCUUCUCUUUGAAUUGGUGUAGAAUCAACAGGGGAAGCAUGUAAUGAGUACUCAGUUCGAGUGCUCUUCUUAUGUUGUUGUCAUGUUGAAUAAAUAAAUCUACGUGAUCAUCUACUACAAUUGAUGAUCUCUAUCUCAGUUACGUCAGAAACUUCUGUACCUUGGACCUGCUAGAAUUUAGCGUGAUUGAUAUAAGACGUGCAGAAUGUUCAAUAUAUGUAUAUAUGUGCUUCUUCAUCGUGCCAUGCCAUUACAAUGUGAAAGAAUUCAGCAUCGACGGAGUGAAACGUACCCAAUCCUGCUCCUGAGAAAGGAAACAAAGUCCCUCAAAAAUGGAUAUUUUGGAUGCCAUCAAGAUUUUGAAUUGAAUGCCAUUUGGAGAUCUGAAUGUUGUUUUUUUUCCCCUUUAUCUUCGUUCAAGAUUUUUUUUUGGUGGAAAUGCUUCAUUUAUACGAAAUUUCCUAGUUAGUAAAGGCUUCUAUUACACUUGUACAAUACACAUUUAAAAGUAUAACACAAUAAAAGCUUGUGUAGUUCAUAUAUUUAAAAAAUAUUCAUACUUUUCAACUAAACUAUAAAAAUACGUAAUAAAUUCUUGAUACGUUAUACUUUACGAACUAUACUUUAAAUUUUAAAAAUAUUUAAUACUAUCACUUAUUAAUAACUCCACAUGUUAAUUUGUCUCCCAAUUUAAUAAAUUAUAGUAGCUAAUUCUCAAAGCUAACCGACACCAAAAUUCCCUUACUUGUUCACCUCCUAAUGGAUUAUUAUUACUCCCUCCGUCCUACUUUGAUAGUCUUGUUUUCCUUUUUUGUCUGUCCCAAAUUAUAGUCCACUUUCCCAUUAAAAAAUGUAGUAAUCUUUCAAAUUGUCUAAAAUACCCUUAUUAAAUAUCUUGUGAUUAAUACAUUGUUAUUAAAUACUAACCCACUACAUUGAAUACAUUGAGCUUUUCCAAUACUAACCCAUUAGUUGUAAUUGAUAUUAAUUGGCACUCUUCGUGAUUAGCAUAAGGGUAUUUUAGGAAAUUAUUAAUCUAAAUUUAUGUUUCCAACCAAAUUAAUUACACUUUCUUAAUCUGUGUGAAAAAAAAAAUCAAGACUAACAAAACGGGACGGAGGGAGUAAUUACAUUGCAUUUAUUUCGUAAGCAUGAGUUUUGUAACCCCUCAUAUUAAAUCUCAAUGAUUGAUUUUAACGGUUACCAAGGUGUCUAGUAAUUGGUUUGCUAUUAAUUUGAACUAGACAUUUAUUAGGUCUAGUCGAAUUUAUUCCUUCUUAUCACUUAGUUCAUAAACCUUAUGAAUCGUUAAAACCAGCUCUAACAUUAGGUAACAAGACUUCUACAAUUUCGGGUUUUGCUUAGAAAUCAGUCUGAUAGUUUAACUUGCUUCGUCCAAGUUUAUGAGUUGCUUUUUUUUUUUUUCCAUAUUUGACAUUUCAUCUGACUUUAAUAUGGGGACCAAGUUAGUAUUGUUGACAUUUCAUAUCUAAGACUUCUUAAUUAAUUGAUUUGGUAUAAGAACUAUAACGUAUGCGUGUUUUGUAAGCUUUCAUGUUUUUUUUUUUUUUAAUUCUUGUGGACCAGCAACGGAUAGUUUCUUCUAGUACCAAGCUUCCUUUGAAGUUUUUUUUUUUUUUUUGCGUGUCCAAAUGUAAAUUAAAAGAACCCAUCAACUUUGAACAAGUCUAUAUCUAGUAAAGAUAGAUAUAAAGAGGGAUACUAUAUCACUACAACGAAAAAGGGAUUUCGCGAGGAGCAAAAGUCCACGCCAAAAGUUUUGACUUCCUUGCUAAUUAAUUUCAACGAGAAAAAUGCUUCCUCGCCAAAUUUCUUGCUAGAUGCUCGUCGCUAAAAGUUAUUAGCGAGGAUGCUGCUGCUUUUCUCGCUAAUGAAACAGAUCAAUAGCAAGGGUUGACCUCCUCGCUAAUAGCUCAAAUACUAUGGCAAGAAAAGCUUUCCUCACCAACUAAAGUUAAAAACUCCCCACAAAAACCAGUAGUUCCUUGCAAAUAGUCAAGGUGUUUUGCUAGGAAAAUAGCGCAUCCUCACCAAUAGUAUAGAAUUAGCAAGGACCCGUGUACCAGUAAAACAUUUUUGGCCAGGAAAGUAUCCUCUCUAAUAAGCGAUAAUUGAUUAUUGCCUAACUGUUUGGUGGGAAAAUGUUCCUCUCCAAUGCUGUUAUGAACAUUUCUUAAUCCCAUUUUAGCAUGCUAAUCUUAAUUCUCUAAGCAAAGUACUGGGUGGUUUUAUUAGAAAAUUUAGCUGCAAAUAGCUUCAAUUUGGCUUCUCAUGUGUCUGCUGUACAUUUUCCAGGUUCUUGUAAGUAUCAAAUUGUUUGGCAAAAAAAAUUUUUUUAAUGAAUCAUGACCAACGUAGCUGCUCGUUAAAUUUAAACUCAUAAUCCCUGGUAUUUGAUAGGUUUUUGGAAUAUCACUUGGUGCCAACAACCCCUUUUGCUACUUUGAUAAACAUUCAAUAGAAAACAUACAAAAGCUUUGGUUAGCUAAAAAUAAUUGCUACCACAGUAAUACAUCAACAUCCAGCUCUUUCAACAUCUUGAGCCAUACAAUAGGAAGUGCUUGAAAUCAAUUGGCAAUCCAAAUUCUUUUUAGCUCAUUAACUAUCCUAGAAAUCGCAACUUCAGUAAGUCAUUACAGAAGAAGAUUUCAUCGAGAGAACACCACAAAAAGGAGAAGCAGAAAAAAAAAUAUAACAGAGAGAGAGAGAGAGUUAAACUAGUCAUAUGGACACAUAUUUGUCACCUCAGUAUUUCCGAUUCCUUAAUUAAGUCCAGUUAUCUUGGAACUCUAUCGGCAAUCCAUGGAACAUUUUUUGAAUGACAAUAUGCUGUUGCAACCUUUUGAUGAAGACUUCAAAGGUUCUAUGAUAAGGUUGCAUUUUUGUCAUUAAUUCUAUGAUUAUUUUCCUCGUUUAUAUUACCAAAUAUUGUAUUAAUUGAUUGAUUCUACUUAUAUUUGAUACUUUGUGUCAAUUGUAGGAAGGUGGAGCAAAAAGUAAUAAAAGAGAUGAUUUUCAAGAGUUUUCCAAUUCAAGAUGGAGUUUACGUGGAGUAUUGGAUGAAAAUUAGGAAACUACAACUUUUUAUUAGAUGUCUUAUUAGGGAACAAUUAGCAUUAGUUGGAGAAGUUUCCUUUUGCAAUUAGAAUUCUAUUUUUAGUUGGCCAAUGGAUGGCCGAAGUAGUAGACUUCGAUUAGGAAACAAAGAGAAAAAAAAAAGAUGGCCGCUGGUCUCUUCUUUAGUGAGUCUUUAGGGAAAAACCAAUGGUUAUUGAUGGAGUCAUGCGGAUAUCCCCUGAGGAUGUGAAGCUAAAUCUCCGUUUUCUGGUCGAAUGUCAAUCUGAGAACUCGGUUCCAAACAUCUGUGAGAUCAAAUUAUUUUACUUAUUUCUUUUAUUCAUUGGUAUUUGUGCAUUUUCUGAUUUAACUUCUUAUGCUUGUUAUGUUAUUUGAAUGUCAAGGGACCGAUAUUCGAAUUAACCUAAUAAUCUACUGCCAGAUUAAUUGAGUGAAUCCGUAAUUGUUCAAUUGGUUUCAUGUUAGGGAAAUGUAUGAUUUAACUUAAACAAACCCUCGUAGUGUGUUUGUUAGUUUGAUUGAGUUUUUCUAAUUCUUAUUGCAAUCAAGAAAUUAAAUCCUACAGUCGUACCUAGGGUUAUUUCUUGGUUAGAAAAAUAGUUAAUGGUCGUACCUUGACUAUCGAAAAAGUAAGGAAAUGUUGGUUAUUUAUCGCGUAUAUAACAACUAUAACCAAUCUAUUAAUUAGUAAUUAAAUUAUCUUUGCAUCGAUGAUUAAUUGAAUUGACCGUGCCUGAAAAGUUACACCUUUAACUAGAGUUGUAUUGGUUAUUGAUUAAUUCCUAUUUAUUUCUAUUAGUUGUUUCAUUAGUUGGUUAAUUAGUUAUUUUAUAUUUUCCAAUAACCCCCCAUACUUCGGACUCUGGAAGAAAUGAAUUAUCCCCAAUCCCUAUGGAUGCGACCCUACUCACCGUAGGGGCGGGCAAAAAAACCCGCCGAUCCGAAAACCCGAUGAACCCGAUCCGAUCCGAUCCGAAAAAUAGGAUACCCGAUCCGAUUUUCUUAGCGGGGCAGAUGAGGGUCGGGUACUCGAAAAAUCGGGUACGGAUACGGAUCAGAAAAAUAAAAAUCCGCGGGUACCGACCGGCAGGGUAUAUUUUAUAAAUAUUAAAAAAGUAGGGAUCAUUUUAUAAUUUUGUAAUUUUUAAUUCUAAGUGCAAGUGAAGUGGCUCGCAGCCUCAUAUUUUAAUCCUAUAUGAUCUACUCUUCUCAUUUUUUUUUUAAGAAAGUGAAUAUUCUCGGUGAAACAUGAACAAAAUGAAAAAAAAAAUUUGUGAAACUCUGUUAUAAAAAUUGUCCAUCCCUUUCAUCUUUUUUAUUUUUAUUCUACCUCCAUCGAUCUUUCCUGCAAAUCUUGCAUCAAUUCAAUCAAAGAUUUUUGUUUCGAGUCUCAAUUUUCUGUUAGCUAGAUAAUUAAAAUAUUUGUGUCAUUCAUUUGCAAUUAUAUCUCUUAAAUUUGUCUCUUUUAUUUAGUGUAAGAAAUUUAUUUUUCUUUUUCAUCACCUUAAUACCAUAAGGUCUAUUCCAAAGAUGUAAAGAAGUUGGGAAGAUUUUUAACAUUAUUUUGGUUAUAUUUUUUUCAAAAAUAAUUAGUUCUAUUCAAUUAUUUUCCGAACUUGAUUUCACAAUUGACUUAUUUGAGAUGCGGUCUUGUACCAUAAUAUCCUUGGGGAAGUUACCAAAUACUUAUUAUCCUUGUGUUUGUUGUGUUGUAGAAGUAUGAAAUGUGUGAAAAUGGUGAUGUACUCAAAAUUAUUAUGAAACUUCGUUUUGUCCAUUAGAUAUUCUAAUAUGUACUAAAUUUAUGAGAUCGAUUUGAUUAUUGGAUGAAAUGUGUGAAAAUGGUGAUGUAUGGACUUUAAUUACAAUAUCUCUACCAAUAUUAAUUGGAAAAGCAUGUUUUUUUUAUUGAAAAACGUGUUGAUAUUAAGUAGAAAAUACAUUUUUUUAUUGAAAAAUAGUUUUUUUUAGGGGCGGGUACCCUAUGACCCGCCCCUUUUUUCGGGUACCCGCUAUUCGGGUACCCGAAAAUAUUAGGAGGCGGGUUAAGGUCGCAAAAUGGCUGAUCCGAUAUAUUAGGGUCGGGUCAGCCAAAUCAUGUUAGGGGCGGGUACCCGACCCGUGCCCACCCCUAACUCACCGCUAUAUACAAAUUUGUAUUUGUCUUGAAUAGGUAAUUAUUAUUGCACAGAUUCGACACCUGUCAUUCUAUAACUGAAUACAGAGUCAUCUUUUCAAAGAUUUCCCAUGCUGCAAAAUGUACUCUACGAGCUUUAUUUCAUCUUCUCCCCUAUAAAUUUGCUGAUUCCAAUCUGCCUAAGAUGUUCAACAAAGCGUAUUGGGAAAACUGUUUGAAAAGUAGAUUCCAAGUCCUUGUAUAUGCAAAGUCCUCCUUACACAACUUUACAUAUUGAGAAGAUCAAAAAUUGCAGAACAUAAUAAUACUUGAAAUUAGUGAGAAUAUAUCCAAAAGAAACAAAAUAUUAAUACCUGAAAUCAGGUUUUACAAUCAGUGCACAAAAAGCACCUAAACCCAAAUGGCCCAUGUUGGAAUAGACCAAGUUUAGUUCAACUGCAGAAAUUCCUAGUACAAUGGAACUGCAACUUCAACUUCAGUAAAUUGCAAGCUGGUAUUAUGAUUCUAUGAAUCCUGAAAUCUCCCCCAAGUCCUCUUGCCUCCAACACUAAGUAUGUACACAGACGCUGACCUGUUCUAUACACUAGGAAAAUUCAGAUCAGACGGCAUUCAAUAGAACUGCCUUGAUUUGGCUCCAUAUCAGCACUACUGCUCUUUAAAUCUAACUUGAUUAAGCUGCACAAAAAGGGAAGAUUACAUUAGAUGGAGAAAUUUUACUGAUUGCAUAUGAAAUAGGGGCUAAAACCAACUAGGAAAAGCAGAGAAGUUAACCUCAACCGACCAGGAAACAAGAUGCAAAAGUCAGAGGUUGUUAGCUUAAACCUCAACCAAACGAAAAAUGCAAUCUUUGAUAUUAAACACAUAACCCACAUAAGUUAGCUUCACAGUCCAGAAGGAUGGUUGGAACUCAAUUUUCCUAAAAUUGUGAGGAAAAUAAUGCAAUCUUAGAAUCUAACACAAAUAAUGGUAAUAAAAACACACAAGAAGGGUAUGAAGACUUACAAAAUGGCACCAAAAUAUAGAUCUAACAGUAUUUGAAGCAAAUGGAUGAAGCAUUGAAGUUGUUCUAAGAUUUUUUGACAGCAAUAAAACCUAAGCUCCUUCACGUUUAGCAAUUCAUAGGAGAUAGAUAGGAGGCGGGUCUUCUUUUUUAGCAAUUCCUCAGAGGUCUCCUUCCCGUUUAGCAAUUCCCGCAUCUGUUCUUCUAUUUUUGGACUAAAAACCACCAAUGUUGGCCUUUGAGAGAAGAACAGAUGCGUGCUUCUCAAUUGACAGAGACAAGAGAGGACCAGCCUUUCUAUGUAUAUAUCCCUCAGCCUCUAACAAUCCUUUGAAUUUUGAUGGACGUUGCGGGAAAAAUAAAAUUCUUGGAGGGAUAAAACGCGCGUCCUAAAUUCUGAUUUAAGUGUUGUAGUUAAAAGUUUCUAAGAAUUGGAGUAUAUUAUAUAAUAUAUAGAAUGAAUAUUGAGUAUUAGAAGUAUAUAAUUCGAAAGAAAUCAUGUAUGAGAAAAUGAAACUAAUGAAAAUAUUCAUGUGCAAUCAAUAUAAUAAAUUGUCAUAUUUAUAAUUUUUAAGUUUGCAAUCCAUAAAUAUAGUAACAAAUAAUGUAAUUCAUGUGCAAUCAAUAUAAUUAUAUUGUUAAUUAAGGUUAUAAUUGUGCUAUAUAAAGUAUUUGGGACAAUUUGAAAAAUAUCUAGAAAUUUGGGACUACUUAUAAUAUAUUCAAAAUGUAUUUUGAUUAAACUAGACAACUUGUUCUUUCUUGUUGGAAAUCGAAAUUCAAUUAUGGAACAAUAUACAUGGAAAAGUUGACCUUAUAUGUGUAUAAAUCAUCUUAUUAAUAAAAUAGUUAAACACAGUACAUUUAGUUAACUAUGAUUUAGUGAUUGAUUAUUACAUCAUUUUUUAUAUAAUACGAUAAUUAAAUAUUACAUAUAUAAUAAAAUGUUUCAAAUAUAUUUUAAUUGAUAGAAAAAAUGGUAUACAUACAAUAAAAAAAUAAUUAAAGAAAAUUUUGAGAGUAGAAUUUUGUGCUAAAAAACAUGUAUUUUGGGUUCAAAUUUAUAACCCACCACUUAUCCACUUAGAAUUAGCAAAAGUAUUAAUUCAUUUCUAAAGACUCUAAACCAAACUAAUUUAUUAUAAUAAAGACACAAAACACUAGCUCCAUGUGAUAACCUAUAGCAAAGAUCAUCUAUUCACUUUAGAUAAAUAUAUGAGUCAAAUUUAAAGAUUCAUCAAAUUUUCUAGGUUUUAAAAUUGGGGUGAUUUAUUUACAUGGAUUUAAAGCUGUCUAAAUAUAGUUUACUAUGCAAUAAACGACACUCAAUUUCGAGUUUUCUACACAAAGAUAUGGCCAAAAUACAAAAUUGUUACUUAAUUUUUUGAAAAAUAGUAGGGUCGUAGGAUCGUAUGAUCUGGAUCACGAUCCUAUUGAUCUUGUUAAUUUAAUGCUAAUUUUUUAUCCUACUUACAAUUUGGAUCGUUAGCCAUGAUCCAUAUCGUAGGAUUGUAGAUCGCGAUUCUAACAACUACGGUUGUAGUUAAAAGUUUCUAAGAAUUGAAGUAUAUUAUAUAAUAUAUAGAAUGAAUAUUGAGUAUUAGAAAUAUAUAAUUUGGAAGAAAUCAUGUAUGAGAAAAAUGCAACUAAUGAAAGUAUUCUCAAUAUACAGUUGAAAAAAUAACUAAGUUUGUUGAAGCUCUAGUCUUUUGCUAAUUGUUUUCUCACCUAUAUCUUAUUUGAUUUGAUUAUUUAUUUAAUUUCUUAAUUAGUGAUUAAAAACCCUCUAAAUUUAAAUUUUAUUAUUUUUAUUAGAGUAAUCAAAGUAGGAAAAAUUAACUCAUUCCUAUAUGUUUGACCGUGGAGUACUCCAAGUGAAUUAUUAUUUCGAUCAACCCUAUACAGUUAUAGAAAUUCAUCGAUCACACAGCAACUAAAAAAAAAAAUUAACGCACAAUAAUGUCAUGAGCACAGUUCCCAUCUUAGUUGUUCAACAUUCACGGUGGAUUUCAAUUAGUGGUAAACAGAUAAAGGCAUCGAAAAAAGUAAUCUAAUUACUAGAUAAUUGAAUUUAUACUACAGCAUAUUUCUUUUUUCUACUGCAAAAACUUAACUAAUUUAAGACAAUGUAGUCCAAGCUAAUUGAAGAUUAAUUUUCCCCAAAAAAUGUUCAUGAUAAAAACUCAGACAAAGAGAUAAUACAACAACUUAUUGGAGGUGAUCUUAUACGGUUUUUAUUAACAAACUAAUUAGCCACUUAAGCCUUUUUUUUUUUUGGGACAGUACAUGACAAAAUGAGGAGUAAAUCAUUCACUUAGCAUCUAAAAUUUUCCCUCCAUAUAAUUAGUUCAACCUGAUUUAAGACUAAAAUUUUUACUAUAGGAAUGUUCGUGAUUCAACAAUGAAACACCAUAUAAACUUAUUUUGGGAGAUUUUUCCUCGAAGACAAAAAAUGAGCAACCAAUCAGAAAGUCAUACUUACAUAUCAAAAUCGAUACAGUCUACUUAAUUCACCAGCUAUGUAUAUUUCAUCCAUUUUCACAUGAUAGAAAGAACAAUAAUGCAUGGCAUUAUCGAUCAUAAAUUGCUCAUAUAAUAUGCGAUCUAUUAUGCAUCUAAGGCUUUGAAUGGAACUUAACUCAAUUAUACGAUCAUAGAAAAUGAGCUUUUAGUAGUUAUUUUUGCCUUAGAAAAAUUUCAUUCUUAUUUAUUAGAAGAUAAGUGAUUGUGUAUUCUGACUAUGCAGCGCUACGGUACUUAAUGACUAAGAAGGAUGCUAAACCAAGAUUGAUAAGAUGGAUUUUGCUUCUAUAUGAGUUCAAUUUGAAAAUUCGUGAUAAAAAGGGAGAAGAGAAUUUAGUUGCCGAUCAUUUGAGUCGAUUGUCGAUUGUCAAGGAUGAUUUUAUAUUGAGGAAAACUUUUCCUAAUGAGCAACUAUUUUCUGUUAAUCCCUCUCUUCCUUGGUAUGCGGAUAUUAUUCAUUUCUUGACCACUAAUCAAUUGCUUGCACAUUGGUAAAAAACAAAAUGAGAUAAGCUCAGAUGUGAUGCUAAGUAUUACUUAUGGGAUGACCCCUAUUUAUAGUGGCAAUGUGCAGAUCAAGUACUGCGCAGAUGUGUAAGUAGAGUGAAUUUAAUUCUAUUUUACUAUUUUAUCACUCUUAUGCAUGUGGACGCCAUUUUAGACCACAAAGAACAGUUCGUAAAGUAUUGGAAAGCGAUUUUUAUUGGCCCACAAUUUUCAAAGAUACAUACUUGUUUCGUAAGUCAUGUAAUAGAUGUCAAAGGUAGGAAAUAUUUGUCAUAAAAAUUAGAUACUAAAAACCCUUAUGAUUUUUUUGUGAAAUUAUUGAUACAUGGGAUAUUAAUUUUAUGGGUCCAUCUCCUUCAUCUUUUGGUUUCCUUUACAUCUUGUUGGCCGUAGAUUAUGUGUCCAAGUAGAUAAAAACAAAAGCCACCCAAGCUUAUGAUUCUAUAGUGGUUACAGAUUUCAUUCAAUCACAUAUUUUUGUUCAUUUUGGGGUACCACGAAUUAUAGUAAGUGAUCGAGAAAAACACUUUUGCAAUAAAAUGAUGGCGGCUGUAUUUCGUAAAUAUGGAGUGACUCAUAAGGUAUUUACAUCCUAUCACCUCCAAACAAAUGGUCAAGCAGAGAUUUCGAAUAGGGAAAUUAAAUAUAUAUUGGAGAAGAUGGUUCGCUCUGAUAGGAAGGGUUGGAGUUCACGAUUGAACGAUGUACUCUGGAUUUAUAGGACAGUCGAUAAGAGUCCUAUAAGUAUAUCUCCCUAUAGGUUGGUAUUUGUGAAGCCGUGUCAUUUACCGGUUGAGCUCGAGCACAAAGCAUAUUGGGGGAUCAAGAAAUGCAACAUGGAUCUUGAUGAGGCUGGAAUACAUAGAAAACUUCAAUUACAAGAAUUGGAAGAGUUGAGGAAUAAUACUUACAAGAAUGCAACACUAUAUAAAGAGAAGAUUAAGGUUUUUCGUGACCAAUAAGUUGCAAGGAAAUCAUUUGUAGUUGGGCAAAGAGUUCUUCUCUAUCAAUCUCGUCUAAAGCUCUUUCUAGGUAAGUUACUUACGCUCUCGUUGGGCUGGUCCAUUUGUUGUGAUUAAUAUUUUUCACUAUGGCGCAGUGAAAAUUCAGAAUAUGCAAAUAGCUAAGAAAUUUGUGGUUAAUGGUCAUUGUUUUAAACCCUAUUAUGAAAGUGUUUCAAUGGAGAAGGUGGAGAUAAUAAAUCUUGAAGAUCCCACUUAUGCUGCUUGAACAAUAUUCGACCAUGUCUAAUCAAAAACAUUAAAGCAAGACGCUUAUUGGGAGGCAAUCAAAUUUUUUUUUAUUGUUUGUUCACUAAUAUUAUGUGUUUCACUAUGUUUAUCUUAGGUUUUUCAAAUUUGGUAUUUUAAUUUUAAUUUUUAAUGUUUUAUUGGUUAGGUGACUUUCUCCCAACAAGGCGUGCCCACGCCUUAAAGGCAUGUGGUAAUGCACAAAUAUCCAAUUCCAUCAUUAGAAAACUAUGGACCAACAUGACAUGCCCACGUCUUGAGGGUAUGUUGUAACUCGUAAUUAGCCGACUUUAUCAUCAAAAGAGUUUCAACCAAUAAGACGUGCCCGCGUCUUGUCCUAGCAAGGGAAAAAAAACCAAUUGAACCCAAAAGAAUUUUCUUUUCUCUUCUUUUUUUUGCUUUCCUUUUUUUUAUUCUUUCCUUUGCCUUUUCCCUUUUCUAUUUCUUUUCCUUUCCUUCUUUCUUUCUUUCUUCUUUCUUUUUUUCUUUCUUUAUUUCGCUCUUUCAUUUCCUCAACUGCAUGGCCAAAACUCUACAUGUUGCUUGCACGCCGUUCAUCGCCCCACCGUCCAUUGCUGUCGCAAUUCGCUAGUUUGUCUCUACUACCUUUGCUGUAUUCGCUAUUCGUCAAAGCCUGUCACUGGUUUUGCCAUUGCCCAUCUCUAGUUUCGUCGUUGCUCGCUAUUGUGCCAUUCACCGCUGCUUGAACCACCAUGAACGUCCAUCCUCUGCCAGCGACAGCCAUCGCUCCGCACUUUCUCUGUUGUCUUGUUUCUACUGACCCAGUUUUUGGUAUUCUUGUCCUUCUCUUUUAAAUAUUGUUGGGUUGCUACUUCGGAGUUUAUUAGAAUUUCUUUUUGCAGGGUUGAUUUAAUUUGUUGAUUGGGUAUUCCUCGAAUUGUUGGAUUGGCACUACCUGACAUUUGCUUGUUUUCUGAUGAUGACCACUAACUUGCACUACUAUUUUGCAUCCAUGGGGAUUCAAUGCUGAUUGGAGGUUAUAAACUGUGGUGAAAUUGCCGCUACUUACUUGCCAAUUGCUAAUUGUUGAUAUUGAUAGGAGGUAUUGUUCUUACAUUUCUAGUUUUGUUAUUAAAUAGUGUCACAUCUCUUGGCUCUUUACUGUACACUUUGAUUUGAGAUUGCUUGGCUAUCUUUAGUCGUUUGGCAAACAUUAGAGGCUCGUAUUUCGCCAUUGUCUGAAUUGUUGUUUAUAGCUAUUUUUGGAUUUAGUUAUCUAAAUGGCUAAGAAAAAAAAGACCACCAAGGCCAACACCCCUAUGACUAAAACCACUCCCCCAUCCCAACCAACUAUACCCAUGACAGACCCUUCUACCAUCCUUCUUUUUCGGGUAAAUGGGCAUGCUUAGGUAGGGACAAGGGGGUCUAUAUCUCCUCACUGUCCCACUUUGGAGGUAAUUUGGCUCUCACCAAAGCCGUCGAUAAGCAAAGAUACUCUAAUUAUUAUGAGUGGCAAAUUAUUCCUUGUAAAUAUCUUGACCCUCCCAUCAUGGUUUCUUUGAAUAUCUUUGAGAAUAUUGCACAAAUGUUUACUGCCAUAGGCUGGCCUUCUUAUGCCGAAAUACAAUGUCCUACUUUUGUUGAAUUGGUUAGAGAGUUUUACGCCACCUUUGAGUUUGAUCAAUCCAUGGGGUAUUCUGUCACAACCUCGAAUGUGAUUCAAUUUUGAUUGAUGGGUAGGGAGUUUAAGUUCUCCAUUACCAAGUUUAAUUUGGUAAUGUGAUCCCAUUACCUAUGUAAGGUCACAAUGUUAGAGAUGUGAAAUUAUAUUGCAAUGGUCCCUAAAAUCCAACUUGAUCGAUAGGAACACUAAUUAGGUGAAUACGAGGACUCUGAUUCAACUCUCAUUUUUCCUCUCAAAUUACACUAAUAUUUUUAAUCAUACACUCAUCCCCUUACUAACUUCCUAUGGGCCCAAUAUGUUGAGUAGAAUUCGAUUGGAACAACCGAAAGGAAAAGAAAACAAAUACAAAACAAUGAAAUAAACACUUAGUCGAGUUGGAACCUCAGAGGAAGUGAGGAGCACAAGUGCGAACAGAUCACCAAGGAAAAAGAAACAAGUUUUUCGAGAAUGAAAUUUGAUUUUCAAGCUCAAUCAAAUUCUAAGAGUCAAUUGAUAGAUCGAAAAAAAUGUGGAACCAUUGUUAAGAUGUAGAUGGAGAUGGUUGCUUAUUGAGCGUUGGAAGUAUUUCAUAUGCAAGUUGUAAUUAUAUCUCAACUUGUUUUUUUUUUUUGAAAAACAGGUCAUGGAUGCGUCAAACGUACAGUGGUUCAGGCAAACAAUAUCCAAUCAAUCUAUUCAAAGCAACAAAAACAUCCGCUGCUCAUGCGACAGUAUGCACAAAGUGCUAUAUAUCAACCAAAAGGGAAUUUAUUUAUUCAAGAAACAAUGCAUAUUCCUGUAUAUAGUCUUGGCUUUAACGAGUUCAGUCCCUUGUGCUAUUCUUUAUCCAUUCAAGAUAUUGGAGGUUGCCACCGGUUAUGGGCAAGGCGAUCACUUCUGGCACCUCGUAUUCGUGAUUCGCCUUGACAUGCUCUGUCUGAGCAUCCAAAAGUGAUUCCCUAGUCUUAAUUAUUAGCAACUCUUCAGGAUCUGUCUGCACCUCCCCUUUCCACUCAUAAACAGACUCUAUUCUGGAACUCGGUUUACACAGGCUGCAAGCUUUUCUUUAACUAUGCUUUCUGCCAGUUUUUUAUUUGGAACAGUGACAUAGACAACAAUGCUGGGAACAGUUCUGCUGCUUGCUUCCAUCCUUAUCCUAUUUGUACUAUGAACACUACUACCAACUUUUGAUCCAAGAUUGGGAGAAAGUGGAGGAUUGAGCACAACCCGUUUUAGAGGAGGAUUAAAAGAGGGGCAGAGAUUGGAAAGACCGAAGCUUAGGACACAGAAAGUACCUACUAGUGGUAAUCGGCGACGAACUACUGAAGGUGAUACUAAAGAUGAGAGCUUUAAUGCCAUCUAAGAUUGGAAUUUGGUGGGGCUUUAUAGUACACCAACUACUGUUUCCUUAGUGGAUGAUUUAUUCCCAACCGACGAGGUUGGGGGAUGGCUCUCAACUUGUAUAAUUUUAAUUUAAUAAGAUUAAAUUAAUGACCAUGCCAAUGAUUUCUGCGUCAUGCAUGACAUUCUUUUUUCUUGUACUCUCCAAAAGCUGAAAAUUCUCAUCUCAAUCUCCUCCUCAGCGAUGGCUGCAUGUCUGUACAUGUUCCCCCACAACAAGAAUAAUGAAUCAAUUGCCAUAAUUGCACGCAUUUAAAUUUUUUGAGCUGGUGAUAAAUUGCAUAGUUUUGAUUUUUUCUGUUUCCGGUUCCCACUCUAGCUACUUCUAGAUUUAUUAAUUGGGAAAAAAAGAAGAAGGAAUAAAUUAAACCUUAUUUAAUUACUUUUUUAGUUAGGAUAUCUAUAGCGGAUGUAAUUAUCUCUAUAGAAAUGAAUGAAGCAUCCUAGCUUGUGAUCAUUAUCCUCUGUUGCAAUUCUCUUGUUCAAACUUCAAAUUACGGUUUUGUUUGAUAACCUAAUUCAGCACUUAAAUUUAAUAGAUUCAGAUUUUAACAUGUUCAAACACGUUUGAUAACCAAAAUUUGAAUAUUUGAAUAAAUUAAGUGGUACUAAAUUUUCUAGAUAAAACUUGUCCUAAAGACAAGUGAUAAGUUAUUCACUUAUCACUUAAUAUGAUAUAUACUCAAAUGUAUCAGAUUUAAUACAUAACAAUUUAAUAAUUUAAUGAAUUCAAAUUUCAAAUUUUAGAUUUUAAUUUUAUCAAACGCAUCAAUGCGAACUGAAUAUGAAAUCCAAAGUUGAAAAUCCAAGGGGUUAGAACUUUGAAACAAUAGUGCCUCUAGGCAAAUUCAGCAUUUUUACAUUCUACUGAUUUAGGGCAUCUUCAAUUAUCAGUUUCAACUCCAUGGUAAAAUAUAGAUAUUACCUCUAAUAGUUAUACGCACUUACUGACGGGCUUUUGCUAUACGUACAAGUUAAAAAAUCCGAAAUACACCCGUUUCACUGCAAGUAUAGAGGUCAACUAGUAGUUAAUGGUAUAUAUCGGGUUGAUCCCACGAAAAAGAUUGAACAAUUACCGGCACUACUAAAGCUUCUCUAUUAUUUAGACUAUUAAUGAAUUAUAAGAAGUAAAACCUACUGAACUUAUACAAGAAAAUAACAAAUGAAAGCUCCUUAGGUUAUGGUAUUCCCUAAUUACUCAUGCAAAUGUUAUUUUUAGAUCAUUGAGAACUACUAUCUUGGCUAGCUAUGGUGUAAUUUCCUUAUGCAUAUGAAUCCUACUUUCGUAGUGAAUCAAUUAUACUCAUAAUUAAUCCAUACAUAUUCUCAUGGUUAUGAAAUUAGCUACAAGUUCAUUUCUUUUGUGAAAUUAUAUGAAAUGAAUCACUAAAACCACAUAGGUGCACCUCUAUUCUCAUGUGAGUGUACUCCCCAUGUUUAGCACUUCUUGAACCAGUGUUAAAUCUCAAUUUUCAUUGCAGAAACAACACCUUAGGUAAUCACAAUUAAUGACACUAGAUUAAUCAUGGUUUAAAGAGCUAAAAUGCUAAAUAACUUGCUCAAAAUAAUAGCAUCAAAUAGCCAAAUAAUAAACACUAGCAAUUAUAGAAAGUUCAACCAAAACCCAAGACAUAAACUUUAGAAACACAUAAUAAUAUAUAAAUCCAUAACUUGUAUAUUAACUAAACUUGGAAUGAAGUACAAAAGAUAAAGAGUUGGAAAGGAAUGUAACCCUUGUCACAUGAGUUCAUCUCCUCGCCUUCUUCAUCCUCCAACCUCUUCUUCAUCUAGCAAAUAAACAAGAUGGAUGAACUAACUAGCUAACUAUCUUAUACUAUACUAACCUAACACUCAUAAAAUGGAAGAACUACAUUUCUGCAGACUCCAAACUUUCUCCCGUAUGUCCCUCCUUGAAUCUUGUAAGUUUUGGCUAUAUAAACAUGAAAGUGGUCAAGAAAUGAGGCCUACACUUUUUCCCUUACAGUUGGUAAUGUUUGUCACAUGUCUAGCAUUACAUGUAACUUAUUGGAAGAGAAACCAAGUUGUCCGCGUACAGAGCAGCCUUUUUUAACAGAAAUCUGGCCAAGUUCCGACCAGAUUGCUACAAUGACCUUUUGUGCAGUUUCUGUUCAAUUUCCAGCUCUGGUCCGAUUUUCCUCAACUUCAACUGAACUUUUCUUGAUGAUAGAAGAUGAUUUAACUCUUGACCAAAACAUAAAACUUGUAUCACUUUAAGUUAGCUUUCCAAUGCAUCAAGAAUCACCUCAUUUGGAUUUGUGUAGGCUAAGAAAUGAUUGAAAUACCCUUAACUGCUCAAUGUCCUAUUUCAGUUUCGACUAAUAGAAAUUAGCUACUGUAAUUUGGAUUUUUGACCUGGAAAACCUUAGAAUUGGAUUUUGAUGUCUUCACCAAAGUUGUAGAUCUAUCUCUUAUCGGUUCAAGAAUCAUCUCAAUCCGAUCACUGUAGCUCAAGUUAUAGCCAAAAUACGAAAAUAUAUCAAAACUGUAAAAAAUGCACAAAAUGCAAGUUAAAAGUGAUAAAACCUCAUUUAAUCACUUAAAAACAUUUUUCACCAAUUAUAGCCAAAAUGAUUCAUUUUCUUCCAAUAAUAUAACCAAAGUGACUAAAAAUGAUAUAAAAUGUCAUUCAAUUAUUACGUAAAUUAGUCACUUAUCACUUACACAACAAAUACAGAUUGUGAAAUUAAUUGUAUAAUUUGAUAUUUUGUAGGUUUUUUGGAUAUAAUUUUCACGUUUAGGAAAAAGAAAAUAUGUUAGUAAGUAAUAAUGUGAUACCCCUUGUCCCACGUUGGAAGUGGGAGGCGAAAAGGAUUGAUAUAUAUAAGAUUUGGUCUCAUAAGUUACUAGUUAUUUGGAAUAACCAUUUCGGGACAGUGAAUUUCGACACAAAAAAUUACUUAGGCCAACCAUGGGCUUGGAUGGUGACAAAUAACUUACUAGAAGCUAGGUAUAUUUAUGUUUAUAUGUCCUGAAAGCAGAGUAGUUCAGAAUCUAGAUAAUGGUAACGAUAUGAUGAAAAUGAGAAGUUAUAUGGUAAACUUUAUAGAUUAAUAAUUUCAUCAAGGCAUCAUAUACAAGCAUGAUGACACAAUCCCAACUUUCAUUCUUUUGUUAAAUCUUAGUGUUUUUGUCUUAGAUUUUUUUCAAAUAAAGGAAGGAUGGAAUUUAAGCAAUAGAGGGGUGGAAGGGGAAUUUGAAUUCAAAAUCUCUAAUUUCUAAGUUUUUCACUAAGCAAUCGUCAAAACCAAAAAAUAAAUAAAUAAAAAGCAAAAAAAUGAGGACCUUGUGGUCAAUGCUCCUGUUCGAAGACAUCAUCUCCCUCUAUUGAAAUCUAAGUACCCUUGGUUGACAAUUUGUUUCCCUGAGCAUCCAUCAACACUUUUAUAUAGUAUUAGAUUAGAUUAGAUUGUCAAUGCACCAUCAAUAUCCUUAAAUAUAAAAGCUAAAGUAUAGUAAUCAAAAUACUGUUAGUAAUCUGUAUGAUUAUUUUUUAUCCUUUAAUGUUUUAGUUUUAGGAAGAUCACAAAUGCUGCGUAUCAAGCAUGCCCUAGGCUAAAUUAAGGUAAAUUAAGUACAUUGCUAAAAUGGAGAGCAUUGCUAAAUUAAGUACUUUAAGAUAAAGACUUAAGCAGCCAGAUCCAUUUGAUGUCAGCUGCUUCAAUAUCCACCUCAAAAUAAAUUAGCCUUUGUUCUAGAUUUAGCUUAAUGCUAAGUCCCUUCACCAUUCUUAGUAAUAAUUCAAUUCUGCCUCAAUUUUCUUCUGAUCUUCAAGGUAAAUGUACAAUAAAUUUCAAAAUAUAUCCCAAAUAUAUGAAUUUCUUGAAACCAUCCUUCAAUCUCAUUACCUACUCAACAAAAUGUUCCAUAAACACAAAUAUAUUAAUGAAUUUGGAGUUGAUUCGAAGAAUUGACGAGAACAACAGGGCUCCUUAGAUUUAACAAUUUCAAAUAACCCCAAGCUAGAAUUUUUCAUAUAUUCAAACAAGAAAUUGGAAAAAUCUGACUAGCUUGCAACGAGUACUACAUCUCAAGACAAGGGAUCUUUUCAGUCAACUCUUUUAUUGUAUCGAAAACCUACUUGCAUCUAUGAAUAAGCAAUGCUGAGUGAUGAUAUUUUUAAGGGCAGUCCAAUUCACUCAAUACAAAAAAUAUUUUUAAAUGAUGAUAUUCACAGGAACGUCUAUCUUACUUAAACAAACAAUAAAAAGGAGAUUGAUUGAGAAAUGGCCACAUUAUCUUAUCAUUCUUAAUUAUCAUUAGUUCAAUAAUCAACUUUAGCAGUCCGGAGACUUGUUCAAGGCUGCAACUUGUACAAGGACAAUAAAUUCUUUAUUCCUGCGUCCGGAGACUUGAGACGUGGACGCUUCAUUAGUCAAUAAUAAUAAAAGUGUGGAAUUCGACGACUAUUCUUAGCUCGUUCAAGGAAACAGAGAAAAGACGCUCUUGUACAAGCAACAGGCACAGCUACUUAAACUAUUGGAUAAUUUCAUAGACCUUUCCUGAAGUUUUGGACAAUUUCAGCUAGUACCCCUCUUAUUUUCAAUAUUACGCUGACCACUCUUACUUUAACUAGUGUUGUGACCAAUUCAGCCCAUAUAGAAAGAAAUGGAAUAAAUUGACAAGAAAUGGUAUCAUCACAUUUUAUUCCACAUUUACCCUUGUAGACCCUAAAAGAAAUAUUGUAACAUAGGACAAACUUCACUUUGUCCUCCGAAGUUGAAUCACUUUUCUAUUCUAUACACUGAACUUCAAUUUUGGAUGCUUUGCAUGUGGUUGGAGGCAAAAGCAUAGCAGAGCCCUUUUUGAGUCUCUGAUCGUUAUUAUCACAUGACCAUUGCUAAUUAUACUAUUGCUUUUGAAUGGAAAUAGCAUAAAAGUCUUAGUGAAUGAACAAAUUGAAUAGACCAUUUCGCAGAGCAGUGAAAUAGUCCAAAGCUGUGAAGCACAGUGAUAAGCUACAAAUUAUAGUGGUUUGUAUUUAUUAAUUGUCAAUGAAUGGUUGUAUUUGAGCUAUAAUUUGAAUGGAUGUUGCCUAAUUUAAGUAUAUGUUGGUUUUUGUGGGAAAAGCACGCGAUUGAGGAGGAAAUGAAUCGAAAACGCAACAAAAGGGGAAGAAUGCCAAGACACAAGGAUCCGUGGGUGGAUCCUAUGUCCAACGCCAAACAUUGAAAGGGACUUUGCGAGGACUUCUUCUAGUUCUAAUGAUUGGAAAACCCACUCAAACUCGAUUUUGGUAAGUUUUCAAGACCCAUUCUUACCAUAUUUCGGAUACAACUUUGAGAGACUAUAAAUAGGACAUUCUAGGAUGUUUUUAGAUUAGAAAGCAUUUGGCUAACGUUAGUUCAUCAUUUUUAUACCUUCUUUUCUUGAGAGAUCACAAUGGAAGUGUUGAAGAAUCAAAGGAAGUUCAAGAUGGAGAUUGAAGCGGGGAAAAAUUGAGAAGUUUUCUUACUUUUAACUUCUUAUUUUGUCUUUCAUUUGAAUUCUUGGAUUUAUCUAUGAAUAUGUUGAACUCAUUUAUAUCUAAAGUUAGGAUUUUGUGAAGGAGAUUUAAUUAGAUAAAUUAUUUGCUUUUGCUUAGAUUUAUUUAUCUUGCCUUUAUUACAUGUUUAUGUUUUGCCACUAUAGAUAUGCUUUUAGGAUUUGUAUUGAGUUAAGAAGUGAUGUACAACCGUACAUUAGAUAGAUAAACAUACUUAAUAUAAUCAUGAAAGUGGGUUAAACAUUGUAUGGCAUAAUUAUAUCACCUAAUAUUGUAAAGGAUUUAAUUAUAUACUUAUGAUCUCGAGAGCAACGUGAGAUUUCAUUAGACAAAUUUAGAAGUAUUGAGAGAUAAUCUAAAGUACUUUUCCGUGAUACAUCUUUGACUUGUUAAGAAAAUAAUUGGAUAUAUAAUUCCAAUUCGAAAUCAAAAUUUAAAACUCUAGUUUUGCUAAUGUUUUCUCACCUAUAUCUUGUUUGAUUUGAUUAUUUAUUUAAUUAGUGAUUAAAAACCCUCUGAAUUUAAAUUUUGUUAUUUUUAUUAGAGGAAUUAAAGUAGGAAAAAUUAACUCACUCCUGCAGGUUCGACCCCUGGAGUACUCCAAGCAAAUUAUUAUUACGAUCGACCUUGUACAGUUAUAGAAAUUCAUCGAUCACACAGCAACCAAAAAAAAUUAAUGCACAAUAAUGUCAUGAGCAGAAACAGUUCCCAUCUUAGUUGUUCAACAUUCACGGUGGAUUUCAAUUAGUGGUCAACAGAUAAAAGCAUCCAAAAAAGUAAUCUAACUAGAUAAGUGAAUUUAUAUUGUACAACAUAUUUCUUUUUUCUACCGCAAAAACUUAACUAAUUUAAGACAAUGUAGUCCAAGAUAAUUGAAGAUUAAUUUUCCCUAAAAAAUGUUCAUGAUAAAAACUCAUCAAAGAGAUAAUACAACAGCUUACUUUUGCAGGUGAUCUUAUACGGUCUUUAUUAACAAACUAAUUAGCCACUUAAGCCUUUUUUUUCCUUUUGGGACUACGCAUGACAAAAUGAGGAGUGAAUCAGUCGCUUAGUAUCUAAAAUUUUCCCUCCAUAUAAUUAGUUCAACCUGAUUUAAGACUAAAUUUUUACUAUAGGAAUGUUCGUGAUUCAACAAUGAAACACCAUAGAAACUUAUUUUGGGAGAUUGUCCUAGAAGGUAAAAAAUGAGCAACCAAUCAGAAAGUCGUACUCACAUAUCAAAAUCCAUUCAGUCUAAUUAAUUCACCAGCUAUGUAUAUUUCAUCCAUUUUCACAUUAUAGAAAGAACAAUAAUGCAUGGCAUUAUCCAUCAUAAAUUGCUCAUAUAACAUCAAGAUAUUCAUGGUGUGGACCUCAAAUGACUCGUCAUGUCUACUGGCUACAUUUAAACAUAUCUUAUGGCCAGAAUGUUCAUCUUAUCAACUUGACGAGUUUAUUCAUGGUACCAUACCAUUAAAUUAAAAAAUUUUCCACCUUUUACCUUUCAUAGAUAUCAGGGAAUAUAGCUAAUAACGCACUUUUGGCAGCAAUAUUCCUUCAACCAAUUAAAGAUUUUCGGAGCUUAAAGUUCAGCUCCUAAAGCUCUUCUCCACCAACCAACAGAGAAAUUACUUUUAGCAAAGUUGUUAAAUUUUGGCACCAGGUUUUGAUGGUAUCUUGGUAAGAUUGGAAGAUUAUAUUGCGCUUCUAAGAUAAUUUUUAAAAAAGAUAUUUUAGUGAGAGCAUUAUGGUCAAUUUGCCCCUAAUGAUAUUGACAUUAGGUCCCAUCAACAUCAGAAGGGAGCUCAUUGUAUUAUUGGAUAUAACAAGGGUGCGAGUGAAAUUAUGAAAACCCUCAAGGGAGGAUUUUGAAAUUAACCCUAAAAUACUCAUUCCACGCAAGGCGUGGCGUUCCCCUCCUAGUUCCUAUAAAUAGGGCACCAACUCAAUGCACUAGUCACUCGAUAUCAAUAAUUUAGCACAUUAUUUACAUUUUGAGUGAGAUUGUGAUAAAAUGGCAUCUUCAAAAAAUUUGCCCUUUCUUAUUGGCGUUCUCUUUGCACUUGUGCUCCUCAUUUCCUCUGAUGCAACAGCUGCAGGUACCUAGUCCCUUUUUUUUUCCUUUCAUCCUUUUUUUUUUUGCUGCACCUAAAUAUUUAAAUGAAUGGAGAUUUGGAGACUCAUUAUUGGGAUGUGAAUUUUUAUGGAAGGCUAUUUGUAUAUUAUCAAGCAAGUCAUAUUAAUGUGCUAAUAUCCUUUUCAUUGUUUAGCAAAAGUAAAAUUGGGUUGCUUCUAUCAAUGGUUAGUGGCACAUCUGAUUUUUCAUGCAUCCUUAUAGUAUUGCUGUAAGGAUACACGUUCCAUAGUGUCGCACCAAAGCUUAAACUAACGUCGAAACCAAAUUAAAUGCUUCUAAUUAUAAUUUAAAGCAAAAUAAUUCAUAUCCAAGUCGCACCAUCUUAUAUGCCUGGACUGUUUUGUUUAAUCCAUAGUAUUCUUUUCUUUGCAUAUAUCUUGCAAAUUUUCAGCCUAGCCGGUCACCUAACGUUCGCAGCUUAAGAUAAAGCUCCAAAUAUUUAUGUCUCCUUGUGUCUUGAAACAGAUCAGAAAAGCGUGAAAACCACUGGUGUCCACGAUUCCAGUUCAGGCGAAGAUCGUUGCACAUAUGGUUGCUGCCACUGGUACAAUGGACAUUGCCAAAGAUGCUGUCCACCUGCUGAGGAGACUUGCAGAUAUGGUUGCUGCUACUGGUACAAUGGACAUUGCCAAAGAUGCUGUCCACCUGCUGAGGAGACUUGCAGACAUGGUUGCUGCUACUGGUACAAUGGACAUUGCCAAAGAUGCUGUUAACCUACUGAAGCUACAUCCGGAGAUGAGGUCAAAAAUUAAUGCUAAAUAAAUAAGGGUGUGAGACAGGAUCCGUGACACCUAUAUUAUUACGUUAAUAUGUUAUGUUGUGUUUGCGUUUGAUGGUUGAUUUCCUAUAUGUGUAAAAGACUUGUGCGGCUUCUCUUUGAAUUGGUGUAGAAUCAACAGGGGAAGCAUGUAAUGAGUACUCAGUUCGAGUGCUCUUCUUAUGUUGUUGUCAUGUUGAAUAAAUAAAUCUACGUGAUCAUCUACUACAAUUGAUGAUCUCUAUCUCAGUUACGUCAGAAACUUCUGUACCUUGGACCUGCUAGAAUUUAGCGUGAUUGAUAUAAGACGUGCAGAAUGUUCAAUAUAUGUAUAUAUGUGCUUCUUCAUCGUGCCAUGCCAUUACAAUGUGAAAGAAUUCAGCAUCGACGGAGUGAAACGUACCCAAUCCUGCUCCUGAGAAAGGAAACAAAGUCCCUCAAAAAUGGAUAUUUUGGAUGCCAUCAAGAUUUUGAAUUGAAUGCCAUUUGGAGAUCUGAAUGUUGUUUUUUUCCCCUUUAUCUUCGUUCAAGAUUUUUUUUGGUGGAAAUGCUUCAUUUAUGGACAAUGCUACAGUGCCUAUAGUUAUGGUAACGAUAUUAGAGAAACCUACUAUUACAGGUUUCUAUUACCUUUAGUGACAGAUCCAAUUUUUAGCGACUUUUGAAAUAUUAUAUUAAAAUAAUUAAUAUUAAAUUUAGUAAGUUUUUAAUUAAAACUAGUAAGUUUAUGCCUGAAAGAUAAGUUUUAGUCAGAAAUAGAAAUUUACACUUUGAGUAAUUUAAUUUACUUAUUAUUUGACGAAAAUUACUUAUUUUUGAAUUAAACUUACUAAUACUGCAAGUAAAAAAUGUUCAUAUUUAAGUAAAAAAGUUACCAGUUUCUAAAAAUGGUUUUGGGUUCCUGAACCACUUUCGGAUAUUAUCUUGUUAAAGUCAUCUCCCUUCUUAUUACUUAGUUCUCAGUUUCAACAUACGAUUGAAUUCCCAGGCAAAGGUUUCCACUUUGGUCCACACUUUCUCUUGGUGACAAGUGAAUAAAUUUUCCCACUUCAAAUUUUCAUCUUCAGUUCCCACUUUCCCUCUAUCCUUUCUCAUCGAUCGGUUGUUUUUGGGUGCUGCCAUAUGCAGACACAAUAAAAGGGUUAGCGACGGUGGUAGCCAACCAAAGAGCAUAUGAAAAAUAGCAGUGACGAGGUUAGCCUAUCAUGUCCUCUUGAAAUCGUUUGAUUAUAUUGCUGUAAUUUAUUUAUAUUUCAUUUGUUUUGUUUGUCAAGAUUUUCUUGCGAAAUCAAGGCUGAGAAUUUGAAGAUUUUAUUGCAAUUUUGGGGCUGAAAAUGUCCACUGAAACAUCUAGCCUUGAUUUGGUUGUAGUUUUGAUUGUCUGCUGGUAAAAUAUACUUAAUAGCCAUAUGAAGCAUCUAGGAAAGGACUUGAGACUAGGUGUUUAAGUUAAAUGUGAUUAAUUUAUGAAUGCAUAUAAGAUGUUUGGUGAAAUGUCAAAGAGAAAUCUGUGUGUUAUGAUUGCUGCUCUGUGCUCUUCAGCAGCCAGAGAUGAGACCAGCUCUUAAAGAAAUCACCCUCGUCAGUCGACAACAGCGCUCAAGAUCACCCUUGGGAUUGUAAAUUGUAUAAUCUUUUAUACAAUAGAUUAUAAGAUGUAUAAUCUAUUGUAUAAUUUAAAUUAAAUUUAGUUCACCUAUAAAAUGGUCCUAAAAUAAUUAGUACACUAUGAUAAAUGUUAUUUUAACAACAAAAUAUUUUUUUUUACUAAAAGUCGGAAAUAUCCAUGACAUAUGUAUGAGAGAUAUUUUACCAUAUUUAUAUCUCACAUCUAAUCAUGAAAGUUAAUUUGAGAAAAACUAUUUUUAACAAUAGAAUUAUUUUGAAUUUAACCAACAAGUUGAGAUUUUUUAAACAAUAAAGUGAAAUAUUUUGGGAACUUUUUUUUUUUUUUUUUUUUUUUACAUAAAUAUGGUCUUUAUUGGCAAAGAAAAGAGAAAUUACAUAGAUCGUGUGACUAACCUACCCUGAGACCGUACAGACUCUCACAUACGGAGUUGACAACCUAUCUAACUGCAAAAGAGCCCGAACUUAGAAGGGAGAGCUCUUUCACUGAAAAAUCGGGCAUCCGUUCGUAGGUCCGAGGAGGCCAAAGCGUCGGCGACCGCAUUAGCCUCUCUGAACGUGUGAACCAGAGACACCCCAAUUUUGCCACCAAGCACCGAAUAUGCCUAAUUGUGUUGCAUAACGGCCAGCCAGCCGUCAUCUUAACGGACACGAGAUGCACUAAAGUACUAGAAUCCACUUCUGCUAUGACUCCCGUGAGAUUGUUGUCCUGGCAAUACCGAAGACCCUCCAGCAAAGCCAACGCCUCUGAGGAGAGAACGUCUUGCUCUCCAAACUCCUUAUAAAAGGCAAACACUAAAUUACCCUCACCCGAGCGCACCACCCCUCCACCACUUGACCGCCGCUUACCACACUAGCAUCAGUGUUGAGUUUCACCGCUUGCCCUGUAGGUUUUACCCAAGAAAAGGCUCGAAGCUGUAUCAAUUUGUUCUUGGCCUUACCGAAUUUCACCCAGUCGCAAUCUGUGUCCCCUUUGAAGAACUCCAACUUGAACAGGCCCCCCCUACCCAACUGCUCAACCAAUGCGCACACCUGGUUGGUUACCUGAUCUGACGACAUACUCAUCCCUCAAAGCGGGCCUUGUUACGGCCCUUCCAAAUAAACCACAAGAUCAAGAGCGGGAGGAUGACACGAAUAUGAUUCUGUGAGACAAACCGGUGAGAAAAGAGCCAACAUGAAAGCCUCGAUGCCACCCCACUCCUGGAGUACCAGCCCAAAGCGCAGGAGAAGUGCCGCCAAACCCUGCUCGCUAAAGGGCCCGAGAAAAAAGAUGGUCUCCUGUUUCUGGCGCUAGGCCACAACAGUAGCACUUUGACGCUAACCUCACCCUCUACCUUGAAGGAGAUCAUCCAAGGGGAGCCAACCACGCAACAACCUCCACACAAAGAAGGAUACCUUCAGAGGACCACCGAGCUCCAGACCAGCGAAUCAAUAACAGAUCGAUUACGCUUUGACCGAAGAACGUCCCAAGCUGAAGACACAGUAAAGCUCCCCGAAGGUGACGCCGCCCAAAUCAUUUGGUCUUGCAUAUUGGGAAAAAUACGCAGCUCCAAGAUCUUCGACACUAAGUGCCCCGGAAGCAGCCUUCUGAGCCACUGCUCAUCCCAACCAUCAGAAAGAAAAAAUUCCCCUACCAACCUGUGAGACUUAGGGCCUGGCACCAACCUGGCGAGCGGAACAUCAGUACACCACCUAUCCUGCCAAAAGUCAACUAAGCCCUCCCAGACACCACCGGAUAUUCCCCUCCGUGAGGUCCCUCACCUCUAUCAAACGGCGCCAAAUUGGGGACGGGCGGUCAACUGAAACUAGAAGAGGAUGCCCCCUCUGACAUACUUAACGUGCAUGAACUCUGCCCAAAUGGAUGCCCGUUCCCUCAACUUCCACCAAAGCUUACAUGAGAAAGCCUUAGCGACAUCCUCAAAUGGGCGAAACCCCAGGCCCCUUCCUCGACCGGACGGCACACCUUAUCCCAAGCCGCCCAGUGGAUCCGUUUGCUUUCAAUAGAGGUAUCCACAAGAAAGCAUUGCACAGACGCCUAACUGCAGCAGCACAGCCUUCGGCGGUUGAGUACCUGGAGUAAGUAGACCGGAAGGGAACACAGGACACUUCGUAAAAGGACAAUCUUCCCCCCAUAGAUAGCAUCUUUGAGCUCCAAUGGAAUAACUUUUGGCGAACCUUGCCAGCAACGCAUCAAACACUGCACAUGUGACCCUACGCGAAUCAUCGGCACCCCUAGAUACCUGAACGGAAAAACCUGGCACUGGUACCCCAGGGUCGUGCUUACCAGGGCCCGCUGGGUGUCUGUAGCCCUAGCCGAAGCGUAAAAAGCACUCUUUAGCAAUAUUCACCUUCUGACCAGAACAACUUUGGUAGAGCUGCAAAAAAUCCUUAAUGGACACCAACGCAUCCUGCGAGCACCGAGUAAAGAUGACCAUAUCAUCCGCAAAGGCUAAAUACGGCACUUUCGACCCAGCAGAAACGAAGUAUCUACUGUCCUUGGAAUCAAAAAUCCUUUGCAGCCCUCUCCCAAGAAAAUCCGCCACGAAUAAGAAAAGCGCAGGAGAAGAGGGUCACCCUGUCGCACCCCUUGAAAUGACUUCACAAAACCCGUUGGUUCCCCAUUAACUAGGAUCGAGAACCAAGUGUUAGAAAACGUUCGAAAGAGCAAAUCCACUACUACCUCUUCAAACCCAUACUGCCUAAGCAGAAAAAGUAGAAAGGACCAAUCAACCCGAUCAUAUGCCUUCUCCAUGUCCAGCUUCAAGAUCAAAUUCGGGUCAAUCAACCUCCUAUCCAAGUCUAAAAUCAGCUCCUGUGCCAAAAGAACAUUGUCCACUAUCCACGCCCGGAACAAAACCUGUUUGCCAUGGUGAAAUGAGCUUCGGGAGGAGCUUGCUGAUCCUGAUGGCCAAUAUCUUAGACACAACCUUAGAGGUUACAUUACAAAGACUAAUAGGCCGAAAAUCCGCCAGUGGGAUGCCCUCCACUUUUGGAUGAGCACCACCAUAGAGUGGGACCAGCUCCUGGGUUGCUCCAUACCCUGGAAGAAGUCCUGGAUAGCCAUAAGCAAGUCAUCCUUGACAAUGUCCCAGCAGCUUUGGAAAAAACCUGCUCCAAACCCAUCCGGACCCGGAGCACUCUGUAUCUCCAUUCCAAACACUACCUCAUGGAUUUCCUCCAUCGUAGGAAGACGUUUCAUAAUCUCAUUAUCCUCCUGGUGGCUCUAGGAACCUCAAAAGGAAGCUCAGUGAGGGCCUGUACCUGACGGUUGGAUGCGAACAAGUCCGAAAAAAAGGAUAUCGCUGAGUCCUUAAUCUCCUGCAGGUCUUCAUGCAUCCCCCCUCCUCUUUCCUAAUACGGGAAAUGAAAUUCGAGUUCCGACGCUAGCGGACCCAAGAAUGAAAAAAUGCAGUAUUAGCAUCCCCGCCUGUAACCAUUUAAUACCUGCCUUCUGAUGCCAAAACUCACACUCCAUGGAAAGGGCCCGAUUGUAUCUCGCUCUGGCCUCAUGAAGAUGAAUCUUCGACUCCUCACUUCUAACCAAAUCGUACUCCACCUCCCUCUGUUUUACCUCCUGAUCCGCCUCUGCCACCUGAGAAGAGACAUUGCAAAGACCACACGGUUCCAUUGCUUCAAUGCAUCUCGCACCGUUUUGAGCUUGUUGUAGAAUCUAACCAUCCCCAUGCCAUAGACCUCCUUACUCCAUGCGGCGAACACUAUCUCCCGGAACUGGGGUGCCCGCCGCCAAACAUUAAGAAACCGAAAGCAAGACGAUGUAGCCCUAUAGCCUGCACAUCGAAUCAACAACGGACUGUAAUCCGAUCUCCCUCUGGCCAUAUGGGAAACCCUAGAAAGCGGAUAGACCUCGGACCACCGCCUAUUCCCCAACGCCCGAUCCAAGCGCUGCCAGACUGACCCAUUAGUCAUGUGAAUCGAGACCAUCAAAAUCAAUUGUAGAUAGCCCGCAUUUGAACAUGGAAGCAUUAAAUUCUUCUAUGUUCCGAACAUUAGCUGGAGCCCCCCUUCACGCUCCGCUGCCGAAGCUAUGACAUUAAAGUCGCCUGCUGCUACCCAGGGUUGAUUGUGUGAGACGAGGAAGCCACACUUUCCAUUGCCUCCAGAGUGGCCUCCGCCCAACCUCGUGCACUUGGCAUAUAUCGCAGACACCCAAAAGGAUGCCCCAGAGCCAAAGGAAACGUGAGCAUGAAGCAUUUGCUCAGCGUACUCGACACAGCUAAAUCGUAAGAGGCACGACCAAAACACCCAUAUUUUACCACCAAUAUAAAGAGCUGAGAAAUCAAAAUUUAAAACCUCCGAACCACCUCCAACUGACACUCGCAGACAUUGGUUCUAAUAGAAAUAAUAACCUAACCUUGUUAUCGUAGCACAGCUUCUUCAGAUAGCGCAAAGAGUCCCUUCGGGAAGCCCAUCUGAUAUUCCAAACUAGCAUAUUAAUCGGAUCUAACAUGAGACCCAAUGAGUAUGAAGCUUGCGCCAAGGGUACACACAUGCCCCCUUCUUGGUCUCCCCCGUUUCCGUCUUAGAACCGUGGCGGCAUCAUCCUCCUCCAAGUCAUUACUAAAUCCCCUUCAAGAAGAGUUAAAGAGUCCAAAACAGUGUCAACACCCUGGACUGGUUGCGCCUUAGCAUUGAAAUCCCGUUGAAACGCCUUCAAUUCUUCAAGCGAGACUGAGACAGCUCUCACGCUAUCCACUGAACGCCCUCGGUGAUGGCAGUCCCGUUUCCAACCUCUCGACGCUGACCGUACAGGGCUCCUGUCUCGCUGCUCCUCAUCUGCGGAUUCACCUUCCAACUCUCCUAGAGCAGCGAAAGAAUUUGUCACGCGUAUGCUUCCCUCCUCUUCGGCGCCUAUACGAGACCCGCCCUGCAGCUCAAUCCCAGGUGACCAGCACUCCUGUGGCCGCACUUGUCAUUCCCCAUUCCUUCCGACUGAAUAACUAGCCUGCUCCUUCCCCUUAUCCCCAUUACUCCCAGACCCAAAGUCUGUACCAUCUUAUUGUCAUCUGCAACAGGCUCCAGAGACGCUGCACUCACUGCCGCAUCAGUCUGUUCCAAUGCUCCUUCCGACUGGAGCAGCGCACAACCAGUACCAGCACCAGUCCUUGUUCACCGACAGCAGCCGCCUGCACACUCUCCGCGACACCUGGUCCUGGCCAGGUGCCACCGAACUCCUUCCCAUUCACCACUUUCGGAACGUACACUUGCCGAUGUUUCAGUGUUUUUGCCUGGGCAGCGCGAGGCUGCGGAUCCGGGCGCAAGGAAGGAUUUCUAUGAAAACACUGCUCCUCUGUAUGGCCGAAUCUGCUGCAGAACCACAGUAGUCUGGCCACCCUCCAUCUCAACAGGCUGCCAGAAACCGAAGUGAUCAUCACCUAUCCAAAUACGACGCACAGGGGUCGACACUACGUUUACCUCCACCAAUACUCUGGCAACGGACGGACGGCGCAAAUCACACGUUGAUGCGUCAAUCUUGAGGGGCUGCCCAACGUAGAAGCGAGCUUGAUUAACUGGGAUCUCUGGAAAAAAGGAAUCGGCAAUUCUGGGAAGCAAACCCAGAUUGGAGCUAUGGCUAACUCCUGAUCUGCCUUAAAUUCCAACGACCACUUGGAAAUCGACAUUGGCGAGCUGCUAACAUACCAAAUCCUCCGCGCAAAGAGACGGGUGUAGUCUUCCUCCAGAACGGGACGAAUGAGAACGUGUUUCUGGUCGAGGAGGCCAACCUUACAGUCCCCUCUGAGACCAGCGACAGAAAGAACUUUCUGAUGACUUCCAUGGGUGGUCUGUUGAAGGAGAAACGCCCACCAACGAAUUCUGAAACGGUUCCGAAAGCUGCUCAAUUUCCCUACGAGAGAUACGCAAAGCAGGUUCUCCUCUGAAGGUAGAGACCUCCCCUAAAGCUAUGGCAUCAGGUUUAUCCGAAGCGCCUGCCAGAACGAAGCAAAGGACCUCUGAACCGGAGACUGACUGGCCUGUGUGUGUGACGGCCCACAGGCCGCCAUGUCCGGUAAGAAGAUCUAGCCGCACCCUCAACCCUAGCCGACCCUCAAACCGUCAAAAGUCGGUAUAUUCUAUAUUUUGGGAACUUAGUUGUUUAUUUUCCCGUAAUAAAAAAUUUAAAAUAUGAAAAUUAUUCUUACAUAUUUUAUAAGGUCAUAUGCAAAAAAAAAAACAGUUUAUAUAUAUUUAAAAUGCUUCAAACAUAUAACAUUUAUAAAUGAUACGUACAAUUGUAAGUUUCUUUAAGUAAAAUAGUAAAUUUAUGCCACAAACUAUUAAGUUUGAUGAUUAACCAAAUUUACUAAAUCUAUCAACAAUAUUUACUAUUAAUCUAUAAAAACUUACUAUUACUUGAACUAAACUUACCCUCCAAAAACUAAGUUUCAGAUAUAGAGUAAUAUUUUAUUUCAUAAAAACAAAGUUAGUUCCAUAUUUAUUCAAAUUUACUUUUUGAGACAUAAAAGUUACUAAUAUAUUGAGUUAACUUACUAUUCUUUAUGCAAAACUUACUAACCACCAUUUUAGGUACUAUUUCAUUUAGAAUGACCAGUAUAACAGGUCAUCAAAUGGUCGCUAAAAGUAUUUUUACCUGUUAUAUCAGGUAAAAAAAUUUCGUUACCAUAACUAUCGUUACUUCAGUUUUCCUUCAUUUAUACGAAUUUUCCUAGUUAGUAAAGGCUUCUAUUACACUUGUACAAUACACAUUUAAAAGUAUAACACAAUAAAAGUUGUGUAGUUCAUAUAUUUCAAAAUAUUCAUACUUUCAACUAAACUAUAAAAAUACGUAAUAUAUUCUUGAUACAUUAUACUUUACGAACUAUACUUUAAAUUUUAAAAAUAUUUAAUACUAUCACUUAUUAAUAACUCCACAUGUUAGUUUGUCUCCCAAUUCAAUAAAUUAUAGUAGCUAAUUCUCAAAGCUAUUACACCAAAAUUCCCUUACUCGUUCACUCCUAGUGGAUUAUUAUUAAUUACAUUGCAUUUAUUUCCUAAGCAUGAGUUUUGUAACCCCUCAUAUUAAAUCUCAAUGAUUAAUUUUAACGGUUACCAAGGCGUCUAGUAAUUGGUUUGCUAUUUUAAUUUGAACUAGACAUUUAUUAGGUCUAGUAGAAUUUAUUCCUUCUUAUCACUUAGUUCGUAAACCUUAUGAAUCGUUAAAAACCAGCUCUAACAUUAGGUAACAAGACUUCUACAAUUUCGGGUUUUGCUUAGAAAUCAGUCUGAUAGUUUAACUUGCUUUCGUCCAACUUUAUGAGUUGCUUUUUUUUUUUUCAUUUGGCAUUUCAUCUGACUUUAAUACGGGGACCAAGUUAGUAUUGUUGGCAUUUCAUAUCUAAGACUUCUUAAUUAAUUGAUUUGUUAUAAGAACUAUAACGUAUGCGUGUUUUGUGAGCUUUCAUGUUUUUUUUUUUUUUUAUUCUUGUGGACCAGCAAUGGAUAGUUUCUUCUAGUGCCAAGUUCCUUUGAAUUCUUUAUUUUUUUUUUGCGUGUCCAAAUGUAAAUUAAAAGAACCAACAACUUUGAACAAGUCUAUAUCUAGUAAAGAUAGAUAUAAAGAGGGAUACGUAUACACAGAUUAUAUAAUUUUUUUCAAAUGUAUGAUUAAAAGUUUAGUAGUAAAAAUACGAGUUUAUCAUUAUUAUGGAUAUCAUAUAAAUUCAUAUAUGAAUAGUAUGAAUAAAUAUAAAUGUUAUAGAAUUAGGUAUACAAGUGAAAUUACUAUAAUUUUGAAUGAUUAUGCUAUUUAUAUCAAAUUUAAUGCUGAUCUGUAUAUAUGACAUCAGAUUUAUUAAAGUUUUAUCACUUUUUUACAUUUAUAUUAUAAUCCAUCUAAAGUUUGUUAUUUGACAAUACAUUUGAUAUAUACCUCAAAAGGUACGUCAUUAUCUUGUCUCACUUUUUAAAAUUUAAAGUAUAAAUCAUAAAGUAUAAUGCAUCCAAAAACAAGUUAAAUGCAUCAAGAAUUUAUUAUAUAUUUUUAUAGGUUAGGCGAAAAGUAUAAAUAUUCUUGAAAUACACGAACUAUAGAACCUCUUUUGUGCUAUACAUAUAAACGCGUAUUGUAGAAGUAUAAUAGAACUAUUUACUAGCUAGGCAAAUUCGUAUAAAUGAAGCAUUUCCACCAAAAAAAUCUUGAACAAAGAUAAAGGUUCAGAUCACUGAAUGCCAUUCCAUUCAAACUCUUGAUAGCAUCCAAAAUAUCCAUUUGAAGGACUUCGGUUUCUUUCUCAGGAGGGAACGGAGUUGAGUUUGACUCCGUCGAUGCUGAAUUAUUUUACAUUGUAAUGACAUGUAUAUAAAUAUUAUUGAACAUUAUGAACGUCUUAUAUCAAUCACACUAAAUUCUAGUGUUCCCAAGUAGGGAUGAGCAAAUUCGGUUCUUACCGAAUUCAUAACCGAUUUCAAAUUCAAUUCGGUAAUUUGAAAUCGGGUAUUUGGUAAUUUGGUACAAAUUCUGUGAGAACUCGAAAAUUUUCUUAUUUUUAUAGAAUAUUACUGGAAUAUUUAAAUGAUUAUUCACUAAUUUUCUUCGAAUUAUUUAUUUCGACCAUUUUAAUUCAUUUAUAUGGAAUGACGCCUCUUUAUAUUUUUAAAGCGUUUUGUUGAAAAAUUCGCUUUUCGAAAAUUUGUUUAGUCCGGAACGACGGGUGCACGUUUUUCUAGGCCAUACUUGAAUCGGGAGUGUAUUAUUUAUUGGAGAAUUAAGAACGAUCAAUAAUAGAUUAAGAAAGGUUAAUGGAGGAAUUAAUACUCAAUUCACGUGAGGACUCGUAAAAUUAUUAUUUUAAAAUCCCUAAUUUUGGCUAAAUUAAUUACUUAUUUAGAUUUUUGCCACGAAUAAUAUUUUCUAGCCUUUUAGACCUAAGUACAUGGUUUUAUAGUUUCGUUAUAUUUUUAAAGUGUCUCAUUUCAAAAAUUAUUUUCUUAUAAGCUUGUUUAGUGAAAAGGUGAAAACGUGUCCAAACACUUUAGCCAAUUGGGAAUAAAAUAAGUUCAAAAAUUUGAGACAUAUACAAUGGUUCUAAAAUAGACAAUUUUAGAUUUAAGCACACAAGUGAUAGCUAGUGGUACGAUCGUUAUAAGAAUUUCUCGAAAGUUUCAUUUUAUUGCGCCUAAAUUGGAAAUACGUGUUUUCACGUGCGCGCUUAAUUGAGGGACUUUGGACAAUUAUUUUGGGACAAUUAAGAAUGAAUAAUAUUUAUAUGAAUGUAAGUGCCCUAGAGGUUUAGUGCACUAGUGUAACAAACUUAAGGAAAAUUGAACACAAAACGCGCGAGUAGGGCACUAGUUGCAAUUAAAUUUUUCAUACUUAAAAUAUUAGACGGUCGGCGUUCUUUGUAUGCAAAAAGGAAAUCAGACUAACAUUCAUAUCUGCAAGCUUUAUGGACGGCUAGCAACUGCAGCAAAGAGCAACCGAAAACUUCCACAUUUCCUCUACAAACUCACAAAUUCAACCAAAACUUCACACACACUUAGCUCUUCACUUGGACAAUCACUUGGACAAAGAACGAGCUGCACAUUCACGGUUUUUCUUGGGCUUUUGGACACCAAAAAUCUGAUCUUUUAGCACACAAGUAAGGUAACCAUGAUCCACUCUUCAAAUCUUGUUCGUUGAAGGCCAACUCACACUUAAGAGCUUGAUUAUGCUUAUGGGUAGCUUAUUAUUGUUAGAGAAUUGUUAAAUGUGGCUCUAUGAACUCCACCACUUUGAGUUGAUGUGUGAUGAUUUUGAUUGAUGUUUUAUUGUUGAAUUAGUGCUUAAGGGAGUAGAUUAAAGGUGCAUUAUCGCCAGAAACUUCAUUGAGCUCUUGAAGCAAAAAGUUCCCCUGCUCCGUUCGGUGGCAGAAAUUUGAGAAUUUAAUGGCUUGAUUGUGUUGUUUAUAUGUUGUAAAUUUUCAUUGAAAACUGAGUUUUGGUUGGUCAAACGAAUUUAUUCCCAAGCUAGUAAUCUGGAAAACGGUUUUCAUCGUAAUCCAGACCAGUGUUCGUAUUUCGUCCAUAACUCCGUACUCCGACGUCAAAAUCAAGUUCCGUUAGCGGCAUUUGAAACUAGACGUUCCCAUACUUUCCAACGGUAUAUAAUGCACAUUCUGGUUCCAUGUGUGUGAACCGCACCACUCAUCUGAAUUCAGCUGCCCUGUUUCGCCGUUCUGCCGAAAUGAUUUGAUGAUGCUGCAACUUUAGGCUUAAUUUCGAGCUAGUUGCAUGCUGAAACAUAAAAUGAUUUCUUCUGUGAAAUUAUAGUCCUAUGCAUGUAUUUUCUAACACUAUCAACCAUGCUCAAAUCCGAGUUAAAUUGAGUGAGUUAUGAUCAAAAUACGGUGACUGUUUUGUUCUUGAAAGCCUUGGAUUUGGACAGAUUUGACGUGACAUUUGUGGUGGUCUUACUAAAUGAAUUUCUUGAUACUAAACACCUACCACAUGUACCAUGAAUGUUUCUUAAACUUUCCUUUCGCAUAUGAACCAUGAUUGGAGGAUUUUCUUAGCCAAACGAUUGGAUUUGGGAAGAAAAGGAUUAAGGACAGAUUGUCUUGAGAAUUUUUUCAAACUUUGGUUGAUUGGUUAACCACCUUCCCGAAGGUAUUUUUCCACGAAAUUUUGUAGAGAGAUACCCUUCAUAUAGUAGUACCAUACUACAAAAUUUGGGGUCAAUUCAAGUCCGUUUCGACACUUAACAAAAGUUCCAUAGUCGGAACCAAUCUGGAAAUUUUGUAACAGUCUUGAAUUUUUCCCAACUUUGAGCUACCAUAUCUUGGUGUUCGAAACUCCGAUUCUCGAUCCGUUUAUUCUACCCUAAACCUUAGUUGCACCUCUAAUUGAGCUAUAAAUUUUAAGGGCUGGUUUGCAACGAGUGAAUUCUGCCGAAUUUCCAAAGUUAGCGAAAAGCCAACCCCGGGUCAAUCCUGGGUGAUCUGGGAUAGCAACUUUAAACUCAUUUUUGAAUACCUUUCAUUUCGAUUCGUGGAACAGUGUCUUCUAAGAACUUUUAGUAAUUUCCAAGAGGUUUCCAACGGUAUAAAGUUUUCCAAUUUUAGACUUGUAUCGAGUGAGAUACGAUUUUUCAAAGAUCCAUAUCAAAACUGAAAAUUUUCCAACUUUCAAGGAAAUAGAGAUUUCCAAGAACUUUUUAUUCUUUCGACAUUAUGCAAACAUUUUAACCUCAUUUCCAAGAUAAAAACCCAAAUGCUCCUGUACUUUAAGAAACUCUAAUUGAACCUCGAUUUACGAGUAAUUGAGGUUCGAUUUCGUGAAUUUCCUUAGAUUGUACUAGUGUACAAUCUUCCUUGAUAAUUGGGAUAUAUGAAUGAUAAUACGUUAUUUUUGCCCAGGCGCACACGAGGACCUUCAAGAGGAUCCUACCGUGCACACUUGAACUUCCAGAAAAUAUUUCUUCUUGAUUUGCUCGGUGAGUGUCAAGUGUAUGACUACUUGAACACUAUGGACUUGAUUCAUGCUUGGCUUACCUGAUUACAUGCUUAGCCUACUUGGUUUUGAAAAAUGGAGUCGAGUGUGUACUUUAUCGCACUCGUUCUCAUUUGAAACAAAUGACUCAUGCUUAACAUGGUUUGCCUGAUUUACAUGACCUGAAAUACAUGCUUAGACCUGUCAAAUGCUUGAAUACAUGAUAUGGUAUGCUAUGGCUGCAUACGUCGUUGGAGUGAAUCUCUCGACACUUACAUGACACAUGGGGGACGCCAAACUCAUAGGCCGACCUUGGAACUCGAGCCGGCAUGGGCUUGGUCGGGAACCUCGUGAGCCAUGAGAUUCACAUGAUAAGCUUGAUCUAUUGGAGAGAUCUUGCUUGGCAUACUCGUGGAGUAUCGCCUCAUAAAUGUCGUGCGGCCCGAAGCGGUGUAUGGUGGACGGAUGAGAAGUAAGUGGUGAUCUACGGUUUGGAAAUAUCAACCCGGUUGACGGAGAGUCAUCACGGGAAGAUAUACGAAUGAACUGGCAAAGCAAGUGGAACUUAGCUCUUGAGAGCUACCAUAUCCUUGAAUCGUUUCUGUUUACAUUUUGUUGGCAUUGUUAAUUACUUGCAAGUUAUCACUUGAACUGUUACUUGGGUUUGUUACCUGAACUAUGUGCCUGCAUGUGUGUUCUUGGCCUCACGAGCGUUUUGCUCACCCUAUAGAUUUGUUUUCCUUAACAGAUUUGAACUCGGAGGCGUACUGGAAAAAAACCUCCUGAUGAGCUUUUGUUUAGGAUUUCUAUUAAUUUUGGCUAUGUCUUGGUUUUGGGUUGUACUUUUGGAAUUGAAAUGUAACUUUUGGGCGUGAUGUAUAUUUGGGAUUAUAUGAUGUUUUGAAACCCGACGUGCGGGUGGAUAAUGGAUGACUUUUUAUUAACUUGAACGCUUCGCAUUUUUGUAUUAAGUUAUUUACGUGUAUUGUGGUCGAGAUAAGCUUGAAUGGAAUUGCUUGAGUCCUGGCGAGAGUUAGGCAGGCGUCCGCGGAUACCCUUUGGUUCGCCUUAGGGAGAAGUGGGGCGUCACAGUUGGUAUCAGAGCAUAGGCUUUAGAUCUUGUAGUGUAUCCUAGGUUUAAAGUUUAGGAUGCCUGACUGUGGGAUUAAUUUGAAUAUUAUGUGAACUAGAGGGUCUAUUGUAUCCUACGGGUUAAAAAAUUGGUUACUUGAGAGUUUCUUACUUGGGACUUGUAGAAAUAAAAAUUGAGGAAUUAGCUGAUGUUAUAUUGAAGGAAAAUAUGGGAUGAGAGAUUAGUAGUGAAAGAUUGGACGAAUUUGAAUUAUUAUUAUUCUUGUAAGUGUGGAAAGAAGUGAGACAAUUAUUAGUGCUGGCUAAAGCGAUAAGAGACCGAGAUUUGAUGGUCAAACUCCAUGUAUCGUGAUUGUGAACCAGAUGAAAGAGUUUCAAAUAUAAAAUGCAUUUUCCUGCUCAUUUACCUCCUAGAGAAAUUAUGCUUUGAAAUUCUAAAGGAAAAAUGGAUGUACUAGUUUUAUUUUCAAACGAUAAUUGGAAAUAAUAUAUAUAUGCUUUAAGUAUGUGUAAUUCUUCGAUUUUGGUAAAUAUGUGAAUUUUACUUGAAUUUCAAUUUAAAAAUUUGUGAAUAACUGAUGAGUUUGUUGAAAUUUUGUAUGUGAUGGGCUGAUACAAGGUUAAAAUUUUCUAAACUAGAUUUUCCCCCUUGAUUGUAUACUGGUGUAUUCUCACACUUGAAUUCAUCUAUGCUUUACAAAAAAAUAAAAAAAAUAAUAAUAAUAAAAUAUCUUGAAUUUUCGGAAGAACGGCGAACUUAUGUUUUUAUAAUGAAAAUCUUGAACUUGAUAAGAUUUUUGUUACUUUAAAUACUCUUCUUAUCUUUUAAAAUUCUUGGUUUUCAAGAAGGGUGAGCCUAUCUUUAGGUGUACGGAUUGAGGAACUUUGAGAUAUAGAGUAACCGCAUUCAAGAACACGCAGUUAGUGUGAAUUGACUUGGUUUCCAUUUGACACGUAAGUUAGCAAGUUGUACUUAUUUCUUGGGUUUGAACUUGGAGCUUGAACUUUAACUAUAAAACCCUAAGACUAGUUAUUCUUGGAGAUGAUGGUGCUCUGGUUGGUGGCUUGCUUAUUAAAGAUUUUGAAUUUCGAAUGGAUAACCUUUGGUUUCCGCUUGUGUUAUGGUUUGAUUGGAUCUAAUUUCGUAAAGGCAUGUGAUCUGAUUGGAAUUAGUGAUAUUCGGACCCAUUGGUUUAAUUAAGGACUUAGGAAGGGUGGUGCACGCCGUGAGACCUUUUGUAUCCCGCUUGCAUAUACUUCUACAUUUUGUGACCCUUAAUUGCCUAUAUACAGUAUUUGACAUAUUGGGCUUGUUUUGUGACUUCUUAACUCGUACUAUAACCUUCGAUACAUGUAAAGAAUCAUGUCUUGAUUCUAAAUAUUUUUGCAACUUGUAUAUGCAUUAAGUUCUUUUAUGAUUAAUUAUUCCUUUUCUUGCGCUUAUAGACUCCUAUUAAGUAUGGUAGCAGGAAUAGGAAAAAGGGGUCGUGGCCGAGGACUUAGACAACCCUGUACUCGUGAGAAAAAUUGAUGGAUAGUCUUAUAUAAUUUAAUGAGAUUCUAGUACUGAAUAUGAAUCGAGAAAAAAAACAGAAGAUUAGAUCUACCAGUGUAUAAUGGAUUAACCUAGUUGGGAACUUAGUGAGAUUUUCCUGUGUGAAAUUUUAAUAACUGCUUUAUACGUAUAUUAUGAUUGGUCCUGUGGCCAUAUUUCAACUUUUGUGAAAGUUUGAACUCCAAAAGUAUUUCGUGGGUUUGGUGAGAUGACCUGAACUCAUUACCAAUUUGUUCUACUUGAACAAAAGCGCUUUCAAUUUUACUUGACUAAUACUAUAUCCAGAUUCACUUGUUUUACUUUUCACAAAAUUUAUAUAUAUAUAUAUAUAUGUAUGUAUACACAUUUUGAACUCGUUUGAGACUCGAAAUCAGAUAGAGUUCAAGUUCGAAUCUUUCUUAGGAACAUGAAUGCCUAUUUGUUAUGAAUCAGAUAUUAGAAAUGAUCGGGUUUUAUGUACCAGUAGAGUUAACUCUUGGUUGGAUAAAAGGGUGGUAAAGGUAUUGGAUCACAGGUUAUGCGAAUAUGAACCUACAUGUUUACCUAUCUUUCUUAAAGGUAUUUUCUAAAAUAUACGCCUUACUCGAACAUAGAUUUAACUCGAAACUUUGAGGAAAAGUGUUGGAACACCCUCCAUGUAUAUGUUAUGAUUAUUAUGUAUAUGUUUUAAAAAUCAUGCAUUAAGUUGCAUGAUUAAUAUUCUUAAAUCUAUUUGAGAGAUUUUAAAUAUGUAUUGAUGAUUGUGGUUAAACAUUAUUUGAAAUCUCUUACUAAGAAAAUUUAGUUUUGGGUCGUGAAGAAAAAUUUGUAUCUUUAACUCUAAUUUUGAAAAUUUUGAAUCGCAUUUUGCCACAGAUACAUUCAAAAUACAUCAAAAGUCUUGACCUUAUCUUGUAAGUCAUGAUUGGUUUGAUUUAGACAAAAUUUUGAGGAAAGGGAUUUUGGUCCUGCUAGUGCGUAACAGUUUUUUUUUUUUAGGAUUUGGAACUUGUUUCAUAUGGCGUGUAAUUUAUGGUUUCACUACACACGGGAGUAAGACCUUAGAAUGGAAGUACAUAUCAUUAUAUCAAGAGGUAUUACUUUAGUCGUGUGUGUGGAUUUUCUUAAGUAUCAUUCGAGGAGAGGGAAGAGUAAAUAUACCUGGAUGACUUAGAUGCGUGAGAAUUUACAGGUUGUGGAUAGUUGAGUUUCAAUUCUGAUUUGCUACUUAUUUAGAUGCUUGAGCUGUUGAUAGGCUAACAGUCAGGAUUAAGAAAAUGGAUGAAUGAAAAGUUUGGAAGAGAUGCGUAUAGAAAUAGAAAUUCUUCACAAGGAGUUGGAAUUCCAAACUAAAUUGGCUGAAUUUGGGAAGAAAAAAAAAAGUCGAGAACUUAGGGUUGAAGAUGGGAUCCAAUGUUUAAUCGCCAAUUUGAGAUAUUAAAAGUUGUGAGAUUUGGGUGAGUGAAAGGAAAUAUUUGAUGGCUUGAAUGAGCUAACGAUUAGGGACCGGAUGUUAUAUUUGGAAUGGACGCUUGAGGCUAUAUAUACAUAGAUUAUUGAGAGUUGAACGAUGAGACUAUUAAGAACAAAUGCUCCAUAGCCUCACAUAAACGAGAAUUAUAAUCAAGGGUCAGGAGCAGCGAAUAAGGGAUUUAAAGUAGAGUUACUACAACCGGAAUCCUAGAAACUGAUGUGCUUAAAACCACUUCCAAUUCAAGAUGGGGAUGCUUGAAUUUUCAGUUAUGCCAAUUGGGUUGACUAAUGUAUUAGCAGCAAUUAUUGCAUUAAUGCAUCAAGGUUUUAAAUCGUAAUAGGAUUAAUCUGUGAUGGCAUUUAUUGAUGAUGUAUUGAUAUACCCUAAAGUUUGAGAAGAUCAUGAAAAAAAAAUACCUGAUGGUAGUUUUACAAACCCCAGAGAACGCUAACUUUUGUUAAGUUCAAUAAAUGUGAGUUCGAUGGGAAGAAAUAGCCUUUCUAAGUUAUAUAAUAUCUAAGGAAGAAAUUGUUGUUAACUCAGCUUAAGUGGAAGCUGUUUAAGAGGAAAUGACUAGAAAAUCCUACCGAAAUUUGGAGUUCUUAGAGGUAGUCGAAUAUUACCUUGGUUUGAUCAGGGACUUCUAAGGAUACGAGACUUGGCAAGUUAUUUGAGAUUUUAAAUGUGAGGAAGAAUUUGAAGGUGAAAAUCGUUUAACCAGUGCACUUGUGUUGGCUUUACCGAGCGGAUAAGGUGAUUUUGUGAUUUAUACAGAUGGUUCAAAGGAUGGUUUAGAAUGUAUAUUAAUAAUAUAUGAUGAGGUGAUUGUAUAUGCCUUCUGAAAGUUAAAAUCUUCCGUAAGAAAGUAAUCAACUCAUGAUUUGGAGUGAGUUGGAAAACGUAAGUCAAUGAUUGAUCUGAUAGGUUUAACCAUGAAGGGAAUGAUAUUGUUCUAAGUAUGAAUUUCGAGGACGAAAUUCCUUUCAAGGAGGGGAGGAUGUGAGAACCCGAAAAUUUUCUUAUUUUUAUAAAUAUUACUGGAAUAUUUAAAUGAUUAUUCACUCAUUUUUUCGAAUUAUUUAUUUCGACCAUUUUAAAUCCAUUUAUAUGGAAUGACGCCUCUUAUAUUUUUAAAGCGUUUUGUUGAAAAUUCGCUUUUCGAAAAUUUGUUUAGUCCGGAACGACUGCACGUUUUUCUAGGCCAUACUUGAAUCGGGAGUGUAUUAUUUAUUGGAGAAUUAAGAACGAUCAAUAAUAGAUUAAGAAAGGUUAAUGGAGGAAUUAAUACUCAAUUCACGUGAGGACUCGUAAAAUUAUUAUUUUAAAAUCCCUAAUUUUGGCUAAAUUAAUUAUUUAUUUAUUUUUGCCACGAAUAAUAUUUUCUAGCCUUAUUAGACCUAAGUACAUGGUUUUAUAGUUUCGUUAUAUUUUUAAAGUGUCUCGUUUCAAAAAUUAUUUUCUUAUAAACUUGUUUAGUGAAAAGGUGAAAACGUGUCCAAACACUUUAGCCAAUUGGGAAUAAAAUAAGUUCAAAAAUUUGAGACAUAUACAAUGGUCCUAAAAUAGACAAUUUUAGGUUUAAGCACACAAGUGAUAGCUAGUGGUACGAUCGUUAUAAGAAUUUCUCGAAGGUUUCAUUUUAUUGCGCCUAAAUUGGAAAUACGUGUUUUCACGUGCGCGCUUAAUUGAGAGACUUUGGACAAUUAUUUUGGAACAAUUAAGAAUGAAUAAUAUUUAUAUGAAUGUAAGUGCCCUAGAGGUUUAGUGCACUAGUGCAACAAACUAAGGGAAAUUGAACACAAAACGCGCGAGUAGGGCACUAGUUGCAAUUAAAUUUUUCGUACUUAAAAUAUUAGACGGUCGGCGUUCUUUGUACGCAAAAAGAAUCAGACUAACAUUCAUAUCUGCAAGCUUCAUGGACGGCUAGCAACUGCAGCAAAGAGCAACCGAAAACUUCCACCAUUUCCUCUACAAACUCCACCAAAUUCAACCAAAACUUCACACACACUUAGCUCUUCACUUGGACAAUCACUUGGACAAAGAAGGAGCUGCACAUUCACGGUUUUUCUUGGGGCUUUUGGACACCAAAAUCUGACCUUUUAGCACACAAGUAAGGUAACCAUGAUCCACUCUUCAAAUCUUGUUCAUUGAAGGCCAACUCACACUUAAGAGCUUGAUUAAUGCUUAUGGGUAGCUUAUUAUUGUUAGAAAUUGUUAAAUGUGGGCUCUAUGAACUCCCACUUUGAGUUGAUGGCUGUGAUGAUGUUUGAUGAUGGUUUUAUUGUUGAAUUAGUGCUUAAGGGAGUAGAUUAAAGGUGCAUUAUCGCCAGAAACUUCAUUGAGCUCUUGAAGCAAAAAGUUUCCAUUUUACCCCUGCUCUGUUCGUCACUUUAAUGCAGAAAUUUGAGGAUUUAAUGGCUUGAUUGUGUUGUUUAUAUGUUGUAGUAGUUGUGUAAAAGUUUUCAUUGAAAAAUACUGAGUUUUGGUUGGUCAAACGAAUUUAUUCCCAAAGCUAGUAAUCUGGAAAACGGUUUCGUCGUAAUCCAGACCAGUGUUCGUAUUUCGUCCAUAACUCCGUACUCCGACGUCGAAAUCAAGUGCCGUUAGCGGCAUUUGAAACUAGACGUUCCCAUCUUUCCAACGAUAUAUAAUGCACGUUCUGGUUCAUGUGUGUGAACCGUACCACUUAUUGAAUUCAGCUGCCCUGUUUCGCCAUUCUGCCGAAAUGAUUUGAUGAUGCUGCAACUUUAGGCUUAAUUUCGAGCUAGUUGCAUGCUGAAACAUAAAAUGAUUUCUUCUGUGAAAUUAUAGUCCUAUGCAUGUAUUUUCUAACACUAUCAACCAUGCUCAAAUCCGAGUUAAAUUGAGUGAGUUAUGAUCAAAAUACGGUGACUGUUUUGUUCUUGAAAGCCUUGGAUUUGGACAGAUUUGACGUACAUUUGUGGUGUCUUACUAAAUGAAUUUCUUGAUACUAAACACCUACCAAAUGUACCAUGAAUGUUUCUUAAACUUUCCUUUCACAAUGAACCAUGAUUGGAGGAUUUCUUAGCCAAACGAUUGGAUUUGGGAAGAAAAGGAUUAAGGGCAGAUUGCCUUGAGAAUUUUUCAAACUUUGGUUGAUUGGUUAACCACCUUCCCGAAGGUAUUUUUCCACGAAAUUUGAGAGAGAGAUACCCUUCAUAUAGGAGUACCAUACUACAAAAUUUGGUGUCAAUUCAAGUCCGUUUCGACACUUAACAAAAGGUCCAAAGUCGGAACCAAAUCUGAAAUUUUGUAAUAGUCUUGAAUUUUUCCCAACUUUGAGCUACCAUAUCUUGGUGCUCGAAACUCCGAUUCUCGAUUCGUUUGUUCUGUCCUAAACCUUACUUGAACCUCUAAUUGAUCUAUAAAUUUCUACGGGCUGAUUUGCAACGAGUGAAUUCUGCCGAAUUUCAAAGUUAGCGAAAAACCAACCCCGGCUCAAUCCUGGGUGAUCUGGGACAUCAACUUUAAACUCAUUUUUGAAUACCUUCCAUUUAGAUUCGUGGAACAGUAUCUUCUAAGAACUUUUAGUAAUUUCCAAGAGGUUUCCAACGGUAUAAAUUUUUCCAAUUGUAGACUUGUAUCGAGUGAGAUACGAUUUUUCAAAGAUCCAUAUCAAAACUAAAUUUUCCAACUUUCAAGGAAAUAGAGAUUUCCAAGAAUUUUUAUUCUUUCGACAUUAUGCAAACAUUUUAACCUCGAUUUCCAAGAUAAAAAUCCAAAUGCUCCUGUACUUUAAGAAACUCUAAUUGAACCUCGAUUUACGAGUAAUUGAGGUUCGAUUUCGUGGAAUUUCCUUAGAUUGUACUAGUGUACAAUCUUCCUUGACAAUUGGGAUAUAUGAAUGAUAAUACGUUAUUAUUUGCCCAGGCGCACACGAGGACCUUCAAGAGGAUCCUACCGUGCACACUUGAACUUCCAGAAAAUAUUUUUUCUUGAUUUGCUCGGUGAGUGUCAAGUGUAUGACUACUUGAACUCUAUGGAUUUGAUUCAUGCUUGGCUUACCUGAUUACAUGCUUAGCCUACUUGGUUUUGAAAAAUGGAGUCGAGUGUGUACUUUAUCGCACUCGUUCUCAUUUGAAACAAAUGACUCAUGCAACAUGGUUUGCCUGAUUUACAUGACCUGAAAUACAUGCUUAGACCUGUCAAAUGCUUGAAUACAUGAUAUGGUAUGCUAUGGCUGCAUACGUCGUUGGAGUGAAUCUCCUCGACACUUACAUGACACAUGGGGGACGUCCAAACUCAUAGGCCGACCUUGGAACUCGAGCCGGCAUGGGCUUGGUCGGGAACCUCGGUGAGCCAUGAGAUUCACAUGGUAAGCUUGAUCUAUUGGAGAGAUCUUGCUUGGCAUACUCGUGGAGUAUCGCCUCAUAAAUGUCGUGCGGGCCCGAAGCGGUGUAUGGUGGAUGGAUGAGAAGUAAGUGGUGAUCUACGGUUUGGAAAUAUCAAUCCGGUUGACGGAGAGUCAUCACGGGAAGAUAUACGAAUGAACUGGCAAAGCAAGUGGAACUUAGCUCUUGAGAGCUACCAUAUCCUUGAAUCGUUUCUGUUUACAUUUUUUUGGCAUUGUUAAUUACUUGCAAGUUAUCACUUGAACUGUUACUUGGGCUUGUUACCUGAACUAUGUGCCUGCAUGUGUGUUCUUGGCCUCACAAGCAUUUUGCUCACCCUAUAGAUUUGUUUUCCUUAACAGAUUUGAACUCGGAGGCGUACUGGAAAAAAACCUCCUGAUGAGCUUUUGUUUAGGGUUUCUAUUACUUUUGGCUAUGUCUUGGCUUUUGGGUUGUAUUUUGGAAUCCGAAUGUAACUUUUGGAGCAUAUGUAUAUUUGGGAUAUAUGAUGGUUGUUGAAUACCCGAUGUGCGGAUUGGAUAACGGAUGACUUUUAUUAAAUUUGAACGCUUCCGCAUUUAUUAUAUCUAAGUUAUUGACUCGUAUUGUGUGGUCCGGUAAUAAGCUUGAAUGGAAUUGUUUGAGUCCUGGCGAGAGUUAGGCAGGCAUUCUGCGGAUACCCUUUGGUUCGCCUUAGGGAGAAGUGGGGGUGUCACAAAUUCGGUACAUGCCGAAUUCACCGAAUUCUAAUAUGGUAUGAAAUAGGUAAUAAGAUUGUGAAUUUGGUAAUAACCGAUUUCGCAUUCAAAUUCGGUAAUUGAAAUCGGGUGCCGCAUUACCACAUUCGAAUUACCAAAUUGAUAUAUAAAAUUAUAUAAUAUAUAGAUAAAUGCUAUUUAGUAUUAGUAUAUACUACUAAUACUUUAUUAUAUUAUAUAGGUAAAUGCUAUUAAUAAUAAUUAGUAUAUGGUAUUAUCAUCAUAUCAUGUACUUAUAAUAAUAAUAAUAUAUAAUAAUGUACAAUAUAUUCUUUUAGUAUUUAUUAAUUGUUAUAUGACUAUAAUAAUAUAAAUAUAUAGUAAUACAUAACAAUAUAAGAUAACUAUAAUACUUAUUAUUUUAUACAUGAGUAACAUGACUAGAAUUAGAUAAUAAUUAAUACAUAUAUGUAUAAUACUAAAUAUUAAACAAUAAACAUAAUUCAUAAUUAGAAUUUAGAUAUUGGUAAUUUGAUAUAUCAUUCAUGUUUGAAUUAUUGAAUAUUUGAAUGCGUAAUCUGUAACUUGCAAGUAUUAGUGUACUCUACAUAUUUAACAUAAAAAUUCAUAUUAUCUAUUCACUAAUCUUAAUUCUUAAGGCUUUAGCCUUUAAGUAUAUAAGACAACUAAGCAGUUAGCAGUGUAAGUGAAUGCAUAUGAAUUGCAAAUCAAUGUAUUAGUGUAUUGACUUUCACGAAUAACAUAUGUAAGUAAAUAAGUUUUAUUUUGAUUUGAAAUAAAUUAUAAGUUUGUAACUAAUAUAACUUACCACUAAUCAUUGUAAUUUGUAAGUUUGUAACUAAUAUUACUUAUUAUUAAUCAUUGUAAAUUAUGAAUUCAUAAAUUAUCACUAAUCAUUGUGUUCCUUAAAUCAUAGACUAAGGAUUCUAGGUAAAAGUUAUCAAAUAAGUUAUAAUUCAUAUUAUCUAUUUACUAAUUUAAGGUUUUAAGUAUAGACAAGACAACUGAGCAGUGUAAGUGAAUGCAUGUAAAUUGCAAAUCAAUGUAUUAGUGUAUUGACUUUCACAAUAACAUGUGUAAGUAAAUAAGUUUUUAUUUUGAUUUGAAAUAAAUUAUAAGUUUGUAACUAAUAUAACUUAUCACUAAUCAUUGUAAUUUGUAAGUUUGUAACUAAUAUUAUUUAUUAUUAAUCACUGUAAAUUAUAAAUUCAUUGUAACUACUAACUAAUAUUACUUAUUAUUAAUCAUUGUAAAUUAUAAAUUCAUAAAUUAUCACCAAUCAUUGUAUAGUCUAAGGUUUAUUCUAGUUUAAAUUAAUAGAUAAAUUAUUACUUUUUUUUAAUAGAUGAAUUUGGUUAAACCGAAUUCAUUACCGUUUUCGAAUUUGAAAUCGGUUGCGGUAUGAAUUUGGUUAUGGCUAAUUCAGAAUUGAAAACGGUUUAGAUUUCUAUAUGUAGAAUAACCGAAUUCACCGAAUUCAGUGCACCGAAUUACCGAUUUUGCACCGAAUGCACACCCCUAUUCCCAAGUUACAGAAGUUUAUGAUGUGUAUUAGGGGUUUCCUCAGCAAUUCGACAGCAUCUGGUGCAUCGUCCAUGGAACCAACGACAGCAACCAAAUCUGCAACAAUCCACGGUUACGGUGUCCUCAUCUCCAAAUUUAUUCUCACGGAUCUCCUCAGCUGUUUGACAGCAUCUCGUGCAAUAGAUGAGGUACCAGCGGCAGCACGAAAUCUGCAACCAGUUAAGUGAUCAAUCUCACCUGAACUGGCAUCCAGCGGUCUUCAUGUUGUCGUGAUCUGUUUCAAGACAUAAAUAUUAGGAGCAUCGUCUUAAACUCCAAAACGUUAGGUGACUGGCUAGGUUGAAAAUUUGCAAGAUAUAUGCAAAGAAAUGAAUACUAUGGAUUAAACAAAACUGUCUAUAUAUGAGAUGGUGCAACUUGGAUAUGAAUUAUUUCGUCUUAUAAGCUACUAAUUAAAAUUUAAUUUGGGUUUUGACGUUAGUUUAAUCUUUGUCCUGUUAAACAAUAGUGUGACAUUUUGGAACGUUUAUCCUUACAGUAAUACUAUAAGGAUGUGAAAAAGAUAUUAGCACUUUAAUAUAACUUCCUUGAUACUAUACAAAUAGCCUAUCAUAAAAAUUCACGUCCCAAUAAUGUGUCUCCUAAGCUCCAUUCAUUUAAGUAUUCAGGUUCAUCCAAAUAAAUAAAUAAAGGAAGGAGGAAAAAGAUUAGGUGCAUUCAGUUGUUGCAUCAGAGGAAAUGAGGAGUACAAGUGCAAAGAGAGCACCACUAAAUUUGUUGAUAUCUAGUGACAAUUGCAUUGAGCUAAACAAUAUUUGUUGAUAUCUAAAUGACCUCAUUUUUUAUGUUGAUGGGACCUAAUGUCAAUAUCGUCAAGGAAAAAUUGACUGUAAUACCCUCAUUUAGAAGCAAAAUAUCAUAUUCCAAUUUUACCAACAUGCCAUCAAAACUCGUCACCAAAAUUUAACAACUUUACUAAAACUAAUUUUCAAAGGCUGGUGAGCUUUGGAGAAGAUCUGAACAUUAAGCUCCAAAAUAUUUCAUUGGGUGAAGGAAAAUUGUUGAAAAAAGUGGCUUAUUAGCUUUAUUCUUUGAUAUUUAUAUAUAAUAAUUAAAAGAUGAAAACUUUUUUAAUUGAAUGUGGAUAUUCACAACAAAAUGAGGUACCGAAUGGAAGUUUAUGGUCUUCAUGAUUGAUGUGGUUCCAUGAAUAAACUCGUAGAGCUGAUAAGAUGAACAUUCUGGCCUUAAGAUGAGUUUAAAAUGUAGCCAUGGUAGACAUGAUGAGUCAUUUAAGGACCACAUCAUGCAUAUCUUGAUAUUAUAUGAGCAAUUUGCGAUGGAUAAAGCCAUGCAUAUGCAUGCAUGUGCUUUAUAUAAUGUGAAAAUGGAUGAGUUAGAUAAAGCUUGGUGAAGUAAAGUUAGUAUACCGAAUCGAUUUUGACGUGUGAGUAGGAUUUUCUGCUUGGUUGCUCUAUUUUAAGUGAUUAUCACUUUGUUGACAAAGAUCUUGUCGGACAAUCUCCCAAAAUAAGUUUCUAUCGUUUUUCUUUACUGAAUCACGAACAUUUCUUUAGUGAAAUUUUAAUCUUAAAUUAGGUUGGACUAAUUAUUUGGAGGGAACAUUUUAGAUGGCAAGUGACUCAUUCACUCCUCAUUUUUGCAUAUAUAGUUGAAAGAAAAACAUAAGUUUAAGCAACUAAUGACUUUGUAAAUAAAGAUUGUAUAAGAUCACUUCCAAAAGUAAGUUUCUAUACCAUAUCUUUGUUGAGUCUUAUCAAGAAAAUUUUGGAGGGAAAAUUAAUCUUCAAUUAGCUUGGACUACAUUAAGCUACUACUUGGUUGAUUGUCAAUUUUAUCAUUUUUAUUGUUAUUAAAAAAUCCAUAAUGUGAACACAAAAGUAAACGAGGAUAUCACAAAAAUUGAUUAUCUAUAAUCAAAAUCUCUAAAUAGUUAAAAUAGUCAAUAAAAACAAGCAUGUUGUAGUAUAAAAUUUUUUAGGUAGACUACUUUGUCUGUACCUUUAUAUGUUGACUACUAAUUGAAAGCUACCAUGAAUUUUGGAUAAAUAGGACGGACCUGAUUCUACUCAUGGCAUUAUUGUGUAUUAAAAACUUAUUUUUUUCCUUUUAGCUGCUGUGCUUCAUGCCAUUUGGAAUAGUUCACUCCUCAUUUUAUAUGUUUUUUCUUUUUUUCUUUUUUGGAAAUAGCCCUUUUUACAACAUAAAUAUGUUACAAUAUUUCUUUUAGGGCCUAUAAAGGUAAAUAUGGAACAAAGUGUGCUGACAUCAUUUCUUGUCAAUCUAUUGCAUUUCUUUUGUGGACACGGGCUAACUUGGUUACAAAACUAGUUAUAAGUAAGAGUGAUCAGCGUAAUAUCGAAAACAAGAGGGGCACUAGGUGAAAUUGUCCAAACAUUCAGGGGAAGUUUGUGAAAUUAUCCCAAUAGUUUGAGUACCUGCCCUGUUACUUGCAUUAGAGUGGCCCUUUAUUAUUGACUAAUGCAGACGUCCAUGUCUGCACUCUCAGGACGGAGGAAUAAAGUAUUUGUUGUCCUUGUGCGAGUUAUACAUAGUCUUUCUUGACUGCAAAAGUUGAUAAUUGAGCUAAAGAAUCGAAAGAUAAUGUGGCCAUUUUUCAAUCUCUGAUAGGAAGGAUAUCAAUCUCCUACUUUUCCGUCUUCAUGUCUGGAUUGUAUAUCAAUUUCUUUUUCUUUUUCGUUUGUUGGUUAGGUAAACUUUCAUUUUCAUCAGUCUAAAGGCCUAAAGGUCCCUGCCCAUUUCAGAAAUUUACUGAUUUUAAGUGGGCGUAAUAGAGCUUUAAUUAACUCUAUCAAGAUCUUUAUACAUUACGAGCAACUUUCCUGUUAAAAUACUAAUUCAAACAAGCUGUGCAAAUUCAAGGAUGGAACUAGAUGUUGAAAAGGAAUAGUUUAUACUUCAUAAGAAGUACUGAAUUCGUGGAUUAAUUUUCUUGUGCUAUUGCUUUAGAGUUUUAUUUACAUGAGUAGAUUUGAAUGCGCGAUAAGUAAUUGUGAUUCAAACUUGAAGUCAUAUUUUUGCACAUGAAAGAAAUAGUCCAAAAUAUUUUUUUUCUUUUUAGAACUCUACAUGUAGCUUUAACUUGACCAGUCCUAUUACUAGUCGUUGACGAGCACGAGGUAUACAUACAAUAAUUAAGUUCAUUUUACAUUUAUAAAUUGCUAAAUGCUUCAUACACGAUUUUUUGCAAGCAUAUAGAUCGAGAUUGAGUAUAGGGUUUUAAAUGUCGGACUCAUAGGAAAGAUUGUCAAUUACCGAUGAUUUUCGAAUUAUUUUAUUAUUUAGACUAUCACAAGUACAAGAAAUUAAAUCUACGUACACUAUAAACAUGAGAUAAAAGUAAUAAAAAUAACAAUAGAAAGCUCCUAAAAGUAUGAAAUUUCUAACUACUCUUGCAAGUGAAGUUACUGGUUAAGUAAAUAUUAUUAUUUUAGCUAAUUAUGGCGUAAUUCCUAAUGUAUGUGAAACAUAUUCUCGUAGUAAAUCAACUAUACUUGUAAUUAAGCCAUACCUACACAUUCAAACAACCUGUGCAAAUUCGAGAAUGGAACUAGAUUUUGAAAAGUAAUAGUUUAUACUUCAUAAGAAGUACUGAAUUCUGGGAUUAAUUUUCUUGUGCUAUUGCUUUAAAGAUUUAUUUACAUGAGUAGAUUUGGAUGCGUGAUAAGUAAUUGUGAUUCAACCUUGAAGCCAAAAUUUUGCACAUGAAAGAAAUAGUCCAAAUUUUGUUUUCCUUUUAGAAUACUACAUGUAGCUUUAACUUGACUAGUCCUAUAUCUAGUCAUGGUUAAGAAGUUUCAGAAUAUUAGUAAGGUUAUGCAUGAUAAAUUCUGUAUUUAUCCAUUACUUUGUUAAGCCAAUCUCUAGAAAGGUUUGUACUUAUUAAUUCCUUUCGCCAUCUAAACUUAUUGAUAGAACGUAGUAAUUUGUGUCAACACCAGAAACCAGAAAACUCGACCACUAGCUUAUCGAACUGAAUUUAGGUCAUUAAUUUUUUAUGCCCGUCAACUUAAGAAAAACAACAUAUCAUGCAGAUUAAUAAGUGCAGUUCAGUCCAUAGGGUAAAAUAUAAUGCGAAUAGAAUUAAAUCUCUAAAUGUAUAUCCAAGAUAAAACGCGUAUGAUUGAAAUGAUUUGUACUAAAUUUGUUUGAAAUUGCAGUGCUAUAAGUCGAAAAUGUUAAGAGUGCAUGAAAAGCAUGGAAGACUAUGUACUAACUUGACAAAGUGACUUAUUUGAAUAAUAAUGAUAACAUUUUAUAAUUUUUGUGGGUCAAUUUUGUUUUAAUCUCUUACAGUAACAAGCAUGCUUUGAUUUUUUUUUUUUUUUUUUUUGGGCUUGUUUGGAUCAUGGCCAGUCCGUAAAUACAAUAAAACCCACCAACCUUUACUCAAAAAAAAAAAAAAAAAGCACUUCCACCUCAAAAUUUACAAAAAAAAUGGAAGAAAGAAGAAACCCUACUCGUUCUCUUCCAGUGCUAUACGUUUAUCAGAAUAAAGGUCGAAACUUGCAAAAUAUCAUUCUUGAAAGCAUUCAUUAUUCAUACUUUUGUCUUACGUCAAAGUUAGACAUCUUGCAAUUCAUAAUUUUCAUGCUUGACAACUCUUUUGAUAAGAUUGAUGUUCCUCUGAAUAUCAACAUUAAAAUUUUUUUUUUCGAGUAAGUUGUACCGUCGAUACUGAAGAACUUUGAUUCCUUUCUCAGGAAGGAAUAGGAUUGGGUUUAACUCUUGUCGAUACUGAAUUUUUUUACAUUGUAAUGACAAGGAACGAUGAAGAGCACAACACACAUAUUGAAUAUUCUGCACAUCUUAUAUCAAACACAGUAAAUUCUAGCAGGUCCAAGGUACAGAAGUUUACGAUGUAACUGAGAUAGAGAUCAUCAAUUGUGUUGAUGAUCAAGUGGAUUUAUUUAUUCAACAUGACAACAACAUAAGAAGAGCACUCGAACUGAGUACUCAUUACAUGCUUCCCCUGUUUAUUCUACACCAGUUCAAAGAGAAGCCACAUAAGUCUUUUACACAUAGAGGAAAUCAACCAUCAAAAGCAAACACAACAUUACAUAUUAAGGUAAUAAUAUAGGUGUCACGGAUCCUGUGUCACACCCUUAUUUAUUUAGCAUUAAUUUUUGACCUCAUCUCCAGAUGUAGCUUCAGGGGUCUCCUCAGCGGUUGCGCAGCAUCUUUGGCAUUGUCCAUGGUACCAGCUGCAGCAACGAUAUCUGCAACGAUCUGCAGAUAUAGCUUCAGGGGUCUCCUCAGCGGAUGCACAGCAUCUUUGGCAUUGUCCAUGGUACCAGCUGCAGCAACGAUAUCUGCAACGAUCUGCAGAUAUAGCUUCAGGGGUCUCCUCAGCGGAUGCACAGCAUCUUUGGCAUUGUCCAUGGUACCAGCUGCAGCAACGAUAUCUGCAACGAUCUGCAGAUAUAGCGUCAGGGGUCUCCUCCGCGGAUGCACAGCAUCUUUGGCAUUGUCCAUGGUACCAGCUGCAGCAACGAUAUCUGCAACGAUCUGCAUUUACGGCAGCCUUAUCUCCAGAUGUAGCUUCAGGGGUCUCCUCAGGAGAUGCACAGCAUCUUUGGCAUUGUCCAUGGUACCAGCUGCAGCAACGAUAUCUGCAACGAUCUUCACUUAUCUUAUCCUGAUGAGCCUCACCAGUGGUCUUCACGCUCGCUGAUCUGUUUCAAUACACAAGGAGACAAAAAUUUUAGGAGCUUCAUCUUAAGCUGCAAAAGUUGAGUGACCUGCUGGGCUGAAGAUUUGCAAGAUACAUGCAAAGAAAAGAAUAUUAUGGAUUAAACAAAAUAGUCUACUUAUAUAAGAUGGUGCGACUUGGAUAUGAAUUAUUUUGCCUUAUAGUCCACUCAAUAAAUUAGAAUUAGUAUUAAUUAAUUUGGUUUUCGACUUUACUUUAAUCUUUAUCGUGAUAAACAAUAGUGUGAUAUAAUGUAACGUGUGUGCUUGGAGUUAUACUGUAAGGAUGAAAAAUCAGCUGUUCCACUUACCGUUGAUACAAACAACCAAAAUUUACUUUUAUUAAAAAUGAAAUAGAUAUUAGGAAACUAAUAUAACUUCCUUGAUACGAUACAAAUAGCCUACCAUAAAAAUUCACGUCCCAAUAAUGAAUCUCCUAAUCACCAUUCACUUGAGUAUUUAGGUGUAGCAAAAGAAAAAAUGGUAAGUAAAAAAAAGAAAAACUAGGUACCUGCAGCUGUAACAUCAGAGGGGAUUUGGAGUGCAAGUGCAAAGAGAACAACAAAAAGAAAGAGAAAUUUUUUGAAGAUGCCAUUUGAUCACAAUCUCACUCAGAAUGCAAAUGACGUGUUAUAUUUGUUGAUAUCUAGCGAUAUGUGCAUUGAGUUGCAUCCCUAUUUAUAAGAACUAGGAGGGGAAUACUGUACCUUGUGUGGUGGAAAUAUUUUAGGGAUAAUUUCAGAAAUCCCUUUCAGGUUUUAAUAAUUUUAAUUAGCAGCCUCUUAUUUCCAAUAAUAUAUGGGGUAAUUUUAGAGACCUCCCUUGAGGUUUGUAAUGAUUGCACCUACCUCCCUUGAGGCUUGAAAAAUUAUAAAAUCUCCCCUAUAAAGUAUGUUUUGGUAACAAAUGGUGAUGCAAGUAUAAGAAGUCUAACGAACAUCCUAUAUUGCCCCUAUUUAAUUUACAAAACAAGUUAAUGCCAAAAAAUCAAAUAUUAGUGUUUCUUACAAAGUAAAAAAUUUUAAGAUAGUUCUUUGCAAAAAAAAAAAAAACAUUUAGGCUAUAUUUCAAAGAUUCCUUUUUAAUAUUUGGACAUCUAUUUUCUUUGCUAAGUAAGUUGUGAGAAACUAUUUUUAACAAAUGCAUUCCUACUAGUCAGCUUUUUAUAAAACUAAGUAAGAAUUCCAUUUAAAUGACCUAAAAGUUGAAUAUAAUGUAUUAGGAGAGAUGAGAUUAAAACUUUUGGAUAAAGAAAUAUUUGCAAAAUGCGAUUUCCUUUUUUCUUUAUACUCACUUUUCACUUAGGAUUUGUAGAGUUAUCAAAGAUAUUAUAAUCUUGUUAUAACACCAAGGAAAGUAAGUGUAAUUUUUUAAAUUUCAAGGGAGAGCAGCAAUUGUUAGAAACCUCAGGGAGGUUUAUGAAAUUAUCCCAUAAUAUUGACCUCCCUUCUGAUGUUGAUGGGACCUACGGUCAAUAUCAUCAAGGAAAAAUUGACCAUAAUGGUCUCACUAAAAUGGCUUUUUAAACAUUAUCUUAAAGCAAAAUAUCAUCUACCAACAAGCCGACAUGCCAUCAAAACUUGGUGCCAAAUUUUAACAACUUUACUAAAAUUAAUUUCUCUGCUGGUUGGUGAGCCUUGGAGAAGAGCUUUAGGACCGGAACCUUAAGCUCCAAAAGUAUUUCAUUGGGUGAAGGAAGGUUGCUGCAAAAAGUGUGUUAUUAGCUAUAUUCCUUGACAUCAAUAAAAGGUAAAAGAUCGAUGGAAACUUUUUAACUGGAUGUCGAUAUUCACAACAAAAAUGAUGUACCGAUGGAAGUUUAUGGUCUUCAUGAUUGAUAUGCUACCCUGAAUAAACUAGUUGAGUUGAUAAGAUUGAUACGGUACGAUGAAUAAACUAGUUGCGUUUAUAAGAUGGACAUUCUGGUCUUAAGAUAAUGUUUGAGAUAUAGCCAAUGGACAUGAUGAGUCAUUUAAGGUCACAUCAUGAAUAUCUCGAUGUUAUAUGAGAAAUUUAUGAUGGAUAAUGCCGUGCACGCUGGUUCUUUAUAUAGUGUGAAAAUGGAUGAAGUAUACAUAGUUUGGUGAACUAAGUAGGCCGAAUCGAUUUUGAUACAUGAGUAGGACUUUCUGAUUGGUUGCUCAUUUUUUCAUAUGUAGUUCCAAAAAAUUAUUUUGACUGAUUACUUCGUCGAUAAAGAUAUAGUAGGACAAUCUCCCAAAAUAAGUUUCUAUGGCGUUUCUUUGUUGAAUCACAAGAAUUUCUAUGGUGAAAAUUUUAAUCUUAAAGUAGGUUGAACUAAUUAUUUGAGGGGAAAAUUUUAGAUAGUAAGUGACUGACUCACUCCUCAUAGUCGAAAAAAGAUAAGUUUACGUGGCUAAUUACUUUGCUAAUAAAGACCAUUUAUACUACUUUUAUCUGGUCUUGGGAGUUCUGUUCAAUAAAUUGGAAUUAUUAUAAAUAAGAAUAAGCUAGCUCUAGCAAGAACUAAAUCAUUAAAGUACUUUCCCUAGGGGCUUUGGGCGGAAGGGGGAACGUAGCGAUUUGAGCCUAGAUUGAGGAUGGAACUCCUAUAGUAUACCAAUUGAUGUGAAACAAAGGCUACAGCUGGAUACGAUCAACUCCAAAAGUAAGUUUCUGUACCAUCUCUUUGUUGAGUUCUUAUGAUGACAUUUUUAGGGAAAAUUAAUCUUCAAUUAGCUUGGGUAACAUUAUCGUGAGUGAGUUAGUUUCUACAGUAGAAAAAGAAACAUGUUGAUAGUAUAAACUUAUUUAGUUAGAUUACUUUGUCUAUGCCUUUAUAUGUUGACCACCAAUUCAAAUCUACUAUGAAUGUGGAUGAGAACUAUUUCAGCUCAUGGCAUUAUUGUGCAUUUUUUUUUUUUAGCUGAAGUGCAUAUUUCACUGCUCUACAAAAUUGCUUCCAGUUACGAAGAUUUUAGUGAAAAUGGUCUCUUCAUUUUGUUCAUUCACCAAGACUUUUACGCUAUUUUCGUUCCAAAGCAACAGCACAGUUAGCAAUGGUUAUGUGAUUCUAAGUGUCAAAGACUUAAAAAGGCUCUGUUGUGCUUUUGCCUCCAACCACAUAAAAAUUAAACCACUUUUCUUCUUCUUUUCACUGCCCUUUUUCAACUUAAAUAUGUUACAUAUUUCUUUUAGGGCCUAUACCAAUAAAUGUAUAUGUGGAAGAAAAUGUGAUGAUAUACGUUUCUUUUACUGACAUGGGCUGAAUUUGUUACAAAACUAGUUAAAGGUGGUCAGCCUAACACUGAAAAUAAGAGGGGUACUAGGUGAACUUGUCCAAAACUUCAGGGAGGUUUAUGAAAUUAUUCCAAUUGUUUAGGUGGCUGAGGCUGUUACUUGUACAAGAGUGACACUCCUUCUCAUAUUCGUCGUCAGAAUUCCCCACUUCAUUCGUCAUGUAGUCCUCCAUAUGUCUCGAAGUCUCCGGAUUUAUUGUCCUUAUACAAAAGUUACAGUCUUUCUUGACUAUGAAAGUUGACGAUUGAGCUAAUCACAAUUAAGAAAUGUGGCAAUUUUUCUAACUCUGGAUACUGGAUAGGAUAUCAAUCUCCUUUUUGCUGGAUGGCUUGCAUUUUCAUCUGUUAGUAUAGGUCACUCUCCACUUCCCACGUUCAAUGAUUUUGAUUAAGUUGCUGUCAUAGAGCUUUCUCAUCUCUAUCAAGAUUAAUGUAUAUCAUAAGCAGUCCAUUCAAAUCUGUUGUGCGAGUUAGGGGAUGGAACGAAAAGCAAAAAGCAGUCCAUUCAAACUCGAAAUCAUAUUUUUGAACAUGAAAGAAGUAGUUGCGACAAGUCUUUUUUUAAAUUUGUUUUUAAAUUCUGUUCAAGAAUUAUCACAAUCAGAGGCAUUGUCAAGUUAAACUUCAAUGGUCUAACUAGGCUACCUACAAAUUAUUGUUAAGUUUAGAAAUGGGGCCCUUGGUUGAUUUUUUCAGAUCUUAUCUAGUUCAGUGUCCUGUAGGGAAAUUUUGAAUGGGUGAGAAGAUCAUGUAAUCUUGGAAUUAUUUAGCUCGGCACAUUGUUUAGCUCCCGCGGCACAUUGUUUGGCUCGGCAAUAUGGGAAUUAUUCAUCUCCUCAGUUUUGGAGGCAUUUGCCUCAAUGUUUUGUCCAGCCUUUAUGGUUGAUUUAAAUCAUGAAUCAAUGAAAUUUUAUGUCUUAUCAGAUAUAUAUAUAUAUAUAUAUAUAUAUAUAUAUAUAUAUUCAUGAAUCUUGUGGCAAAGUUUAUAUUUUACAUUGUUUGUAUUCGUAAUGAUUUGUACCACAUUAUCAGAAACAAAGCCUCGCGUGUUGAAUUCUAUUCAAUUCAAACUGACUUGAUUUGGUGUAAAAUUAUAUAAUUUGAGGGUCUGUUUGUUUGGACUGAAAAUCUUUUCCAGAAAAUAUUUUCUUCAAUUUCUGGUGUUUGGCUGCAAAAGAGGUCAGGAAAAUUUUUUCUGGUAGAAAAUCUUUUACAUAACUUGGUGUAAAAUGACUUCUGGAAUUAAGAUACGGAAGUUAAUUUCUGACAACUAUCGCGACUUAUCAGUUUCCUCGGCACUUGGCUAUUGUACAAAGCCAUCAAGGACUAUACCACAGAGAUCAAAUCAAGAGCUAUUUUCCUGCACUUGCUUCUGCAAAUCCCACAACUUUGCACCUCUUCGAGCUCUCCUCUUUCUCAUGUUCCUCUCUACUGUUCCGUAAUCUUGCGCCACACAAACACAUUUAUGGAUUAUACAACUCUAGAUCUAGAUUGGGCUUGCAUUGAGAAGUUUUGAAGAAAGGAAAAAAUGUGAAGCCAAUGGAGGCAGGAGGAACAUUUUUAGAAGAAGAGUUAGUACAAUAAACAUCAAAUUUCAAUUGCUAAUUUCUUAUAAUGGUUCAAUCAGCUGUAGGCAUAUAAUUUAAACUUUUUAUUACAAAUGGCACUCAACUGGCUUGGGGAGAUUGUGAAUUCUUGGUUCUGGUCUUUGAUUUAUUUUUUGAGACUUGAAAGGAUUUGGAUUGGGGAUUGUUUGUGGUGGCUGAUGAGGUGGGUAGAGAAAAUGAUAAUCAGUAGUAGCAAUUAGCAAAAGAGAAAUUCGGGAACGAUAUUAUCGUUGGAGGAUUUUAAUUUUUUUUAGAACAUUUUCUUAGAAUUGCACCAAACACCAGAAAAUGAAGGGAAAAUUAGAUAUUUUCCAGGAAAGAAUUUUCAUUGAAAAUGUUUCUUAGGGAAAAUAUUCUACAUUGAAACAAACAGACCCUGAGUGUAAAAUUAAAUUUGUCAACUCAUAUAACUAAAUUGGUGUAAAAUUCGCGAUCACACUAAAACUAUACGAGUUUACACUAACUUUAGUAAAAAUUCUAUAAACUAAUUUAAAUUAGACAGUACCGGAUCCCACAUCAUCCAUUAGCUCAUGUUCCUUGAGUGCAUGUCAUGGAUUGUGGGAACGCAACAAUGGCAGAGGCGAAUGUCUUGUUGGGAUUGUAAUGUGGAAGGAAUCCUAUAAACAGUCAAGGGGUAUUUGAUUAUAAAAAGGAACAAAUUUACAAAUCAAUACAGUGAUAAUAAUAUGUAUGAUUAAUUUAACUUCUUUAAACUUUAAGUUGAAAAGACUAUAAAGAUUUUGUGCAUCAUGCGUGCUACAGGCUCUCAAAAAAAAAAAGAAAAAGAAAAGAGAACUCACUAAAUUGAGUCUUUUAAGACACAGAAAAAAUCAUAGCAAUGAACAGCUUGUCAUUUUUGUAAAGAAUUACCAUUUUGAAAUCAUAAUUUACGCUCACAUAUAGAUAUAUAUAUAUAUAUAUAUAUAUAUAUAUAUAUAUAUAUAUAUAUAUAUAAUAUAUAUAUAUAUAUAUAUAUAUAUAUAUAUACUUAAUUUGUCACAGGCUAUAAGAAUUUGUAAAUGCACCAUACUUAUCUAUGAGUGCAUUUAAUAGACUAAUGUAAAAGUAUGUUCUCUCAUCCAAUGAAACAUUUUCAAUCUUCACCAGCCUCUGCAGCUUUUCAUGUAUAAGGUCCUGCAAUCCUCUGCUGAAGUUUUACUUUCAGAACCCUGGAAGGAUCUACCUUCCUUACCUUCUUGAAGGUUUUCAACAACUACUGGAGAUAAGUUGGAAGCUUUCAUUGUGAAGGUUGAAGAAUAAGUCAGAAGAGAUACAACUAAAGAUAAUCCUGAAAAGUAAAUUUUUAAAGAAGAUUAAUAAUAUUAAAGCAAAUGGGAGCAAUGGAAGUAGUUAAAGACGCACUAGAUAAAGCAAAAGCUGUGAUAAUGAGAUUUGUACAUAGCCAGGUGGCUGUUCUGAAACUUCUUGGAGAUCAUAUAUUUUCUGUCCACUAACUAGUUAGACCAUCCAAGUUCAAGUUGUUUGAGCAUUUCCUAAAGGGCAGAGGCUAAAGUUCCGUUGGGUUUGUACCUUAGAAAUAGUUAUCUAAUUAGUUCGGAGGCUUUUGGUUUGUAAAUGAAUAAAUUUUACAAAUCAAUCUAUAAGUGAUAGUCUAUAUGAUAACUUUAAAUUCUUUAACCAUUUGGUUUCAAAAAUUCUAUAAAGGGUUCUUAUAAUAUACGUGAAAUUAUGAACAAUUAUAGCCUAUGAACAAUUAUAGGCUAUAAUACUGAUGGUGAUCCUUGUCAUUCUUAUAAUACGUGAAAUUAUGAUCCUUGCUAAUUGUUCAUAGGCUAUAAGUUUUUACAGAUGCACCAUCAGUAUAUUUUUCUAUAAGUGAGUUUAAUAUACGGGCAAAAAAGCAGAAUGGCCCUCAAACUCUAUAGGUGGUUGACUUUUAACCCUCCAAAUAUUAAGGACAUAUGUUUGCCCCUCGAACUUAUAAAAGGGUAUACUCUUCAUCCUUUUGACUAGAGAUAUUUUCAUAAACCUCUCCUGAGAUUUAUGUUGAUAUCGCUUGACACAUUUGAAGUUUUAGAUAUGUCACUCAAUUCCCACAUUAGUGAGAUGGGACCAUUAGUCAUUAUGAUAACACAAAUUGUUAAAAUUAUCUUCACUACUGUAACAAUUUUGAGGUAAAACAUUAUGAAAAAUAAAAGUUUUAGGCAAAACAUGUAAAUAUUAUAUUAUCAUCAACUUGGUAGAGAAUUCAAUAUUAAACAACACAAAAGAGUAGAAUUGGAAGAAAAAUAUAUCUGUCUCAUUAAAUGAUUAUUUUAAUGAUACAAGGGUGAAAUUAUUAUAAAAAAGUAUGGUUUUAAGGGAGGUUAAUGAUGUUUUUGAAACUCUAGGAGUGCCAAGUAAUAUUUACAUGAAUCUUGGGGAGGUUUCUAAAAUUAUCUCUAGUCAAAAAGGUGGAAAAUAUACUUAUUUACAAGUUGAAGGGGCAAAAAUAUACACUUAAUAGUUUGAGGGCCAAAAGCCAACUAACUUAAUAGUUUGAGGGCCAUCCAGAUUUUUUGCCCUUAAUAUAUUAAUCAACACACUUACGUUGAAGAAAAUGGAAAAAAUGGAAGUAAUUAAAGAGACACUGGAAAAAGCAAAAAUUGUCACUAGAUUUGUGCACAACCAAGCGACUGUUCUUAAAACUUGUUAGAGAUCAAAGUUCCAUCCAUUACCCGAUCAGACCGUCCAAGUUCUAGUUGACAGAGCCUUUUUUCUAACUCUUCAGAAUUUAGUCUUAGUAAAAGAGAACUUUUAGAAGUGUUUCUUUCUACUGUAUGGAAGAGCUCAAGAUGUGCUUUCUCAACAGACGGGGAAAAUAUGGCUGACUGGUGGCUGAUCGCACGUUUUGGACUGGAGCGGAAAUGGUUGGCGCCUGUUACGGAAUUGAUAAGAACGCUGAGCCACAAAUCCAUAUCUAUAUAUGUAUUACAGAAUAGGUUUUUAAGGAGGAGCUACCACGAGCGUAAGAAAUCUGAAUCCCUUUUUACUAUAAUUUUAGAUAUAUUUUAAUUCAAUAACUCUUAUCUUCUCCUUAUCCCUUUCUGCUCCUCAAUUUAAGUGACCACUAACCUACAAAAUUGAAACUCCUAAAUUUUAACUAACAAAUAAUAACCACCCCUACAAAUGGAUAUCUGCAAAUUUCAAUUCACAUCUCACGUCUACUGCUGACAACUACUAUAUCACUGAUAACAAUACUCACACUUACCACAUCACACUUAAAUUAACAAUUAGCAAUAACUAAUUGUUAAUUUAAGAAACUUUCAAUUACGAAAGUCACAUAUCCAAAAUUUAGGAGCAUGUUUGAAUUAUAAUUUUCACAAUUCUACAUAUCUUAUUGUCAUAAUGUAUUUUACUCUCAUAAUCAUUCAUAAAACUGAUAAUCACUAACCCAUUUUACCCAUUUUUCAUUUGUCAUCACACAAAUUAAAUACAGUGAAAAGAAAGACUAUGUAUCAUACUCUCACCAUAGAUGAAUCCCACUUACAAGCAUUUCAACUAGUGACGAAGCCAAGAUUUUUUUUCUAGAGGGGCUAAAAUUUUCCUAACAUAAUUAUUUUUAUGUGUUGUGUUCAAAAUAAUUUUCAUCUAAUUAAAUAUAUGACAUCUAAAAAUAUCAAAUUUUAAUUUUAAUUAUAAAUGGAUUAAAAAUAAAUAAAAUUUUUAAUAAAAAAUUAAUUCAAUUGUAAUUAAGCAUAUGUAAUUAAGUAGAUUUUAAGUUUUGCAUGGUUUAAGGAAGAGUAUAUUUGUUUAAUAAAAUUGUCAAAGUAGUGUUUGUGUACUUCUGUUUACAUCAUUCAACACAAAUAUGUUGAAAUUGUAAAUUACAUUGCCUAAUUUGUAUAAUUUAAUCAUGUUGAAGAAACAUCGUCUUGAAAAGGUAGAGAAAUUUUCCAGUAAAAAUUAGCUAAACAAACAACUCAUUAUCUUAACCUCGUAACUAAUCAUUAUACCCUCAAUACAUCCGCUAUAAAGUUAGGUUAGUGAUACUGGCAAAGUACAAAAUUUUUCACCAGAAUAAUUUGCAGCUUGACCGUCAAUAUCAAGUUCUCCAACUAUGCAUGGGACAGUGUCACCACUCUGAAGGUCAAUUCUUAUACGUACGUCAAAAUUUCUGGAGUUGCCGAUUAUAGGGGUGCAAACACAAAAUGAGGUAUCCUUUGUGGCUCAAUGGGAUUAUUCCUUCUUUUUGCGAGUCAGUCCUCUGCAGAGCUCCUCUCCCGCUCUUAGUAUACACACCGUCCCGUACGUGUCGCAUCCGAGCAACCGGAAGGAAUGGCUGAAUUAGUAAUGCAUUAGCACGAACAGUUUUAUGCAUAAGAUUUGUCCUAGGAAUCAUAAUGACAGAAAGUGUCAUCCAGUUUUAUGCACGAACAGUUUGGACAAUUGGAACGGAUCGGUUAACCAUAAACUCGAUCUGAUUUAGUGAUCAAUUGAAAAAUUGAAUUGAAUUGGUGAAAACUAGAAUAAGAAUCGAUUGGACCAAUAAAAAUGGGACGGUUCAACUGGAUUUCACUAAUUUUUUAUUCUUUAAAAUAAAUAGUUCAAUUUUGUUCAAAAUUUUUAAUACUAAAAUAAAUUAAAAAAAAUGAUUAAAUCUUUGAACUGGUCGAACUAGUCAACUUGUGAACUAGUAAAAUUCUUUUGAUUCACUCUUUGAUCUGAGUUUUAAAAACAUUACUAGUAAGGAUAUUAAUUAGGUGAGUGUGAGGACUCUUUUUCGACUCUCAAUUUUUACCUUUUUCUUUUUUGUCUUUUGUAAUACAUGGUAUCUCCUUUUGACCUUAAAAAAGGAAAUGACGUAGUAACGUUUAUCAAUAGUAAGUUGCUAUGAUAUGGAACAGCUCACAGUGCAAGCUUUUGAAUCAUAUACACUCAUGCACUUACUAAACUCCUAUGGGCCUGACAUGUUGAGUAGAAUUAAAACGGAACAGCCAAAAUGAAAAGGAAAAGUAUAAGACAAUAAAAUGGACACUAUAUCAAGCUGCAACCUCGGAGGAAAUGACAGGUACAAGUACAAGUACAACUGCAAGUGCAAGUGCAAACAGAAAAAGAGUUUUUCAAAGGGAUACCUUUAUGGUGGGAACCUGCCUAUGGUAGGAAUGCUGGCAGGGAGCGACACGUGUUGGGGGCAAAACGGUCCAAACGGAGACGUUAAAGUGAUGGUGAGCGCGUGGAGAGGAAAUGAAGCAGACACAGCGUGCGGAAUGAAGCAAACANNNNNNNNNNNNNNNNNNNNNNNNNNNNNNNNNNNNNNNNNNNNNNNNNNNNNNNNNNNNNNNNNNNNNNNNNNNNNNNNNNNNNNNNNNNNNNNNNNNNNNNNNNNNNNNNNNNNNNNNNNNNNNNNNNNNNNNNNNNNNNNNNNNNNNNNNNNNNNNNNNNNNNNNNNNNNNNNNNNNNNNNNNNNNNNNNNNNNNNNNNNNNNNNNNNNNNNNNNNNNNNNNNNNNNNNNNNNNNNNNNNNNNNNNNNNNNNNNNNNNNNNNNNNNNNNNNNNNNNNNNNNNNNNNNNNNNNNNNNNNNNNNNNNNNNNNNNNNNNNNNNNNNNNNNNNNNNNNNNNNNNNNNNNNNNNNNNNNNNNNNNNNNNNNNNNNNNNNNNNNNNNNNNNNNNNNNNNNNNNNNNNNNNNNNNNNNNNNNNNNNNNNNNNNNNNNNNNNNNNNNNNNNNNNNNNNNNNNNNNNNNNNNNNNNNNNNNNNNNNNNNNNNNNNNNNNNNNNNNNNNNNNNNNNNNNNNNNNNNNNNNNNNNNNNNNNNNNNNNNNNNNNNNNNNNNNNNNNNNNNNNNNNNNNNNNNNNNNNNNNNNNNNNNNNNNNNNNNNNNNNNNNNNNNNNNNNNNNNNNNNNNNNNNNNNNNNNNNNNNNNNNNNNNNNNNNNNNNNNNNNNNNNNNNNNNNNNNNNNNNNNNNNNNNNNNNNNNNNNNNNNNNNNNNNNNNNNNNNNNNNNNNNNNNNNNNNNNNNNNNNNNNNNNNNNNNNNNNNNNNNNNNNNNNNNNNNNNNNNNNNNNNNNNNNNNNNNNNNNNNNNNNNNNNNNNNNNNNNNNNNNNNNNNNNNNNNNNNNNNNNNNNNNNNNNNNNNNNNNNNNNNNNNNNNNNNNNNNNNNNNNNNNNNNNNNNNNNNNNNNNNNNNNNNNNNNNNNNNNNNNNNNNNNNNNNNNNNNNNNNNNNNNNNNNNNNNNNNNNNNNNNNNNNNNNNNNNNNNNNNNNNNNNNNNNNNNNNNNNNNNNNNNNNNNNNNNNNNNNNNNNNNNNNNNNNNNNNNNNNNNNNNNNNNNNNNNNNNNNNNNNNNNNNNNNNNNNNNNNNNNNNNNNNNNNNNNNNNNNNNNNNNNNNNNNNNNNNNNNNNNNNNNNNNNNNNNNNNNNNNNNNNNNNNNNNNNNNNNNNNNNNNNNNNNNNNNNNNNNNNNNNNNNNNNNNNNNNNNNNNNNNNNNNNNNNNNNNNNNNNNNNNNNNNNNNNNNNNNNNNNNNNNNNNNNNNNNNNNNNNNNNNNNNNNNNNNNNNNNNNNNNNNNNNNNNNNNNNNNNNNNNNNNNNNNNNNNNNNNNNNNNNNNNNNNNNNNNNNNNNNNNNNNNNNNNNNNNNNNNNNNNNNNNNNNNNNNNNNNNNNNNNNNNNNNNNNNNNNNNNNNNNNNNNNNNNNNNNNNNNNNNNNNNNNNNNNNNNNNNNNNNNNNNNNNNNNNNNNNNNNNNNNNNNNNNNNNNNNNNNNNNNNNNNNNNNNNNNNNNNNNNNNNNNNNNNNNNNNNNNNNNNNNNNNNNNNNNNNNNNNNNNNNNNNNNNNNNNNNNNNNNNNNNNNNNNNNNNNNNNNNNNNNNNNNNNNNNNNNNNNNNNNNNNNNNNNNNNNNNNNNNNNNNNNNNNNNNNNNNNNNNNNNNNNNNNNNNNNNNNNNNNNNNNNNNNNNNNNNNNNNNNNNNNNNNNNNNNNNNNNNNNNNNNNNNNNNNNNNNNNNNNNNNNNNNNNNNNNNNNNNNNNNNNNNNNNNNNNNNNNNNNNNNNNNNNNNNNNNNNNNNNNNNNNNNNNNNNNNNNNNNNNNNNNNNNNNNNNNNNNNNNNNNNNNNNNNNNNNNNNNNNNNNNNNNNNNNNNNNNNNNNNNNNNNNNNNNNNNNNNNNNNNNNNNNNNNNNNNNNNNNNNNNNNNNNNNNNNNNNNNNNNNNNNNNNNNNNNNNNNNNNNNNNNNNNNNNNNNNNNNNNNNNNNNNNNNNNNNNNNNNNNNNNNNNNNNNNNNNNNNNNNNNNNNNNNNNNNNNNNNNNNNNNNNNNNNNNNNNNNNNNNNNNNNNNNNNNNNNNNNNNNNNNNNNNNNNNNNNNNNNNNNNNNNNNNNNNNNNNNNNNNNNNNNNNNNNNNNNNNNNNNNNNNNNNNNNNNNNNNNNNNNNNNNNNNNNNNNNNNNNNNNNNNNNNNNNNNNNNNNNNNNNNNNNNNNNNNNNNNNNNNNNNNNNNNNNNNNNNNNNNNNNNNNNNNNNNNNNNNNNNNNNNNNNNNNNNNNNNNNNNNNNNNNNNNNNNNNNNNNNNNNNNNNNNNNNNNNNNNNNNNNNNNNNNNNNNNNNNNNNNNNNNNNNNNNNNNNNNNNNNNNNNNNNNNNNNNNNNNNNNNNNNNNNNNNNNNNNNNNNNNNNNNNNNNNNNNNNNNNNNNNNNNNNNNNNNNNNNNNNNNNNNNNNNNNNNNNNNNNNNNNNNNNNNNNNNNNNNNNNNNNNNNNNNNNNNNNNNNNNNNNNNNNNNNNNNNNNNNNNNNNNNNNNNNNNNNNNNNNNNNNNNNNNNNNNNNNNNNNNNNNNNNNNNNNNNNNNNNNNNNNNNNNNNNNNNNNNNNNNNNNNNNNNNNNNNNNNNNNNNNNNNNNNNNNNNNNNNNNNNNNNNNNNNNNNNNNNNNNNNNNNNNNNNNNNNNNNNNNNNNNNNNNNNNNNNNNNNNNNNNNNNNNNNNNNNNNNNNNNNNNNNNNNNNNNNNNNNNNNNNNNNNNNNNNNNNNNNNNNNNNNNNNNNNNNNNNNNNNNNNNNNNNNNNNNNNNNNNNNNNNNNNNNNNNNNNNNNNNNNNNNNNNNNNNNNNNNNNNNNNNNNNNNNNNNNNNNNNNNNNNNNNNNNNNNNNNNNNNNNNNNNNNNNNNNNNNNNNNNNNNNNNNNNNNNNNNNNNNNNNNNNNNNNNNNNNNNNNNNNNNNNNNNNNNNNNNNNNNNNNNNNNNNNNNNNNNNNNNNNNNNNNNNNNNNNNNNNNNNNNNNNNNNNNNNNNNNNNNNNNNNNNNNNNNNNNNNNNNNNNNNNNNNNNNNNNNNNNNNNNNNNNNNNNNNNNNNNNNNNNNNNNNNNNNNNNNNNNNNNNNNNNNNNNNNNNNNNNNNNNNNNNNNNNNNNNNNNNNNNNNNNNNNNNNNNNNNNNNNNNNNNNNNNNNNNNNNNNNNNNNNNNNNNNNNNNNNNNNNNNNNNNNNNNNNNNNNNNNNNNNNNNNNNNNNNNNNNNNNNNNNNNNNNNNNNNNNNNNNNNNNNNNNNNNNNNNNNNNNNNNNNNNNNNNNNNNNNNNNNNNNNNNNNNNNNNNNNNNNNNNNNNNNNNNNNNNNNNNNNNNNNNNNNNNNNNNNNNNNNNNNNNNNNNNNNNNNNNNNNNNNNNNNNNNNNNNNNNNNNNNNNNNNNNNNNNNNNNNNNNNNNNNNNNNNNNNNNNNNNNNNNNNNNNNNNNNNNNNNNNNNNNNNNNNNNNNNNNNNNNNNNNNNNNNNNNNNNNNNNNNNNNNNNNNNNNNNNNNNNNNNNNNNNNNNNNNNNNNNNNNNNNNNNNNNNNNNNNNNNNNNNNNNNNNNNNNNNNNNNNNNNNNNNNNNNNNNNNNNNNNNNNNNNNNNNNNNNNNNNNNNNNNNNNNNNNNNNNNNNNNNNNNNNNNNNNNNNNNNNNNNNNNNNNNNNNNNNNNNNNNNNNNNNNNNNNNNNNNNNNNNNNNNNNNNNNNNNNNNNNNNNNNNNNNNNNNNNNNNNNNNNNNNNNNNNNNNNNNNNNNNNNNNNNNNNNNNNNNNNNNNNNNNNNNNNNNNNNNNNNNNNNNNNNNNNNNNNNNNNNNNNNNNNNNNNNNNNNNNNNNNNNNNNNNNNNNNNNNNNNNNNNNNNNNNNNNNNNNNNNNNNNNNNNNNNNNNNNNNNNNNNNNNNNNNNNNNNNNNNNNNNNNNNNNNNNNNNNNNNNNNNNNNNNNNNNNNNNNNNNNNNNNNNNNNNNNNNNNNNNNNNNNNNNNNNNNNNNNNNNNNNNNNNNNNNNNNNNNNNNNNNNNNNNNNNNNNNNNNNNNNNNNNNNNNNNNNNNNNNNNNNNNNNNNNNNNNNNNNNNNNNNNNNNNNNNNNNNNNNNNNNNNNNNNNNNNNNNNNNNNNNNNNNNNNNNNNNNNNNNNNNNNNNNNNNNNNNNNNNNNNNNNNNNNNNNNNNNNNNNNNNNNNNNNNNNNNNNNNNNNNNNNNNNNNNNNNNNNNNNNNNNNNNNNNNNNNNNNNNNNNNNNNNNNNNNNNNNNNNNNNNNNNNNNNNNNNNNNNNNNNNNNNNNNNNNNNNNNNNNNNNNNNNNNNNNNNNNNNNNNNNNNNNNNNNNNNNNNNNNNNNNNNNNNNNNNNNNNNNNNNNNNNNNNNNNNNNNNNNNNNNNNNNNNNNNNNNNNNNNNNNNNNNNNNNNNNNNNNNNNNNNNNNNNNNNNNNNNNNNNNNNNNNNNNNNNNNNNNNNNNNNNNNNNNNNNNNNNNNNNNNNNNNNNNNNNNNNNNNNNNNNNNNNNNNNNNNNNNNNNNNNNNNNNNNNNNNNNNNNNNNNNNNNNNNNNNNNNNNNNNNNNNNNNNNNNNNNNNNNNNNNNNNNNNNNNNNNNNNNNNNNNNNNNNNNNNNNNNNNNNNNNNNNNNNNNNNNNNNNNNNNNNNNNNNNNNNNNNNNNNNNNNNNNNNNNNNNNNNNNNNNNNNNNNNNNNNNNNNNNNNNNNNNNNNNNNNNNNNNNNNNNNNNNNNNNNNNNNNNNNNNNNNNNNNNNNNNNNNNNNNNNNNNNNNNNNNNNNNNNNNNNNNNNNNNNNNNNNNNNNNNNNNNNNNNNNNNNNNNNNNNNNNNNNNNNNNNNNNNNNNNNNNNNNNNNNNNNNNNNNNNNNNNNNNNNNNNNNNNNNNNNNNNNNNNNNNNNNNNNNNNNNNNNNNNNNNNNNNNNNNNNNNNNNNNNNNNNNNNNNNNNNNNNNNNNNNNNNNNNNNNNNNNNNNNNNNNNNNNNNNNNNNNNNNNNNNNNNNNNNNNNNNNNNNNNNNNNNNNNNNNNNNNNNNNNNNNNNNNNNNNNNNNNNNNNNNNNNNNNNNNNNNNNNNNNNNNNNNNNNNNNNNNNNNNNNNNNNNNNNNNNNNNNNNNNNNNNNNNNNNNNNNNNNNNNNNNNNNNNNNNNNNNNNNNNNNNNNNNNNNNNNNNNNNNNNNNNNNNNNNNNNNNNNNNNNNNNNNNNNNNNNNNNNNNNNNNNNNNNNNNNNNNNNNNNNNNNNNNNNNNNNNNNNNNNNNNNNNNNNNNNNNNNNNNNNNNNNNNNNNNNNNNNNNNNNNNNNNNNNNNNNNNNNNNNNNNNNNNNNNNNNNNNNNNNNNNNNNNNNNNNNNNNNNNNNNNNNNNNNNNNNNNNNNNNNNNNNNNNNNNNNNNNNNNNNNNNNNNNNNNNNNNNNNNNNNNNNNNNNNNNNNNNNNNNNNNNNNNNNNNNNNNNNNNNNNNNNNNNNNNNNNNNNNNNNNNNNNNNNNNNNNNNNNNNNNNNNNNNNNNNNNNNNNNNNNNNNNNNNNNNNNNNNNNNNNNNNNNNNNNNNNNNNNNNNNNNNNNNNNNNNNNNNNNNNNNNNNNNNNNNNNNNNNNNNNNNNNNNNNNNNNNNNNNNNNNNNNNNNNNNNNNNNNNNNNNNNNNNNNNNNNNNNNNNNNNNNNNNNNNNNNNNNNNNNNNNNNNNNNNNNNNNNNNNNNNNNNNNNNNNNNNNNNNNNNNNNNNNNNNNNNNNNNNNNNNNNNNNNNNNNNNNNNNNNNNNNNNNNNNNNNNNNNNNNNNNNNNNNNNNNNNNNNNNNNNNNNNNNNNNNNNNNNNNNNNNNNNNNNNNNNNNNNNNNNNNNNNNNNNNNNNNNNNNNNNNNNNNNNNNNNNNNNNNNNNNNNNNNNNNNNNNNNNNNNNNNNNNNNNNNNNNNNNNNNNNNNNNNNNNNNNNNNNNNNNNNNNNNNNNNNNNNNNNNNNNNNNNNNNNNNNNNNNNNNNNNNNNNNNNNNNNNNNNNNNNNNNNNNNNNNNNNNNNNNNNNNNNNNNNNNNNNNNNNNNNNNNNNNNNNNNNNNNNNNNNNNNNNNNNNNNNNNNNNNNNNNNNNNNNNNNNNNNNNNNNNNNNNNNNNNNNNNNNNNNNNNNNNNNNNNNNNNNNNNNNNNNNNNNNNNNNNNNNNNNNNNNNNNNNNNNNNNNNNNNNNNNNNNNNNNNNNNNNNNNNNNNNNNNNNNNNNNNNNNNNNNNNNNNNNNNNNNNNNNNNNNNNNNNNNNNNNNNNNNNNNNNNNNNNNNNNNNNNNNNNNNNNNNNNNNNNNNNNNNNNNNNNNNNNNNNNNNNNNNNNNNNNNNNNNNNNNNNNNNNNNNNNNNNNNNNNNNNNNNNNNNNNNNNNNNNNNNNNNNNNNNNNNNNNNNNNNNNNNNNNNNNNNNNNNNNNNNNNNNNNNNNNNNNNNNNNNNNNNNNNNNNNNNNNNNNNNNNNNNNNNNNNNNNNNNNNNNNNNNNNNNNNNNNNNNNNNNNNNNNNNNNNNNNNNNNNNNNNNNNNNNNNNNNNNNNNNNNNNNNNNNNNNNNNNNNNNNNNNNNNNNNNNNNNNNNNNNNNNNNNNNNNNNNNNNNNNNNNNNNNNNNNNNNNNNNNNNNNNNNNNNNNNNNNNNNNNNNNNNNNNNNNNNNNNNNNNNNNNNNNNNNNNNNNNNNNNNNNNNNNNNNNNNNNNNNNNNNNNNNNNNNNNNNNNNNNNNNNNNNNNNNNNNNNNNNNNNNNNNNNNNNNNNNNNNNNNNNNNNNNNNNNNNNNNNNNNNNNNNNNNNNNNNNNNNNNNNNNNNNNNNNNNNNNNNNNNNNNNNNNNNNNNNNNNNNNNNNNNNNNNNNNNNNNNNNNNNNNNNNNNNNNNNNNNNNNNNNNNNNNNNNNNNNNNNNNNNNNNNNNNNNNNNNNNNNNNNNNNNNNNNNNNNNNNNNNNNNNNNNNNNNNNNNNNNNNNNNNNNNNNNNNNNNNNNNNNNNNNNNNNNNNNNNNNNNNNNNNNNNNNNNNNNNNNNNNNNNNNNNNNNNNNNNNNNNNNNNNNNNNNNNNNNNNNNNNNNNNNNNNNNNNNNNNNNNNNNNNNNNNNNNNNNNNNNNNNNNNNNNNNNNNNNNNNNNNNNNNNNNNNNNNNNNNNNNNNNNNNNNNNNNNNNNNNNNNNNNNNNNNNNNNNNNNNNNNNNNNNNNNNNNNNNNNNNNNNNNNNNNNNNNNNNNNNNNNNNNNNNNNNNNNNNNNNNNNNNNNNNNNNNNNNNNNNNNNNNNNNNNNNNNNNNNNNNNNNNNNNNNNNNNNNNNNNNNNNNNNNNNNNNNNNNNNNNNNNNNNNNNNNNNNNNNNNNNNNNNNNNNNNNNNNNNNNNNNNNNNNNNNNNNNNNNNNNNNNNNNNNNNNNNNNNNNNNNNNNNNNNNNNNNNNNNNNNNNNNNNNNNNNNNNNNNNNNNNNNNNNNNNNNNNNNNNNNNNNNNNNNNNNNNNNNNNNNNNNNNNNNNNNNNNNNNNNNNNNNNNNNNNNNNNNNNNNNNNNNNNNNNNNNNNNNNNNNNNNNNNNNNNNNNNNNNNNNNNNNNNNNNNNNNNNNNNNNNNNNNNNNNNNNNNNNNNNNNNNNNNNNNNNNNNNNNNNNNNNNNNNNNNNNNNNNNNNNNNNNNNNNNNNNNNNNNNNNNNNNNNNNNNNNNNNNNNNNNNNNNNNNNNNNNNNNNNNNNNNNNNNNNNNNNNNNNNNNNNNNNNNNNNNNNNNNNNNNNNNNNNNNNNNNNNNNNNNNNNNNNNNNNNNNNNNNNNNNNNNNNNNNNNNNNNNNNNNNNNNNNNNNNNNNNNNNNNNNNNNNNNNNNNNNNNNNNNNNNNNNNNNNNNNNNNNNNNNNNNNNNNNNNNNNNNNNNNNNNNNNNNNNNNNNNNNNNNNNNNNNNNNNNNNNNNNNNNNNNNNNNNNNNNNNNNNNNNNNNNNNNNNNNNNNNNNNNNNNNNNNNNNNNNNNNNNNNNNNNNNNNNNNNNNNNNNNNAAUCAAAAAUUGACCAAAAUUCACCCUUAUUUUCAAGCUUCUUGGCCGGCCCUUUCUCAAGGAAAAAGAAGAAAAACUACUCAAUUUUCUUACCUUCAAUCUUGCUCAAUCUUUCAUUCCAACCGGUUAAUCUUCAAAUUACUCCAUACAACCUAUUAGUUUAGGGGUAUUUAGGUGAUUGGUGAAGUUGUUUGGAAGCUUAAGGUGCUAAGUGGUCUCUUUUCUUUGGUUACUAAGGUGAGUAGUGAAGGUGUGACGACCCCACUUCUCCCAAGGGCGAACCCAAGGGUAUCGGCGGGCCGCCUGCCUAGCUCGCGCCAGGACUCAAAACUUAAAACAACGAAAGCUAGCAAAAUCCAAAAGAGUACUAUACAUAUAUAUGCAAUCCCAAAAGAGUUAUAAGUACAUUCCCCAAAAGUACCUGCUCAAACUAUUACAUGCUUAUAAUUACAACCAAAACCAAAAGGUAGACCCUAAGAAGGGUCCUUAUAC
rnacentral:lncRNA from 1 species